rnacentral:lncRNA from 1 species
AUGUGUCGUAGUAUCAAUGUGUAAGUUUUAUUAGUUGAAAAAGGAAGUAACAAACGUGUAGCUACUCCAGUGUUGAGUUUGACUCAACUAGCAGGGAGCAAGUAAAAUAAUGUGAACGUUUACAGGGCAUCCAAGUAAAUGAGUAUGCUUCUCGUAAUUGAGCUGAACCUAACGUUGUGAAAAUGGACAGGGAGAGAUUUAUGCACAGAUGAUCUGAAUCAAGUGUCGUGAAAAUACUGGAGUAUUCUAACUCUACAUGUUACAGAAUGCUUGCUAACUGCACGACUCCUAAACCGAGUCAAAAAAUAUCGUGAAAACUUGUCAACCUCGUAUAUGUACUAACUAUGUACUAAGAGCAUAAUAAUCAUAACAAGAGAACCCAGCUCGUAACGAUUCAAAAAGAAAAACGAAAGAAUGAAAAGUUUGAGACUGCACUAAAAAGUGGAAGGCAGUGUGAUUUUAAGCAUGAGAGAAAACAGGUGCAGGAAGAUCAGUGAACGCCCCUCUGCAAUGGUCAGGAAGUGGUGGAAGAUCUGGACUCUUUGCCAGCGACGCAUGGUCACUAAUAGAUGUAAGAUCGGGACUCAUCGGCGGUGAAGCAUGGCCAUUAGGAGGUGACAUAGAGCCGUUCGUUGGUGAUGGUGACGUGCGACCGCCAGGAGGGGAUGCACGACCAGCUUUACGCUGCUGACGAAUGAUAUGGCGAAUCUCUGAGCCGCACAACUCUUCCGACGAGGAACGAGGCAGUAAAACAGGAGUCGGAGAAAGCGUCCUGAAAAAUUCACAACUACAUGUAAAAAGAACAAAUCCACAUAAAAACUCAUUGAAAGAGAUAAAAUACAUCUUCACGCAAUCAAACCACACUGAUCAAAGUAUGCCCUCCAAAGUAUGUUAUCUCAUAAUGAUCCAAUUCCCGUGCACAAUGCAUCCCUGUUCUACAAUGUAACACAUGAUCGUAAGGCAAGCUAGAAACGUUUACACACUACACCGUCUCAAAACUGAGCUCGUACUCAUAACCUUGUCCUAGAUAUCAUGCUCAUUGUAGCACCAACCUAACCAGAACAUGAAACUCUAUAUGGAAUACUCAUCGCUUUAACAGUUUUCACAUUGGUGCCACCAGAAACACCAGACCAGAUCACUGAAAAAAAUAGCUGGACAAUCAACUUCUCCUCAGAUUCAUGUCCCAACAUGACUCAUCUCAAAUAAGCGAAUUGUAGUGGCCAAACCAUCUGGUAAAUAAUUCGCAUGCUUGCACCGCUGACUAUACCCAAUAACUAGAUGCCUUAGCAAGUAAGUGCUGAGUUUCUUACUGUCGUAAACUCUCCACGAUAUACGACGCAUAAAGGUCCCUGCGAAAAGCACACCAAUAUCCCUUAGCCUCCACAAUCGCACACAGGACUAACAAUCCGAGAAAAGCAGAAAAAACAACCAAAAAGGACCCCAGACACCUCAUCAACCUUCCAAAACCAACUGCCAUCCUCCAACACAUCUCAACACAUCAAAUAGGAAUUCUCGACAAGAACGCUUACAUGGAGUGACUGAUGGCUUGAAUCGCAGCUUCGUGGCCCAGGAAGUUAUCCACCGUUACUUCCUUGUUCUCAUUCUUCUUGUCUGAUUCACCCCAAACCCAUCCCUGCCGGUUACAAACGUCACACAUCACCACAAGCAAAGACACCUCCCUCUCUCACGUCCACAUCUUGGACCAUUAUGCACAUCACCGCGUCACCUCACUCGGCACUUACAAUCCUCAAAGAACCGCCGAAUCUCCGCCAAUCGGUGCGGUGGAAGCUCGUUGAUGUCCUUGAAAUGUCUGUACUCGGGGUCGUCGGCACACACGGCGAUGAUCUUGUCGUCCUUCUCACCCUGCAUUCCGAACAGAUCUCACGUUGCUAACCCGCAGAAAACACAUCCACAACCUUUUCCACGACACAAACAGCCACACAGUGCGAGCGCAACAGCUUCUAACCUGAUCGAUCAUAGGCAUCAACCCAAUGGCUCUAGCUCGGACAAACGAUCCAGGCAUCACGGGUUCCUGCAACCAAGUCAACCAUCAGUGCUGCCCCCAAAAAGUAAUGCACACCACCUUCCAAGUGUCCAACAAAUCCCAUUGCUUCUCCACCACAUCAAGGCCUACAUUCAAGAACAACUAAAAUCACAAAUUCCUGCGACCACGAACACAAAUCACACCCUUUCACCGGCCAUCGCUGCUAGACUCACAAACUCGCCACAUCCAAGACAACAUCCACCUCGGCAAACGACUUGUCUACUGCGACCCAUAGUUCUCACAACAAACUGCCACCGAUCACACCGGAGCGAGGGAUAUGUUUGACACCCAACCCACUACUCCUGAGCACGAAUGCGGUAUCUCCACAAUCGGCCAAUCAACCACGCUUCUCAGCACGACACCUCACACUUCAGCCCGCACACUCCAUUCAAACACGCCUCUUCUGCUCUCAACUCAUCCAAUAGCGGGAUUACGCACAGUCGUGCCACUAACUUCAUUCACGCACAAAGGACUCUACCUGCAUGAUGACCAGAACAUCGAUGGGAUCCUCGUCCUCGCAAAGGGUGCGUGGAAUGAAACCAUAAUUGUGCGGGUACACCACAGACGAGUAUAGGAUACGAUCCACCUGCACAGCAACCGAUGUUCAGAACAAUGAGCGGUCGAAACACAGCAUACAUCUCGUCAACAUGCAUUACCAAACCCCUUCAGAAAUCUCCCAAUCUAAACAUUCACCUUCAUCAGACUGCUCUUCUUGUCAAGCUCGUACUUCACCUUGCUCCCUCUGUUGAUCUCGACAACCUGCACGUGUGGCUCAAUCUUUAUUGAAACAUAGAAAGCAAACUCCACACAAGCAAGUUAGGACCAGCAAGGUUGCACUUCACAAAUAGAAUGUGGUAUGAGAUGAUUCUUCCCAUGCCAACCCUUAUCUUAUAUACUAGUACCAAGGUACCAUGUGUUACAACCCAUAUGGGAUAUCUCUUAGGACCAGCCCUCUCCUUGUAUUCUAAGGUACUAUAGACCAGCAACUAACCUUGUAGGAUAUCCCUCAUUACUCAUAUACUCUAUUGACCAUUAGCAACAACUAAAUGAAUUCUUUCCUUCAACACUCCCACUUUGCUACUGGUCAAUUAGCUAUCAAUCCUAAUGCCUUACUCAAUAUGUUGUGUCUCUCUUUCACCAAGGCUUUUGUUAGCAAAUCAGCCAACAUGUCUUUGGUUUCACAAUACAUCAUAUCAAUAACUCCCAUCUCUAUCUUCUCUCUUAUAAAGUGGUGUUGAAUAUCAAUGUGCUUGGUUCUUGCAUGAUGCUUUGGAUUCUUUGCAAAAGCCAAACAUCCUUGAUUGUCACACCUCAAUGGAGUGGCCUCCAAUUGCACAAGUCCAAUAUCUUCCAAUAACAACCUCAACCAAAUUGCCUCCAUUGCUCCAUGACUUGCUGCCAUAUACUCCGCCUCCAUUGUGGAACUUGCAAUGGUUGGUUGUCUCUUACAAUUCCAAGCUAUGGCUCCCAUUCCAACAAAGAAUACAUAGCCCGUUGUUGAUCUUCUAUCAUUUGUAUCUCCAGCCCAAUCCGCAUCACAAUAUCCAUGUAAUACAAUGUUAUUUCCUCCAAGACAUAGUUUAUGGUUCAAAGAGCCUUUCAAGUACCUCAUGAUUCUUUUGAUGGUUGCCCAAUGCAUAGGACCUGGUUUUGCCAUGUGUUGACUUACAACACUUACUGCAAAUGCAAGAUCCAUCCUUGUACCCACCAUUGCAUACAUGAAUGAGCCCACUGCUGCCUUGUAUGGUAUGCCUUGCAUUUGAUGCUCCACUUCAGCAUAUUCCUCAUCCGUGAGCUUCAUCAACUUCAAGUUGGCUUCCAAAGGAGUUCCAAUGGGCUUGCAAUCUUGCAUAUUGAAUCGUUUCAAUACUUCUUCAAUGUACUUGCUUUGACUCAAUGUGAUGGUCUUUGAUACUCUAUUCCUUGUAAAUUCCACACCCAAACAAUAAUGAAGCUCUCCCAAAUCACUCAUUUCAAACUCUUUCUCCAAUUUCUUCUUCAACCAAUCUAAUUUUACCAUGGUGUUGCUUAAGAUGAUUAAAUCAUCUACAUAGAGGAUUACAACCAGCAAGAAGUCCUUGGCUUGCAACACAUACAAAGAAUGGUCAGCUUCACUUCUUAUAAAACCUUCCUUCACAAAGAAUGAGUCAAUGCGUUGAUACCAUGCUCUUGGUGAUUGCUUGAGUCCAUACAAUGACUUCUUCAACUUGCAUACAAGGUUGGGUUUGUCUUGAUCAAUAAAUCCUUGAGGUUGCUCCAUGUAGAUGUCUUCUUCCAAUUCUCCAUUCAAGAAGGCUGUCUUGACGUCCAUUUGAUGCAUCUCCAAGUCUAUUGAUGCUCCAAUUGCUACUAUAGUUCUAAUGGUAGUGAAUUUGGCCACUGGAGCAAAUGUCUCAUUAUAAUCUACUCCAGCAACUUGUGAGUAGCCUUUGGCAACCAAUCUUGCUUUGUACCUCACAACAUUGCCCAUAGCAUCUCUCUUGGUUCUAAACACCCACUUACAUCCAAUUGCUGAACGAUUUGGUGGAAGUGGAGUCAACUCCCAUGUCUUGUUGUCCAUAAGAGAUUUGUACUCUUCUUGCAUUGCAAUCUCCCACUUCAUUGCAUCACCACACCUCAUUGCAUCACACAAAGUCAAUGGAUCAUCAAGAAGAGCAACAUUGGCCUGAUCUUCACUUACUUGUGGAAAGAUGUGGUUCUUCCACCAUUCACCUUGUGGUCUUCUUUCACGUGUUGGAUAUCUUCUUUCAUGCAAAGAAGAUGAGCCUUCAUAUACCUCUUGCUGCCUUCUAUGGCUCAUACACUUCCUUCUCUCAUUCAUUGGUUGAUAUUCUUCAUCUUCAUUCUCUUCAUUGUGUUUGUUGUAUCUUGCUGGAAUUGAAGUCUUUAUAGAGUUGGGCUCUUCUUCAAUGAUAUCUUCAUUUCCAUCUUCACUUUGAGAAUGCUCUUCUUCAUCUUCUUCUUUGUUUGCUGAAAUUGAAGAUGUGUCCACAAACACACCACUACUCCCACUUGGACACAUCUCCCACUUUUCACUUGCACUCUUAUACUCCAAGAACUCUACAUCACGACUUUUGAUGAUCUUUUUGGUGUCUAAACACAUGAGCCUAUAUGCCUUGGUGCCUUCACAAUAUCCAAGGAAUGCACAUCUUGUGCCCUUUGCAUCAAGUUUGCUUCUCAUACUAUCUGGAACUUUAGCAUAUGCAAUGCAUCCAAAAAUCCUCAUAUGAGAUAAACAAGGUUUCUUACCCGUCCAAGCUUCUUCGGGAGUCAUUCCUUCAAGUGCACUUGUGGGACACCUAUUUCUUGUAUAUACGGCAUUUACCACAGCUUCCGCCCAAUACUCAUAUCCAAGCUUUUGAGCAUGAAUCAUACUCCUUGCCAUCUCCACAAGGGUGCGAUUUGCUCUUUCAGCAACUCCAUUUUGUUGUGGAGAAUAGGGAGUGGAGGUUUGUCUUGCAAUGCCUUCAUGCUUCAAUAACUCAUCAAAGUCUUUGGACAAAUACUCACCUCCAUUGUCCGAUCGCAGCACCUUAAUCUUGUGCUCACAUUGCUUCUCCACAAGUGCUUUCCACUCCUUAAACUUAGCAAAACACUCACUUUUGGCCUUGAUGAUAUAAAUCCAUACCUUCCUUGAAAAGUCAUCAAUAAAUGUGACAAAAUAUCUUGCUCCACUCAUAGAUGGUGUUUUCAUGGGUCCACAAACAUCCGAAUGCACAAGCUCCAGCAAUUGAUUUGCUCUUGUUGCAAUUCCACUAGGAAAUGGUGUCCUAUGUUGUUUGCCUUGAAUGCAACCUUCACAAGAUAGAUUCAUAGUAGAAUGGCCAAGGUCUAAGCCACUUACCAUGGAUUGAAGCUCCUUCAUGCUUUUGGCAUUCAAAUGUCCAAGUCUUUGAUGCCAAAUGCCCACCUUAUCUUCAUUUGAUGGAAAUUCAGCAAAAGCAGCAACCUCUACUCCAUUGAUGCGCUUGCAAUUGAUAAUAUAGAGAUUGCCAUCUCUAAUCCCUUUUGCUACUUCUUUGCCUUCCAUGGUUCUCACAAAACAUCCAUUCAUAUUGAAUUGCACUUUGCACCCAUGACUUACAAGUUUACUCACCGAAAGGAGGUUCUUCUUCAUCUUUGGCACAUGCAACACAUCCUUGAGUGUGAUCCUCUUGCUUAUGCCCUUGACCACUACUUCCACUACAAUGGUGCCCAUUCCAAUGGCUUGUACCAUACCAUUAUCACCUAACCAAACCUUAGUUGCUGGAAUUUGUUGAUAAGUGUUAAAUGAACACUUGUAUGGAGUCAUGUGUUUGGUACAUCCAGAAUCCACGAUCCAUUUGCUCAUAUCAAGCAUGGAAGAAGUUUGUUUUGCCAUGAAUGCAAAGUCAUCACCUCCAUGGUCAUGAAAAGCAUUAUUGGCAUUCUCUCUUUCUCCUCUCUUUGCCUUGAAACAAUUCCUAGCAAAAUGCCCUGGUUUUCCACAAAUAUAACAAGUUUUGGGAAGAUUACGUUGAAUGGAAGUACUUGCCUUACUUGGUCUCGUGAAUAGUGCUGAUUGCUCUCCAAUAGACUCCUUUUGCUUUCUUUUGGUCACUUCAUGGGCUAGUCUUGCCGUGACAUAGUCCAAAGUAAGAUCUUUUCUUGAAAUUGACUCCAAUGCCACAAUGAGGGAGGAAUAGGAGUCCGGAAGGCUUGAGAGCAAUGUCAUCACAACAUCUUCUUCAAGUAAAGGCUUGUCAAUAACAGCAAGUUGGUUUGCAAGUGCUUUUACCUUAUUCACAUGAGCCAUGAGAUUAUUGAAACAUAGAAAGCAAACUCCACACAAGCAAGUUAGGACCAGUAAGGUUGCACUUCACAAAAAGAAUGUGGUAUGAGAUGAUUCUUCCCAUGCCAACCCUUUUCUUAUAUACUAGUACCAAGGUACCAUGUGUUACAACCCAUAUGGAAUAUCUCUUAGAACCAGCCCUCUCCUUGUAUUCUAAGGCACUAUAGACCAGCAACUAACCUUGUAGGAUAUCCCUCAUUACUCAUAUACUCUAUUGACCAUUAGCAACAACUAAAUGAAUUCUUUCCUUCAACACUCCCACUUUGCUACUGGUCAAUUAGCUAUCAAUCCUAAUACCUUACUCAAUAUGUUGUGUCUCUCUUUCACCAAGGCUUUUGUUAGCAAAUCAGCCAACAUGUCUUUGGUUUCACAAUACAUCAUAUCAAUAACUCCCAUCUCUAUCUUCUCUCUUAUAAAGUGGUGUUGAAUAUCAAUGUGCUUGGUUCUUGCAUGAUUCUUUGGAUUCUUUGCAAAAGCCAAACAUCCUUGAUUGUCACAUCUCAAUGGAGUGGCUUCCAAUUGCACAAGUCCAAUGUCUUCCAACAACAACCUCAACCAAAUUGCCUCCAUUGCUCCAUGACUUGCUGCCAUAUACUCCGCCUCCAUUGUGGACCUUGCAAUGGUUGGUUGUCUCUUACAAUUCCAAGAUAUGGCUCCCAUUCCAACAAAGAAUACAUAGCCCGUUGUUGAUCUUCUAUCAUUUGUAUCUCCAGCCCAAUCCGCAUCACAAUAUCCAUGUAAUGCAAUGUUAUUUCCUCCAAGACAUAGUUUAUGGUUCAAAGAGCCUUUCAAGUACCUCAUGAUUCUUUUGAUGGUUGCCCAAUGCAUAGGACCUGGUUUUGCCAUGUGUUGACUUACAACACUUACUGCAAAUGCAAGAUCCAUCCUUGUACCCACCAUUGCAUACAUGAGUGAGCCUAUUGCUGCCUUGUAUGGUAUGCCUUGCAUUUGAUGCUCCACUUCAGCAUAUUCCUCAUCCGUGAGCUUCAUCAACUUCAAGUUGGCUUCCAAAGGAGUUCCAAUGGGCUUGCAAUCUUGCAUAUUGAAUCGUUUCAAUACUUCUUCAAUGUACUUGCUUUGACUCAAUGUGAUGGUCUUUGAUACUCUAUUCCUUGUAAAUUCCACACCCAAACAAUAAUGAAGCUCUCCCAAAUCACUCAUUUCAAACUCUUUCUCCAAUUUCUUCUUCAACCAAUCUAAUUUUACCAUGGUGUUGCUUAAGAUGAUUAAAUCAUCUACAUAGAGAAUCACAACCAAGAAGAAGUCCUUGGCUUGCAACACAUACAAAGAAUGGUCAGCUUCACUUCUUAUAAAACCUUCCUUCACAAAGAAUGAGUCAAUGCGUUGAUACCAUGCUCUUGGUGAUUGCUUGAGUCCAUACAAUGACUUCUUCAACUUGCAUACAAGGUUGGGUUUGUCUCGAUCAAUAAAUCCUUGAGGUUGCUCCAUGUAGAUGUCUUCUUCCAAUUCUCCAUUCAAGAAGGCUGUCUUGACGUCCAUUUGAUGCAUCUCCAAGUCUAUUGAUGCUCCAAUUGCUACUAUGGUUCUAAUGGUAGUGAAUUGUGCCACUGGAGCAAAUGUCUCAUUAAAAUCCACUCCAGCAACUUGUGAGUAGCCUUUGGCAACCAAUCUUGCUUUGUACCUCACAACAUUGCCCAUAGCAUCUCUUUUGGUUCUAAACACCCACUUACAUCCAAUUGCUGAACGAUUUGGUGGAAGUGGAGUCAACUCCCAUGUCUUGUUGUCCAUAAGAGAUUUGUACUCUUCUUGCAUAGCAAUCUCCCACUUCAUUGCAUCACCACACCUCAUUGCAUCACACAAAGUCAAUGGAUCAUCAAGAAGAGCAACAUUGGCCUGAUCUUCACUUACUUGUGGAAAGAUGUGGUUCUUCCACCAUUCACCUUGUGGUCUUCUUUCACGUGUUGGAUAUCUUCUCUCAUGGAAAGAAGAUGAGCCUUCAUGCACCUCUUGCUGCCUUCUAUGGCUCAUACACUUCCUUCUCUCAUUCAUUGGUUGAUAUUCUUCAUCUUCAUUCUCUUCAUUGUCCUUGUUGUAUCUUGCUGGAAUUGAAGUCUUUAUAGAGUUGGGCUCUUCUUCAAUGAUAUCUUCAUUUCCAUCUUCACUUUGAGAAUGCUCUUCUUCAUCUUCUUCUUUGUUUGCUGAAAUUGAAGAUGUGUCCACAAACACACCACUACUCCCACUUGGACACAUCUCUCACUUUUCACUUGCACUCUUAUACUCCAAGAACUCUACAUCACGACUUUUGAUGAUCUUUUUGGUGUCUAAACACAUGAGCCUAUAUGCCUUGGUGCCUUCACAAUAUCCAAGGAAUGCACAUCUUGUGCCCUUUGCAUCAAGUUUGCCUCUCAUACUAUCUGGAACUUUAGCAUAUGCAAUGCAUCCAAAAAUCCUCAUAUGAGAUAAACAAGGUUUCUUACCCGUCCAAGCUUCUUCGGGAGUCAUUCCUUCAAGUGCACUUGUGGGACACCUAUUUCUUGUAUAUACGGCAUUUACCACAGCUUCCGCCCAAUACUCAUAUCCAAGCUUUUGAGCAUGAAUCAUACUCCUUGCCAUCUCCACAAGGGUGCGAUUUGCUCUUUCAGCAACUCCAUUUUGUUGUGGAGAAUAGGGAGUGGAGGUUUGUCUUGCAAUGCCUUCAUGCUUCAAUAACUCAUCAAAGUCUUUGGACAAAUACUCACCUCCAUUGUCCGAUCGCAGCACCUUAAUCUUGUGCUCACAUUGCUCUCCACAAGUNNNNNNNNNNNNNNNNNNNNNNNNNNNNNNNNNNNNNNNNNNNNNNNNNNNNNNNNNNNNNNNNNNNNNNNNNNNNNNNNNNNNNNNNNNNNNNNNNNNNUCAAAUUCUCCGUCCAUUCUUUCUUGCUUUGCUUGUCGUGAAAGUAUUAAAUGUAGCCAGUGCUCUCUAUAAUAUUUAUUGUAGUUCACAAUAAAUAUUGUAGUUACUAUGUUUGGAAUGUAGUGAGGAGAAAUUGUUUAUCUUCUCCCCUUCUCUUUGUAUACAAGAGACAACUACAUCAUUAUAUUCUUGUUUUUGUGUGUGUAUUUGUACAUAUUACUUCUAGCUACUGUUAUAUCUCUUCAAACAUUCUCAACAUAUUCUCAGCACGACUGCUCCUAUGCACUAGUCUUGGUUCUUACAAACCUAUGUGCACCUUGUCCUUUGCAUUUUCCUUGUUUUUUUCUCUACAUUGCAUUGCUCUAUGCCCUACUACUACUACACCUAGCAUAUUUUGCCCUCUUGUUACUAUAUCCUAUUGUUGUUGUGCCAUGCUAUUUUUGUGCCUUGCCUAUUACCUCCCAUUGUGUGCCAUUGUUGUUUGCCACUAUUCCUAUCAAACUAUCAUGCCUAUUUGCAAAAUUAUUGUGCCUAGUCGUCUACCACUACAGUCUGCCACUAUUACUACCAUCUAUUGUUGUUGUUGCAGUCCAUCACAAAUCCUUGUUUGUGUGAAAAUAAUAAAAUAAUAAAAUAUCUUCAAAUUUUUAAUAUUUUUUAUUUCAAGUUCAAUUUUAUUAUUUUAUUUGGCUUUAUAUUUGAAGGUGUAUUUUAUUCAACCUUUUUUACUUGAUCUUAUAUUUUCUUCACAAAUUUAUUUAUAAUAAAUGUUUCAACAUCCUCAACCACUACUACUAUAUUUCCAACUAUCACCACUACAUUCAAACAUUUAUAAGCUUUUGUAUUUCUACCAUUGGCUGUUGAUAAAAAUAAUUAUUUAUUAUGUACAAAAAUAGCAAAAAUAAAUUUAUUUGCAAAACAACUCAUAGAUGCAAUUUUGUUUAAAGAAUCUCCUAUUGUAAGUACUUUUAUUCUUCUUGCUAUCCAUUGAAAACUACUUCUUUUCUUUUGUCAUCAUCUUAUAUCUACAUUGCAACAUCAAUAUUUGGAAAUAGAAAAUCCAACCAAGUUUUGAGAAAUUUUUAAAUCCAAGUUUGAUCAUUAAAAGACCAUUUUUCUUCAAUAUGCAUGUCAUGAUUCGACAUAUUUAUGUAUCUUAAAUUUUCUAAAUUUAAUUUUUUUAAUAAUAAAAUAUAUCAUAUUAUCUCAUAACUAUGGUUGUGUGGACAAAGCAUCUCUAAAGAAGAAAUAAUUGAGAAAACUCUCUCUACAUUUCUUCUUGCAUUUUUUGUAUUUAUACAAUAACAUAGGAACAUGAAAUUUCAUAAUCAUCUUAAUUUCAUGUCCUAUCUACAUUUUGCAGAGAAACAAAAUGAACUACUCUUGUAUAAUGUGGAAUCCUGUCUUGUUAGAACCAAGGUUUUAGAAUCUCAUGUAUUUAAUAUUUCAAAGUCUAAGAAAAAAUUAUACAAAGAUGGAAAAAGUACUCAUAAGCACCAAAGUAAUCAUGGUUAUGACUAUUUUCUCCCAUAUUGAAAGAAUAAAUGUUCUAUUAUUAUUACAAUAAAAAGUAAAAAUCAAAGAUGCAUUCUUACUAUAAAUGUGGGAUGAUUGGACAUUUAUUACAUGUAUGCCAUACUUCAAAAUAUUUUAUUGAAAUAUUUCAAAAAAAUAAGAAACUUCUAAUUGAGGCUUAUAAAAUUUAUACUAUAAAUGCGUCUGUAGUUUCAAUUGGUAUUGAUGAUUUAGAGGCUUAUAUGAAUAUAAAAAAAAAAAAAAAAAAAAAAAAAAAAAAAAAACUUCUAAUGAUGAAUCAAAUGAUGCACUCAUUGAUUAUGCAACAACACAUGUUAUCUUGUGGGAUAGAUAUUUUUUUUAUUAAAAAAUAUUCAAUUUGGAAAACUAAAAUUUUUAUGACUAUGGCUAGAUCAAAUAUGUUUCACUUCUAAGAAAAAAGAGCAAUAGUAAAAUUGCUUGUGGAUUCCAUCAUGAAAUGUAAACAUGUAAUAUUUGCACUAUUAGGAUCUAGGAGUUUGAUUAGUUAUCAAAAUGUGCAUGCCAAUGGUUAUUACCUCUCAAUCAUCAAUCUAAAUAUGUAAAAGAUUUUGGUUUUUAAACAAAAUCAUAAAGUUCUUCAAAAGCAUUUGUUGUGAAAAAUGGUUUAUAUUGGAUUGCAAUCCAACCUCCCAUUAUAUUUGAUUUUGCAUCAUUUAUGACAAAAAGUCAUAUUUUUUUAGCAUAGACAAUUGAGACAUCCAAGAUCUGUAUUAUUUUAGAAGAUAAUUCCAUGUAUAACUUGGUAUAAUUUAAGACUUAUAAAUGUAGAUUCUAUAGAAUUAUGUCGUGCAUGUAUAUAAGACAAGAUGAUUGCUUGGUCUUCAAUUUGAAAACUCCCACAAGAAUUACUACCAAUGCUUGAAAGGUUGAAUGGUGAUAUUUGUGGUUCUAUCAAUCCAAUAUCUAAAUUAUUUUGUUAUUUUUUCAUCUUUGUUGAUGCAUGAGGCAAACAAUCAUAUGUUUCAUUAUUAUUAAUCUGAAACAUAGUGUUUGUCAUUCUUAUAUAUACCCUUAUUCAUUUUUUAGCACAUUUUCUUGAUUAUCUUAUCAAAACAUUAUGUAUGGACAAUGCAAAAGAAUUUUUAUCAAAGUCUUUUGAAAACUAUUGUAUUACAACAAGAAUUGAGUUGACAUGUUUUGUUCUGUAUAAACAUACUCAAAAUGGACUUACAAAGUAAUUUAUAAAGCAUACACAACUCAUUAUGUGAUAACUUCUUCUUCAAAAAAAUUUAUCUAUAUCUAUGUAGGAUCAUACAGUUCUGCAUGUUGUAGCAUUAAUAUGCAUCCGUCCUUCUUUAUUUGAAAUUAUUACACCUUAAGAGCUCAUUUUAAGUCGUGUUUCAAAUACAUUUCACCUACAUGUGUUUGAUCGCUAUGCUUGGCUUCCAAUAUUAGAACCUCAAUAACAUACCAUUAAAGCUCAUUGACAAGAAGAUAUAUAUAUUAGUUUUGAUUCAUCAAGUAUUAUUUGUAUUGUUGAUCCAACAAUUGGUACAUAAUUACAUGCACAUUUUUAAAAUUUUUAUUUUGAAGAGAAUGUAUUUUCAUCUCUUUGAAGAAGAGUAUCUAAUUGACAAAGAAAUACAAUACUUAUAUUUGAAGCACCAAAAAUAUUUACAAUAAAUCUUGAUCUUAGAAUAGCUUUGAUUGAAACUGAAAUUGUCAAGAUUUUGUAUCUAAAAUGGAUUGCAAAUGAAACAUUUGAUGGCUUCAAUGAUAUGCCUCAUAUUACAAAAGUUUCCAUUAAUGAGGCUUAGAAUGCACCUCUUCAAUUUACAAUACUACUAAUUAAUAUACCUCGCAUUAUAACAUCAAAAAUUAAAAAGACUCAUGGACUAGAUAAGCAACUAUAUAAAAAGAAAGUUAUAACAUGUACUAAUUCUUGUAUUUUUUUUGUCAAAGUUCCUACUAAACCUAUAAGACCAUGAAUUAUAUCUUUAUUUCAUGCAAUAGAAAAACUUGAAAUUAGGAGGAAUAAAAUUAAGUUGAAUAUAAAAUUAUCUAUUCUAUAUUGUGCUACAAACAACAUUUGGAAUAGACCAUCUAUUAGAAUAGAUUAAUUAUUUGCAUGCAUGAUUGUAAAAGCUCUUUUUUACAAAGAAGAAGAUCUUAAACCACAAACCAUAGAAGAAGCAAUGUAUCGCUCUAAUUGGUUAAAAUGGAAAAAUACCAUUGUAGAAGAGUAUGUCUCUUUGCAUAAAAAGAAAAUCUUUGGUCCAAUUAUAGAUACUCUUAUAUUUCGCCUCAUAGAAUAUAAGAUGGUAUUACUAUGCAAAUAAGAUGCUAUUACUAUACAAAUAAGAUGCUAAGAGUCAAAUAAUCCACUAUAAAGUUCAUCUUGUUGUUCAAGGAUUUAUCCAAUGAUUUGGCAUUAAUUAUGAAUCCAUAUAUUCUCCACUCAUGGAUUCAAUUAUAUUUUGAUAUAUUAUUCGAAUGACAAUUUAUGCCACCCUUGAGAUGUAUUUCAUGAAUAUGGAAACUAUGUAUUUGUAUGGUUUUUUUGAUAUAGAUAUUUAUAUAAAUGAUCUACCUAGUUUAAAAAUAAGAAUUCUAAAUGCACUUGCUUCAAAAAAAUAUCAUGGUAUUAAUUAUAUAGGAUCCUAUAUAAUCUAAAAUAAUUUAAACUCACAUGGUAUUGACGUCUCUAAUAUUAUUUAAUUACAAAUAAGUUUGUAAGUGAUCCACUAAUUUCUUGUUUGUUUAUCAAACAAAAUAAAAUUAAUUUUGUGAUCAUUGCUAAAUAUAUUGAUAAACUUAACCUAGUGGGUACUAGAUUUACAUGUGUUGUAGUUAUUAACCUACUAAUCUUUGAGUUUGAGAUGAAAGUACAAAAAAAAAUAAAAAUAAAAAUAAAAACUUUCUCCAUUGAUCUAUAAAUUAUACAUUUUACAAAUAAUAGCAUUUUUCUCUACCAACUAAUGUAUAUUAGAUAAAUCUUAAUAAGAUUCAAUAUGAUUGAUGUUUAUCCUUUGUCAAUACCAAUGAUUGGACGUGGUCAUGAUGGUGAUAAUCUAUAUUUAUUAGGAGAUCAGUAUCCAUACCUUGUAACAGUUAUAACACAUUUAUAUUUAGCCACAUCUACAAGACCAAAUAUUGUAUUUGUAAUUAGUUUUCUUACAAGAUAUAUUAUAUGUUCAAUACUACAACAUUGAAAUGACAUCAAACAUUUAUUAUGUUAUUUGAAUUAUAUUGAAGACUUAGGAUUAUAUUACAUACAAUCUGCAAAUCCAAAAUUGAUUAGAUAUUAUGAUGCAAGAUAUAAAUUUGAUAUUACAAUAGUUAAAUCUUAAACAAGCUAUAUAUUCUUAAGACAUGGAACUGCAAUAUCAUGAAAAUGAGUGAAACAAACUAUAAUUAAAAUUUCAUCCAAUCAUACAAAAAUUAUUAUCUUACAUGAAGCAUCUCAUGAAUGUAUUUGGUUGCAAUCAAUUGAUAAACUCAUUUAGACAACUUAUAGACUUUCACAUGAUGAUUCUCCAACUAUCUUAUAUGAAAAUAAUAGUACUUGUGUUACAUAGAUGCAAGUUAUUUUCAUUAAAGGCAAUAUGAUAAAGCAUAUUGAUCCAAAGUAUUUUAGUUAUAUUUAUGACUUGAUUACUAAUCACGCACUUAAGAUUAAAAAAAUUGAAUCUGCAAAUAAUCUUAUUGAUUUCUUCACCAAAGAUCUCCCUUUGUGCCACCAUUGCCGACUUAUUUAUGGCAUUGGCAUGUGGCCACUUAUUUUUCUUGAGCAAAAAAUUAAUAAAUUCUUUAAGUAAUUACAAAAAAAAAAAAUGAUGUUGUAUUCUUUUUCCUUCAUCUAUGGUUUUGUCCUUGAACACAAUAAGAUUUUUCCAAAUAAGGUUUUAAUGAGGCAACACUUGUUGAUCUUGCAAGAUUACAAAAAAGUAUAGAUCAUAAUUCUAUGCAAAUUUUAUAUAAUAUAAAUAUUAUGACAAGCAAAGAGGCGUGUUGAGAGCAUUAAAUGUAGCCAACGCUCUCCAUAAUAUUUAUUAUAAUUUACAAUAAAUAUUGUAGCUAUAGUGUUUGGAAUAUAAUAGGAAGAAAUUGUUUAUCUUCUCCCCUUCUCUUUGUAUACAAGAGACAACCAUAUCAAUAUUGUCUUAUUUUUGUGUGUGUGUGUGUGUGUUUGUGUAUAUUACUUCCAACUAGUCUUAUGUCUUUCCAAACAUUCUCAACAGCUUGCACAAGUAUGACUUAAAUUUGAAAUAGAUUUGUUGCUGUAGCUACAGAUUAAUUGCAGGCUCAUAAUAGAACAUACAUGUGCCUGGAUGUGUCUAACAGUUGACAGAGGAAGUCAUUGAUUAGUUUGUAGUUCAUCAGAGACAAUGCAUAUAAUUUGACAAUUAGGUCUAUGUUUCUGCUAAGUUGAGGUGCUUUGAGGUGCUUUGAGAUGAUGAUCUGUCUUGUAAAAUUGUCUCACAUGCUUUAUGUGUUUUGAUAAAAUAUGACCCUUCUCAAUGCUGAUUCAGUUUCUAUACUGAGACUGUGUCACCAUUGUGUUAUUUUCAUUAAAAUCAAGGUUCAGGUCAAUUUAGGAUUAUUUCAACAAAUUCCUGCACGGUAGAAGGCAAUUGGGUACAUUAUGGCUAAGUUGAUUGUGUGGUAAUGAGGCACAAACUGGAACACAAUGGAAACCAAGAAUGUGCUUCCAUAUGUUCUAAAAAUACUCGCUGGUUUUGUAACACUGGACACUGCACAUUGUCCUGCCACAAUCAUAGGCAAUCAUAAGUGAGUGAUUGGUGGGCAGCUGAGGUUGGCUCUUCUCUGAUUGUGAAGGAUCAAACCUUCUAAAAGAAAGCAUUCCUGAACCACAACCAUGGCUGAGCCACAUCAGCAGGGAGAUGGCCAACUCAGGAUGAAUAAACCAUCCUGAUGGACUCAAAAGAGAAAAGGGAGUGCCAACCAGCUUCUGCAUAAAAAAAGAAAUUGCAUGAUGUGUGUAGCUUGGAAGCAUGUGCCAAAAUCAGGAUGCAUAAAGAAAUCCAACAAUCAUAGCCUGUGGUUUUUCUAUGCAGCAACUCCAAUGCAGUGCUGCCCAAAAUCAUUCUACUUCCACAUAGGUUUUUAGAUGCUAAUGGGGAUGAAUACCCUGAAAAUGCGGUUGAAUAAGCCACACGUGUCCAAAUUAAAUGAAUAACCACAUAGAUGUUCCGGACUUCAUCAAAAUGAGACUCCAGAUUUGAUUUUAUUUUAUUUUUUGACAUGAAAACAAGGUAAACCCAGUGUAUUGAUUGAAUGGAGGAGUUACAAUAGACAGCUUACCGGUUAGUAACUGAGAAGGUGGAGGUGAGGGUACAACAUCAAGUAACUGUUGUUACCAUUCAAAGGUGAAUCUUGAGUUCAAUCCCUAGAUUUUGUAAGCUUUAUUGAACAACAAUAAUUUCCAAGCAGUUAUAAAUUGGUGAGUUGCUGAAGCAGUAACCCACCAGUACCUUCACUUACAAACAAAGAUGUGUGCGACUGCUUGCAGAUGAAGUCACCCAGGACUGAAACAAUCAUGCUAAAAUGAACAAAAGCAGCCCAUAUUACCCCAAUCCUUAGCAGCCAUUAAUUAGACUUACAGUCUGCUCAAAUUAGAAGUCGGUUAGAGAGGUCUCUCACAUGGGGCUAUAGGGUAGUUGGGAAGUUGGAACUUUCAUAGGUUCCCUGGACGCAGGCAAUCAACCACUGUAGAGGGACCACAGCGUGUUGGGCUAAAGCCAGUUGAGCUUUGUGAGAACCGGAAAAAUUGGCUGAUGUGGAAGUGCUCGGAUUGGAAAAAUGCCAGCAAAUGGGCAGACGGCCAGCAUGGAUGAAUUAAUACCCAGAUUAUGAACAAAAUUGAAGGUGAGGGUAUAGUUCAAAUAGCAUAUUCCUAGCUCCCCUUGUUAUGGAGCCAACCGCCCUGCCUGUAGCUGGAGCUACUUCCUUAUAAUAGUGUUUUCAACAACCUUUGUGUAUGGGAGCAACACUAGACCAAACCACACUGAAACUUGGGCCAUUGAUUUCCUCUCCUUCAAAACGGGAUUUAGUCACUCAUUAUAUUUUCUCUGGGGGAGUUGCUCCUUUGAGCGUGAACAAUUCCAAGUUUCAAAGGGUGUGAUUUUGGUAAAUUUAUACUUAGAUAUGAAGGGAUUUAAAGUGGGGCGUAUUUUGAUGGGUGGAAGAGUAAUCAAACCUUAGCACAGGGAAUUACUCCAUACCACCCCUCAUACUAGAGAAUGACCUGGGUGAUUUAAAUGAUAACUACUUGAAACUAUUGAAGACAUAUAUAUAUAUAUAUAUAUAUACAAAAAACUUGAAACUGUGUGAGAUUACCCUUUGGUGUACAUGAUCCACCUUAAUAUGAACUUAAUCCAACAGGAGAAUUGGACUGUUCAUCUUAGAGGGUAUUUAUCUCCAGGAGUGCAAUUUCUAUUUGAACAAUUUUCAUUAACGAUUGCAAAUUUUAGUGCAUCCAAGAUGUCAGCAAAUUUGAUGACCUGAACCAUCUUUUGAUGAUUUUUUAAAAUGAAAUAAGUUGAUCAUUUAUUUGUAGAAUAACAAUGGCUAUGACAAAUGUGAUAAGAAAUGCUAGACUUGAAACCUGUUAGUGCAAUGGAAUUAUGUCAUGUGCCAGAUAGUUUAGUUGGGAGGGAAACAAAAUAUAUGGGGACCUGAAUUGUGAAGGUGGGGAGCAUGUCAUUGUACACAUAUCACUGUAAUUUAUACAACCAAAAUUGUGGACUUCAAGUGAUAAAUUGGUGGUAAACACUUCUCAUAUAUGCUGUAUAUAUCACCCAAAAGUCAUAUCUCAUCUAUGUUUUCUUCUAAAAUAAAUACUACAAAUAAAAACAUCUUUUAUUACAAACAGUUGAAUUUUAAAAAAUGAAACAAAUCAUAUUUCACUCGAUUUUUUUUCCUCCAAGGCUUUGUAUCAAGCUUGGAAAUGAAGAACACCUUCAAAAAAAGGCAUUUUCUCAUUGGGUUUAUGUUCUCAGUGUAUGGUUCUUCACUUGUAUAGCACGCAUGAGGUGUAUUUGGAACCCAUUCUGAAUUUUGCAAAUAACCAAUAUGAGUAUCCACACUAUUUCCUUGCCCAUUAUGAUUUAUUUGGACAGUUCAUGCAAUAAAGGAAGCUAAUUGAUGGGUACCACCACAAGGCACCCAAUAAAUGAGAUCAUGAGGUAUUCCCUACUCGCAUGGGUACUUUUGAGGUAUUCAAAGCAGAAUCGCCCUUUGAGUUGGAUUAAAGCUCAAGAAUGAGCAACCAUUUGACAAGCUUCAUGUCUUUUCCUUGCAAUGAAGGAGUUCACCACCUCCUCCUCAGAAAGAAAGAAAAUCAUAACUCUUUGCAGGUGAAAAACAAAUGAUAAGAAGGAACCUUUCUUGCAUGAUACAAUGUUAUACCUUUUAGUGUUUCAGAGAUUUGCUGGGCACGUUUUGCUUUUUCAACAAUUGCUUCACAAAGGAAGCAUAAAAUAGAAUAACCGUAGAAUUUGAGAUAAGGACUAGUAAGUUGGCAAAGCUGUUGAUGAGGAGGUGGGGUAGGGAUGUUUCUAGUAAAUAAUACCCACCUGUGACUGAGCUUUGGGGGAGUGCCAGGUUGGCAUUGUCAUGUGCAGUGCUGGAAUAGAGGAACCACUGGUGGCCAUUCACCUCUUGGGCUCCUUUCUUUAGGGGCCUCCAUACAGUGUCUCUAAGCUUCACAAACCCAUCGUUGGCUCCUGAAUGUCAACGAACAACAUGAAAACAUAUAUAGCAUUGAGAUUUUUCAAAAAUAAAAUGUGAUGCAACAAUACAGAUACAGAAAUGCAUACAACUAGAGAAGCAAAGGACCUUGGAGGUUUAUGAACCAUUGUUUUUUGAGAAUGGUGAGAAAGUGGAGGUGAAGAGAAAUAAACUUGGAACAGAAUGAAGAGGCAAUCAAGUCACAGAAGGCAAUGGGAAAUAAGUAUUAGCUGUUCAAAUCAAAUGAGAGAUGAGAGUUGGCACCUUUCAACUACAACUAUAUUGAUUUAGAUUGUGAUUAACUUUUUUGCAUCACGUAUGUUUUUUGGAAUUAUAUUCAAUGUUUUUAUAAUUGCAAAUCAUGGUGUCUUCGAAAAUCAAAAGAAAAAGAGUGGCUUUUAAUACUUAUAUGAUUUGAAACAAAAGAGUGUAGAUUUUUGAAGAAAUUUUUAAUUAUGUGUAUUUUAAAAAGAGUGAAAUUAUAAAAUAUUGAUAGUCUCUUAAUGAAACUUGAGGUCAAAUAGGACCUGAGCUUAUUCCAAUACAUUAAAUAGUGGUGAAGAAGGUCAAAUGAAAGUUAAAAACAAUAUAAACCCUAAGUCGUAUUUAAAAUUGUGAUAUUGAUACAAAAAAAUUUAUCAUGAAAAUUAGACAUAAAAAAUUUAAUUAAUGAUAGUAGUGAUGAUUUGAAAAUUUCAGUUGAUAGAAAAAUUCUAGUAAUUUUGAUUAAAAGCCUCAUUAUUUCAAUUAAAUUGUAAAAUAAAUAAUUACUGAAGAAAAUUGAAAAAAUAAAUUAGAUCUUAAAAAAUAAAAAACUUGCUAAAGAAAUUUAACCAAAAUCCCAUAAUUCUUUAUUUCCAAGAACAUUUUAAGUUAAAUAAGUUAAUUAAAAAUUUAUAUAUUAUUUAAUUUUAUAUCAUAUAGAAAAUUCUUUAUUUCUAAUAAAGAAUGAAUACUUGGAUUGAGAAUGGCAGUCUAUUGGAAAAGAAAAGAAAAACAAAACAAAACAAAAACUGCGUUAAUUAGAAUAGAUAUAAAGUCUGUAGACAGCAGGACAAUCCUAUUUUCGAUUGAAAUUAAAGUAUCACUUAUUCAAUAAUAGAUUUCUAUGGUAAACAAUAAAAGAUCAUAGUUAGUUAUUUGCACCAAAUUUGCUUUUAAACAUUCAUUGUAUGUUAUAUUAUAACUUUACAAUGUCAAAUAUUUUAGCUAAUUUUAAAUUUUCAUAUAUAUAUAUAUAUAUAUAUAUAUAUAUAUAUUUAAGGUAAUGGUGAUUUCUCCUAAUACACAAAAGAAUACACUAUAAAAUAAAUUUUGGCCUAUAUUUCUAAAGAGUUUAAAAUUUUAAAUCCAAUUUAUAUCUAUUAUAUAUAUAAUAUAUAAGUUCUAUAAUAAUAUUUAUAUUAAAAAAUAAUUAAAUUUUUAUAAUAAAAAAUAAUUUAAUUUUUAUUUUAAAAAAUAAUUUAAUUUUUAUUUUAAAAAAUAAUUCAAUUUUUAUAGAAAAAUAAUUUAAUAUUUAUAUUAAUAAAUUUAGAAAUAUAGUUAGUUUUUAAAAUAAUUAUGGUUGAUAGUUCUUAGAUUAUAAACUACCAAAAGUUUAAUUAAUACUUAAUUUUUAUUUUAAAGUUUUAAAAUUUAAUUAAUUAAUAAAAUUAAUUCAUGGAACGUGUAUGAAUAAUUUAGUAAAAAAUUGAUAUGUUUAAAAAAGUUAUAUAACAAAAAUAUAAUUUUAAAAAUAAAAUAUUUCAAUAAAAAAUUAUACAAAAAUACUUUGAAUAAAGUAAAAGAUGAAUGAUUAGUAUUUCAAUAAAUAUUUAUCAAGAUUACUAUUUUUAAUAUUAGAUACAAAUUUUUUUAUAACUUCUACUAAAUUAAAUAAUUAAAAAAAUUAGAACUUAUAUUUCCAAAUUAUUGAUAUUUCUAAAGAUAAAAAUAAUUAAUAUAAAAUAUCUUGAUUUCUAUAUUUGAAUUAAUAUUAUUUUAUAAAUAUAAAUAAAAUUAUAUAUUAGUCUUAUUACCUUAAUUAUUAGCUUAAAUUUUAUUCCAAAAAGUAAAUUUGAGACAAUUUUAUAAAUGAUUAUAAUGUUUUUGGAAAUAAAAUUAAGUAGAAGCAUGUUGAAGUAUAUUAGUCAGAAAUACAUUAGUCAGAAAAUAAAUUUACCAGAAAACAUCUAAUUAAUUUUUUAAGUUAAAAAGAUCUAAAGAUAUUCUUAUAUGUGUUCAUUUGUUAUAUAAAAUUUCUUAUAGGAGUUUCUUAUAUAUAAAAAAUUAUUACAAAAUAUCUUAUAAAUUAAAUAUUUAGUAUGUAAGUCUUAUUGCAUCAAUGAUAUGAAUCACAUGCAAUUAACAAAUUAAUAUAUUCUUAUAUUAUUAAAAAGAAUAGAUAUUCACUCAAAUAUAGUACAAUAUUAAAACCAAAAUGAUUAUUGCUGAAAGCAAAAAGAUUAAAGAUUCUUGAAAUAAAACUAAUAAAAAAUAUAUAUAUUAAUAAGAGUAAAGAAGACCUCACUUUUGCUUCCAUAUAUACUAUCUAACUAAGAGUUAUGUGGCAAAAUUCUAUAUGCCCUUAAAUAUAUAUCUAACUUGCAAGACAAUUCUCUUAUAAGCAUCUAUUCAGCUUCUAAGUAACUUCUCUAUAGGUUAUUAUUAAAUUUACAUAUUUUUACUUAUUUCUAUCUAGCUUCUCUUAUCUAAAUAAAUACAACUAUUAAUUACGUCGAUGAAAUUAUCUCUUUUUUUAAGGACAAGUUUCAUCAAGAGUAGUGAUCACAUAUUUGAAAAAGUCUAAGAUACAACAUGUUGUAUUUAUUACAUACUUUGAUCUUUAUUCUCUUUGAAUAUAAUUGAUACAUCUUUUCAGUAAUCAAUAAUGCCUUAUAUCAAGUUAAAAAGACUACCUAUUUAUUUGAUUAUUAUUUAAGCUUCAUAACUUCUUUCAAAUAUAUCAUUUAAAAUAUCAUCUAUGAUGGUUUUCAUCUCUAAUAAUUUCACCAAACAUUGAAAGUCUCUUUUAAAGUUGUAAUAUUAAACACAUUAUAUUUCACCAUCUAUUUAAGAAAAAACAUGUCAUUUUAAAGAAAUUUUAUUCCUAUUAAAUCGUCUUAAAAGCUAAAACAAUUUCAAUGACUCAUUUGAUAAUUCAACAAAUUAUAGCUCUAAGUUGAAUCUCUUGAUUAUUUAUUUUUUAUUCUUUUAGCACCACAAAUAUAUAAAAUCUAUAAACAAAAAUAAAAGAUAGAAUACAAUAUCUAUUGAAUAUUAUUUUUUAUAGUAAUAAUUUUUUGAUGCUUUAUCUUAAUUUUGAUAGAUGUUGUUAAUAAAAAAUAUCAACUUUUAUUGUUUUAUUUGCUAUAUUCUUAAUUAGCUCUCAUGAACAUUCAUUAAUAUCAUAUUUGCAUCAAUGUACAAGUUAUUGUAACCUAUUUUAAUGCUUCUUUAAAUCUAAGACUUUUUAAACCUCAAAUUCUUAAUUAUUUUCUAUUUCUAUAGAAAGAGGUGGUAUUUGUUUUCUUUUUGAUAUAUCCAUUAUCUUAUAUAAUUCAAAAAGAAACAUUUAUAACAUAAGAUAAUUUUUUUAUAGAAUCUAGUAGGUGUAAUCAAUAAUUAAGUAUUUUGAUUUGUUUACAAAUAGAAAAUGGUUUUAGUCUAUUAUAAUCCAACUUGUUACAAAUGCAAUUAGUUUUGAUGUUAUGAUGUAGAAAUUAUACCUUGUUGCUAAUGUAGAAUUGAGAUUGUUCCUAGAAAUAGACAUCUACAUUGAUCUUUUGUUAUUUUUGAAUUUACUUUAAUUAUACUUUUAUUACUAUAUAUAGCCAUAAUAAAUAAUUUUUUAAAUAUUUUGUUAUAUGAUUAUUAAUUCUUAAAAAAUCAAAAGUCUCAAGAUGUGGAUAAUAAUUAUGAUUAAUAUAAAAAAUAUUUAUUGAAUAGAAGAAUCCAUCAUAUUAUUAUAAGAAAACUUUUCCAAUGGCUAAAAAUUAAUCCAAUCAUCUUGAUAGUAGUUGAUAGUAUAUUUUAAAUACUACUUCAAAACUUGAUGCACUUUUUUUGCUUGUCAAUCAAUUUGAAGAUAAAAAAAAUUGAAUGUAAUUUUACAUCCACCUUGAAUAUAUAUAUAUAUAUAUAUAUAUAUAUAUAGAUAUAUUUUUCUAAAACUAUAAUAUAAAUUGAAUCUUUUUAUUCAGUAUAAUAUUCUUUAAUAAGUUAUUAUAGCAAUAAAUAUUUUCAAAAAAAUAUUUAGUUUUUUCUUCACAUGUGAUAGUUUUUGUACAUAAUACAAAAUUUGCCAUUUUAAUAAAAAAAAUCUAUUAUCACAAAGAUAUAAUCAUAUGAACUUGAGAUUAGAAGAUCCAUGAUAAAAUCUAUAGAAGCAAAAGAUUAUGAUUUUUUUUACUAUAAGUAAUAGUUAAAAUUUAUAAGCUCAAUGACAAGGAGUAUUUAAUCUUAAAGAGACAUUUAAUGAUUGUACAAAGUCUUUAAUUGACUUUUGCAUUUGAAGGUGCCAAAAAUCUUUUGAUAUUAAUUCCAAGGUCUUAUUGUAUUCAAAAUGUCACUCAAUUGGAAAAUCGUAGUAAGCUUGAAAAAAAAGUAAUUGCUUUAUUUUCUAAAAUAUAUUAAUGUCUCUCAAAAUAAAAAAGAUUAUAAGAUAUAAAAGAAUUAUUUAUAAUAUUAUAAUAUCAAGAGUAUGAAUAAAAAUAAAAAGAAUCUUAAAAUAUUCUUAUAUAAGUGAAGAAGAAUAAAUAUUCAUUCCAAAAGCAAUAUAGUAUUAAGAUUCGAAUGGCUAUUUUCAAAGACAAGAAGAAUAUAGACUCUUAAAACUAGACUAAGAAUAAGAAAGGCAUUGACAAGAAUGAAGAAGGCUUCAUUCUUACUUCUAUAUAUACUAUCUAACUAAGAGCUAAAAGGUAAUAUUCUAUAAGACCUCCAAUGCAUAUCAAAAUUGUAAGACACAUGUCUUAACUUAUAAGGCAAGUUUUUUAUAUGUACACUAGAUAGUUGGCUUGUUCCAUAGGCUACUAAUACGUGUGAUACGUGGCUAACUUGUUGACCAAGUUUUCAACCUAUAAAUACAUGUAAAGUCAAAGAUUCAUCUUUAAAGCUUCUAGAAAGCUUCUCUAGAAAAUAUUAUGAAAUUAAUUUAUUUUUACAUACUUUUGCCUAAUCAUAUAUGUAAUAUUAGAAUAUAUAUAUAUAUAUAUAUAUAUAUAGGGAGCAUUCAUUGUAUGUCAAAAAAAUCCAAAAUGCAAUAAAUUAUAUUUGCCACAUACUUUGAUCUUUAUUCUUUUUGAAGAUGGUUGAUAGGUCCUCUCAGCCAUUGAUAGUGUUUUAUAUAUAGGUCAAGAGACAAUCCUAUUAUUUGAUUAUUAUUGAGGCCUUCAUAACUUUUUUUUAAUAAAAUAUUUAAAACAUCGUUAGGAGUUGUUUCCACCUUAUUGGAAGUCUCUUUUAAGAUUGUGAUAUUACACAUGUUAUAUCUUGGUAUUUAUUUGAGAAAAAAUAUAUUAUUUUUGAAGAUCUUUAUUUCAAUUACAUCAUCUUGGAAGUUGUAACAAUCAUAAUAUUUUAUUUUAUAAGUCAAAAAAUGAUAACAUUUGAAUUGAAUUUUGUUGAUUGUUAAUUUUCUGUCUUUAGCAUAAUAAAUACAAAAAAACUAUAUAAAAAGAUAAAAAAUAGAAUUUUAUCUUUUCUAAAUCUUGUUUCUUUUAUUGCAAAGAUUUUAUAUCAAUCAUCUUGGUUUUGAUGGAUGUUAUUGAUGAAAAGUCUCAAAUUUUAUUGAUACAUUUGUAAGAUUCUUUGUUGGAUGUCAUGUGCAUUCAUUAAUAUCAUAUCCAUGGUAAUGAACAAGAUAUCUAACCUAUAACGGUGUUGCCUUGAAUUUAGGACUUCUUCCAUCUUAAAGUCUUGAAUAUUAUCCACGUCUAUAGGAAGAAGUGGCAUUUGUCUUCUUUUUAAGAUAUUCACAAUCUUGUAUGGCUCAAGAAGAGACACAUUGUCAUAUUGUGGUUUAGUUACUAUGUGAAAAUAAUAUAUGUAUAUAUAUAUAUAUAUAUAUAUAUUAUAUUUAUUAUAUAUAUAUAUAUAUAUAUAUUAUAUUUAUUAUAUAUAUAUAUAUAUUAUAUUUAUUAUAUAUAUAUAAUUUAUUAUACAAUAUAGUGAAAGCUAUAUUAUUCGAUUUUAAUUAGUUAUAAAUGUAAUUAGAUUAUUACUUUGAAGUAAUUAAUAAAAAAUGGCUACUAUUGAGGUUGAUUUUUAUGUUGAUAAGAGUUUUAUAUAUUUAGAGCCAUCUUUAUUAGAUAUUUGUGACUCUUAAAAUCUUGUUAUUUUUUUUUUAUUUGAUAUUUAGGACACAUAUUAUGUAAAACUUAUUUAAAAAAUAGAUUAGAGGAAGAUUUUUGCUAUCAAAAGAAAUAUUUAUGCCAUCCAUAUAGAUGAAUGGAGAUGGAUGAUAAAAAUCUCUAUUCCUAUUGGCCAAAAGUCAUACCCAAUGGGCCUCAUGGAAGGUGCUUGUGGCCUUAUUAGAAAUUCGGAUUAUUUUUUUGAAGAUAUUUAAGUAUCAAAGGCUAAAAUCAACAAUUUUAGGUUUUGGAUAUGAUUUUGGUAUAAAUUUUAAAUAAUUUGGAGUUUUUAUGAAGGAAAUAUAGGCGCUUAAAAUCAAGGUGUUGAUUUUUUAUCUAUUGUCAUUCUUUGGAGUACAAUGCAUGCAUACAAAAAGUCAUCGCCUCCCGGUAGUAACCUUUGNNNNNNNNNNNNNNNNNNNNNNNNNNNNNNNNNNNNNNNNNNNNNNNNNNNNNNNNNNNNNNNNNNNNNNNNNNNNNNNNNNNNNNNNNNNNNNNNNNNNNNNNNNNNNNNNNNNNNNNNNNNNNNNNNNNNNNNNNNNNNNNNNNNNNNNNNNNNNNNNNNNNNNNNNNNNNNNNNNNNNNNNNNNNNNNNNNNNNNNNNNNNNNNNNNNNNNNNNNNNNNNNNNNNNNNNNNNNNNNNNNNNNNNNNNNNNNNNNNNNNNNNNNNNNNNNNNNNNNNNNNNNNNNNNNNNNNNNNNNNNNNNNNNNNNNNNNNNNNNNNNNNNNNNNNNNNNNNNNNNNNNNNNNNNNNNNNNNNNNNNNNNNNNNNNNNNNNNNNNNNNNNNNNNNNNNNNNNNNNNNNNNNNNNNNNNNNNNNNNNNNNNNNNNNNNNNNNNNNNNNNNNNNNNNNNNNNNNNNNNNNNNNNNNNNNNNNNNNNNNNNNNNNNNNNNNNNNNNNNNNNNNNNNNNNNNNNNNNNNNNNNNNNNNNNNNNNNNNNNNNNNNNNNNNNNNNNNNNNNNNNNNNNNNNNNNNNNNNNNNNNNNNNNNNNNNNNNNNNNNNNNNNNNNNNNNNNNNNNNNNNNNNNNNNNNNNNNNNNNNNNNNNNNNNNNNNNNNNNNNNNNNNNNNNNNNNNNNNNNNNNNNNNNNNNNNNNNNNNNNNNNNNNNNNNNNNNNNNNNNNNNNNNNNNNNNNNNNNNNNNNNNNNNNNNNNNNNNNNNNNNNNNNNNNNNNNNNNNNNNNNNNNNNNNNNNNNNNNNNNNNNNNNNNNNNNNNNNNNNNNNNNNNNNNNNNNNNNNNNNNNNNNNNNNNNNNNNNNNNNNNNNNNNNNNNNNNNNNNNNNNNNNNNNNNNNNNNNNNNNNNNNNNNNNNNNNNNNNNNNNNNNNNNNNNNNNNNNNNNNNNNNNNNNNNNNNNNNNNNNNNNNNNNNNNNNNNNNNNNNNNNNNNNNNNNNNNNNNNNNNNNNNNNNNNNNNNNNNNNNNNNNNNNNNNNNNNNNNNNNNNNNNNNNNNNNNNNNNNNNNNNNNNNNNNNNNNNNNNNNNNNNNNNNNNNNNNNNNNNNNNNNNNNNNNNNNNNNNNNNNNNNNNNNNNNNNNNNNNNNNNNNNNNNNNNNNNNNNNNNNNNNNNNNNNNNNNNNNNNNNNNNNNNNNNNNNNNNNNNNNNNNNNNNNNNNNNNNNNNNNNNNNNNNNNNNNNNNNNNNNNNNNNNNNNNNNNNNNNNNNNNNNNNNNNNNNNNNNNNNNNNNNNNNNNNNNNNNNNNNNNNNNNNNNNNNNNNNNNNNNNNNNNNNNNNNNNNNNNNNNNNNNNNNNNNNNNNNNNNNNNNNNNNNNNNNNNNNNNNNNNNNNNNNNNNNNNNNNNNNNNNNNNNNNNNNNNNNNNNNNNNNNNNNNNNNNNNNNNNNNNNNNNNNNNNNNNNNNNNNNNNNNNNNNNNNNNNNNNNNNNNNNNNNNNNNNNNNNNNNNNNNNNNNNNNNNNNNNNNNNNNNNNNNNNNNNNNNNNNNNNNNNNNNNNNNNNNNNNNNNNNNNNNNNNNNNNNNNNNNNNNNNNNNNNNNNNNNNNNNNNNNNNNNNNNNNNNNNNNNNNNNNNNNNNNNNNNNNNNNNNNNNNNNNNNNNNNNNNNNNNNNNNNNNNNNNNNNNNNNNNNNNNNNNNNNNNNNNNNNNNNNNNNNNNNNNNNNNNNNNNNNNNNNNNNNNNNNNNNNNNNNNNNNNNNNNNNNNNNNNNNNNNNNNNNNNNNNNNNNNNNNNNNNNNNNNNNNNNNNNNNNNNNNNNNNNNNNNNNNNNNNNNNNNNNNNNNNNNNNNNNNNNNNNNNNNNNNNNNNNNNNNNNNNNNNNNNNNNNNNNNNNNNNNNNNNNNNNNNNNNNNNNNNNNNNNNNNNNNNNNNNNNNNNNNNNNNNNNNNNNNNNNNNNNNNNNNNNNNNNNNNNNNNNNNNNNNNNNNNNNNNNNNNNNNNNNNNNNNNNNNNNNNNNNNNNNNNNNNNNNNNNNNNNNNNNNNNNNNNNNNNNNNNNNNNNNNNNNNNNNNNNNNNNNNNNNNNNNNNNNNNNNNNNNNNNNNNNNNNNNNNNNNNNNNNNNNNNNNNNNNNNNNNNNNNNNNNNNNNNNNNNNNNNNNNNNNNNNNNNNNNNNNNNNNNNNNNNNNNNNNNNNNNNNNNNNNNNNNNNNNNNNNNNNNNNNNNNNNNNNNNNNNNNNNNNNNNNNNNNNNNNNNNNNNNNNNNNNNNNNNNNNNNNNNNNNNNNNNNNNNNNNNNNNNNNNNNNNNNNNNNNNNNNNNNNNNNNNNNNNNNNNNNNNNNNNNNNNNNNNNNNNNNNNNNNNNNNNNNNNNNNNNNNNNNNNNNNNNNNNNNNNNNNNNNNNNNNNNNNNNNNNNNNNNNNNNNNNNNNNNNNNNNNNNNNNNNNNNNNNNNNNNNNNNNNNNNNNNNNNNNNNNNNNNNNNNNNNNNNNNNNNNNNNNNNNNNNNNNNNNNNNNNNNNNNNNNNNNNNNNNNNNNNNNNNNNNNNNNNNNNNNNNNNNNNNNNNNNNNNNNNNNNNNNNNNNNNNNNNNNNNNNNNNNNNNNNNNNNNNNNNNNNNNNNNNNNNNNNNNNNNNNNNNNNNNNNNNNNNNNNNNNNNNNNNNNNNNNNNNNNNNNNNNNNNNNNNNNNNNNNNNNNNNNNNNNNNNNNNNNNNNNNNNNNNNNNNNNNNNNNNNNNNNNNNNNNNNNNNNNNNNNNNNNNNNNNNNNNNNNNNNNNNNNNNNNNNNNNNNNNNNNNNNNNNNNNNNNNNNNNNNNNNNNNNNNNNNNNNNNNNNNNNNNNNNNNNNNNNNNNNNNNNNNNNNNNNNNNNNNNNNNNNNNNNNNNNNNNNNNNNNNNNNNNNNNNNNNNNNNNNNNNNNNNNNNNNNNNNNNNNNNNNNNNNNNNNNNNNNNNNNNNNNNNNNNNNNNNNNNNNNNNNNNNNNNNNNNNNNNNNNNNNNNNNNNNNNNNNNNNNNNNNNNNNNNNNNNNNNNNNNNNNNNNNNNNNNNNNNNNNNNNNNNNNNNNNNNNNNNNNNNNNNNNNNNNNNNNNNNNNNNNNNNNNNNNNNNNNNNNNNNNNNNNNNNNNNNNNNNNNNNNNNNNNNNNNNNNNNNNNNNNNNNNNNNNNNNNNNNNNNNNNNNNNNNNNNNNNNNNNNNNNNNNNNNNNNNNNNNNNNNNNNNNNNNNNNNNNNNNNNNNNNNNNNNNNNNNNNNNNNNNNNNNNNNNNNNNNNNNNNNNNNNNNNNNNNNNNNNNNNNNNNNNNNNNNNNNNNNNNNNNNNNNNNNNNNNNNNNNNNNNNNNNNNNNNNNNNNNNNNNNNNNNNNNNNNNNNNNNNNNNNNNNNNNNNNNNNNNNNNNNNNNNNNNNNNNNNNNNNNNNNNNNNNNNNNNNNNNNNNNNNNNNNNNNNNNNNNNNNNNNNNNNNNNNNNNNNNNNNNNNNNNNNNNNNNNNNNNNNNNNNNNNNNNNNNNNNNNNNNNNNNNNNNNNNNNNNNNNNNNNNNNNNNNNNNNNNNNNNNNNNNNNNNNNNNNNNNNNNNNNNNNNNNNNNNNNNNNNNNNNNNNNNNNNNNNNNNNNNNNNNNNNNNNNNNNNNNNNNNNNNNNNNNNNNNNNNNNNNNNNNNNNNNNNNNNNNNNNNNNNNNNNNNNNNNNNNNNNNNNNNNNNNNNNNNNNNNNNNNNNNNNNNNNNNNNNNNNNNNNNNNNNNNNNNNNNNNNNNNNNNNNNNNNNNNNNNNNNNNNNNNNNNNNNNNNNNNNNNNNNNNNNNNNNNNNNNNNNNNNNNNNNNNNNNNNNNNNNNNNNNNNNNNNNNNNNNNNNNNNNNNNNNNNNNNNNNNNNNNNNNNNNNNNNNNNNNNNNNNNNNNNNNNNNNNNNNNNNNNNNNNNNNNNNNNNNNNNNNNNNNNNNNNNNNNNNNNNNNNNNNNNNNNNNNNNNNNNNNNNNNNNNNNNNNNNNNNNNNNNNNNNNNNNNNNNNNNNNNNNNNNNNNNNNNNNNNNNNNNNNNNNNNNNNNNNNNNNNNNNNNNNNNNNNNNNNNNNNNNNNNNNNNNNNNNNNNNNNNNNNNNNNNNNNNNNNNNNNNNNNNNNNNNNNNNNNNNNNNNNNNNNNNNNNNNNNNNNNNNNNNNNNNNNNNNNNNNNNNNNNNNNNNNNNNNNNNNNNNNNNNNNNNNNNNNNNNNNNNNNNNNNNNNNNNNNNNNNNNNNNNNNNNNNNNNNNNNNNNNNNNNNNNNNNNNNNNNNNNNNNNNNNNNNNNNNNNNNNNNNNNNNNNNNNNNNNNNNNNNNNNNNNNNNNNNNNNNNNNNNNNNNNNNNNNNNNNNNNNNNNNNNNNNNNNNNNNNNNNNNNNNNNNNNNNNNNNNNNNNNNNNNNNNNNNNNNNNNNNNNNNNNNNNNNNNNNNNNNNNNNNNNNNNNNNNNNNNNNNNNNNNNNNNNNNNNNNNNNNNNNNNNNNNNNNNNNNNNNNNNNNNNNNNNNNNNNNNNNNNNNNNNNNNNNNNNNNNNNNNNNNNNNNNNNNNNNNNNNNNNNNNNNNNNNNNNNNNNNNNNNNNNNNNNNNNNNNNNNNNNNNNNNNNNNNNNNNNNNNNNNNNNNNNNNNNNNNNNNNNNNNNNNNNNNNNNNNNNNNNNNNNNNNNNNNNNNNNNNNNNNNNNNNNNNNNNNNNNNNNNNNNNNNNNNNNNNNNNNNNNNNNNNNNNNNNNNNNNNNNNNNNNNNNNNNNNNNNNNNNNNNNNNNNNNNNNNNNNNNNNNNNNNNNNNNNNNNNNNNNNNNNNNNNNNNNNNNNNNNNNNNNNNNNNNNNNNNNNNNNNNNNNNNNNNNNNNNNNNNNNNNNNNNNNNNNNNNNNNNNNNNNNNNNNNNNNNNNNNNNNNNNNNNNNNNNNNNNNNNNNNNNNNNNNNNNNNNNNNNNNNNNNNNNNNNNNNNNNNNNNNNNNNNNNNNNNNNNNNNNNNNNNNNNNNNNNNNNNNNNNNNNNNNNNNNNNNNNNNNNNNNNNNNNNNNNNNNNNNNNNNNNNNNNNNNNNNNNNNNNNNNNNNNNNNNNNNNNNNNNNNNNNNNNNNNNNNNNNNNNNNNNNNNNNNNNNNNNNNNNNNNNNNNNNNNNNNNNNNNNNNNNNNNNNNNNNNNNNNNNNNNNNNNNNNNNNNNNNNNNNNNNNNNNNNNNNNNNNNNNNNNNNNNNNNNNNNNNNNNNNNNNNNNNNNNNNNNNNNNNNNNNNNNNNNNNNNNNNNNNNNNNNNNNNNNNNNNNNNNNNNNNNNNNNNNNNNNNNNNNNNNNNNNNNNNNNNNNNNNNNNNNNNNNNNNNNNNNNNNNNNNNNNNNNNNNNNNNNNNNNNNNNNNNNNNNNNNNNNNNNNNNNNNNNNNNNNNNNNNNNNNNNNNNNNNNNNNNNNNNNNNNNNNNNNNNNNNNNNNNNNNNNNNNNNNNNNNNNNNNNNNNNNNNNNNNNNNNNNNNNNNNNNNNNNNNNNNNNNNNNNNNNNNNNNNNNNNNNNNNNNNNNNNNNNNNNNNNNNNNNNNNNNNNNNNNNNNNNNNNNNNNNNNNNNNNNNNNNNNNNNNNNNNNNNNNNNNNNNNNNNNNNNNNNNNNNNNNNNNNNNNNNNNNNNNNNNNNNNNNNNNNNNNNNNNNNNNNNNNNNNNNNNNNNNNNNNNNNNNNNNNNNNNNNNNNNNNNNNNNNNNNNNNNNNNNNNNNNNNNNNNNNNNNNNNNNNNNNNNNNNNNNNNNNNNNNNNNNNNNNNNNNNNNNNNNNNNNNNNNNNNNNNNNNNNNNNNNNNNNNNNNNNNNNNNNNNNNNNNNNNNNNNNNNNNNNNNNNNNNNNNNNNNNNNNNNNNNNNNNNNNNNNNNNNNNNNNNNNNNNNNNNNNNNNNNNNNNNNNNNNNNNNNNNNNNNNNNNNNNNNNNNNNNNNNNNNNNNNNNNNNNNNNNNNNNNNNNNNNNNNNNNNNNNNNNNNNNNNNNNNNNNNNNNNNNNNNNNNNNNNNNNNNNNNNNNNNNNNNNNNNNNNNNNNNNNNNNNNNNNNNNNNNNNNNNNNNNNNNNNNNNNNNNNNNNNNNNNNNNNNNNNNNNNNNNNNNNNNNNNNNNNNNNNNNNNNNNNNNNNNNNNNNNNNNNNNNNNNNNNNNNNNNNNNNNNNNNNNNNNNNNNNNNNNNNNNNNNNNNNNNNNNNNNNNNNNNNNNNNNNNNNNNNNNNNNNNNNNNNNNNNNNNNNNNNNNNNNNNNNNNNNNNNNNNNNNNNNNNNNNNNNNNNNNNNNNNNNNNNNNNNNNNNNNNNNNNNNNNNNNNNNNNNNNNNNNNNNNNNNNNNNNNNNNNNNNNNNNNNNNNNNNNNNNNNNNNNNNNNNNNNNNNNNNNNNNNNNNNNNNNNNNNNNNNNNNNNNNNNNNNNNNNNNNNNNNNNNNNNNNNNNNNNNNNNNNNNNNNNNNNNNNNNNNNNNNNNNNNNNNNNNNNNNNNNNNNNNNNNNNNNNNNNNNNNNNNNNNNNNNNNNNNNNNNNNNNNNNNNNNNNNNNNNNNNNNNNNNNNNNNNNNNNNNNNNNNNNNNNNNNNNNNNNNNNNNNNNNNNNNNNNNNNNNNNNNNNNNNNNNNNNNNNNNNNNNNNNNNNNNNNNNNNNNNNNNNNNNNNNNNNNNNNNNNNNNNNNNNNNNNNNNNNNNNNNNNNNNNNNNNNNNNNNNNNNNNNNNNNNNNNNNNNNNNNNNNNNNNNNNNNNNNNNNNNNNNNNNNNNNNNNNNNNNNNNNNNNNNNNNNNNNNNNNNNNNNNNNNNNNNNNNNNNNNNNNNNNNNNNNNNNNNNNNNNNNNNNNNNNNNNNNNNNNNNNNNNNNNNNNNNNNNNNNNNNNNNNNNNNNNNNNNNNNNNNNNNNNNNNNNNNNNNNNNNNNNNNNNNNNNNNNNNNNNNNNNNNNNNNNNNNNNNNNNNNNNNNNNNNNNNNNNNNNNNNNNNNNNNNNNNNNNNNNNNNNNNNNNNNNNNNNNNNNNNNNNNNNNNNNNNNNNNNNNNNNNNNNNNNNNNNNNNNNNNNNNNNNNNNNNNNNNNNNNNNNNNNNNNNNNNNNNNNNNNNNNNNNNNNNNNNNNNNNNNNNNNNNNNNNNNNNNNNNNNNNNNNNNNNNNNNNNNNNNNNNNNNNNNNNNNNNNNNNNNNNNNNNNNNNNNNNNNNNNNNNNNNNNNNNNNNNNNNNNNNNNNNNNNNNNNNNNNNNNNNNNNNNNNNNNNNNNNNNNNNNNNNNNNNNNNNNNNNNNNNNNNNNNNNNNNNNNNNNNNNNNNNNNNNNNNNNNNNNNNNNNNNNNNNNNNNNNNNNNNNNNNNNNNNNNNNNNNNNNNNNNNNNNNNNNNNNNNNNNNNNNNNNNNNNNNNNNNNNNNNNNNNNNNNNNNNNNNNNNNNNNNNNNNNNNNNNNNNNNNNNNNNNNNNNNNNNNNNNNNNNNNNNNNNNNNNNNNNNNNNNNNNNNNNNNNNNNNNNNNNNNNNNNNNNNNNNNNNNNNNNNNNNNNNNNNNNNNNNNNNNNNNNNNNNNNNNNNNNNNNNNNNNNNNNNNNNNNNNNNNNNNNNNNNNNNNNNNNNNNNNNNNNNNNNNNNNNNNNNNNNNNNNNNNNNNNNNNNNNNNNNNNNNNNNNNNNNNNNNNNNNNNNNNNNNNNNNNNNNNNNNNNNNNNNNNNNNNNNNNNNNNNNNNNNNNNNNNNNNNNNNNNNNNNNNNNNNNNNNNNNNNNNNNNNNNNNNNNNNNNNNNNNNNNNNNNNNNNNNNNNNNNNNNNNNNNNNNNNNNNNNNNNNNNNNNNNNNNNNNNNNNNNNNNNNNNNNNNNNNNNNNNNNNNNNNNNNNNNNNNNNNNNNNNNNNNNNNNNNNNNNNNNNNNNNNNNNNNNNNNNNNNNNNNNNNNNNNNNNNNNNNNNNNNNNNNNNNNNNNNNNNNNNNNNNNNNNNNNNNNNNNNNNNNNNNNNNNNNNNNNNNNNNNNNNNNNNNNNNNNNNNNNNNNNNNNNNNNNNNNNNNNNNNNNNNNNNNNNNNNNNNNNNNNNNNNNNNNNNNNNNNNNNNNNNNNNNNNNNNNNNNNNNNNNNNNNNNNNNNNNNNNNNNNNNNNNNNNNNNNNNNNNNNNNNNNNNNNNNNNNNNNNNNNNNNNNNNNNNNNNNNNNNNNNNNNNNNNNNNNNNNNNNNNNNNNNNNNNNNNNNNNNNNNNNNNNNNNNNNNNNNNNNNNNNNNNNNNNNNNNNNNNNNNNNNNNNNNNNNNNNNNNNNNNNNNNNNNNNNNNNNNNNNNNNNNNNNNNNNNNNNNNNNNNNNNNNNNNNNNNNNNNNNNNNNNNNNNNNNNNNNNNNNNNNNNNNNNNNNNNNNNNNNNNNNNNNNNNNNNNNNNNNNNNNNNNNNNNNNNNNNNNNNNNNNNNNNNNNNNNNNNNNNNNNNNNNNNNNNNNNNNNNNNNNNNNNNNNNNNNNNNNNNNNNNNNNNNNNNNNNNNNNNNNNNNNNNNNNNNNNNNNNNNNNNNNNNNNNNNNNNNNNNNNNNNNNNNNNNNNNNNNNNNNNNNNNNNNNNNNNNNNNNNNNNNNNNNNNNNNNNNNNNNNNNNNNNNNNNNNNNNNNNNNNNNNNNNNNNNNNNNNNNNNNNNNNNNNNNNNNNNNNNNNNNNNNNNNNNNNNNNNNNNNNNNNNNNNNNNNNNNNNNNNNNNNNNNNNNNNNNNNNNNNNNNNNNNNNNNNNNNNNNNNNNNNNNNNNNNNNNNNNNNNNNNNNNNNNNNNNNNNNNNNNNNNNNNNNNNNNNNNNNNNNNNNNNNNNNNNNNNNNNNNNNNNNNNNNNNNNNNNNNNNNNNNNNNNNNNNNNNNNNNNNNNNNNNNNNNNNNNNNNNNNNNNNNNNNNNNNNNNNNNNNNNNNNNNNNNNNNNNNNNNNNNNNNNNNNNNNNNNNNNNNNNNNNNNNNNNNNNNNNNNNNNNNNNNNNNNNNNNNNNNNNNNNNNNNNNNNNNNNNNNNNNNNNNNNNNNNNNNNNNNNNNNNNNNNNNNNNNNNNNNNNNNNNNNNNNNNNNNNNNNNNNNNNNNNNNNNNNNNNNNNNNNNNNNNNNNNNNNNNNNNNNNNNNNNNNNNNNNNNNNNNNNNNNNNNNNNNNNNNNNNNNNNNNNNNNNNNNNNNNNNNNNNNNNNNNNNNNNNNNNNNNNNNNNNNNNNNNNNNNNNNNNNNNNNNNNNNNNNNNNNNNNNNNNNNNNNNNNNNNNNNNNNNNNNNNNNNNNNNNNNNNNNNNNNNNNNNNNNNNNNNNNNNNNNNNNNNNNNNNNNNNNNNNNNNNNNNNNNNNNNNNNNNNNNNNNNNNNNNNNNNNNNNNNNNNNNNNNNNNNNNNNNNNNNNNNNNNNNNNNNNNNNNNNNNNNNNNNNNNNNNNNNNNNNNNNNNNNNNNNNNNNNNNNNNNNNNNNNNNNNNNNNNNNNNNNNNNNNNNNNNNNNNNNNNNNNNNNNNNNNNNNNNNNNNNNNNNNNNNNNNNNNNNNNNNNNNNNNNNNNNNNNNNNNNNNNNNNNNNNNNNNNNNNNNNNNNNNNNNNNNNNNNNNNNNNNNNNNNNNNNNNNNNNNNNNNNNNNNNNNNNNNNNNNNNNNNNNNNNNNNNNNNNNNNNNNNNNNNNNNNNNNNNNNNNNNNNNNNNNNNNNNNNNNNNNNNNNNNNNNNNNNNNNNNNNNNNNNNNNNNNNNNNNNNNNNNNNNNNNNNNNNNNNNNNNNNNNNNNNNNNNNNNNNNNNNNNNNNNNNNNNNNNNNNNNNNNNNNNNNNNNNNNNNNNNNNNNNNNNNNNNNNNNNNNNNNNNNNNNNNNNNNNNNNNNNNNNNNNNNNNNNNNNNNNNNNNNNNNNNNNNNNNNNNNNNNNNNNNNNNNNNNNNNNNNNNNNNNNNNNNNNNNNNNNNNNNNNNNNNNNNNNNNNNNNNNNNNNNNNNNNNNNNNNNNNNNNNNNNNNNNNNNNNNNNNNNNNNNNNNNNNNNNNNNNNNNNNNNNNNNNNNNNNNNNNNNNNNNNNNNNNNNNNNNNNNNNNNNNNNNNNNNNNNNNGAUGACUUUACGACCCGAAAAACGGAUAGAUUGGAAGUUAAAGUCAAUACAUAGAAUCUAAAGGCAAUAAGUGACCCAAUUUGCUAGUGGUUGUGUUUUGAGCUAUAUCUUAAGCAAUUUGAUAAGAUUUUGAUUUAAAAUUUUUAAGAAUAUAUAUUAUCAUGCUAUUAAGCUAUAUAUAAUUUUUUGUAGUAUUUGAAUUUUGAAUUUUUUGAGGUAUAAAGAAAAUAGUACUUAAAUGCUUAUAAAUUGAAGUUUAGAGCACUUGCUAGGAUUUCUAAGAUGUGAGAUAAUUGACACUAAAUUUAUUUAUUUAUAUAUUUAUUUAUUUUUUUGUAGUAAAGAUUAAAGAUUAAUACUACAUUAUCUAAAAAUUCAAAAAAACUAAUUGAUUAGAUCAAUAGAUAUGAAAUUCUAAAGUUUAAGAAGAAAAAAAUAAAAAUAAAAAUAAACCUAUAUAGAAAAACAUAUUUUGAAGGAAUUUUGCUACAAUAUGAAUAUUUUAUUCAAAAUAAAGGAAUUUUUAGAAUCCAAGGUCAUAUAUAUACAUAUAUAUAUAUAUAUUAAAAAUAGAUAUAUAAAGCUCUAAUAAAAUUUUGAUACAAAGAUAAAUUUUAAAAGGAGAUUAUGGAUUUUCUUUGAAUUUAUUAAAAAUCUAAGUUAUCAAUAAAUGGUUAGUCAUGAUUUGAUAUAACAAAGGAUAUUAGAAAAUUUCUAGAUAUUCUAAAAAUCCUUAUGUACAAACCUUCUUAAAUAUAAAAGGUUUUUAUUAGUAGAAUAUCUUUUCAUAAUAUUAUAUUUAUUUAUUCUUUAUAUUAAGAAUAAAUCACUUAUUGAAUCUUGGCUAAUAAAUCAAAGCUAAACUUUUUACAACUAAGUAUCUAGUGUGUUUUUAGAUUGUAAAUCAUUUCAUACAAUAACAAGCUUAGUUUUUUUCAAUUAAAUGUAUUCAAUAUUUUUUAUUGAGAUCUUUAUUUGCUAGAAUAAGUUAAGACUCUUGAAUCUAAAAAGAUAGAGACUUUAUAAUUUUUUGGUUGUAAAUGAAUAUCUAUUAUAUAUUAAGAUGAAGUAUUUGAGUAGAAAAUAAGAUUUUUAUUAGGUGUUGUACAAGAUUCAUAUAGCAUGGUUCUUAUUGUUAUUAGACAAACUUAUCUUCUAAUAUAUCAUCCUUUGUUACAACCAUACUCUUUAUUUUAUAAUUUUAUUGUUUUUCUAAAUAAUGUUGAGUAAUGUAUUUUGAUUUUCUAAAAUAUAAGCAUAAUUCUUUUUAAUGACUUUGAAUCUUUUCUUAUUUAGUAAAGUAUUCAAAAUUUAUUGAAUCAAUUUAUACACGUUUAGGCAUUGAUGAAUAAGUUUUUGAAAACUUAAAAGUUAACAUGACUUAAUUUACACUUCUUUAACUUGAUAUUUUUUUUUGGUAUCUUUUAAAAAGUCAAUUGUUACAUGCAAUGGCUUAAGCAAUAAAAUAUUUUAAUAAGUCUAUUUUUUAUAUUUUUAAUAAUAUGUCUUUGACAUUAUCUUUUAAUUAAUUUUGAUUUUUUUUAUAAGGGCUUUAUCAUUCUAAGCUAUGUGAUAGGCAAAGUUUUAGAAUCCAAUAAUAUAUAUGAUAGCUAAUUGUUAUUUUUAUCAUAAAAAAUAAGAUUAUUUUUUGCAAUCUUUUUUUGAUUGCUUUCUUCAAAUAAGGCAAUAAAUUCUUCUAAGAAUUAAUUUAGAUUAAAUAAGAGUCACGAAUUCUUAUUUUUAAAGGUACAAAUUAAUAAAAAAAAAUCUAAAUAGGAGUAUGCUUAUAAAUUAAACUUGAGUAAAUCCAUCAAUAUAUUAGAAAGAUGUAACUUUACAUAGAGCUUGAUUUUUGUAAAAAUCCUUAAAAUUUUGAUUUUUUUCUAUCAAAAUUUUUAAAUAUACUAAUUCUUAUCUUUAUCAUACAUGUAGUAGCAAGAUUUUUGAGAUUCAAUUUUGAAGUUGAUUACUUAUUUUUUUGGAAAAGUACCUUUAUAGUUGAUAUUAAUAAUAUGUAAAAUUUUCACCCUAAGAAUAUUGAUAAGCUUGUAUAUAUAUAUAUAUAUAUAUAUAAUUUCAGCUAUGUCAAGGACAUAAAUCACAAAGAAUCAAAGGAUCACUAGAUUGUUAAGUCACUAAAAAAAUAGUAGAUAACCAUUGAAAGGUGGUAUGAUAUAAAGAUUAAAAUUACUAUUGCCAAAGUUAAGAAGACUAGAGACUCUUGAAAUAAGACCAAGAACAAGAAAGAUAUUGACAAGAGUUUAAAAGGCUUCACUCUUGCCUCUAUAUAUACUAUCUAAUUAAGAGCUAUUUGAUGACAUUAUAAAAGACCUUCAAUUUGUAUCUAACUUAAAAGACAUGUCUCUUACUUGUAAGAUAAGUUUUUUUAUAUGUGUUCUACAUGGCCAACUUGUACCAUAAUUCACUAAUAUGUGUAAUACAUGGCAUACUUGUUGGUCUAGUUUUUAACCUAUGAGUUACCUACAAACAUGCACAAAGUCAAAUCUACAUCCAUGAAGCAUCUAAAAAGCUUUUGCAUAAGAUAUUAUCAACUUUAUAUACAUUUAUUUACUUCUAUUUAAUUCCUCUUAUCUAGAUAUUAUAAGUAUUGGUUAUGUCUAUAAUAAACUAAUAGCAAAAGAGUUGUCUAAUUUUUUUAGUAAUAACUAAUGGUACAUCUUAUAUACAAGUAAUUUUAUGAUUGUUAUAUUUUAUUGGAAAGUCAUAUUUUACUUUAAAUUCACAUUAAUUAUAUUUAAUUUUCUAAAUUAUGUAAAUAUCUUUCAUAAAAAAGACUCUUUCAAUAAUUAAUUUUUUUCUUAAGUCAUCAUAAAUGUUAUUAUUAAUAUUCAAAAUAGAAAGGUAAGUUAAAUUAUCUAAUUGAAUUAUAUUUAAAAAAAUCUUCAUUGAUUUAAUAGCUUAAAAUUGAAUAUUUUUUAAAUUAAAAUAAAACUUAUUAUUUAUUGUUGGUGCCAUUCCUCUCUAAUAACAUGAAAUAAUAAUAUUUAGAAAAAAUAUUUAAUAAGUUUUUCUGUUUUAAAAAAUAUUAUAUAUUAAAUAAAAAUUAUAAUAAAUAUAUAUUAUAAUAAACUUGAUAAUAAAUUAAAACAUAUAUUAGUAUGUUAAAUUUAAGAUUCUUAUAAUGAAUUUAAAUUGUGAGUAGAUUAGAAAGUAUUGUGAGUCUAACUUUUGGCAUUAAUUGAUAAUAAAAUUUUAUCUAAUGUAAAACUUAAUGCAUUUAUUUCUAUUAAUAAAGCAUUAAAAAAAUUAAAUGAUAUAAUAUAGAUACUAAGAUAAAAAGUAUUUUUUAAAACCUUCAAAUGUUACUUCUGCAUCUUUAUUUCACUUUAAAGUUUUUUUCAUAUUAAAAUUUUAAAUACAAUAAUAAUUUUUAAAAUAUAAUCAUGAUAAAUAUUUAAUAAUAAUUUAAAAGUUUAAUGAUUUAUUCAACAUAAAUAUUAUUUUUAGAGUUUUAAAAUCUAUAAUGAUUUACAUAUUUUUAGAAUCCAUUUAUAAAUCGUUAUUUGAUAUAAUAUAUUAUAAAAUUCUAUUUAAGUUGCAUAUAAUAUAUAUAUAUAUAUAUAUAUAUAUAUAUAUAUAUAUAUAUAUUUAUUUAUUUUGUUACAUAAUUCUAUAUAUCAAAAUUUUAUACCAUAAGGCAAUUAUUCAUAUACUUCCACACUACUAGAAUAAAUAAUAAUAUUUUUUAAAAUAAUUUAUAGAAAUAAUUAUUCUUAAAAUCAUAAAGUAUAUCACUUAUUAAAUCUUAAAAAGAAGUUGGAGUAUUUAUAAGUCUAAAAGGCAUGACAUUGUAUUCAAAGUAGUCAAAUCUAACUCAAAAUCCAAUCUUCUAUUUAUUAUCUUCUAUUUUAUUAUAUAUUAGAAUUUAUACUAUUUAUAAAUCUAUUUAAAAAUAGAUCUUUGCUUCACUUACUUACUAAAAAAAAUCUAAGUAUUAAAAAUAAAAAAUAAAUUUUUUUAAUAAUUAAUUUACUAAAUGCAUGAUAAUCUAUAAAUAAUUACUUAGAAAUAUGUUUGGCACAAUUGCAUAGGUUUUUGAAAGUCAUAUAAAAUUCCUUAUAAGUUUUUUAUUGAUUUCAUUCACUAAAGUAGAAAUAUUUUUUUACAAUAAGUUAUAAGUUGAUCCAAAAAGUAGUUGAUUUUUUCUUGAAAGUCAAUUUUAUAAUAAUAAGAUUAAUAUUUAAAAAUAUAUUCAUAUUUUUUUAAAAAUACAUUUUGAUAUUCUUUACAUUGUUUUAAGAUUCUAUUACAAUCUUUAUUUAAAUAUAAAAUUUAUGUUACAUAAAUAAUAAAUAUAUUUCUUUCUUUUAAAUUUUUUAUAUAUUCUUUAAUUAUUAUAAAUAAGGUUUUGGCUUUUAAGACAUAAGAUACGAUUUAUUUAUUUAUUUAUUUUUAUUUUUUGGUGUGAUUUUUUUUUUCGUAUUUUUAAAUAAUUUUGAUAUUAUAAAAUUACAAAUUAUUUAAAUUUAGAAGUUUUUACAAAAAUAAUUCUAAAAUAUAUACUGAUAAGAGAUUCUAUUGUGUUAAAGAAUAUUAGACUUUGAGAAUCUUCUAUAAUAACUUAUGUUAGUAGGGUUUUAUAUAUAGCAUCUCUAAAAGAUAAAGAUCAUUAGUUUAUGACUUAUCUAUCAACUAAGUCAAAAAUUGGAGAUAUGAUUGUAGAAUAGAAUUUUUAUAUAAAAUUCUACAUACCUAAAUUAAAAUCCUUGAAUAAUAGCGUAUUAUUGCUAUUAGAAUCGAAGCUGCAGUAUUAGAUUAAAAAAAUCAUUUUGUAAAAAUCAUAAGUUGUAAUUACCAAAAAAACAAAAAACAGAAAAAAAAAAAAAAACAAAACAAAACAAAACAAAACAAAAUCACAAUAAAUUUGAAUCAAACAAAAAAAAUAGAGAUCAGUUGAUAAAUUUUCAUAUUAAAUCCAUGUAAAAAUUUAAAAAUUUCUAAAAAGUGUUUAGAUUAAAUAAAUGUAUAAGGACGUAUAUCAAAAUUUAACUAAUACAUUUUUAAAUUUUAAUAGUUUUAAACGUGAUUUUUUAGGUUUAAUAAGUAAUAGUACUUAUCAAUAUUGUAUGAUUCUAGAUUUAAGUUAUUUAAAUGAAAGAUAUGAAAUGAAAUACAAAUAAAAUAAAAUAAGAAAAAAGAUUUAAUUAUGGGUGGUGAGACUAUCUUAAAAAUGUUUAAAAAUUAAAAUUUAAAUAAUUGAAUGUAAGCCAUAGGUGUUUUAGUGAGAUGUAUAAAUAAAAAUAUUUUUAGAAAAUUGGUUCUAUUAUAAAAAAUUAUUUCAAAGAUCAGAUUUUUAUUGUAUUAAAAUUUUAAAUUUAUUAGAUUCUGAAUCAAUUUUUAUUUAAUCCAUAAAUUCUAAAUCAAUUUUUUACAAUAGCAAUCCAUAUGUUCCAACUAAAUAUCAAAUAAAGAUCUUUUAAUAAUCUAAAAAUAAAAGAUAAUAUCUUAAUUAGAACUAGUUUACUAACUUACAUAAAAAAUGAAGACCAAGUAAAAUAAAAAUUAAUUAAAAAGAAUUAACAUAUGGAUAAUUUUAAAAUUUAUAUAAAAAGAAAAAAAAUCUAUUUAUAAUAUCACUUAAUUUUUUAUAUGAUAUUUUUCCCUUCUUAAAAAUUUAAGCUUAUAGAAAAAAAACAAGUUAUUUCAAAUAUAUUUUUUACAAAAUCAACUAAAAAUCAAAACAACCUAUUCAAACAAAACCAAAAUUUUUAAGCAAAAAUACUAAAGAGGAAUAUAUAUAUAUAUAUAUAUAUAUAUAUAUAUUGAUGUAUAUAUAUUUUGAUGUAUAUAUAUUUUGAUGACAUAAAAAAUAAGUAACUUAGGUCUAUCAAAAAAAAUUAUCAUAAUUUAAAGAUUAGAUUUUUUCAUAAAAAAAUUAGGCGAUUGGGAUCUUUUUUUUUAAAUAAUUUGAUUAUGUGGUCAAUGAUUUGAACUUCACUAAGGUUUAUAAGUGGUAUGUUAAGUAUUCUAAAAAACUAUGAGAUCUUAUUUUCAUCUUUCUAUCUAUAUCUAAGGUAAUACAAUCUAUUUAAAAUAUAUGCACUUAAUAUAAAUAAAUUAAAAACUAUAUCUUUUUCAUAAAUUUUAAAAAUACAUAAUAUUUUUUUAUACUUUUUAAAUAUUUUUUCCUAUUAAUUGAUAUUUUAUAUAUAUUUAUAUAAAAUAGAUAUUAAUCUUUAGAAAUUAGGAUAAUUUAUUAAAAAAAAUAUAAAAGAAAUGACCAUACAGAUAUUAAUAUUAGAUUUAAAAAAAAAAUAAUUAUAAAACCUUCUAAAACGUAAUUAGUACCCAAAAAAUCAAAUAAAUAUAAUAACCUAAUAUUUUAAAAUUAUUUUUAUAUGAAAAAAAUCAAAAUAUUAUUUUAAUAAAUUAUUAGAGAUAAUUUUUUUAAUAAAUUAUUAGAGAUAAGAACUUAAAGAAGAUGCAUAAAAAAAAUUUAUUUUAAAAAUAAAUAAGUAAUAGAAAUUAAAAAGUAUGUAUAUUAAAAAAGAAGCUAGAAAGGCUAUUGCCAAAGUCUAGAAAACUAGAGAUUUUUGAAACUAUACUUCUUAUAAGAAAAGAUUUGACAAUUGAAAAUAAGGCCCCAGUCUUGUUGCUAUAUAUACUAUCUAACUAGAAGCUAAAUGACAAUUUUUGAUAGGACCUUUGACUUAUAUCCAACUUAUAAGACACAUAUUUAAAUUUCAAGACAAGUUUCUUAUAUGUGCACCAUAUAGCUAGUACCACAAGUAGCCAGUAUGUACAAUAUGUGGCCAACUUAUUGGCUAAAUUUUUAACUUGUCAAUCAUCUUUUAAAUAUUUAUAAAGUCAAAUUUGCAUCUAUUAAGCUUUUGAAAAGCUUUUCUAUAAGAUAUUAUCAAAUUUAUCUAUUUUUACUUAUUUUUACAUAAUUAUUUUUAUAUAGAUUGUUUCUAAUAUUAAUUAUAUUUGUAAUAUAAUGUAGUAGUAAAAAGCCACAUAGAACAUUUUGAAUGGAAAAUAAUGUGGAUCAAGAUCACCUAGUCAAAGAAAAAAAUUAGUACAAAGAGCAAUUAGGAAAAAUAGUGAGUCAAACUAAGGCACAAUAUGAGGAUGCAAAGAUAGUUGAUACAAGUAGGAUAUUCUUCUAUGACUUUGCAUUAAGAUUUAAGAGAGAAAAUAUAGACAAGAUAGGAUAUUAGUAAAAAGGGUAGUGUAAUAAUGUCCUAGAGGCAUUGGUUGCAUUAUGGCAGUAAUCUCAUACAUUUUGAACUAUAAGAAGUCUGGGAAUUGAUGGUCAUAUUAGCCAUAAUGAAAUUAAGAAAAAAUUCAUAUCUUCAAAUUUUACUAUCUUACAUAUUGGAUGCAACCAAAGCUCCAUUGAAUAUUAGCAUACAUAGCUUCUUCUACAGAUUCUAAUAGGCCUUCCUAUUAUUUGGGAUAAAAAACCACUUUAUAUAAUAGACAUUCUAAAGGAAUAUUAAUUUCUUCUUCUAUUGGCAAAAAAAUGGAAAAGCUGGUCAAUAAGUUCAUAGUCAAGAUAGAAAAAUAACUCUACUUCAUUAAUUAAAAUUAAAGACAAGUUACGGAUUCUAAUAUUAAAUCUAGCAUUUUUUGAAUAAGAUACAAAAAAUUGAAAUACAUCAAAUGCAUGGUAUUUUGAACUUUAGGAAAUAAUAUCAUGUUUAUAUUACAAAAAAUAUAACCAUACAUACAAAGAAUAUUGGUUCCAAAAAAAAAAAAAAAAAAAAAAAAAAAACUAAAAAAUCAUCACAAUAUAUUUUUUCACAUAAUAUAAAACAUCUAUUACAACUAAUUGCUUAUUCACUAUAAAUAAUAUUUAUAAGAUUUAAUUCUUAAAUGCUAUAAUCAAGAUGUAAUAGCCCUCUAUAUUAGGUGCCACAAUUAUAGAGAGAACCCAUAAAUUAUCUAAUACUUAAAAAUAUCUACCAAAUACAUAUUUUGUAGUAGGCUGCAUAAUGCAUAGGCUUAUUCCAACUUCAGAUUCCUUAUCCAAUCCAUGCAACUAAAAACAUCAAAUUUUCAAAUGCGCAUGUAUAAUGAAGCUGAUUUUUAUCACAAAGCCAAGACUAACAAAUUUAGACCUUGAUACAUUGCUAUAAAAAUGACUUCAAACACUCAAUUCCUCAUCUUACUUGGAAUGAGUACAAUCAUCCAUAUGUAAGCCAUUGUCUAUUACAAAGUCAAAUAAAAAAAUUAAGACAAAUUUCUUAGAAUUAUUGAUUUUAGAUUUGAUCAAUCAAAGUUGCAAAAAACUAAGAGGAACUUAACCAAGAAGAAAUUGGCUUCUAUUUUGAAUAUUGAUAUUUAUGUAGCCAAGUGUAAUAAUCCACUUAUCUUUGUAACCAUAGAUAGAUUGUUGAUCAAACAUUGUAGAAUUAAUUUUUGCUCUUUAGUCAAUAUCAUAUCUAAAGCUAUCAUAGAAGCAUUAGGAGUAACAAGGAUCAAUCUAACCUUGUAAGUUCUACCAAUAGGCCUUGAUUGAUAAAAAAAUUAAAAAUAUAAUUUUAAUUUAUUUAAGAUUAAAGAAUUUUUUUUAUAUAAAUAUUCAUUAGAAUUUUAAAAAAUUUAUAAGAUAUAAAAAUUUCAUUAGAAUUUUUUAUAAAAAUAGAAUCUUAGUAAGUUUUAGAUGUAUUUAUCUUAGUUGAUUUAGUAUUUUUAUUUAUUAUUGAAUAUUAAUAGUAAUUUAUUAAAAAAAAUGUCUACAUUGGCCUUUUAUUUAAAUAUAUAUAUAUAUAUAUAUAUAUAUAUAUAUAUAUAUUAUUUAUAAAGAUACCUAUAAAUUUUAGUUAGUAAGAAAAAAAAACAUAAAAAAGAACCUCACAUCUUUCUAAUUAUUUAUAUAAAAAAUAUAAUUUUUAAUUCAUUUAUAUUGCUGGUAUUUUUAUAAAAAAUAUCAAAGAAAAAAAAAUUAUUAGAAUUAUAAAAAUAUUAUAGGAAUUUUUAGAAUUCAUUUAGAAUUUAUUUAGAAGUUUUUAAGAAGUUUUAGAGAAACAUUUUAAGAUUCUAAAAAAAUUAAAUUUUACCACCUUGGAAGCUAUUAUGAAGAAAUGGAGCAAGAUUUGAAGGCCAUGCAAGGUUUUUGAACUAAUUGGAUAUUUUUAAAUACCAUGGUAUUGUCAAAAACAUAAAAAAAGUAGUCCUACUAUUUAGAGAUAGAAGGACCAACAACUAAUGUAGUCUUUGUAGGAAGGGAUGUAUACAAGUCCCAUAUGGAUUGUAGCACCUUGGAUGUAGUUAAGAAGAUAAGACUAAGGCCUUGUAGCCUCUUUAGAACAUCCAUAUACACAAUAUGUAAGCCUUGUUGUGGCUUGAAUCAUUGAUCUAUAAAAAAAAUAUUUUUGAAGUAAAAUAUAUGUAUUUAUUUUUUAAAUUAUUUAUUUAUUAUAUUUAAACCUUUAUAAAUUAAAUAUAGUAAGUUAGAUUUAUAUAUUUUUACAUCAUUAGAAUAAUAAAGAAAUAAAUUUAAAUUUUAAAAAAAUGUAUAUAUAUUAUUAAAUAAAAAUCUAAUGAAUAGAUGGUGAUUUAGUUUUAGGGUGUGUAAUUACUUGAAUACAAUCCUUUGAUUUUAUUUAUUUAUUCUUCUUUUUUUUUCUUAUUAUUUUCUUAUCUAACUUUAUACCACCAAUCAUAAAAAAUUCUAAAUUAAAAAUAUCUUGUAAUUUGAAUUGAGAUGCAAAAUUCAUCUUCAUAAAUUUUUAUUAUUCUACAAAUUAAAAAUAAAAUAAAAUAAAAUAAAAAUAUAGGUGAGCUAAAACAAAUCUUAGCUAUGAUAGAAGAAACCAUAAUUUCUAUUGACUUCACUAUAAUAGACGUAACUAUCUCUUCUUAGUUUUUUCUUCUAUUUAAAGUACCUUGGUUGGAAGCAGCUGAUGUCACCAAUUCUUAAAAGAAGGAAAUAUUGACAUUGAGAAUGAUGUCUUAUAUACAACAAUUUUUUUGAGAUCAAUAAGCUUUGCACUUAAAUUUUAAUUCCUGAUACAAUAAUUUUGAUGAUGAAUUCUAUAGCUAUGUAGUAAAUUGCUUCAACACUAUCGAAGAAUAUCAAGGAAUUUUAACCUUGUUUAUACCAUGGCCAACUCCGUCCUUGAACAUUGUCUAAUGGACCAUUCUAUUAGACAUAUAUUAGAAAUAAAUGUACAUCCUCCAACCAUGAAUAUUAUAAUGCAUAGACCAUUAACAAUUGAUAUAGAUAUCAAUAGUUGAAUUAUAAAGAUAGUGUCAAGGACAAGAACUCGAUGAAAGCUAAAGAGUAAGUGAGACUUUUCUCAAAAAGAAAUAGGACAAAAUAGAAAUAUGUAUAUUAAGAAAGAAACUGGAAUGGCUAUUGCCAAAAUACAAGAAAACUAGAGACCCUUGAAACUAGACUAGAAGCAAGAAAGGAGUUGACAAGAGUGAAGAGGGCUUCACUCUUGCCUCUAUAUAUACUAUUUAACUAGAAGCCACGUGGCGAUGUUCUAUAAGACCUCCAAUAUAUGUUGACUUUCUAGGCCACAUGCCUUUGCUUGCAAGGCAAGUUUUCUAUGGAUGGACCACGUAGUUAGCUUGUUCUUUAAGCUUCCAACAUGUGUGGCACAUGACUAACUUGUUGACCAAGUUUCUAACCUAAAAGUCAACUAUAGACUCCUAUAAAGUCAAAGCAGCAUCUAUGAAGCUUCUAAGAAGCUUCUCUAGAAGAUAUUACACAAUUAACCUACUUUUACAUACUUUUAUCUAUUCAUAUAGGUAAUUAUAUGUAUGUCCGUGACAUUACCCCCCCUUCUAGGGACGAGUUCCACGAUGAGCGGUGAUUAUAUAUUGAGAAAAUCUAAUAUGUGGCGAAUUGUAUUUGCUACAUACUCUGAUCUUUGUUCUCUUCGAAGAUAGUUGAUGGGUCCUCUUAGCCAUCGAUAGUGUCCCAUUCCAGGGCGAGAAGACCACCCUGUUAUUUGAUCACUGUUGAGGCCUUCAUAACUUCCUUCAAAUAAUACAUUUGAAACACCAUCAGGAGUCGUUCCUAUCUCCAAUAAUAUCACCAAACAUCGAGAAUCUCUUCCAAGGUCGUGAUACCAAACGCGUUGUAUCUCACCAUCUAUUCGAGGAAGAACAUGUCGUUCUUGAGGGUCUUCAUCUCGGUUGCGUCGUCUUGAAGGUUGUGACAAUCGCAAUGUCUCAUCCGGUAAGUCAGCAAACGAAGGUUCUUGAGUUGAAUCCGCUGGUUGUUGGCUCUCCAUCUAAUUAGCGUCACAAAAUGCAAAGAAGUUACAAACAAGGAUAGGAAAUUGAAUGUUAUCUUGCCUCAAUCUUGUCUCUUUUAUAAGAGAGGUUUUCAUCUUGGUUUUGAUGGAUGUCGUUGAUGAAAAACUUUGACUUUAGUUGAUGCAUUUGCUAGAUUCCUGGAUGGCUCCCAUGUGCGCUCACUAAUAUCAUAUCCGCACCAAUGAACAAGAUAUUCCAGCUUAUUUCGGCGCCGCCUUGAGUCUAAUAUCUCUUCCACUUCAAAUUCUUCAUUAUUAUCUACUUCUAUAGGAGGCGGUGGUAUUUGUCUUCUUCCUUGUAUAUCCACUGUCUUAUAUGGUUCAAGAAGAGACACGUGGAAUACAGGAUGGAUCUUCAUUGACUCCGGUAGAUGUAACCGAUAUGCAACUGGGUUGAUCUGUUCAGAAACAGAAAAGGGGCCAAGCCUACGAUAGUCCAAUUUGUCACAAGGUCGAGUGGUCUUGAUAUUGCGACGAAGUAGCCAUACCUUAUCACCCACGUUGAGUUGUGGUUGCUCUUUACGAUAUACAUCUGCAUUUAUCUUUUGUCGUUCUUGAGCUUUCUUCAACUGCGCCUUCAUUAUUGCAUGUAACUCUGACAACCGAUUUGCCAUAUCUUCUGCUGCAAGAUUAUCAACUUUUGAAAAAUCAAAAGUAUCAAGUCGUAGAUGAUAGCCAUAAUUGGCAAAGAAAGGUGUUUGUUGCGUGGAAGAAUGUACCGUAUUAUUAUAAGCAAACUCUGCCAAUGGCAGAAGGUUUGUCCAAUCAUCUUGUUGGUAGUUGAUGGUACACCUUAAAUACUGUUCCAAGACUUGGUUUACGCGCUCUGUUUGUCCAUCAGUUUGAGGAUGGAAAGCUGAAGAUAGCUUUAUGUCCACUUUUAAAAUCUUGAAAAGAGUCCUCCAGAAUCUCGACACAAAUUGAGUUCCCCUAUCCGAUAUGAUAUCUUUAGGUAAUCCAUGAUAGCGAUAGAUAUUAUCAAUGAAAAGCUUAGCUGUUUCUUCACCUGUGAUAGAUUUUGUAUAUGGCACAAAAUGUGCCAUCUUGGUGAAACGAUCUACUAUCACAAAUACAGAAUCAUAAGAUCUUGAGCUUGGAAGAUCUGUGAUGAAAUCCAUAGAAACAGAAGACCAUGAUUGUUCUGGUAUAGGUAAUGGCUGAAGAAGUCCAUAAGGUCGAUGAUGAGGAAUUUUUGAUCUUGAACAAAUAUCACAUGAUUGUACAAAGUCUUUGACUGACUUCCACAUUUGUGGCCACCAAAAAUCUCUUGAUAUGAGUUCCAAAGUCUUAUUAUAUCCAAAGUGCCCUGCUGCUGGAAAGUCAUGACGUGCUUGAAGAACACGCAAACGUACUUUUCCUUCUGGAACAUAUAGGCGUCCUUCAAAAUAUAAUAGAUUAUUCUUGAACUCGAACUUAGAAGAAUCAUGAGACUUGGAAGAAUUAUUCUCGAUAUCAUGAACAAGAGGGUCUGAGGACAUACUGGACUGGAUUUGCUUGAGAAAAGUUGAAUCAACAGUCAAUGUUGAUUUCACUGCUCGGAGAUGAAAUUGCUCCGGUUUCAAGAGGACCGUUCUUUGUUGCUCAAAAGCUGCAUCUCCUUCUUUUGGUGCAAAAUAAGAACGUCUAGACAGGGCAUCGGACAAACCUUGUUGUUUUCCUGGCCGAUAAGUGAUAAUGAAGUCGAAUCUUGACAAAGACAUACUCCAACGAGCUUGACGACGAUUCAACAUGCGUGCUGACAUGAAAUACUCGAGGUUCUUGUGAUCUGUAUACACAGUGACUGGACUAGAAGCGCCUUCUAGAUAAUGACGCCAUUCUUGAAAAGAAUCCACGAUUGCAAGUUCUUUAUCGUGGAUCUCAUAAUUGAUCUCGGCUGCUGAGAAUUUUCUUGAAUGAAAAGCUAUCGGAUGAAGUUUGUCAUCUGUUCCCAUUUGUGAUAAAACUGCACCCAAGGCAAAAUCCGAUGCGUCUGUUUCCAUAAAAAAUACCUUGGAAAAGUCAACACGAUAUAAGACUGGUGCAGAGACAAACGAUGUCUUCAAGGCUUCAAAUGCUGCUUCCGCUUCUUGAUUCCAUUGGAAUUUAUCUUUACUAGUCAAGCGUGUAAGUGGAGCUGCAACUCGUGAGAAGUCUUUGAUGAAGAUCCGAUAGUAAUUGGCAAAUCCCAAGAAACAUUGGACAUCUCUUACAGUCUUUGGAAUCUUCCAAUCCAUGAUUGUUUGGACUUUCUUAGAAUCCAUCAUAAGACCAUCAUUUGAAAUGAUGUAUCCUAAAAAGUCAACUUGAGUAGUGUGAAAUACACACUUUUCCAUCUUGGCGUACAAUCCUGCAUCUCUGAGUUUUUGUAAUACUUGACGAACAUGUAUUUCAUGUUCUUCAACAUUCUUAGAAUAAAUCAGGAUAUCGUCUAGGUAGCAGACGACAAAAUUGUCUAAGAAUUCACGAAAUACAUCAUUCAUGAGAUGUUGAAAAGCAGUUGGUGCAUUCGUGAGUCCAAAAGGCAUGACAUUAUAUUCAAAAUGCCCGUACCUGGUUCGAAACGCAGUCUUCCAUUCAUCUCCUUCUUUGAUCCGUACUAGAUUAUAUGCUCCUCUUAGAUCUAUUUUUGUAUAGAUCUUAGCUUGAUUUAACUGGUCAAGGAGUCCUGAUAUCAAAGGUAAUGGAUACCUGUUCUUGAUUGUGAUCUUGUUGAGUCCUCGAUAGUCAACACACAUUCGUAAAGAUCCAUCUUUUUUCUUUACGAAUUAAAUUGGAGCUCCUGCUGGAGAUUUUGAAUGGCGUAUGAAAUUCUUCGCUAAAUUCUCGUCAAUAUAUGUCUUGAGUUCAGCCAACUCAUCUUGCGAUAAACUGUAAAUUGGUCCAAAUGGUGGCUGAGUUCCUUCCUUGAGAUCGAUUGAACAAUCGUAUGGGCGAUGCUCAGGAAGAAUAUCUGCAUUCUUUUUCUCAAAAACGUCUUGAUAAUCCUGAUAUUGACUUGGAAUGCCACUUGAAGUCUUUACGCUUUCAGAAAUAGGUGCAGCAUAAAUAGCAAAAGUUGAUCCUUCUUUUGCUGCGUGUAUAAAUGCUUUUGCACCUAUAGGUGCGAGUUUUACUAUACUAGAGUCAUGGUUUUUUACUUGGUUAAUAGAACUGUUACUAAUGCUUCGAGGAAAAUCAAGUUUACGAGAAAUCCAAUCUAUUUGAGGAUUAUACUUUUCUAACCAUGAUAAGCCUAAAAUUACUGGAUUAGAGGGAGAUCUAAUUAUAUUAAAAAUUACGCAACUACUAUGACCAUUUAUUACUACAUCUACAGGAAGUGUUUCGUGAGUUACAUCUCCAGAAGACAACGGACGACCAUCUAUGACUUCUACGUGUACAGGUUUAGUUUUUUGUAUUAAUGAUAUUCUAUGACAUCUAGCAAAUUCUUCAUCUAAAAAACAAGAUGAGGCUCCUGAAUCUACCAAGGCAGAGGCUUUGUAAUUAUUAGGUCCUAAACGCACAUCUAUUAUAAAACAAGGAGAUGGUUCUGAGGAGAGGAUAGGACCUUUAUUAGAAGUUGUACAAGAUUCCAGCCGCACGGUCCCUAUUGUAGCUGGACGUACUCGUUUUCCGACAUACUGUCUUCUUUGACAGUCGUACUCCUCAUUUUGUAGUUACGUCGCUUCUUUGGACAAUGUUGAGCAGUGUGCUUAGGUUCUCCACAAUAUAAGCACAAUCCUUCUUGUCGACGACGAGACUUUUCUUGCUCAGUAAGAGGUUUGAAACGUACCGCAUCAAUUUGCAUAUCCUCUACUUCUGAAGGUAUGUGUUGAGGAGACGUCGGUGUUGCCAUUGAAUUGUAGUAACGUUGAGGCCCACUUGUGCGACUCUCGGAUCGAAAUUCAAAAAGUCGAUUGUCGCACUUCACAGCAAAGUCAAUUGCUUGACUCAAUGUUUGAGGAUCAGGUAAAUUAAGCAUCAAUUUCUUUACCUCAUAUUGUAAUCCGUAGAGAAAUUGACUCACAAGUGCGGCAUCAUCCCACUUGAUAUCAGUUGCAAGUUGUCGAAAUUGCGAAGCAUAUAAUGUUACUGAUCGAUUGCCUUGUCGCAAAAUACGGAUCUUGUUGGUUGCAACACGAAUUGCAUCAUGUUCUCCAAAUAUGGAUCGAAACUCCGCCAAAAAAGCCUCCAGAUUAUCCAAUAUUGGAUCUCGUCGUUCAAGAAAAGAUGAAAACCAUGACAAUGCUGAACCUGAAAGAAGUGUACCAAUGAAUCUUACUUGUGACCCUCGAGUUGGAUAGCUCUGGGGUUGAAGUUCAAUCACUAGUUGGACCUGAUUGAUGAAUCCUCGAAACUUGGAUCUGGUACCAUCAAACUUCUCAGGCAAGGCAACUCUCGGUUCUCUAACACUCGAAGGGUGUUCCAUUCUGGGAGAAGGGACAUGGUUUGGUGCAGAUGUUGAAGCAGCCCCAAUCAUCUCUAUAUCUUUACUUUCUACCAUUCUUGUUGCUCCUUGUGGUGGUAAAUUGAGUUGAUGCAUCGCAAGCAUUAACUCCCUCAAUUGUUCUUGCAUCUGUGCCAUUGCACUCUUCAUUUCAACAAGCUCUGCCAUAGUAGCACUUAGAAAAGAGAAGAUGUCUAAUAACGCUCAAAACAAAUAGAAGAGAGGAAUUGAUAACAAAGAAAAUACUAAGAACAAUAUCAGUUUAAAAGAGGGUAAUCCGCAACUUCUAAUGCGCUUAUGUCUUAUCAAGAAAAAGGGGUAAUCCACUCUCAAUCAAGAAAAGACAAAGCUCUGAUAUUGUAAGUGUACUCUUGUCAAUCUGUCAAGGACAAGAACUCGAUGAAAGCUAAAGAGUAAGUGAGACUUUUCUCAAAAAGAAAUAGGACAAAAUAGAAAUAUGUAUAUUAAGAAAGAAACUGGAAUGGCUAUUGCCAAAAUACAAGAAAACUAGAGACCCUUGAAACUAGACUAGAAGCAAGAAAGGAGUUGACAAGAGUGAAGAGGGCUUCACUCUUGCCUCUAUAUAUACUAUCUAACUAGAAGCCACGUGGCGAUGUUCUAUAAGACCUCCAAUAUAUGUUGACUUUCUAGGCCACAUGCCUUUGCUUGCAAGGCAAGUUUUCUAUGGAUGGACCACGUAGUUAGCUUGUUCUUUAAGCUUCCAACAUGCGUGGCACAUGGCUAACUUGUUGACCAAGUUUCUAACCUAAAAGUCAACUAUAGACUCCUAUAAAGUCAAAGCAGCGUCUAUGAAGCUUCUAAGAAGCUUCUCUAGAAGAUAUUACACAAUUAACCUACUUUUACAUACUUUUAUCUAUUCAUAUAGGUAAUUAUAUGUAUGUCCGUGACAGAUAGUGCACAUGAGUAGCAAAAUUGGGUGCUAAAGCAAAGUGAAUAGAUAUUAAGAUGAUACUCACAACAAAAGUACAUGAGUCACAAUGCAAGAAAGAGAGAGAUAAUUUCUUAUUAAAUAUAGUAUGAACAUGAAUUGUGAGGCAAGACUUGGAUUGAAGUAGUUAUUGCUAAGAAAAGUAUAAUAGAAGGAUAGGAGCUCUUUUACAAGCAAUAAUGUAUAUGUUCAACUAAAGAUAACUUUGUUGGUCACACAACCAAAGACAAACUUGUUUUCUAACAUGGAAUUAAUAAGAAGGAUUAAUUUAUGUAUUAAGUAGAAGCCUAGAAUCUAAAGUAUAUCCUAAUAGCUCAGUAAUAUGUAUCAAAAGUAAUAUAAAAUUUUAAUUUUAAUUCUUGAUAUUAAAUCAUGUUUAAGUAUGAAUGCUACAUGUUAUCUUGUUUUAAUUUGCUAUUGCUUAUAAUCUAUUUCCUCAACAUUGAUGAUCCACCAAUACAAAAGAGAUAUAUGAAUUCAAGGGUCUUCAAUAAAUUAUGAAUUAACAAUAAAAAAAAGAAAAAUGUGAAGAUAAGAAAUUAAUUCUAUUUAUAAAGAGUAGUAAAGAAUCUUUUAGGAAUUGAUUUCUACUCAGCCAUUUCUUUUGAUCUUUUUAAGAAAUACAAAAAUCCACCAAUUUAAAUGCAUUAGUGGAAUUUUUAACCUAUCAAAAGAAAAAAAUAGACAUAAAAAUUCUUAGAUCUUUCUAUUAGUUCUUAUUUAAAUAGUUGGUUUGUUAUGACAAAAAAUUAAGAAUACUAAAACUUAUUUAAGAAAUAUAAUCAAAGCAUCUAAUAACUAGAAGGAAUAUUAAAGCUAAGAAAAUUAUAGAUGAAGUUAAAAUGGCAUUUAUAAGCCAAAUAAUCUAUUCUAUUGAUUAUCUAUAUUUUAUUUUACAUCAAUUUUAAUUGGUUCAAGAAAGUAAGGAUUUGGCUAUUAUAAAGUCUUUCUUAGGUUUUGUAUAUGUAUAUAUACUACCAUAAGAUGUAAUUAAUUUAGUAUUUCAUAUGAAAAAUAUUAUAAAUAAAUCUUAAGAAAUUUUUGCUUAAAAUGACCAUAUCUUUUCAAAAUCAUAUUUUUAAUAAAUAUUUUAGGAAAGAAGAUAAAAUCAUCAGUUUAGAUAAACACUAAUGCAAUUUUUUUGUAAAAAAUAACUUUAAAGAUAUUACUUAUAUUUUUUAGAUUUUUUUUUAAAUAUUAUAUUUUAUAAAUCGUAUAAUUUAGAUACAAAAAAUAUUAAUAGUAAUAUAUAUAUAUAUAUAUAUAUAUAUAUAAGCUAUCGAAGGAAAUCAAAUUUUAAAAAAUCAAUUACAUUUCAAAAAUAAAAGUUUAUUCAAUAGUAAUUUAGAUAAGGAGAUUUUUUGGAGCUUGUAUUUUUUAUCAUAUAAAAAAUCCACAUAUUGCUCAUAUUUUUAAAAUAUUAUGCAGAUUUGUAUAGGGGCUAUAGAGGAUUUAUAAGAAAUUUUAAAAUCUCUUUUAAAAAAUUAAUGUAUUAAUUAUUGAUAUAAAAGCAGUAAUUACAAUGGUUGAUAAAAGACUAAUAGCAAUUGGAUGGGCUGUUGGACAAGGUGAUGGAGUGCAUUUAUAUCCUUGAAAUGUAAUAGAAACUAAAUGAUUAGUUUCAUUAUUCAAUAAUUGAUAUUAGAAUAAAUAAUUAAUAUUUUUUAAAAUUACAUUUAAUUUUUUAAUACCAAAUAUUUUUAUAUUAAGAUGAAUUGCUUGAAUAAAUAUUUUAAUCUUUGAUUUGUCUUAUAUAAUCUAAAAAUAAAAAUUUAGAAAAAAUAUAUUAUCAAAAGCCAUUUUUUAAAAAUAAUUAAAAUACUAGUACUUGAAGAUAAAAAAAAAUCAAGAAAAUAUGAUUUAAGAUUAUUUUUUUGUUAUAGGUGGAAAAAAAUUGGUAAUAAAAUUAUCAAUUCUAAACUAUAUAUAUAUAAAGGUAAAUUAAAGAAAAUAAGAUUAUAAUUAAAUAAUAAAAAAAUUAAAAAGAUUGAUUUAAUAAGACUUUUAAAGAUAUUAAAUAUUAAUUCUAUUGAUAUUUUCUACAAAAUAAACUUUUUAAAGAGAGUCCAAAUUGAAAAUAUAGAAUUUUAAUAAAAGUGGUUGGAGAUUAAAAUACUAUUGUUUAAGUUUUAAAAGAUUUUAAUGAUACAUUAUAGACAAAGCAUAGAGACAUUUUUGCAUUGUAAAAAAAGAUUAAAGAAUAUCAUUAAUAGAAGAGUUUAUAUAGAAAUUCAUAAGAAUUUAUAAAUUAUUGCAUUGAGUACUAAUUACAAUUAAAAGAAAGAUAUCAAAUGAAUUAUGACUUUUUUAUCUACUAGUUGUACAGUUUUAAUAAACUAUAGAUUUAAUUUCUAUGCCAAUUAUAAUUUGGAAGAUAAAGUAUUUACCAUUGGCUGGAGAACCUUUAAAUUAUGUAGAAAUAAAGACACUAAAAUUUAAAGUAACAAACAUAUUUUUAUAUGCUUAUCUUUAUUGUUAAAAUAAGGAUAAACAUAUAAAAAUAUUGUUAAAAUAAGGAUAAACAUAGAUAAAUUGGAUAAUUUAAAAACUUCUAAAUUAUUAGUUAAGUAUAGAAUUUGAUUAAAGUUUAUUAUCUUGUAGAAUGUAGAACAAAAAAAUAUAUAUAUUUACUAAUUAUUCAUAUAUCACUUAAAGAAUAUAGAAAAAAUUCUAAAGAUUGGCCUAGUUUUCUUCUUUUUUAAUUUUGGAUUUAUAGCAUAAUACAAAACUUAGUUAAAAAAUGUAUGCCAAAAGAACUACUAUUUAGAUAGUUUCUAUUAAUACUUAAAUAUAAAUUUUUUCUUAUUUGAAUAUUUUUAUGCAUAGAUGAAUAUAUUAAGGAAAAAAUAUUGUGAGAACUUCAAAUUACACAAUUAGACAAGCUAUAAGAAGAAAUUUAUGUUGUUUUUAAAUAAAUAAAAAAAAAUUGUCACAAAAAAAAUCAUGGUUUGACAAAAAUUAUUAAUAUAUGAUAAUAGAUAAAAGUAUUAAUAUAAUGCCAAAAAAGCAUUUUCAAAAAGAUAUUUUGGACUACAAUGACUUAAAAUUUUAUCUCAAUGUAUUUAAAUUAGAAUUAUUUAAUUUUUUAAGAAAUAAUAUAAUAUAUAGGUACUUAAUCUAAUAAGUAAAGUUGUUUGUAAAUAAUUCAAGAGCCUUUAAAGUAGAAUAUUUUUAUGAAAUAGUUUUAUAAGUAAAAAAUAUUCUAUUUAUGCAUGAAUUUUUUAUUGAAAUAAUUUUUUUAUUCUUUAUUUUUUUGUUCAUUGCUAAUAUCAUUUUAGCCUUCAUUACUAUUCAUUUUUGCAUCACCUCAUUCAUUUAUGCAAUUCUUUUAUUUCUUUAGUUUUAUAGAAAUUUUUGCAUUCUUUUGCCAACAUACAUAUGCCGAAUUAUUGGUCUAACAAUUGUGCCAUGCUCACUUGGACUAUAUCAUUGUCACCAUGUUAGUUGUUGCAUAAGACAAAAAUAUGCAGCUUUAGAAUUAUUAGAGCAAGGACUAUCACUUCGUAAGGUAUUAGCUCAACUUUUUAUUAAUUCUACAAUGGUUGGUUACAUUUGCAAAAGACAUACCUUAAGCUAUUUUAUUACCAAGGCAAGCCAAUUACAAAUCUAUUUGGCAUUAGAAAAUAUAAAUUCUUAUGUAAUAUCACAACAAGCAUGAUAUAUAUUGCAAUUAAAGCUUUUGGAAGAAUUUCUUAUAAUGCCAAUCUAAUAAUGCAUAUUAAUAUAAUUUUUGUUUUAUUCAAAAUAGAUAAAUUGCAAACAACUCCAAAAAUCAAGAAGUUUUUGCUAUCACAUUAUCACCAUUAAUCUUAUUUAUAUUUUUGCAAUUUUCAAGAGCAAAAGAUUAUUAAAGACUAACAAAAAGUUAUGUGGUCCAACAAGACCAAGAUAAAUUAUUCAAGGUUAAAUAGGCAGAUUUGGUAUUAAAAGCAAAAAAGAGAAGCAUUGUUUAAUUCUACUAAUUUGGCAAGUGGCAAGUCUAGUGGUAGUUGGUUUAAAGUCUAGAAUUAUAUGAUUGCUUAAAGUAUAGAUUAACUUAUUAAAAUUGAAAGAAAAAUGGAUGCAAAUUUAUAAUGUAGGAUUUUAUACAAAGAGCUCAUAGAGACACUAGGUUAUUAUAAUUUGAAUGUUGAUGUUAUAAUUUUUUAAUAAGAUAAUAAUCCGAAGCAAACUUUCUAAAAAAAAAUAUAGUACUUUGAGUAACUUUGCUUACAAGUUCUACAAUGGCAAGGACAAUCUUUAGACUUUAAUCCAAUAGGACACUUAUAGAAGCAUCUCAAAUGUUGUUUGAAUGUUCAACUACGGCAACCAUCUAAAAAGUUAUUGUUGUAGAAGAAAGUAGAAGAGGAGUAGAAAAAAAAUUGUUUAGAAAGUAACUUUGAACCUUGUAAAUAACAUGCUUUGUUGUAUAGAGGCAAUUAUAAAGGCAACGAGAGAGUCAAAAAAGUAUUGAUUUAUAUAUAUAUGUGGUUUUAUUAUUCUUUGGAAACACAUCCAAUUACUAUCAUUCUAACACUAGACAUAAAAAAUAAUAGUAUUUGGUUCAUUAUUUAAGCAAUAUGUCAAUUAAGGUUAUGAUGAGGUUACAAGAGGAUAAGAUGUGAGAUAAAAGUAAACAUUAAGAUAAUUUUUUGAAUCAAUGUAUGUAUAAUAGAAAGUAUAUAUAAAAAUAGAUUUUAAUUAUUUAUUUAAAAAUAAAUAAAUAAAUAAAUAAAAUUAAGAAAUUAUUUUACUUUUAAUAUUCAAAUUUAAGAGAAUUAAGAUUAUGGCUGUUAUGGACACAGAAAUAUACGCUCAAGAUCUAACAAGAAGUUCAAGAAGAACUGGCAAGAACUAGAUUAACCAGACGAAUACAAGAAAAACACCAGAGAGGUGAGCUAGAGCUCCAAGAGAUGUGUUGUCGAGAAUGAAGAACUCUUCAGCCUCGAUUCCAAUAUAUACUCCUAUUUAGGAAGCUUCUCAAGCAACUUCUACCAACUAAAAAGCUUCUAGAAGAUUCUCGAGACUUGCUUCUAGAAGGUUCUAGAAACUUGUCUCUAGAAGGUUCUAAGGACUAUGUUCCUAACAUCACCCCCUCCUUUAGCUUCGAGGUCUUUGAGAAGCAAUAUUGUUGUUAAUCAGUACCAACGCAAGAAAAUGAAGAUCUGUCGCAUAACGUCUGCUAUGAACUCCAAUUGUUGUUCACGAGGCAAGUGGUUCAUCGGCCCUUGAAGCCAACGAUAGUGGCCUACUCCUUCAACUUAUGAUCAAGCAUGAACUUCCGUGUUCUCAUUGUGAAAUUGUCCUGCAAACAUGCCUUUUGCGACGUAUUGGCGAGAUUUUCAGCUGGCUCCCACGUUUGCUCAUUAAUGUCGUAGCCGCUCCAAUGAACAAGAUACUCCAACUUGCCCCGCCUUCGCCGUGAAUCCAGUACCUUUUCAACUUCAUAUUCCUCGUGCAUCUCGAUCUCAAUACUAGGUGGCGGACAUUGCACUCUUCCAAGAAAAGACGACUCUUGAUAAGGCUCCAACAAAGAAACAUGAAAGACUGGAUGUACCUUCAUAGAAGCCGGUAAUUCUAGACGGUACGCCACUAGAUUGAUUUGCUUCUGGAUGAUAAAUGGUCCUAAUCUUCAAUAGUCCAACUUAUCACAUGGUCGCUUGGUCUUGAUAUUCCGUCAAAGAAGCUAUGUUUUAUCUCCAAUUUUGAAAGUAGGUGCUUGAUUCCAAAAUCUAUCUACAGACGCCUUGUAGGAUUCUUGAGCGGAUUGUAAUUGAAGCUUCAACGUAUUUUGAAGCUCUGAUAGUUGUUUUGCAAAUCUUUCAGCUGUUGGAUUGUUAUUUGUUGACGGACUGAAUAAAUCAAGCUUUGGAUGAUACCCAUAGUUGGAAAAGAAUGGUGUAUAUUGAGUCGACGCAUGGAGGGUGUUGUUAUAUGCAAACUUGGUUAGCAGCAGAUAUGCGGUCCAAUCGUCUUAUUGAUAGUUGAUGCUGCAUUGUAAGUAUUGUUUCAAGACUUGGUUCACCCGUUCCGUUUGGCCGUCAAUUUGAGGAUGAAAAGUCGAAGAAAGUUUGAUAUCCACCUUCAGUAUCUUAAAGAAAGAUCUCCAAAACUUUGAUACGAAUUGGGUUCCUCGAUCUGAUAUGAUAUCAUUUGGUAGUCCAUGAUAUCGAUACACAUUAUCAAGAAAGAGUCUUGUUGAGACUUCACUGGAUGAUGUCUUCUUGUAAGGGACAAAGUGCGCCAUCUUUGUAAGCCGAUCUAAAACGACAAAGAUGCUGUCAAAUGAGUUCGAUGAUGGCAGGUCCUUAAUGAAGUCCAUGGAAACUGAAGACCAUGGUCAAUGUGAAAUCGGCAAUGGUUGUAGAAGUCCAUAAGGGUGAUGCCUAGGAUUCUUGAAUCUUGAACAAAUGUCGUAAGAGAGGACAAAAUCUUUCACAUCCUUCGACAUUUGAGGCCACCAAAAAUCUCGAGAAAUAAGCUUCAAAGUCUUGUUGAAUCCAAAAUGUCUCGCAGUUGGAAAAUCGUGGCGAGAUUGAAGAACUCGGAGUCGUGCUGGUCCUUUUAGAAUAUACAACCACUCUUCAAAGUAUAAAAGAUCUACCUCUACCUUGAACUUGUCAUCAUUGGCAUGCUCCUUGAUAUCAAUGGCUACUGAAUCUUCAAUGGUCAUGGCACAUACCUGAUUUAGGAAGUCAACAUCACUUGGCACAAUAGUAGCGUAAAGCCGAAAUUACUCUGGCUUCAACAAUGUCAUACAUUCUUGAUCAAAUGCUACUUCUCCAGCCUUUGGUACAAGAUACGAUCUCCUCAAUCAAGCAUCCGAUAGUCCUUGUUGCUUUCUAAGUUGAUAAGUGAUAACAAAAUCGAACCUAGAUAGUGACAUACUCCAUCGAGCUUGACGUCGAUUUAGAACUCAAGCUGACAUGAAAUAUUCCAAAUUCUUGUGAUUUGUGUAUUCAAUCAUUGGAUGUAUAGCUUUUUUAAGAAAGUGACGCCAUUCUUGGAAAGAAUCUACUAUAGUAAGAAGUCCUUAUCAUGGAUCUCAUAAUUGAUUUUAGUAGCAGAGAACUUUCGAGAAUACAAUGAAACCGGAUGGAGCUUCUUGUCUUCUCCCAUUUGUGAAAGUAAAGCUCUCAAAGCAAAAUCCGAAGCAUCAGUUUCUAAAUAGAAGGCCUUUGUAAAGUCUGGAUGUACCAAGAUUGGAACCGUAGUAAAUGUCGUCUUCAGGUCUUGAAACGCCUUCUCCGCUAGAGGUGCCCAUUCUAGCUUAUCCUUGUAUGUCAACCGAGUGAGAGGAGCAACAACUUGAGAGUAAUUCUUGAUGAAGAUCCGAUAGAAGUUAGCAAAACCAAGAAAGCAUUGUACGUCUCUAACCGUCUUCGGAACCUCCCAAGUCACGAUUGCUUCUACUUUCUUGGGGUCCAUCUUCAAGCCUUUCGUAGUCGCAACGAACCCCAAAAAUUCCAUCUCUAUUUAGUGAAAUAAACACUUCUCCAACUUGGCAUAUAGUCCUCGCUCACAUAGUUUCUCCAAGACCAAACAAAUGUGCUUUUCAUGCUCUUUCUUGUUUCUAGAGAACAUCAGAAUAUCAUCCAAGUAGAUGACAACAAAAUUAUGAAGGUGUUCCCGAAAAAUAUCAUUCAUCAUAUGUUGGAAGACUGCUGGACCAUUGGUAAGAUCAAAGGGCAUGACAUUAUACUCAAAAUGGCCAUAUCUUGUACGGAACGUUGUCUUCCACUCAUCUCCUUCCUUGAUUCGUACGAGGUUGUAAGCUCUUCUUAGAUCAAUUUUUAUAAAGAUCCUUGUACAUCCAAGUUAUUCUAAGAGAUCAAAAAUCAAGGGUAACGGGUAACAAUUCUUCUUUGUUAUCUUGUUGAGGCCUCGAUAGUCCACGCACAUCCACAACGAGCCAUCUUUCUUCUUCACAAAUAAGAUGGGCGUCCUAGUUGACAAUUUUGAAUGACGGAUGAAGUUCUUGGCAAGAUUCUCGUCGAUGUACUUCCGUAAUUCCGCCAACUUUGUCUGCGAUAGAUUGUAGAUUGGGCCAAAAGGCGAUUGUGCUCCUUCCUGCAAGUCUAUGGCACAAUCAUAUGGUUGGUGUUCCGAUAGCAUGUCGGCAUUCUUCUUUUGAAACACGUCUUGAAAAUCCUUAUAUUACUCAGGUAUACUUACUGUCGUGAUCUUCUCUCUGAUAGUUGGAGCCGCAUAAAUGACAAACGAUGUGCCUUCCUUGGAUGAUCUUAUAAACGCUCUUGCUCUAAUGAAUAAGGAUUUCUCUAUUUGAGAUUUUCUACUAUGCUUGCUCUUGGGUGGUUUUGUAGGAAAGGUCAUCUUCCGCAACCUCCAAUCUAUGGAUGGAUUAUGCUUUUCCAACCAUGAAAGACCAAGAAUAACAAGAUUUGAUGGAGUUUUAAUAAUAUUGAAAAUAAUAUGAUUACUAUGGCCCUUAAACAUCACUUCUAUAGGUUCUGAUUCAUAGGUGACACUACCAGACAAUAAAGGUCGCCCAUCUAUGACCUCAAUGUGAACAGGUUUGGAUUUUUGUACUAAAGGGAUCUUAUGACGCUUCCCAAAUUCUUCGUCUAAGAAACAAGCAGAUGCUCUUGAAUCUAAUAAUGCUAAGGUUUUCAGUUUCUAAGGGCCAUUAAAUAAAGGAAUUAUAAAGUAAAGGGCCAGUUGAGCGAAAAGAAAGGAACGUGGUUGUUGUUGCGAUAUUUCACUGUCCAGCUGCACGGUUCCUAUUGUGGCUGGGCAUCCUCGUUUUUCUGAACAAACCCACCUCUAGUCCUGACAGUGUAUCGAUUUUGCUUCUUGGGGUAAUUUCCAAUUUUGUGACCUUCCUCCAUACGUCACUUUUUUCUUCUAGAGUAAGGGAUUUGACAUGUACCGCAUCAAUUUGCAUGUCUUCUACCUCUGAAUGUGAAUUCAUGCUCCUUGCCAAUAUAGUUGGGGUAUGGCGAACUAUAUGUUGUCUUGAACGUUGGUCUUGGUAGCGAUAGAAUAGGCAGUUAUUGCACUUCACAGCUUGGCUAAUAGCUUCGUUGAGCGUUUGUGGAUCAGGAAGAGUUAAUAGCAAAUCCUUCACAUCAUCCUUUAAAUCCCAAUAGAAUUGAUUCAUCAACGCUUCUUCAUCCCAAUUCAUGUCACAUGCUAAUUGUCUGAAAUCCGAUGCAUAGACUGAUGUAGAGCGCAUCCCUUAUCGUAGAGAUCGGAUCUUUGUUGUAGCCCAUUGAACAUUGUCGUGUUCACCAAAUUCUUCCACAAAUGCAUCCAAAAAGGUUUCAAAGUUGUUUAGUAUGGACGAACAUUUCUCAAACAAAGGAGCAAACCAUGAUAGAGCUUACCCUAUAAGUAAGGUUCCAACAAGCCUAACACGUGACUCCUCCAUUAGAUAGCGUUCGGGCUGUAAAACUGUUAUCAACCUGAUUUGGUUGACGAAUCCUCGAAACUUGGAACGGGUACCAUCAAACUUGUCCGGAAGGCUAACUCGGGGCUCCUUAUGUUGUAGAACCAGCGGUGCUUGUCGAAUCUGAGGCAAAAUUACUUCUCCAAGUGCAGAAGUUUGAGGCUAGUGGAACCUAGAUUGUGCCAUCCCAGAUGCUCUAUCAUUAUGAAGCCUUGCCACGACUCCUUUAAUCUCUGCAGUUCUUUGCGAUAACGUAGUGAGGACAUUCAUGAUAGCAUCCAACUUGGACUCCGAACUUUUCGUCAUACUAAUGUCUUGGCCUCCGGCCAUUCUAAGAGAAGGACAAAAAUGACUCUACAGGAAGACAAUAUUGGUUUAGAGGAGGAUAUUCCGUAACCUCUAAAAUGCCUUAAGAGCUUCAAGAUAAGGGGUAAUCCACUCUCUCGAAGAAGAAUAAGACUCCAAUAUUAUAACAAAAGAAGUAUUAGUUUAGAGGAGGAUAAUCCGCAACCUCUAAAAUGCUAGUACACUUCCAAGCAGAGGGGUAAUCCACACUCUAAUGAAGAAGAAACUAGCUCUGAUAUCUGAGGUGAGUUUAGUCUCGACAAACUGUCACGGACACAGAAAUACAAGCUCGAGAUCUAACAAGAAGUUCAAGAAGAACUGGCAAGAACUAGAUUAAUCAGAUGAAUACAAGAACAACACCAAAGAGGUGAGCUAGAGCUCUAAGAGAUGGGUUGUCGAGACUGAAGAACUCUUCAGCCUUGAUUCCAAUAUAUACUCUUAUUUAGGAAGCUUCUCAAGCAGCUUCUACCAACUAAGAAGCUUCUAGAAGGUUCCAGAGACUUGCUUCUAGAAGGUUCUAGAAAAUUGUCUCUAGAAGGUUCUAAGGACUAUGUCCCUAACAUCUUCUACCAACUAAGAAGCUUCUAGAAGGUUCCAGAGACUUGCUUCUAGGAGGUUCUAUAAACUUGUCUCUAGAAGGUUCUAAGGACUAUGUCCCUAACAAUAGCUCAUACCUAAGAAUCUAUAGCUUUAGAGGAAGUAAAUAUUUUAGUAUAAAUAUUAUAUUAUAUAAUUUUUUUAAAUAGAUAUUUAAUUAAAGAUUAUAAUUGAUAUUAUUUUUAAAAAAUAUAUGCAUAUAUAUAUAUAUAUUAAAAAUUUAAAUUUAAUAAAAAACAAUUUAAAAUAAAAUAUUUAUUGAUAAUUUGAAUAUUUGAAAAGAAUGAUGAAAUAAGCUAAAUUUCAAAGAAAUAAUAUAAAUAAGAUUAGAAAAAACCAUGUUAGCAGAUAUAUUGUAAAAAUAAUAUAUAUUCAAAAAUAUUUAAGAGUAUUAAAUUAAAACAAAUGAGGCAAAAAUUAGAAGAUUUUAGUAUAUCAAAUAAAAUAAUUUUAAACAUUAAAUUAAAGACUUUAGCAUAUUAAUUUAUGUUUAUUAGAUGUCAAUCUAGAUUAAAAUAUUCAUUUGAAUUAUGAUUAAAAAAACAAUAGCUACACUUAAUAAAACCACUUGUGAUCUUGCAAAAGAAGUAUUUUUUUUCUACUAUCUUAUAUUUUUUUAUAGUAUUGAGUUUUCUUAAAGAUGUAUGUUUUUGUUUAUUUCAAUUAAUUAAUUAAAAUAAUCGCAUAGGUGUAUAAAGAGUAAAUAAUAUUAAAAUUAUUACAUGAAAAAGAAGUUAAGUAAAAGAAUUAAUGCAUAUAAUUAUUGGAUUUGACCUUCAUUUUAUCUUUUUUAUAAGAUAUAUUAUCAAAAAAAUAAUAAUAAUAAUUCUUUUUGUCUACUCUUUUUUUGAAAAAAGUAAAGAAAUAGAAUUAAUUAAUUUAGUACUAUUAUUUGAAUUUUUUUAUAAAAAUGAUCACAUGCUUAAUAGAAUUUGUAUACUUCUUCAUGUAAUAUAGAUCACUAAUAUCUUUUAUAAAAUAAUUCUAAAUUAUAAUAUUACAAAAAAAUAGCCACAUAUUGAAUCCAAAUGCAUAGCUCAUAAAAAUUAUUAAACUUCAAUAGGGUAUAAUAUAUGACAUUGAACUAAGUUUAUAUUGCAAUAUUAUAAUUUCUUAUUGCUACAAGUGAAUAAAAUGGCUUUACAAGCAAACAUUCUAAGUUUCUGAGUAUUUAUAGAUAAUAGUGUUUUUUUUAGAGAUAAUUAUUGUCAUACAUUGGUAAGCCAUUUUGAUCCUUCACAAAAAAGAGUGGCAUCUUAAACUGAAUAUAUAACUCUUGUGACAAGUUUUUUGUGGACUAUGCAACUCUAAGCAUGUACCACACCAUGCAAAUUAUUGACCUUAGACAUUACCAUGAAUUUAUAUUAUAUAAAUAAUAAUAUCUAUAAUGUAACUUGACUUGACAACUAAGAUUUUUUCAUCAAAUAAUCAAAUGCCAUAUGAUCAACAAAUAGUUCAAUUUUUUUAAGAGAUUUUCAAAAAAAAAAAAAAAAAAAAAAAAAAACAUACAAUAUUAUUAAGGUUUUUAGAAUGGUAGUAGUAUAGUUUGUUUUGCUAAGUUAAUCAUGUGAGAAAUGUAUAGAGUUGGUUAGUAAAUAGAAUACAAUUGUUUCAUGAUGGUUUGCAAUGACCCUAAACUACUUAAUAAUGGCAAGUUGGACCUAAAAAUUCUAAAAUAUUUUCCCAGGAGGUUUGUGGUUUGAAUUCAAAAAUUGCAUCAAGCAAAAUUUGUCAUCAUGUCAACAACAAUAUAUAUAUAUAUAUAUAUAUAUAUAUAUAUUUUCGUGUAAGUAUAGCUUUAACAUUAAGAUUCAAUUAACAUUAACAUUAAGAUUCUAAUUUUGUAAAAUUAAGACUGUAGAUUCUAUGUACUCUUUCUAAUGGAUGGCAAAGUAAUUUUACAAUAGUCUAUCCAAAUAGAUUUACUUUAAUAUUUCAAUGACAAAAAUCAUUAGUUUUAAAUAUAAGGAUAGUUUUGUAAAAAACAUUUAUUAAGUUGUACCAUGUUAUUGAUACUUAAAAUCACCUGGAUUAUUUUUGUCAAAAGUGAUUAUUAAAUGAAAAAAGUCCUUCUGGUUAGAAACUUUCUAAUUUUUUAAUAACCAAUCUAACUACACUCGGAUUACCUAAAUAAUAACCUAAAUCCCAAAUUAUGGAAGAUUACUUCGAUAAAAUUAUAUCUUUAAAAUGCUGCCGUAUGUUCCUAAGAUCCUCUACCAUUUUCCCUAUGAACAAUUACUUAGAAACACACUCGGUACAAAAUCAAUCCAACUACUAAAAUCCUAUGUAUCAGAAGUCACUGCACUACAAUAUUAUCAUUAACCGACUGGACAGCUGUAACACAAUCCAGGAAAAGAUUCAACAAUACUUAAAAUUAAAAAGAGUCAAAUAAAAGCAAUUCAGCAGUACAGACAAACAUGUGAUGAAUGCAAUAGGCAAAAUAAUUUUAGUUAAUGCGUUACAUUCUAAACAAUCCAGAACAGUUCAAAAAUAUCUCUAUCUCAUCAUCAAAAGCUUGCACAGAGUAGCUUCCAAAGAAUGUUCUGUCUUAAUAAAUUUAAAUAAAAAUCAGGCAAGCUAGGAACUGUGCCGUCUCAGAACCGACUAGUGGUGGUGACCUUGUCCCGAACAAAACGCUCAGUACAACAACCACCCAACCAGAACCUGAAGCUAUAGAUGGAGCACUCAUCGAUUCUGACGACGCUACCACCACCAAGACGAGACCGUAGCAUUGAAGUAAACAGGUGGACCUAAAACUCCUCGUCAGGCUCAUGCCGCAACAUGACCCGUCGCAAAUGAGCGAUUCUAGUGGUCACACAAUCAGGUAAAUAAUUUGCAUGCUUUUACCGCUGACCCUCUCCUACAACUAAACGUCUUGGCAAGCAGGUGCAUAGUUCUUUUCAAUGUCGUAAACUUUCCACGAUAUACGACGCAUAAAGAUCCCUGCAAAAUGCACGUCGCCAUCCAUGAGCCUGUACAAAUGUAAACGUGAUAAAAAAAAGAAAAUUGUAUUCAUUGAAAAAAACACCACUCAUGAAAGGCCCCGAACACCCCAUAAUCGCACGACUAACAACUCUGUUACUCAUAACCCAAUCAUACAUCACAAAUCAGCUCCAUGGCAAUCAAAUUGCAUCUUCAUAGGAAAUGCCAUCUUCCAACACAUCUCAACACAUCAAAUAGGAAUUCUCGACAAGAACGCUUACAUGGAGUGACUGAUGGCUUGAAUCGCAGCUUCGUGGCCCAGGAAGUUAUCCACCGUUACUUCCUUGUUCUCAUUCUUCUUGUCUGAUUCACCCCAAACCCAUCCCUGCCGGUUACAAACGUCACACAUCACCACAAGCAAAGACACCUCUCUCUCUCACGUCCACAUCUUGGACCAUUAUGCACAUCACCGCGUCACCUCACUCGGCACUUACAAUCCUCAAAGAACCGCCGAAUCUCCGCCAAUCGGUGCGGUGGAAGCUCGUUGAUGUCCUUGAAAUGUCUGUACUCGGGGUCGUCGGCACACACGGCGAUGAUCUUGUCGUCCUUCUCACCCUGCAUUCCGAACAGAUCUCACGUUGCUAACCCGCAGAAAACACAUCCACAACCUUUUCCACGACACAAACAGCCACACAGUGCGAGCGCAACAGCUUCUAACCUGAUCGAUCAUAGGCAUCAACCCAAUGGCUCUAGCUCGGACAAACGAUCCAGGCAUCACGGGUUCCUGCAACCAAGUCAACCAUCAGUGCUGCCCCCCAAAAAGUAAUGCACACCACCUUCCAAGUGUCCAACAAAUCCCAUUGCUUCUCCACCACAUCAAGGCCUACAUUCAAGAACAACUAAAAUCACAAAUUCCUGCGACCACGAACACAAAUCACACCCUUUCACCAGCCAUCGCUGCUAGACUCACAAACUCGCCACAUCCAAGACAACAUCCACCUCGGCAAACGACUUGUCUACUGCGACCCAUAGUUCUCACAACAAACUGCCACCGAUCACACCGGAGCGAGGGAUAUGUUUGACACCCAACCCACUACUCCUGAGCACGAAUGCGGUAUCUCCACAAUCGGCCAAUCAACCACGCUUCUCAGCACGACACCUCACACUUCAGCCCGCACACUCCAUUCAAACACGCCUCUUCUGCUCUCAACUCAUCCAAUAGCGGGAUUACGCACAGUCGUGCCACUAACUUCAUUCACGCACAAAGGACGCUACCUGCAUGAUGACCAGAACAUCGAUGGGAUCCUCGUCCUCGCAAAGGGUGCGUGGAAUGAAACCAUAAUUGUGCGGGUACACCACAGACGAGUAUAGGAUACGAUCCACCUGCAGAGCAACCGAUGUUCAGAACAAUGAGCGGUCGAAACACAGCAUACAUCUCGUCAACAUGCAUUACCAAACCCCUUCAGAAAUCUCCCAAUCUAAACAUUCACCUUCAUCAGACCGCUCUUCUUGUCAAGCUCGUACUUCACCUUGCUCCCUCUGUUGAUCUCGACAACCUGCACGUGUGGCUCAACCUUGUCAUAAACUGUGACUAUCUAAAUGACUCCCAGCCGUGCUGCGGGAUAUGCUGCUGUGAAAUUAUCACACCCCACGGGCCGAAAACCUUGUCCACAAUUACCACCGGCCCCCGCAGCCAUGGAUAUCGCCUCUAAAGGCCAACUGCUCCAAAUUGUACACAACUUUUCUACACAAGGAAGUGUUCCAAAAUACGACCGAGAAACUCACAAAAAAACCACCAACGCUCACACUGAAAAAACACCCGCAAACACGACUGUCUUACAUACAUGAGAGACUUACACAGUUAAAGAUUUCUGGAGCAGCAGGCCCUGAAAAAGGCAAUACAACACACACCAAUUCAGAACCUCAUCAUUCAGAUACUUCCAACUACACCUACAACGAUAAGCAAUGCACGAUAAACACCUAUGACACUCUCUUCCCGACUCGCGGCCAUUUCCACAACUAACCAAAAAUCCUGUCGGUACAAACCCACAUACCGAUUUCGAGAUCAUGCCAUGGAUGUGCAGCGACAGUACGACGCUCCAUCGUCGUCAUAAUCCGGCUGUUCAGUGGAGUAGCCUUGUGAACUGCAGUUGAACCCUUCUUCGAUGGAACUGCUGCGACCCCAUUGGAAGCCAUGCUGUCAGCUUCACCCCGAAGCUCACUCUAUGUAUCUCAGAAAUCCUUCCUACAUUUAAGAAGACACACAAAGGUAAUUUUAAUACCACCCGCCAGGCACCAGAAAAACGAAUCUCACAAGGGCUACUAGAGAGGUUGAGGGGUUAAUGGCCAUAGAUGAACUGGCUUUAUCUUGGAAACUUUCACUACCAUUUAACUUUACAACUUGCUCCGACUCGAUGUGAAGUAACGGGAAGAAACGCGGUGAAAACUACCGCUCAGAACACGUUUCGGAUCCGCCUCAUCAGCUUUUCGCGCAAACGGUAGGAUAAAAGUGGAAUGCGAUGGAGAUGUAACUGGCCGCAUAAUCUCUUCAAACGACCGCAUAACCAGGACGAGCGGCCCAGCAACGAAUGGCAAUAGAUUCUGUCUAUGGAAUUACCAGAACAGAAAAAUUCCCGAACAAAACGCUGCCCAAACAUGAUCCAAACUUCCAGAACAGAAAUCAAGCUUCAAUACUCAUUCAACGAGCACGAAUCUGAUCAACACUCUUGAACGUCUUGUUCCACGAACUUCCACUUCCCAGGCCAACACUCAACAAUGGACUGUCAAUUUAGCCCACUGCUCCUCCUGAUCUAAAUUCUAUAGCGUAAAGAAUGUCUUCCAACGACAGCGAACUCCUUCGUAUCUAGUCACAUUUGAAGCUCUCCUGACAAAAUACGACAAGAACCAAACCAUUCUCCGUGGCCAAAACACACCCAACUUCCCAACAUUCCCCAAUGCUCCCUCUCGAUCCAGUUUUCAACCAUAAUGCCGUUCAAAAUUGCACUCCAACUUGCUACACAAGCUCAGAGAGAAGAUCAGAUCUGCUCACCCGCACCCAAUGCAGCUCCUCGCCCCCCUCAAAACUUCCAACCCGCGCUCACCGCGCGGACCUCCGACUGACCUCCUCUCUCUAUCCUCGCAGCAACUUGAUCAAAACAUCAAAAACACGACGGAACUGGACAGCGCGUAGCAAAAAAAAAAACAAACAAACAAACAAACAAACAAACAAGAGGGAAGCGCAGGAAGGAACGCGCGUGGGGGAAUGAAAUGCGAGAGCGGGGCAAGGCAAGGCAAGGGCGGCGAGGCAGAGAAGCGAGACGGUGAGAAGGCAGGGGCACGUGGGACUUGGGCUGUGCUUGAGCAGAGCUGCUCUGCUACAUGCUCUCUAAUAGAGCCCCCCCGCCACGAAGUCUCGUCCAUCCCCGCCUAUUUAUCAUCCACGGACGAAUGAUCUCCGGCGAUGUUGGACAAGGAGCCCAUGGCGCAUUGCCAAUUCUGUCCACUUUCCCCCCUUCCCCCCAACUCCGCGUUCGAUGCGCAGCGCGGCUGCGAAUAGUCCUCGUGACAAAUGCCUCGUCCUCAUGACUUCGUGCCCCCCCCCCCCCCCAACUGCCCUGCCCUCCCCCUGACCACCCUGUCCUUGUGUUGAUUUCAUGUGGAAUCCCCCCCCCCCAUCUCCCUUCACCAUGCACUCCCUCGCACCCUGGUUCCUCCCCUCUCCUGGGUCAGAGUGAUUGCCACCCCUGCAAUUCCACUGCCCAUGUGUGACAGUUUUUGGAUCCAUUUUUGCUGCAGCAGAGUUGCCCUUGUAACCUUGUGUGUUCUAGCAACUCAUUCAACCAGAUUGCUACACAUUUUGGAAGACAGUGGCCAUGACUUAGUGGGAGUGUCAUGGGCACAUCUCCAAACAUGCUCCAUACUCUUUCAUUGCUUUGCUUUCAUAGAAUUAUUUAAAUUUGAAAUAGAUUGGUUGAUAUGGCUACUUACCACUUUCAAAUCAAUCUGGUUUGAAGAUGCAUUAUCACAAACCUGCAGGUCAAACUGGUGCAUGUCUAUUGGGUGCAUUAUUGCUCAGUUUACUUUGUAGAAACUGGAACAUGAAGGAAGAUGAGUGGUUGUAUCUUGGAAUGGUAAAACCACAUGGUAGAUGUAUUAUAGACAGCACACAUUGUCAUUGCACCAUUAUUUCCAAUCAUGAGUGACUAGAUGAGCAGCAGAGGGUUGCCCUUGUCUGAUUGUGGAGGCCAAGAGCAUUCAACUUUCAACAUGAAAUUAUUCUAGAACCUCUACCAUGAUCUGGCCACUCCAGCAGGAUGGCCAGCUAGAGAUUUGUUAACAGUUCUGAUAUACACUAAAGAGAAAAAAAAAAGGAAAAAGCAAAAGGGGGGGGGGUUUGGCAACCAGAUUCCACAGGUAAAAACAUCUAGCACAAUGAGUGUGCUUUUGAAGCAAAUGCACUAGGUGUGACAUUUAAUCAAAUCCUUACAUUAUGGCAACAGGUUUUCCUAUGAAUUGAACUAGGUGUCACCCAGCCCUAAACCAUGCUGAUCACAAACAGAUUUGUAGGAUUUGAUGAAGAACACACCCUUAAUACUCCAACAUGCCCAUCAAUACUACCCAAAGUUGAAAGAUUGACCACUCAUAGUGGAGAACAUUACUGUAUUGCAACCUGACGAUGCAAAACAUCCAGUUUAUUGAAUGAGUGUGAAGCAGUUGGGACAUGGUGAAGUACAAGAGCAAAGCCCUUAAUAAAUUCAAAAGACAAGCUUUUGUCACAAAUUUAUCUAGAUCUAAUCAACCAAUCUUAAUAGAAACAAGGAACAGUCCAACUUGUUCCAAAUCCCAAGCGACCACUAUUAAGGCUACUAAGGCUAUCAAGGCUCACUGAUAAAAUUAGAAGACACCCAUGGAGUGUGCUAGUGGGCAGUGGGGUGUUCAUGACCAGUAGGCCAGUUGGGAAAUGGGAAGCUUCAAGUUGGAGGCAAUCACACACCAACUGAGAAGGGGCCACAUGAGGGAGGCUAAAGUCAGUGAGAGGCCCAACACAGAAGACUAAUAAAGUUGGGCAAUGUGUGGAGGUGGUGCCCAGAUUGGAAAAAGGGAGCAACCAGUAAAGGGAGGGCCGGCCACGGAUGAAUGAAUUUGAAGGCCCCCUGAUUAUGAACAGAAAAGGAAGGGUGGGUAGUGGAUGUUCCAAAAAGGAUAUACCCAGUUCCCACCGUUUGGGAGCCAACGUCCCGACUUUGUGGCUGCAGCUGCUUCUUCCACAAAUCUUGCAUCAGCUUUUCAAAUACUUUUCUGCAGCUCAUGUGUAACCCUUGUCCACUCGGCCAUGCAGGCAGGCGCCAAGUCCAACCCACAACAAAGCUUGACGUGGUUCCUCGGCUUCCAAACUCCAAUUUGUCUCAGGUUUUUGUUUUCCAUUAUCUGGCUUCUUUUUCACUUUACUUCUCUUUUGGAAAUUGCAUAUAUAUAUAUAUAUAUAUAUAUGAAAAAAACAAUAGAGUCUUUGUAACGUAAAGAUUUACAAAAGAGAACAAGCUAACAUUUAUUAUAAUAGGUCCAAAAUAAAAGGUCAAUUUAAGGUUUAUUGUUUGGGUAAAUUCAAUGUAAGAUGUGAAUGUGUUAAAGUGGGACAAUUUUGUAAAUUAAAGAAUAACAUAGAAGUCUGUGUUGAUUUAUUUAGGCAUUGAAGUCAUAAUAGACUUGGAAAUUAAUCAACUAGAGAUUGAUAUAGAUAUCUAUCAGUAAAAGUGAUACAAAUGAAUACUCACUAAGAGAAACAAAAUAAGCCAAAUAUUUUAACAUAAGACUUCAAAAGAAGUUCUAAAGUGAAAAAAUAUUUAGAAAUUUUGGAAAAAAAUAAACUUAUUUUAGGAUUAUAUAUAUAUAUAUAUAUAUAUAUAUAUAGAGAGAGAGAGAGAGAGAGAGAGAGAGAGAGAAAAUUUCAAUACCAAUGUUUAGCAAAAAUAAAAAUAAUAUGUAAAUAGAGGACAUAUAAUAAUUUAAUUUUUAAAUAGAAAAUAAAAAUAAGAAGAAGCAAAAAAUGAUAAUAAAUUUUGUUGCUUACUAACAAGAGAAAAUAAGAAUUUUAUUUGGAUAUUUAAAAUAAAAUUUUGCAAAGUAUAUUUCUAUUUUUAGACAAUAUAAUUUUAAAAUAUAUAACUCAAAAUUGAACCAUAUUUUAUUAUCAUAAGAAAUAAAAUUCUAUUAUAAAAAAAUAAAAUAUUAAUUUUAAAAUUUUAAGAUUAUCUAAAUGAUUCAUAUAAACAAAAUUCUAUUUUUAAUUCUGGAAUAAAAAUUCAAAGAUUAUGAAAAAAUAAAAUAAAAAAUUAAUAAUAAUAUAAUUGACCAUAAGUAUUAGUAUUAACAAGUAAUAUUUAUGAUUUACUUUAAUUCACAAAAUAAUUCAUAUAAUAUAUAUAUAUAUAUAUAUAUAUAUAUAUAUAUAUAUAUAUAUAUAUAUAUAUGUUAGUAUAUAAUAUUUUUAAUAAAAAUAUGUUUUAUUAUUUAUUUUAAAAUUAUUAUAUUUUUUAUCCUAAAAAUAAAGUAAAAUAAAAAAGAGCCGUUGAAUUAUUUCUUUAAUUGAAUAUUUAUUAAAUAAUAAAAUUUUUAAUUACCAAUUAUAAUUUAUUUAAUAUCAUUUUUUAUCAAAAAUAGAAUUAAAAGACUUUGUAAAUUUAAAUUAAUUAGUAUCUAUUGAUUUUUUUUUAAAAUUUAUCUUAGUAAAUUUUUAUAUAUAGAAUUAAUAAUGUUGUAAAUAUUGUAUUUUAGAUUUAUUUAGAGAAAAUCAAUCAAAAGUAUAUGUCAAAGAGUUUUUUAAGUAUUAAAAUAUAGUACUAAAAUAAAUUAUCUAAGAAUAGUUGAAUAAUAAAAUAUAAGUAAUUAUUAUUGUUUUAUAUAUUAAAGAGAUUUAUUUAUACAUAUAUAUAUAUAUAUAUAUAUAUUAAAUCAAAUAUGUAUAAUUAUUAAUAAAAAAUAUUAAGAAAUUUAUAUUUUAGAAUGGUAAAAAAAAUUAAAAUAUAAAUUAUUGAUAUUUUAAGAUUGGAUAAUUUUAAUCUAAUACAAGAUUACAUAAGAGGUAUUAAAGAACAAUAAAGCCUUCCACUCUCUUUUUAACAUCUUUUAUGUUCUUACUCUUAUUUCAAGAGAUUUUAAUUUUCUUAUAUUUGGUAGUAAUCAUUCUAGUUUAAUAUUAUACAAUCUUUAAGUAAUUAACUAUCAUUUUUGAGUCGUACAAGGAUAUAUUGAUCUUUUUUUUUUUCUUUUUAUCCAUAUUAUUGAUAGUUUAACAAGAGUGCUGAUUCACUAUUGUUUUUUUUUUUAGUGGAUUAUUUCACUUCUUUUGUUGUAUUUAGAAGGUUGUAGACAGCUUACUUUUAAACAAACAUUAUUUAUUUUCUAACAUUGAUUUUUUCAAAAAAAAAAGUAACUAUUAUUCUUUGAAGAUUUUUUUUUUUUUUGAUAUUAGUGGUUUCUAAUUACACUCUUCUAAUUUAAUUUGUGGAUUCGUUAAAGUUAUUUGUUAUAGAUAUAGAAGAAAAAAUUAUAGAUGCUACAUUCUACAGGAGUAAAAAUAGAUUUGUAACUAUUAUAAAUCUUUAAGAACUUACUAACACUUUAAGAAUGGAAAUUUUAUGUAUUACUAAUUUCCACUAUAAAGGUAUUAUUUCUACUUCUAUAGAUGACGUCAACAAUAAAGUUUAAAGUCUACACUGUCAUAUAAUAUAAAUUCUUGCUUGAAAAUAUAUCAAGUAUCUAGCUAUAGAAGGUAAAUUAAAAAAAAAAAUUCAACAAAAAGAUUCUACCAAGUCUAAUAGAAUCUUGAAUAAACUCUAAUAAAAUCUUAAUAAAUCUAAUCAAAUUUUAAUCAAUCCAAAAGAAGUUUAGAAGAAAUUACUAAAAGAACAUAAAAAAGUCAAAUAUUAAUUUUAAAGAAAAAUAAUAAAAAAAAUCCUAAAGAAAUAGUAAAAUAAAAGCCUUCAAGGAAGAACAAAGAACCUUAAAUAAAUAUAAAAUAUAAACCUUAAAAAAAUGACAAAGAAAUCUAAAGAAAUGCUAAAAAUAUAAAUACUAAAUAAAUCCUAAAUAAAACUUAUGUGAAUCCUAAUCAAACCUUAAUUUAAUACUAAAUAAAUUCUAAUAAAAUUUUUAAAAAUUAUAAAUAAAUCCUAACAAAAUCUUAAAUAAUCUUUAUUAAAUUCUAAUAAAAAUCCUAAUUAAUUCCUAAUAAAAUCUUUAAAAUUCUAAUCAAAUUCUAAUUAAAUUUUAAAUCUUAAUUAAAUCCUUAAAAUAAUUUUGAGUAAAAUUUUAGUUGAAAUCAAUUAUUUAAUUAAUAUUUAUUCAAAAAUAUAAAAAAUUUGAGUAAAUUUGAAUUCAUCAAUUUUUUUUUAAAAAAAUUUCUAAAUUUGUUAUGUGUUAAUUUGUCAAGGACAUGAAUCUUAAAGAAAGAUAAUCUCCAAUAUACUCUUCUAUCACUAAAGAGAACUGGAAAAUCACUCAAAAGGUGAUGUAAUAUUAACUAGAAUGGCUAUUGCCAAAAACAAAAAGACUAGAAAGUCUUGAAAUAAGACUAAGUCUAGAAAGGCAUUGAGAAGAGUGAAGAAGGCUUUGCUCUUGCCUCCAUAUAUACUAUCUAACUAAGAGCUACAUGGCGAUUUCCUAUAGGACCUCCAACAUGUGUUGACUUUGCUAGCCACAUGUCUUAUCUUGCAAGGCAAGUUAUCUAUGUAUGCGCUACGUAGUUGGUUUGUUCCACAAGCUACUAUAUGGAGAUAACUUAUUCCAUAAGAUACCAAUACAUGGUUAGCUUUUUUGGACAAGUUUCUAAUCUACAAAUACAUCUAAAGUCAAACCCACAUCUAUAAAGCUUCUAGCAAGCUUCUCUAGAAGACUUUAUGAAAUUAUUCUAUAUUUACCUACUUCUACUUAAUUAUAUAAGUAAUUAUUGAGGUAAAUAUAUAUAUCCAUGACAUUAUCCCCCCUUCUAGGGAUGAGUUCCACGUAGAGCAGUCUUCAUAUGUUGAAGAAGUCCAAGAUGUAGUGAAUUGUAUUUGCUACAUACUCCGAUCUUUGCUCUCUUUGAAGAUGAUUGAUAGGUCCUCUCAACCAUCUAUAGUGUCUCAUACUAGGACGAGAAGACUAUCCUGUUAUUUGGUCAUUAUUGAAGCCUUUAUAACUCCCUUCAAAUAAAACAUUUGGAACAUUGUCAAGAAUUGUUCCUACCUCUAAUAAAAUCUUUAAACAUCGGGAGUCUCUUCUAAGGUCGUAAUACCAAACACGUUAUAUCUCGCCAUCUAUUUGAGGAAGGACAUGUUGUUCUUGAGGAUCUUCAUCUCGAUUUUGUCGUCUUGAAGGUUGUGACAAUCACAAUGUCUUGUCUGGUAAGUUCGUAAAUGAAAACUCUUGAGUUGAAUUUGCUAGUUGUUGGUGGUCCAUCUCAUCAAAAAUACACAGAAGGUGCAAUGAAAGAUAGAAGGUAGAAUAUUAUUUUCUUUUAAUCUUGUUUCUUUUAUAGCGAGCAGUUGCUAUUUUUCAUCUUGAUUUUGAUGGAUGUUGUAGAUGAAAGUCUUCAACUUUUUUUGUUGCAUUUGCAAGAUUUUUUGAUGGCUCCCAUGUGUGUUCAUUAAUAUCAUAUCCAUGCCAAUGAACAAGAUAUUUCAACCUAUUUCAGCGCCACAUUGAGUUUAAGACUUCUUCUACUUCAAACUCUUAGUUAUUAUCCACUUCUAUAGGAGGAGGUGGCAUUUUUUUUCUUCGCAAGAUUUUCACUGUCUUAUACGGCUCCAAAAGAGAAACAUGAAAUACAAGGUGGAUCUUCAUAAACUCCGGUAGAUGUAAUUGAUAGGCAACAUGAUUGAUUCAUUCAUAAAUAGGAAAAGAUCCCAGCCUACAAUAAUCUAAUUUAUCACAAGGCCAAGUAGUCUUGAUAUUACGACAAAAUAACCAUACCUUGUCACCCAUAUUAUAUUGUGGUUAUAAUAGGCAUCUGCAUUGAUCUUUUAUCGUUCUUGAGCUUCUUUUAAUUUUAUGUUUAUUAUUGUAUGUAGCUUUGACAAGUGAUUUGCUAAAUCUUUCGCUACUUAUCAAUUUUUGAAAAGUAAAAAAUAUCAAGACAUGGAUGAUAACCAUAAUUGCCAAAGAAAGGUGUUUGUUGAGUGGAAAAAUAUACCAAAUUAUUAUAUGCAAAUUUUGCCAAUGGUAAAAGAGUUGUUCAAUCAUCUUGAUGAUAGUUGAUGGUACAUCUCAAAUAUUGCUCUAAAACUUGACUUACUCGUUCCAUUUGUCCAUUAGUUUAAGAAUGAAAAGAUGAAGAAAGAUUUAUAUCCAUCUUUAGAAUCUUGAAUAGGAUUUUCUAAAAUCUUGAUACAAAUUGAGUCUCCCUAUCUGAUAUAAUAUCGUUUGGUAAUCCAUGAUAGCAAUAGAUAUUAUUAGUGAAAAGCCUAGUUGUUUCUUCACCUGUGAUAGAUUUUGUAUAUAGUACAAAAUGUGCCAUCUUGAUAAAACAAUCUACUAUCAAAAAUAUAGAGUCAUAAGAACCUGAGAUUGAAAGAUCCAUGAUGAAAUCUAUAGAAACAGAUGACCAUGGUUGUUCAGGAAUGUGUAACAACUGAAGAAGUCUGUAAGGUCGAUGAUGAAGAGAUUUUGAUCUUGAGCAAACAUCGCAAGAUUGUACAAAAUCUUUGAUUACUUUCUACACUUGCGGCCACUAAAAAUCCAUGGAUAUUAGUUCCAAAGUUUUAUUAUAUCCAAAAUAUCAUUUUGUUGGAAAGUCAUGAUGAGCUUGAAGAAUACGUAAUUGAGCUUCACUUUCUGGAACAUAUAGGCAUCAUUUAAAAUAUAAUAGAUUAUUCUUAAAUUCAAACUUAGAAGUAUCAUAGGACUUAGAGGAAGUAUCCUUGAUAUCGUGAAUAAGAGGAUCAAAGGACAUGCUUGAUUGAAUUUGCUUCACAAAUAUUAAAUCAAUAAUCAAUGUUGAUUUUAUAGCUCAAAAAUAAAAAUGCUCGGGCUUCAAGAGAAUUGAUCUUUGUUGAUCAAAAGAUGCAUCUUCUUCUUGUGGUGCAAGAUAAGAACAUCUAAAAAGAGCGUCCGAUAUACCUUGUUGUUUUUCGGGUCGAUAAGUGAUCUUGAAAUUGAAUCUAGAUAAAGACAUGCUUCAAUGAGCUUGACGACAAUUUAAGACAUGUGUUGACAUAAAGUACUCGAGAUUCUUAUGGUUUGUAUAUAUAGUAACUAGAUUUGAGGUGCCUUCUAAAUAAUGACACCAUUCUUGAAAUGAAUCCACAAUUGCAAGGAGCUCUUUGUCAUGGAUCUCAUAAUUAAUCUCGGUUGUUGAAAAUUUUCUCGAAUGAAAAGCUAUAGGGUGGGGUUUGUCAUCUGUUCCCAUUUAUGAUAACAUGACACCUAUAGCAAAAUCUAAUGCAUCUAUUUCUAUAAAAAAAUGUCUUGGAGAAGUCAACGCAAUAUAAGAUUGGUGCAGAAAUAAAUUCCUUCUUUAAAGCAUCAAAUGAUGCUUCUACUUUUUUAUUCCACUCAAGUUUGUCUUUACAAGUCAAACGUGUAAGUGGAAUUGUAACUUGAGAAAAAAUCUUGUUGAAGAUUCGAUAGUAAUUAGCAAAGUUCAAAAAGUAUUGCAUAUCUCGUACUGUUCUUAGAAUCUUCCAAUCUAUGAUAGUUUGAAUUUUCUUGGGAUCCAUCAUAAGGCCUUCCUUGGAAAUGAUGUAUCCUAAGAAGUCAACUUGAAUAGUGUAGAAUACACACUUAUCCAAUUUGGCAUAUAAUCCUGGAUCUCUAAGUUUCUGUAACACGCAACAAACAUGAAGCUCAUGUUCUUCUUUAUUCUUAGAAUAGAUUAGAAUGUCGUCUAAAUAGCAAACAAUGAAAUCAUCUAAAAACUCAUGAAAAACAUCAUUUAUAAGAUGUUGAAAAGUGGCCAGUACAUUUGUGAGUCCAAAAGGCAUGACAUUAAAUUCUAAAUAUCCAAACCUAGUUCAAAAAGUAGUCUUCUAUUCAUCUCCUUCUUUGAUAUGUACUAAGUUGUAUGCUCCUCAUAGAUCUAUUUUGAUAUAGAACUUUGCUUGAUUGAGUUGGUCAAGAAGUCCUCAAAUCAAAGGCAAAGUAUAUCUAUUUUUGAUGGUGAUCUUAUUGAGUCCUCGAUAAUCUACACACAUUUGCAGAGAUCCAUCUUUCUUCUUCACAAAUAAAAUAGGAGCCCCGGUUGGAGAUUUAGAAUGGCGUAUGAAGUUCUUUGCCAAAUUUUCAUUAAUGUACUUCUUCAAUGCAACCAACUCAUUUUGCAACAAGCUAUAGAUUGAUCUGAAUGGUGAUUGAGCUCCUUCUUGUAGAUCAAUUGAACAAUCUUAAGGUUGAUGCUUGGAAAAAAUAUCUACAUUCUUCUUUUCAAAAAUAUCUUGAAAUUCUUGAUAUUUUUUGGAAUACCACUCAACGUUGUUUCACCAUUAGAAAUAGGUGUAGCAUAUAUAGCAAAAGAUGAUUGUUCUUUUGCAGCAUGCAUGCAAGCUUUUGCACCUAUUACUGAAGGUUUGGAUGUACUGGACUUACAUACUUCUACUGUAUUAAUGCGAUCUUGAAUUAUAAUAUCAAUAAAGUUAAGGUUACGAGAAAUCCAAUCUAUUUGAAGGUUAUAUUUUUCUAGCCAUGAUAAUCCUAAAAUAAUCAGAUUAUUACAUUAAAUACUACUACGCUGUUAUUAUCUUUGAUUGCUACAUCUAAAAGAAUAGUUUCAUGGAUAAUAUUUCCAGAAGAUAAUGAAUGACCAUCUAUGACUUCUACAUGUACGGAUUUAACUUUCUUUACUAAACAUAUUUUUUUAUUUUUGAUAAAAUCUUCGUCUAUAAAACAUGCUGUGACUCUUGAAUCUAACAAGACAAAGUCUUUGUGAUUAUUAGGUCCUAAAUAUACUUCUAUUAUAAAACAAGGUAAGGGGUUUUAGGAGAAGAUAAGACCUUUACUAGGUAUUGCACAUUAUUCUAGCGGCAUGGUCCCUAUUGUAGCUAGAAAAAUUCGUUUUUCGAUACAUUAUCUGCUUUGGUAAUUGUGCUCCUCAUUUUGUAAUUGCAUUACUUCUUUGGAUAAUGUUAAGCAAUGUGCUUAGCUUCUCCAUAAUAUAAACACAACUCCUCUUGGUGAUGUCAAGUCUUUUUAUUCUUUGUGAGAAGUUUAAAACGUAUCAUAUCAAUUUGCAUUGGUUUUGGCUUUGACGAAUACGUUUCAGAAAACUUGGGAGCUACUGCCAUUACUUGACUUGUUCCUCUCUAACCAAAUCUUUAUUCUUAAAGCCUUUCAAAUAAAUGAUUUUUGCAUGCAAUAGCUUGAGUAAUAAAUUGUUCCAAAGAUUUUACUUUCAGUAUUGUUAAUAACAAAUCUUUGAUGCUAUCCUUCAACCAUAUCGAAAUUGGUUGAUAAGUACUUUGUUGUUUUAGUCUACAUCGCAAGCAAGGUUUUGGAAUUUAGCAGCAUAUAUAGUCACUGAUCGUGAUCCUUAUCAUAAGGAUAAAAGCUUGAUUUAUGCUACUUGUUUUUUAUUACUUUCUCCAAAUGUAGCCGUAAACACUUCUAGGAAUGAAUUCAAACUAUAAAGGAGUCGUGAAUCUUUUUCCAUUAAAGGUGCAAAUCAAAAGAGAGCACUUCUUGAUAAUAGUGUACCUAUGAAUCCGACUUAGGCAAAUCCAUCAGGAUAUUGGAAAGGGUGCAACCUUAAAUAGAACUUGACUUAUUGCAAAAAUCUUCGAAAUUUUGAUCUUCUUCCAUCAAACUUCUCAGACAUACUAAUCUUUAUCCCUGUCAUACUUAUAGAAGCAAAAUUCCCUGGAUUUGGUUGUAAGAUUGAUUUACUUGUUAUCUUCAACUGAUCAACUUCUUACUAAUGACUCUGAACUUCUUUCAUAGGCGUAGGCAUAGUACUUCCAUGAUUCACAUUAGAAAUACGUGAGAUUUCCACUCUUAGAGUAUUAACAAGCUCAUGAAGAUCUACGAUAGUUGCAAAUCUGUUCUCACUUCCGUUGGGAGUAGCAUCCAUAAUCUUUCCUUUCGAAGACAAUUCAAACAAAUUCAAAAGUUAAAUUAGAAGAAGAUAAUCUAUAACUUCUAAAAACAAAUCCCACAAAGAGGGGUAAUCGACUCACUUUAAGAAAAAGAUCAGUAUUAGAAAACAAGAUUUUUUGUUUAAAGGUAGGUAGUCUGCAACCUUCAAAAUACAACAAUAGAAGUGGGGUAAUCCACUCACUUCUAAAACAAGACAAAAAUAAUAUGUUAGCACUCUUGUCAAACUGUUAAAGACAUGAAUCUCAAAGAAAGAUAAUCCUCAAUACACUCUUCUAUCAUUGAAGAAAACUUGAAAGUCACUCAAAAGGUGAUGUAAUAUUAAUUAGAAUGGAUAUUGCCAAAAAAAAAAGACUAAAAAGUCUUGAAAUAAGACUAACUUUAGAAAGACAUUGACAAGAGUGAAGAAGGCUUCACUCUUGCCCCCACAUAUACUAUCUAACUAAGAGCUACGUGGCCAUGUCCUAUAGGACCUCCAACAUAUGUUGACUUUGCUAGUGAUAUUUCUUAUCUUGCAAGGCAAGUUAUCUAUGUAUGUACCAUGUAGCUGGCUUGUUCCACAAGCUACUACACAGAGAUAACUUGUUCCACAAGCUACUACACAGAGAUAACUUGUUCCACAAGCUAUCAAUACAUGGUUAGCUUUUUGGCCAACUUUUUAACCUACAAAUACAUCUAAAGUCAAAACCGCAUCUAUAAAGCUUCUACGAAGCUUUUCUAAAAGAUUUUUAUGAAAUUAUUCUAUAUUUAUUUACUUCUACUUAAUUAUAUAAGUAACUAUUGAAGUAAAUGUAUAUGUCCGUGAUACGGUUGUUUUUCUUUUCCAACUAAGAUGUUGAGCUUUUAGCAACAAUUUCUUUUUUUUAAACUAUUCAAUUAUUUUAUAUUCACCUAUUCUACUUAAUCAAAUUUGGUUGGUUUGUAGAUUUUUAAGUUCAAAUUGCUCUCACCAAUUUUUGCUUCAAUCAAAAUGGUAGUUUUUGUAGGAUUAAAAAAAUCCUCACUAAUCCUAAAUCUCAAAUAUCUAAGACUCUAAUUUAAUAAAACUCUCAUAUUAAUUUUUCUAAGUAUUCAAUCGAUAUCAAAUAUUUCAAAUAUAUUUAAUAUAAGUACAAUGACAAGUUUACAAAAUUUUACUUGUAAAUGUACUAUAAUAUUCAUACAAUCGUUAAGUUUAUAAACUUCUUUCUAUUUUUCAAAACCCAAAAAUACUAAGUACAUUGCUUACUUUGAAAAAUCUUCAAAAAAUCAAAAUAUCCUCAAAUUAUAUAAAAUUAACUUCUAAAAAUCUACUCAUAAGUCUUCUCUUAAAUUCCACUUUGCAAUCAACUAUAUAAUCUUCAAAUUUUAUAGAUGCACAAUUUAUAUUCUUAGUAUCCAAUUUUGAUCCAAAUUCAUAAUUGGUCCUCUUUGAAUAGUAAUUCUUACAAAGAAUUAAAAAUUCUUUGUAUGGCCUUACAAAGUAAAAAUAAGCCUUUUUUUAUAAAAAAGUAGCAUUAAUACAAAAAAAAUUAACUACCUUUCUAUUAUUUAUCCAUGUUUUGCUACUAUAUCUUUCUAUUAGGCUCUUCUGUAUUAAAAUCUAUAUUUUCAUCUUUCACCAUAUAGUUGUUUUAUCACAUGACAACAUCAAGAAAUUUUGUAAUUAAGAGAAGCAAGUAGAUUAAUAUCAAAAUUGAAUCUAAAAAGUCUUUUUAUUAUAAGUAUGAAAGAGAUAAGAAUCAAUAUGUUGGAGAAGUUUGAUAGAAGAAAAACAAAAUUUCAAGGAUUUUACAAUAAGACAAGUUCUUGUAAGGUUACAUCCUUUUUAUUAUCUUAAUGGAUUACUUAAGUUCGAUUUAUAUGCACACUUCAAUUUAGAAGCACUCUUUCUUGAUUUGCAUCUUUAACAAAAAAUGAAUUACGACUCUUUUGUGAUCUAAAUUUAUUCUUGAAAGUAUUUAUAGCCAUAUUUAGAGGAAGUAAUCAAGAAAUGAUAGUUCAAACUAAUGUUCUAUCUUUAUAAUAAGAAUUAUAUUGUUGUACAGUAACACAACUAUAUAGUGAAAGAUAAAAAUAUGGAUUUUAUUAUACAAAAGCCUAAUAACAAAAUAUGGAUAAAUGAUAGGAAGAUAGUAAAAAAAUUUAUAUAAAUAUUAUCUUUAUAUAAAAGAAGGCUCCUAUUUACUUUAUAAGGCUAUAAGUAAGGCAAAAAAAAGUAAAUUAAAAAAAUAGAAAUUAUAUAGGAAUUUUUAAAAGAAUUCUUUGGGCAUUGGUUUGAAGUGCUAUGAUUGCAUAUUGAAUUUUUGAGGGCUUUCUAAAGUGAGAUGUAUUCAAUGAUUUCAGAUUUCAAGAAAUAAAAAGAGAUUAACAAAAUUAAAGAUUGAAUGAAUCCAUAGUAAAUUUAUAAGUGAAAAUUUGUAAGUUUUUUAUUAUUUUUAUUCUAAAUAUGUCUUAUAAAUUUGAUGUCAGUUAAAUGGUUGAAUUUUAGAAUAUGAAAUUUUUACUGAAUUAAAGUAUCAAAUAUUUAAAAUUAAGAAUCAAUGAGGAUAUCUGCAAUCUUGAAAAGUUUUCUUGUUUAAUUGAAAUAGAAUUUGGUGAAAGAAAUUUAGAAUUCACUAUCUAUACAUUAGUUAAUUUCUCAAUUCAAGAAGAAGAAAGCCCUACUAAAAUAUCAAUAUCUUAGAUAGAAAAGGACGGUGGUUAAUAUUCAAGAGUUUUAAAGUCUUUUUCUUUCAAUUUGUGGAUUUAAUUUUCUUUAAACUUUUUUUACAUAAAAAUUUCUUGUGGAUUAAAAUAUAGAUGAAAUUUUAAUUGAGAUCAAUGAUUUGAUUAAUAGAUAUUGAAAUUUUAAAAUAACUAUAGGAAUUGAUUAAAAUUUAUACAAGAUUUUUUUGGAUUUAUUUAAGAUUUUGUUAGGAUUUAAUUAAGAUUUAGGUUAGAAUUCAGGAUUUGAUUAGGAAUUGAUCUAAGAUUUGAUUAGAAAUUAAUUAUGAUUUAAUCAAGAUUUUGGUUAAAACUUGAUUAAGAUUUUAUUAAGAUUUAUUUAAAUUUUAAUUAGAAUAUAAUUAGAAAGUUGAUUAGGACUUAAUUAUAAUUUGAUUAGAAUUUCAUUAGAAUUUAAUUAGAAUUUGGUUAAGAUUUUGAUUAAGAUUUUUUUAAGAUUUGAUUAAAUUUUAUUGUUAUAUGGAAUUUAAUUAGAAUUUAAUUAGAAUUCUAUGCAACAAUCAACUUUUUGGAAGAUACCAAAAACAAGGAUUUGGUUGAAGAAGAAAAAGUCAAGUCAUGAUGAUAACUUUGAAGUUAUUAAAAACUUAUUGAAGCUUGAAGCUACACAAAUUGAUAUGAUAUGUUUCAAACCUCUCACUAAACAAGAAUAGAUUUCAUAUUAUCACUAAGAAUUGUGCUUAUAUUAUGGAGAACCUAGGCACACUACUUAACAUUUUUCAAAGAAGUAAUACAAUCAUAAAAUGAAGCACAUGGUUACUAAAAAAGACAAUGUAUAGGAUAACAAAAUUUUCCAACUAUAAUAAGGAUAGUGCAACUAGAAUCUUGUAAAAUACCUAAUAAAGAUCUUAUUUUUUUUUCAAAUUCUUCACCUUAUUUUACAAUAGAUAUUUUUUUUGGACCAAAAAAUCAUAAAGUAUCUACCUUAAUAGAUUCAAAAGCUUUGAAUUUUAUUAUAGAAAAAUACUUUAUUAAAAAAUAUAAUAAAACUUAAGUUAAAUAAACUAAGUUUGUGUAUAUAAAAGACAUAGUUAGUUAUUUUUUAUCUUUUAAAAAUUUUACAUGUAUAUAUAUAUAUAUAUAUAUAUAUAUAGAUAUAGUAAAAAUAAUUAAAAUAGCUUAAUAAUAUUUAUUAUCAUCAUAUUUCCCUUCAACCUAGUCAUCUUAGGUUUAUUGUAGCUAAAAAAUUAUAAUCUCUAAAUAGACUAAAAUUUUAGUAAUUUUAUUUUUUUUCUGUAGCAUAAUCCAAAUUUUUCUUAUUUUAAGUCCCAUCAAUAGAUUUUAAUUGCUAAAAAUAUAAAUAAUAUAUUUUAAAGUUAUUUAAACAUAUAACUAAUAGAAUUAAAGAUUUUUUUUGAACAUAUGAAUUUUUAUUAGAAUUUAAAAAUGUUUAUAGGAUACAAGAGUCUUAUUAAAAAAAGUUAUAAAAAUAAAAACUUUGUAAGUCUUUGACAUAAUUAUCUUAGUUGGCUUAGUCUUUUUAUUUAUUGUUGAACAUUAAUGAUUAGCUAUUGAGACCAAUAUCUAUUGGACUUCUAUUUGUAUGUGUUACUUAUAAAGAUACCUAUAAAUUUUGAUUAGUAGUCAAAAGAAGCAUGAAAAAGAAUCUCAUGUCUUUUUACUUAUUUAUAUUAGAAAUAUGAUUUUUUAUGAAUUUAAAUUAUUUUUAUUAUUAUAAAAAAAUAAAAAGUAAAAAUUAUAGUUUUAAAUUGAUAUUAGAAAUAUAAAAAAAAAAAUAAGAGUUUUUAAAUUUUAUUUAGAAUUUAUUUAGAAGUUUUUAGGAAUUUUUAGAAGAAAUUAUAAAACUUUCGCAAAAUUAAAUUUUACUUCCUUAGAAGCUUUUAUGAAGAAAUGGAUCAAGAUUUGAAGGUCAUGUAAGGUUUUUGGACUAUCUAUAAACCUUCAUAACUUACAUAUAUUAAUUUGGAUUUACAUAUUUUUUACAUCAUAAAAAAGAUGAUAAAAUUAAAUUUCUAAAAAUAUAUUUAUUUUAUUUUAUUUUUUUAUUUUUUAUUGGUUAAAAAUUUAGUGAAUAGACUUUGAUUUAGUUUUAGGAUGUGAUUGCUUGGUUAAAUUUAUUUCAACUAUUUUGUUUUUGUUAUUUUUUUUCCUUUUUUGUUAUUUUUUGACCUCACUUUAUACCAUCAAUUAUAAGAAACUUUAAAUUAAGUCCAUCUUAUAAUUUGGAUUAAAGAAUAAAAUUUAUCCUUUCAAUUAUCAUGGUAAAAAGUCAUACAUUUAAUAUAACCAAAUUUUUAGUGAUAAUUGUAAGAGCUUUCAUGAAUGCUCCAAAAAAAGAGUUGCCAUUUGUAAUUUAUGCCAUAUCCAUUUUUAAUGGUAGAAAGUCUUAAAUUAGUUAUUUAAAUCAAUAUAAUUAAUAUUAUGAUAUUUUUGAAAAAAAUAGUAUUGAUAUUCUUUUAGAACAUUAUAAUUAUGAUUGCUCAAUUGAUCUUUAAGAACAAACUUAAUAGCUAUUUGGACCAAUCUAUAGUUUAUAAUUAAAUAAGUUGAAUGCACUCAAGGAAUAUAGUACUAAGAAAUUGGCCAAAAACUUUUUAUUCCAUUUAAAAUCUCAAACAUGAUUUGUUUUUUAUUUAUCAAGAAAAAAAAAUAAUUCAUUGUGGAUGUGUGUAGAUUAUUGAAGGCUCAAGAAGAUCACCACAUAAAAUAGAUUUCUUCUAUUUUAGAUAUUAUGAUUCUUUGAUCAAUUAAAGAAAGUGAAGAUUUGUACAAAAAUAGAACUAUAAGAAGUAUACAUUUUGUUAUAUUUAAAAAAUGAAGAUGUAUAGAAGACUGUAUUUUGAACUAUGUAUGAGUAUUUUAAAAUUAAUAUCAUGCCUUUUAAAUUCACAAAUGUACCAAAUACUUUUUAAUAUCUAAUAAAUGAUAUUUUUUGAUAUAUUUUAAAUAAUUUUUUAUUAUUUAUAAAAAUUAUAUUUUAAUCUAUUCUAAAAAUAUAUAAAAAUAUAAAUUUUAUGUUUGUUGUGUCUUAAAAAACUUAAAUAUACAAGUUGCAAUUUAUUUGUAUGUUUGACUUGUAAAGACAAACUUGAGUGGAAUAAUAAAGUUAAAUCAUCAUUAAAAAGCUUUCAAGUCAAUUUUAAUUUUGUCUCACAGUUCACUUUUUUGAGGCAUUUUUUAUGGAAACAGAUACAUUGGACUUUGCCUUGGGUGUGAUAUUGUCACAAAUGGGAGAAAAUGCUAAACUUCACUUAAUAGCUUUUCAAUUCAAAAAUAUUUUAGAAAUUGAAAUUAACAAUAAGAUCCAUGACAAAAAGCUUCUUACAAUUGUGGAUUCAUUUUAAGAAUAGUAUCAUUAUUUAGAAGGUACUUCUAAAUUAGUAAAAAUUUAUACAAAUUAUAAGAAUCUUAAGCAUUUUAUAUCAAUGUCCAUUUUGAACAAUUGAAAAGGCUAUUUGAGCAAGUCCAUAUCAAAAUUUGUAUUCAAUAUAUUUUUAUAUGUAUAUAGCUUGCACCAAAAGAAAGAAAUGUAAUUUUUGAUUAAUAGUGAAUUAUUCGUUUGAAGCUAGAAUAAUUUUAUCUUUGAACUAUAAAAUCAACAUUGAUUGUUGAUUUAAUUUUUUUUUAAGCAAGUUCAAUUAAAUAUAUCUUCAAUUUUUUUUAAUACCUCAAUUUUGCCUCUAUAUAUACUAUCUAACUAAAAACUAAAUGGUGAUAAUCUAUAUAACCUCCAACUCAUGUCUAAUUUGCAAAAUACAAGUCUAACUUAUAAGACAAGUUUUUUAUAUGAAUACUAUAUAGUCAAUUUGUUUUAGAAGUCAUUAAUAUGUGCAAUACAUGGCCAACUUAUUAGCCAAGUUUUCAACCUAUUAAAUACCUACAAACAAAUAUAAAGUCAAAUCCGCAUCUAUGAAGCUUUUAAGAAACUUUCCUAUAAGAUAUUAUUAAAUUUGUUUACUUUUUAUUUUUAAUAAAUUCUUAUAAAACUAAAUAUAUAUAUAUAUAUAUAUAUAUAUAUAUAUAUAUAUAUAUAUCUUUUAUAUAAAAAAUUAUAAAAAAUUUUAAUAUGAAAAAAAUAAUAUUUAAUAAAGAUUAUAUUUUAUUAUUUAUUUUUAUUCAUAAUUUUUAUAUAAUUGUGGCACUAAAGAGAUAAAAAUUCAAUAAUAAGUAAUUCCAAUACAAAAUUUAUUAUUUUUUUUACAAGAAAAGGCAUUAAAAAAUUUAUAUCUUUCAAGUUGACAUAAUAGAGAUGAAAAUCAUCAAGAACAACAUGUAUUUUUUCAAAUAAAAAGUGAGAUAUAAUGUAUUUGGUAGUAUGACCUUAGAAGAAACUCUAGAUAUUUGAAAAUAUUAUUGAAGGUAAGAACUAUUCUUGAUGGUAUUCCAAAGGAUUUAUUUAAAAAAACUAUGAAGGCCUCAACAAUAAUUAAAUAAUAUGGUGGUCUUUUUAUUUUUUUAUAGGAUAUUAUUGAUGGUUGAAAGGACCUAUCAAUUACCUUUGUAAGGAAAAAAAAGAAAAGUAUGUAGAAAAUAUAAUUUUUUGCAUCUUAAAAUUCCUCAACAUGUGAUCACUAACCCAUAUAGAACUUGUCUUUAAAAGAAAGUAUAAUAUCACAUAUACAUUAAUCUAUAUUAAAGAUGUUAAAUAGAAAUAAGUAGAUAUAAAUAGAUUUGAAUAUAUCUUGUAGAAAAACUUCUUUAAAGCUUUAGAAGCAUAAAUUCGGUUUUAUACAUAUUUGUAAGUGAUUGAUAGGUUAAAAAUUUAGCCAACAAAUUGGCCACAUGUUGCAUAUAUUUAUAACUUGUGAUACAAGUUGGCAAUGUAGCACAUAUGGAAGAAACUUGUUUUGCAAGCUAGACAUGUAUUUUACAAGUUGGACAUGUAUUAGAGGUCUUAUAAAAUAUUUCCAUAUUAUUAUAUUAUAAUAUAAUUAUAUGGUGAAAGAUUAAAAUAUAAAUUAUAUUAUAAAGGAGCCUAAUUAAAAAAUAUAGUAGCAAAAAAUUAAUAUAAAUAAAUGAAGUAGUAAAAAUUUUAGAUGUUGAUGUUUUUUUUUUAUAAAAAAGAAAAAUCUUCUACUUACUUUGUAUAGCCAUAAAUAAGACAAAAAAAAAUAGAUGAAGAAAAAAAUAUAGUUAGCUAUAGGAAGGAAAUAAAAAUAGUUAGUAGCAAAUUUAUUCUUAAGAAACUAAAAAUUGAUACUUGGAGAGGAUUGAUUAUAAAUUGGGAUCUAAAUUUGAUCACAAGAUAUCAAACCAUGUACGUACAUUGAUUUGGAGAUACUUUUGUUAAUUGAAGAGCAAGUUUAGAAAAAAAAACUUUAGAAGGUUUGUUUUAGGGCUGAUUUCAAGUGAUUUAGAGGAAUAGUUUCAAAGAGCUAUUUAAAAUAAGAGAAGUUUUAAGUGAUUUUGUAUUUUAAGAAAUAAAAAGAUGUUUACAUAUUUUAAAAAUUUAUUAGUAUUGUAGCAGGUAUAUAAGUGAAAAUUUGUGGAUUUGUAAAUUUAAUUUUUUUUGUCAAUCAAAUUGUUAGAUUGAAGGAUAUGGAAAUUUUAUUGAAUUAUGUUUUCAAAUAUUUUACUUUUAAAAUAAAUUAAUUUUUUUUAUGAUCUUGACAAAUUUUCUAGUUUGAUUGAAGAAAUAUUUUGUGAAUACAUAUUAGGCUCAAAAUUAUAUAUUUUGAUAAUUUAAAAAGAAAUUAAAUGGUUUACUAUAAAGUAAUUGCUACUAAAAGAUCAACAUCUAAUUUAAAGAGGGAAGACAGCUAAUACUUAAGAAUAUUAGAAGCUCUUUUUUUCAAUUAAUAAGUUUUAUUUAUUUCAAAUUUUGUAUUUUUUUCUUAAAGAUUUAAAUAUUUAAAAAAAUAAUCCAAAUUGAAAAUUCAAUUAAUAUUUAUUGAGAUUUUUAAAUUUUUAUAAAUAUUAAAUUAUUAUUUUAUUAAAAUUUUAUUAGGAUUUAUUUUUAAAUUUAUUAAGAUUUUAUUAAGAUAUUUUAGAAUAUUUUAAGUUUUCGUUAAAAUUCGAUUAAGAUUUAUUUAGGAUUUAUUCAUAUUUUUUAUUUUUAAUAUUAUUUAUUAUUUAUUUAGAAUUUUUUUAUAUAUUAUGAGAUUUUUUAGUAUUUUUUAAGGUUUACUUAUUAUUUUUUAUUAUUUUUUAUUAUUUUUUAUAUUUUAUUAAGAUUUAAUUGGGAUUUUUGUAAGAUUCUAUAAGAAUUUUUAUGACCUUUGCUAUUGCAAUUUCUAAUUUAUCUUCUACAGCCAAGUGUCCAAUAUAUUCUCAAGUAAGGCAAAACGUAAUAUAAUGAUAUAGUACUAAGUUAGAUAGUAUUUGUGGAAGCAAAAGUGAGGCCUUCUUUUCUCUUAUUAAUAUCUUUUUUAUUCUUAGUAUUAUUUCAAGGAUCUUUAAUCUUUUUGCCUUAUGCAAUAGCCAUUUUAGUCCUAAUAUUUUACCAUCUUUGAGUGAAUAUCCAUUCUUUUAUAGUAUCACAAGUGCAUAUUGAGAUUUUCAUUGUUUUUGAUGCAUAUCCUUGAUAUAUAUACGUUUUUAAAAGAUACUUAAAUGAAGAUUUGCAAGGAUGGUCAAUAUAUAAACAAACUUCUUUAUCCUCCAACCUUUGUGGAUGCAACAACCUUUGAUUCUUGUGUUUAUUAGCCUUGUUGGAUUUGAAUCAACUUGAUUAUAUCAGUAGUGCUUAUUUCAAAAAAAUUUACAGUUCAAUGAUCGACUAAUUCUAAGAUAGAUGAUAUUUUGGAUAACUAUUAGAAUUCAUUACUUGUUACCUACAAAAAUAAGAUGUUACUAGCCUUGGUCAACAAUCUUGAAGUACCUCAAGCAGUCUUAACUACCUCAAUGACCUAUUUUAGGCAUUCUGAAUUUUAAGCAUAUCAGCCAUGUAAAAUUUGAGAUGAUAUUUUUUAGACUAAUAAAAAAAACUAUUACCACUAAGAAGAAAUAAGCUAUGGAUCUUUUGACAAUUACUGUAGCAACUCAUGACUUCACCAAAGAUUAAUACUAAUUUCUAUUAGGCCUAGCAUUAAAUUCUAAUAUCUUAAUUUGGAUUUCUAGGAUUUAUUUUAUUUUGCAUGUAUUGCCAAUUUAUCAAGAACUUCAACUUCAUUGCUAAGCAAUUGACUAUUUUUAUAAACAAAGAUCAUUUGUGGAGAUAGAAUUGUGAGCAACUAUAGGCAUUUGAUACAUUGAAGUAGAAGUUAGAUUCAAGUAAUAUGCUUUAAUGCUAUGAUUCUACUAGACUCUUAUAGUUGCACAAAAAUUAGAUUAUACUAGGAUUGGUAGUCUUAAUACAAAAAGAUGGUAAAAGCUAGAAGUAUGUCAUUGAAUUUCUUUUUAAAAGCAAUAACAAUAUUGAAUCUAAUUACUCAUCUUAUAAGAAAGAAGCUUUGAUAAUGGUUUAUGCCAUUACGUACUUUUGUUCUUAUUUAUAUAAGCAACGGUUUACAAUUGUGACUAACUACCAAUUUCUAAAGUAGCUCAUGGAAUAAAAGAAAUACAUUGGCAAGUUUAAAAAUAUGCCUUAUUAUUAUAUAAAUAUAACUUUAAAAUUGUGCAAUAGGAAUGUAAUCCCAAAUUAGAUGUAGAUGGGCUUUUUUUAAUUUAAACUUAUAAACAAGAAUUUGACAUGAAAACUUUGAUAUAAAAAAAAAAAAAAAAAAAAGAAAAAAAAAAUCUAGUUGAUAUGCUCCAUUAUACCUUAUAUUGCUAUCAAGCUCUACAUUAAAGUAACAUAAUUAAGUUUUAUUUUUUGUUAAUACUAUAUUGUAUGUUCAUUCAAAUGAAGGUUGCAAUAGAAUCUAUACUUGCACUAAUCUGCUUUACAUAGAAAAGAAUUAUAUCUUUAUAUAUCUAUGGAGAUUAAUGUUUAUGCAAAAAGUUGAUUUCUAAGAAUUAUUAUCCUUUUUUUUUUGUUAUUAAGGCUCUUGUGUCAAUUGAUUGUAAGUAAGUUUUAUAUUAAUUAUAUGUUUUCUUAAAUUUAAUGAUUUUAUACAUAUUAAAUAAAUAAAUGAAAAUUAUAUUUUAAUCUUAUAUAGUCACUUUAAAUACAAUGGCAUGUAUUUUCGACUUAAAAAUAUUCCAAUUGUUGUAUAAAUUUUGAAGAAUAAUAUAAUCUAUAUAUUUCUAGAUAAUUUUUUAUGUUAUUUUAAAAAUAAAUUUGUAUAUUAUAAGAAUAUAAAAAAUUAUAAAAAAAUUAUAUCACAUAAAAAAAUCAGAGAUAUAAAAUAUAUAUAUAUAUAUAUAUAUAUAUAUAUAUAUAUAUAUAUAUAUAUAUAUAUAUAUAUAUGAUUCAAGUGGAAUUUUUGGAAUAUAUCAUUUUAAACAUUGGAAUUCAAAUAGAUUCUAAAAAGAUGAUAUUUUAUUUUUUAUUCUUUUCUUGCAUCAAAAAAAGAAGGUGUUACAUAAGAUGAAUAAUUUUUUUUAUUUUAAGACCAAAGCAACAACUUCAAGCCAUUAAGUCAAUAAUUUUAGUUAAUACUAUUUUUAAUAAAAAAAUUCAAGUGUAUAAAUAGACCCUUUUAUUUGUAAUAUUAUAAUUAUCCUUAAUAAUGGCUUUAAAUUUUUUGGUUUUAAGUUUAAUAUUUUUUAUUAUAAAAGACGUUUAUAUAUUCUAAAAGUUUAAGCACAUUUUGUGCACUUCAAGUACAACAUUAUUUUUUAAAAUUAUGGUAUUUUGGAAUAUAAUAAAAUUUUAGAACUUAUUUUAAGAGAUUUUAAAUAGUCUAGAAUAUAAAAAGCUAAUAAAGAAUUUGAUUAAUCUUGACAUAUGUAUUCUUAAUCAAAGACUCUAAAUAAUCAAUCCUAUAGAUUUUUUCAACUUCUAUCUAUUUUAAAAUAGCCUUGAAUGUAUGCUUUUUUGGAUUUUAUCACAAAUAUUAUAAAUUUAAGUUUUUGUAACUUUUUUACAUUGGCAGAUUGUCUAACCAAAAUAACACAUUUUUUUACCUUGUACAAAAUCUAUAAUAAGUGAAGAAAUAUCCAUGAUUUUAUUAAUAAUAUUUAUCAAUAUUAUGGAUUUUAAAUUCAUAUUACAUCUAAUCAAGGAUCUUAGUUUAUAUCAAAAUAUUAGAAGAUACUUUCUAACAUAUUAAAUAUUGAUAUUGAGUUAUCUAUAGUUUUUUAUUAAUAAAAUUAUGGAAAAAAUUAACAAGUGAAAGAAGUAACAAAGUAAUAUCUAUAAUUUACUAUUACCUAUCAUAAAGAUAAUUAAAAAAAAAAAAAAAAAAAAAAAAAAAACUCUCUUGUCAUUAUCAAAAAAUGUAUAUAAUAAUAGAAUAUAAUCAUUCACUCAAAAAAUCUAUUUAUUUCCAAUGAUGGAUAUUAUUUAUAAUUUGAUAUUUUUUACUUUUUUAAAGAAAAAAAUCUAAUAAUAAAGGAAUUAAAAAGUAGGUUGAAAGAUCUUAACACAACAAUGAAGAUACAUCUAAAGAAGACUAAACAAUUAUAAAAAAUAAAUACAAAUAUUCUUAGAUAGGAAAAACUUUAUUCAAUAUUAUAAUAAAAACAUGGUUAUUCUAUUAUAGUAUUAUGACCAAUUAAUCUUAUAAGUAGUUAGGUUAUCUAAGGUUUGAUCUAUUUAUUUUCUAAAAAUAAAUUAAUCAACUUACAUGUUAAUUAUAACUACUAUAUUUAAUAAAGAUUCAUAAUAUAUUUUAUAUUCUUUUCAUUGAGCCUUGAACUACAAUCUAAAUAUUAAAAAGAAAAUAUUUGCCACCAUAUCUUGUUAAAAUAAAAAAAAAAAACUAUCAAGAAUUUAAAGAAGUAUUAUAAUGAAUUAGAAUUUCUUGUAAAUUAUUACACAUAUUAUAUUAAUGAAUACAUAUAUGAAUGUCACGGACAUAGAAAUUGUCACGGAUAUAGAAAUACAAGCUCGAGAUCUAACAAGAAGUUCAAGAAGAAAUGACAAGAAUUAGAUUAAUCAGAUGAAUACAAGAAUAAUACUAGAGACGUGAGCUAGAGCUCCAAGAGAUGUGUUGUCGAGACUGAAGAACUCUUCAGCCUCGAUUUCAAUAUAUAUUCCUAUUUAGGAAGCUUCUCAAGUAACUUCUAUCAACUAGGAAGCUUCUCAAGUGACUUCCACCAACUAGAAAGCUUCUUAAGCAACUUCUACCAAUUAAGAAGCUUCUCAAGCAAAUUCCACCAAUUAGGAAGCUUCUUAAGUAACUUCCAUCAACUAAGAAGCUUUUAGAAGGUUCCAGAGACUUGCUUCUAGAAGGUUCUAGAAACUUGUCUGUAGAAGGUUUUAAGGACUAUGUCCCUAACAUCACCCCCUCCUUUAGCUUCGAGGUCUCUGAGAAGCAAUGUUGUUGUUAAUCAGUACCAAUGCAAGAAAAUGAAGAUCUGUCACAUAAUGUCUGCUAUGAACUCCAAUUGUUGUUCACGAGGCAAGUGGUUCAUCGACCCUUGAAGCUAAUGGGAGUGACCCACGCCUUCGACUUCUGACCAAGCAUGACCUUCCGUGUCCUCAUUGUGAAAUUGUCCUACAAAUACGCCUUCUAGCUGACCAUCAUAAGCAGGCUCGAACUCAAAUACAAUCACCAGUGAUCGGUUACUCGGUAUCCUUCGUUGUUGUCGUGGUGUAGGCGGUUCUUCAUCUCGAGGUCGCCUUCAUGAGCUAGUCGAUUGAGAUAAUUUGAUUGCAUAGUAUCUAUCUCUUGGCUAUCCAUAUCAAAAGACCAAACUAUAGCUAUUGAAAAAAUUCUAUUUUAUCUUGAAGAAAAUAACUACAUCAACUACGAAUUUUGGUGAUGCUCUCCCCCUUUCUUGUAUUCUUGGGUGAGCAAGCUUUAGAAGGAAGCUAUUGUCGAACCAGCUUAGGUUUAUGAAGAAGUUGUUGAUGAAAUUCAUGUACCUUUUGCGACGCAUUGGCGAGAUUUUCAACUGGCUCCCACGUUGUCGUGUUGUAACACGAGUAUACCUUGAAAAUAUAAAGAAAAGAGACUUUUAUUAAUAUUUAGUUACCUCGAAUAUUGGGGGCAACGACCAAUUCCAGUGCAAAUACUGGGAGGCCAGGGUCAGUCACCCCAUUAGAGUCAGCUGGGGCAUACUGAAAUGCUCCGUUCAAUUCCAAUAACGGGAGUCAGCAAAAAAGGGAAAGGACCAAUUCAAUGACGGGUGAGCUUGGUUCGAAGAGCCAAUUGGAUUCAAUUUCAAGACAUCCAAUCCAGGUCCUCUUACCCAAUAUGAGACCUAAAUUGGUCGGGCAACCCAAUGUAGUCUAAUUACGGAAAAAUCUAGGUCUUACUAUGGGCCUCAACCAAUCUGACGCGAAGGACCAAUUUGAUCCAAUUACGGGAACAUCCGGGUCUUACUACUCGACUCUUAUCCAAUAUGAGACCUGAAUUGGUCGGGCGACUCAAUGUGGUCCCGAUUACGGGGCUCCGAUUCCAUUUCAGGCUAUUCCGUCCUUUGUGCUGUUCCAGGAACAUCCUUUCGGUAAAAAGAUCUCUUAAAGGUAAAAACGGAGGAGAAAGCUUUGACGGCGAGAGCCAAUUUCGGAUCCAAGAUGGAAGAUUGAAGAAAUUCAAAAUUAAGAUUAAGAAAUGAGAGGGGGAAGAAGAGAGUUUUUUUAGAGGGAUCGGAGAGCUAGCUUCAUGCUUCGGGAAGGGAAAAAAAGACAGAGAAUUGGGUUUUUUUUUCUUCAUAGGGUUUUGGGAAGACUGAGGCAAUCAUUGCUGAAGUCAAUACGGUACUGGUGAAUCGGGAUUUUAAUGAAGUGGGUGUGAUUACUCUUGACUGUUUUGUGAAAUCGAGUUACAUCUGUGAUGAAGAAUUAAAAGGAUGUUUAUAGGAUUGAGUAUGCAGAGUGAAUGAAAUUUAUUGGAUUAAUCUAACAAGACAAUCAGUUGAUACAAGUUCGUGAGUAUAAAGUGGUAUCAAAGAUUAGCAGUUUGGGUUGUUCGGGGUUCUCUGUAACAUCUAGAGACCUACCGGCUGGGGCAAAAAGGAUUUCGACAAGCAGUCGAAGGGCAUCCAUAUAGAUUUAUGGUAUAUUCUUGUAGUUGUUUAUAUUCCAACAGUCAAUAAUCGAUAGACUGCUUGAAUAUUGGUGAAUCUCCAUACUACCUUCUAUAGCCAGAUGCCCGACACGUUCUCGAGCAGGAAAGCACGUAAUACGACAACGUUUCCUCAUUAAUGUCAUAGCCGCACCAAGAAAAAGAUACUCCAACUUACCCCGCCUUCGCCGUGUAUCCAACACCUUUUUGACCUCAUAUUCCUCGUAGUUCUCAAUCUCAAUACUAGUUGGCAGAUAUUGCACUCUUCCAGGAAAAGACGACUCUUGAUAAGGCUCCAACAAAGAAACAUGAAAGACUGGAUGUACCUUCAUAAAAGCCGGUAAUUCCAGAUGGUACGCCACUAGAUUGAUUUGCUUCUGGAUGAUAAAUGGUCCCAAUCUUCGAUAGUCCAACUUAUCACAUGGUCGCUUGGUCUUGAUAUUCCAUCAAAAAAGCUAUGCUUUAUCUCCAAUUUUGAAAGUAGGUGCUUGAUUCCGAAAUCUAUCUACAGACGCCUUAUAGGAUUCUUCAUCGGAUUGUAAUUGAAGCUUCAAUGUAUUUUGAAGCUCUGAUAGUUGUUUCGCAAAUCUUUCAGCUGUUGGAUUGUUAUUUGUUGACGGACUCAAUAAAUCAAGCUUUGGAUGAUAUCCAUAGUUGGAAAAGAAUGAUGUAUAUUGAGUCGACACAUGGAGGGUGUUGUUAUAUGCAAACUUGGCUAGCGAUAGAUAUGCAGUCCAAUCGUCUUGCAGAUAGUUGAUGCUGCAUCGUAAGUAUCGUUUCAAGACUUGGUUCACCCAUUCCGUUUGGCCAUCAAUUUGAGGAUGAAAAGUCGAAGAAAGCUUGAUAUGCACCUUCAGUAUCUCAAAGAAAGAUCUCCAAAACUUUGAUACGAAUUGGGUUCCUCGAUUUGAUAUGAUAUCAUUUGAUAGCCCAUGAUAUCGAUACACAUUAUCGAGAAAGAGCCUUGCUAUGACUUCAUUCGACGAUGUCUUCUUGCAAGGGACAAAGUGCGCCAUCUUUGUAAGCCGAUCUACGAUGACAAAGAUGUUGUCAAAUGAGUUCGGUGAUCGCAGGUCCGUGAUGAAGUCCAUGGAAACUAAAGACCAUGGUCGACGUGGAAUCGGCAAUGGCUGUAGAAGUCCAUAAGGGCGAUGUCGAGGAUUCUUGGAUCUUGAACAAAUGUGGUAGGAGAGGACAAAAUCUUUCACAUCCUUCCACAUUUGGAGCCACCAGAUAUCUUGAGAAAUAAGCUUCAAAGUCUUGUUGAAUCCAAAAUGUCCCACAACUGGAAAAUCGUGGCAAGAUUGAAGAACUUGAGUUGUGUUGGUCCUUUCGGAAUAUACAACUGCUCCUCAAAGUAUAAAAGAUCUCCCUCCACCUUGAACUUGUCAUCAUUAGCAUGUUGCUUGAUAUCAAUGGCUACUGAAUCUUCAAUGGUCACAACACAUACCUGGAUCAGGAAAUCAACAUCAAUUGGCACAAUAGUAGCACAAAGCCAAAAUUACUCUGGCUUCAACAACAUCGUACAUUGUUGAUCAAACACUACUUUUCUAGCCUUUAGUAUAAGAUACGAUCUCUUCGAUAAGGCAUCCGAUAGUCCUUGUUGCUUUCCAGGUCAAUAAGUGAUAACAAAAUCGAACCUAGAUAGCGACAUACUCUAUCGAGCUUGACGUCGAUUUAGAACUCAAGCCGACAUAAAAUAUUCUAAAUUCUUGUGAUCUGUGUAUUCGAUCAUUGGAUGUGUAGCUUUUUUAAGAAGGUGACGCCAUUCUUGGAAAGAAUCCACUAUAGCAAGAAGUCCUUAUUGUGGAUCUUAUAAUUGAUUUUAGUAGUAGAGAACUUUCGAGAAUAGAAUGCAACCGGAUGGGGCUUCUUGUCUUCUCCCAUUUGUGAAAGUAUAGCUCCCAAAGCAAAAUCCGAAGCAUCAGUUUCUAAAUAGAAGGCCUUCGUAAAGUCUGGAUGUAUCAAGAUUGGAACCGUAGUAAAUGUGGUCUUCAGGUCAUGAAACGCCUUCUCUGCUAGAGGUUCCUAUUCCAGCUUAUCCUUGCAUGUCAACCGAGUGAGAGGAGCAGCAACUUGAGAGUAAUUCUUGAUGAAGAUCCGAUAGAAGUUAGCAAAACCAAGAAAGCAUUGUACGUCUCUAACCAUCUUUGGAACCUCCCAAGUCACGAUUGCUUCUACCUUCUUGGGAUCCAUCUUCAAGCCUUUCGUAGUCGCAACGAACCCCAAAAACUCCAUCUCCAUUUGGUGAAAUAAACACUUUUCCAACUUGGCAUAUAGUCUUCGCUCACAUAGUUUCUCUAAGACCAAACGAGCGUGCUUUUCAUGCUCUUUUUCGUUUCUAGAGAACAUCAAAAUAUCAUCCAAGUAGAUGACAACAAAAUUAUCAAGGUGUUCCCGAAAAAUAUCAUUCAUCAUAUGUUGGAAGACCGCUGGAGCAUUGGUAAGACCAAAAGGUAUGACAUUAUACUCAAAAUGGCCAUACCUUGUACGGAACGUUGUCUUCCAUUCAUCUCCUUCAUUGAUUCGUAUGAGGUUGUAAGCUCUCUUUAGAUCAAUUUUUAUAAAGAUCUUUCUACAUCCAAGUUAUUCUAAGAGAUCAAAAAUCAAGGGUAACGGGUAACAAUUCUUCUUUGUUAUCUUGUUGAGGCCUCGAUAGUCCACGCACAUCCACAACGAGCCAUCUUUCUUCUUCACAAAUAAGAUGGGCGUCCUAGUUGACGAUUUUGAAUGACGGAUGAAGUUCUUGGCUAGAUUCUCGUCGAUGUACUUCUGCAACUCCACCAACUUCGUCUGCGAUAGAUUGUAGAUUGGGCCAAAAGGCAGUUGUACUCCUUCUUGCAAGUCUAUGGCACAAUCAUAUAGUCGGUGUUCCGGUUGCAUGUCGGCAUUCUUCUUUUGAAACACGUCUUUAAAAUCCUUAUAUUACUUCGAUAUACUUGCUGUCGAGAUCUUCACUCCAGUAGUUAGAGCCGCAUAAAUGACAAACAGUGUACCUUCCUUGAACGAUCUUAUAAACGCUCUUGCUCUAAUAAAUAAGGAUUUCUCUAUUCGGGGUUUUCUACUAGGCUUGUUCUUGGGUGGUUUUGUGGAAAAGGUCAUCUUCCACAACCUCCAAUCUAUGAAUGGGUUAUGCUUUUUCAACCAGGAAAGACCAAGAAUAACAGAAUUUGAUGGAGUUUUAAUAAUAUUGAAAAUAAUAUGACUACUAUGGCCCUUAAACGUCACUUCUUUAGGUUCUGAUUCAUGGGUGACACUACUAGACAAUAAAAGUCGUCCAUCUAUGACCUCAACGUUAACAGGUUUGGAUUUUUGUACUAAAGAGAUCUUAUGACACUUCGCAAAUUCUUCGUCUAAGAAACAAGCAGAUGCUCCUGAAUCUAAUAAUGCUAAGGUUCUCAGUUUUUGAGGGCCAAUGAACAAAGGGAUUAUAAAACAAAGGGCAGGUUGAGCGGAAAGAAAGGAACCUGGUUGUUGUUGCGAUAUUUCACUGUCCAGCCUUACGGUUCCUAUUGUAGCUGACAUCUUCGUUUUCCUAAACAAACGCAUCCUUGGUCCUGACAGUGUAUCAAUUUUACUUCUUGGGACAGCUUCCAUUUUUGUGGCCUUCUUCACUGCAAUAUAAGCAUUGACCUUCUUCCAUACGUUGCUUUUUUUCUUCUAGAGUAAGAGAUUUGACAUGUAUCGCAUUAAUUUGCAUGUCUUCUACAUCUAAAUGUGAAUUCACGCUACUUGCCAACAUAGUUGGGGCGUGGCAAAUCAUAUAUUAUCUUGAACAUUGAUCUUGGCAACGUUGAAAUAGGUAGUUAUUGUACUUCAUAGCUUGGCUAAUAGCUUCGUUGAGCGUUCGUGGAUCAAGAAGAGUUAACAACAAAUCCUUCACAUCGUCCUUUAAACCCCAAUAGAAUUGACUCAUCAAUGCUUCUUCAUCCCAAUUGAUGUCAUAUGCUAAUUGCCUGAAAUCCGAUGCAUAGACUGAUGUAGAGUGCAUCUCUUAUCGUAGUGAUCGGAUCUUUGUUGUAGCCCAUUGAACCUUGUCGUGUUCACCAAAUGCUUCCCCAAACGCCUCCAAAAAGGUUUCAAAGUUGUUUAGUAUGGAUGAUUGUUUCUCAAACAAAGGAGCAAACUAUGAUAGAGCUUGCCCUAUAAGUGAGGUUCCAACAGGUCCAACAUGUGACUCCUGCGUUGGAUAGCAUUCGGGCUGUAAAACUGUUAUCAACCUGAUUUGAUUGAUGAAUCCUCGAAACUUGGAACGCAUACCAUCGAACUUGUCUGGAAGGCUAACUUGAGACUCCUUAUGUUGUAGAACCAGCGGUGCUUGUCAAACUUGAGGCAAAGUUGCUUCUCCAAGUGCAGAAGUUUGAGGUUGGUGCAACCUAGAUUGUGCCAUCCCAGAUGCUCCAUCAUUAUGAAGCCUUGCCAUGACUCCUUCAAUCUCUGCACUUCUUUGCGAUAAUGUAGUAAGGACAUUCAUAAUAACAUCCAACUUGGACUCCAAACUUUUUGUCAUACUAAUGUCUUGGCCUCCGGCCAUUCUAAGAGAAGGACAGAAAUGACUCUACAAGAAGACAAUAUUGGUUUAGAGGAGGGUACUCCGCAACCUCUAAAACACCUUAAAUGCUUCAAAAAAAGGGAUAAUCCACUCUCUCCAAGAAGAAUAAGACUCCAAUAUUGUAACAAAAGAAGUAUCAAUUUAGAAGAGGGUAAUCCGCAAUCUCUAAAACGCUAGUACACCUUCAAGCAGAGGAGUAAUCCACACUCUAACGAGGAAGAAACUAGCUCUGAUAUUUGAGGUGAGUUUAGUCUCGACAAACUGUCACGGAUACAGAAAUUUUCAUGGACACAGAAAUAUAGGCUCGAGAUCUAACAAGAAGUUCAAGAAGAAAUGUCAAGAACUAGAUUAAUCAAAUGAAUAUAAGAACAACACGAGAGACAUGAGCUAGAGCUCCAAGAGAUGUGUUGUCGAGACUGAAGAACUCUUCAGCCUCGAUUCCAAUAUAUACUCCUAUUCAGGAAGCUUUUCAAGCAACUUCUAUCAACUAAGAAGCUUCUCAAGCAACUUCCACUAACUAAGAAGCUUCUCAAGCAACUUCCAUCUACUAGGAAGCUUCUAGAAGGUUCCAAAGAUUUGCUUCUAGAAGAUUCUAGAAACUUGUCUCUGGAAGGUUCUAAAGACUAUGUCCCUAAUAAUGAGCCACUUAAGAUUCUUGCAAAUGUGUUAGGAUUUAUUUCUAUUUUUCAUCAAUAACAUCCAUUAGAAUUAAAGACCAAAUAUUAAUAAUAAUAUGGUACAAAAUAAGAAAAAAAAAUCUAAAAAUUAAUUCUUAGAAUUUCUUUGCAAUAUGAAAAAAUCAAUAGCUAAAAACUUCAUCUCAAGAAUUAUCAUUUAUAAAAUUGUGAUAUAAAAUACUUAGGUAGCCUUAAUUUAGAAUGCAUCAAAAUUUAAAUGAAGAUCUUUACAAGAUAUAUAUAUAUAUAUAUAUAUAUAUAUAUAUAUAUAUAUAUAUAUAUAUAUAUAUAUAUAUUUUAAAAAUAUAGAACAUAUUUAAUACCACAAUCUUGGAAAACACUCUUGAUAAUUAGUAAUACUAUAAGAAGAAAAUAUCAUACUUUAUGGCAUAUAAAUUUUUUUCUUUGAAGAUAGUCAUGAAGACCUCAAUAACAAUUAAAUAAUUGAGUGGUCUUUGUAUCUUAUUAUGAUACAUUAUAAAUAGUUAAAGAAAUCUAUAAAUAACCUUAAUGUAAAAUAAAAAUAAAGUCUUUUAACUAAAAACAUUCAGUGUAUCUUAAUUUUUAUUAACUUAUAAAAUAAUUUAAUUAUUUCUUAUAGAAUUGAUAUCCUAAAAGCAAAGAUAAUAUAAUGGAUGAUCAUAUUAUUUAAAUAAAUAGAAGUAGAUAGAAAUAUGUUAGGUGGAUAAUAUCUUUCUUUAGAAGCUUUUAUGAAGUUUUAUAGAUGUAAAUUAGAUAUUAGACUUUUAUAGAUAAGCCAUGUGAUUAUUCAAAAAGAAUCUAUAUAUUAUUUUCCUUUUAGAAAGUUGUCCUAGAAACAAUUUACAACUUAACACUUGAACUACAAGCUUCACAGUUUGUAAAAAGCUUCCAUAAGACCUCUUUGGUAACUAUAUAUAUAUAUAUAUAUAUAUAUAUAUAUAUAGAUGUAAGAUUAAAGCUAUCCUUAAUUUUUUUAAUAUUUUUCUUAUAUUCUAUUUUUAGUUCAAGAAUUUAUAGAUUUUAUGUAAUAAAUAACUAAAUUAUAUUUCUUUCUAUCUUCUAUCUCAUAUUUAUUCUUGUUUGUCUAUUUUCUAUCUUUAUUAAUACCAGGGUGUAUUAUCUUUACAAAAUUUUGUCUUUAUUUAUAUUUUUAACAUUACAACUAUCAAAAAAUUAUAUAUUUAUUUCUAUUGAUCUUUACAAGAUAUGAUUGAUUUCUUAAAUAUAAGGUAAAAAGACAUAAUGAAAAAAAUUCAAUUCAUCAAUGAAUAAAAUAAUAGUAAUUAUAUCUUUUAUAUAAUUAUAAAUACACUAUUGUAAGACUAUGUAGAAUUAAUAUUUUUUAUUGCUUAAUAUUUUAUUCAUAUUUUUGAAAUUUCAUUUAAUUUAAAAAUUGGAAUCUAUAUUUUAAUAGUCUCUGUAUUGAUUCAUACCUAUAGUAAUAGUUUCAAGAAUUGGUUGUAAUCACCUUUGAAUUUGUAUAAGCUUUGAUUUGAAUUGAAAAGAGAACAUUCUUUAUAUUGAAUGGCUUUAAGUAUUGAACUAAAGACUUUAUUUAUAGAGCCUUGUUGUAUAUGUUGUUGUGAUUAGAUAUAUAUGUAAUUUAACUAAAUGAAAAAUUUUAAUUUUUUAAAAUUUGAUUGCCAUUUUUGUAUUUGUAUAUAUAAAAGAUUUCUUAUUCUUCUAAUUUAUUUUUUAAACAAUGUAAAGAAGUUUUACAAUAUAAUCAUGAUAUAACCUUAAAACUCUUGUCUCCAAUUAUAUGUAGAGAAAUAUUAUAAGUAGUUUUCUUUUUCUUUUAUAAUCUUUAUUAUUAUUAUUAUUACUACUACUACUACUAUUACUACUAUCUAAAGAUCCUUCAUUAUAAAUUUCUUCAACAUUAUCUUCUCAUAAAAUAACCCUAAUAAAUGAGAAAUUACAAUUUAUUCAAUUAACCUUAAAUUACACAUUAAUCUGAUUGAUUAGGUCUUGUUUUUUGGAAUAUAAUACAUGACCUCAAAGUCUCUUUUUGGGAUCUGGAGUGUUUGGGACGUGGAUUGGGAACUUGACGUGAGGGAGGGAGGGAAGGGGAGGUUUAGGGUUUUAGCGACUCGUUGCGUUGUGUUGCAGAAGGGGCUUGAGCUAUGGCGAAGAGGCGGGGAGAGGUCGCUGCUUCGUAUGCCGUCGACGCAAACUCUGGUGUUGGUGAGGCGGCCUUUAGUCGAGGGCCGGCACGCCUCUUGACGGCCGAUGGAGACCGUCACGACGGGCGCCAGCUGCAUGAAUGUCGACUGAAUUUCUUGAAAACGGGAGCGGUGAGUUCAGCAGCAGGGUCGGCGUACGCGGAGAUCGGACAGACGAAGGUGAUCGUCUCAGUCUUCGGGCCUCGGGAGAGCCACAAGGCCGAAGCCUUCAGUGGGAUCGGAAGAUUGAAUUGCAACGUCCAGUAUGCGUCGUUCGCAACCUCGGUUAGGGGAAAAGCGAACCAGGGUGCAGAGGAGAAAGAGUUCCCGGUGCUGCUGCACAAGGCAUUGGAGGGCGCCGUGAUGCUUCACACGUUUCCGAAGACGACUGUGGACAUCUUUGCGCUUAUUCUGCAGUCGGGUGGAGGGGACUUGCCGGCGGUGAUUUCGUGCGCUUCGAUGGCGUUGGCUGAUGCCGGCAUUGCAAUGUACGACCUGGUUUCUGCUGUUUCUACUGGCUACGUGGGCAAGGAGGUGCUCUUGGAUACGACCUUGGAGGAGGAGAAGUGUAGCGAUGGUGAAAUGAUGGUCACGUUUAUGGCGUCCCGGAAUGAGAUCACACAGCUGAAGAUCACUGGACAGUGGCCUGAUGCGACGAUGAGGGAAGCCUUGAGUGUUUCUUUGGAUGCAUGUGCGAAGCUAGCCAAUGUGAUGAGGGAGUGUCUGAAAGAAGAACUAGCUGGCGUGGACGAAGACGAGUAAGAUGUUCGACCGCAUGCGACCAGCUUGAGAAACCAACCAUAUGACUGCCCUGAUUCUCGGCCUCGUUUCGAAUUUCCUCGUCUUUUUGAGUUCUAGACCUGUUUUGGGGUUUGCCCUGCCAGGAGGUCGAUUAGAGAAUUAGCCUGAUGUCGAACGUUCAAAGCUGUCCAAAUGAGUAGAAGAUGAAUCAAUUCCAAAUGCGAAGUAGAGAUGUAGUUUGAAGUAUGUCGUACCGUUUUGUAGGAUGUCCGUAAAGGAGAGCACAAAUAUUUUGUAGAUAGCUUCUCCAUUUAUCCCAGUUAUAACUGUGCUGUGGACAAUGGCACCACAAUUACCACAGACCAGUGUAAACUGCAUGGCCCCCUUGAGACCUUGAAUUGUAUCAGUACUUCUUUGCACGAGAAAGAAAGAUGUUGCUUUUCCUGAUUAAUGGGCGCUUACAUUAAUUUUUGUGAACUUGAGGAGUCUGAAUUACUGCGCAGUAGUGGGAAUCACUUUUUACGAUUGCGUUCAGUUUUGAUAAUUGCUAUUGUUCUUCCAGAUUCACUGCUUUUCAUGAAUAUGAUUGUUCUCUUAAAUCUCAUCUUAGAGUAUGCGCCGAUUGUUAUACGUGUGAUUCAACCUAUCAAUAGAACGGCAACACAGGUAAGCAAUAUUGCCAGCGGAAGAGACACAUGCAACUAACUGGAAAGUGUUGGACAUGUGAUGGGGUAUUUCAUGAAAUAGUAUACAACUUUUCAUCACUUUCAGCAGUAGUGGACAGGUAACAAACAUUAUUUUGCAGUUUGAUUCGGUGGUGUGUAUGAUGUCUAUUUAAGAUGUGUACAAGAACAAGUGUCUGCACAAGCAAUGUGAAAACGGUUGGUUUUUCUGAUUUCGUAAUUUAAUGGACAGGACUAUUCUGCAGUUGCAAAUUUCUAAUUAAUCACUUGCAUUUUCAUUAGUCGUAUGUACUUUGCAUAUGACAACAAUAGUGAAGGUUAAAAAUUUAAUUUCAUGGGAGAGCAAGUCAUUUCGACUAUCAGAAUAAUAUUCUGAAACACUCUCCGAAAAACUCAUUCGAGAACGUUAAUUACGUAAUACGUAACUACGAUGACUUAUACCUUCAGAAUGACAUCAUGCACUCAAUUUUGUACAUGGAACUAGAAUAGUAGAUAUCACAGAAAAUCCUUGUGUUCAAUAAGCGCACUUUAGUAGAGUCGUAUGCUCCUGCCAUCAAAUGCAACACGUAUGAAGCAUUUCAGCCGCAUGGAGCGGCAGUUCGGCAGUUGCGUUGCCGUUCAGUGAAGCUCAGCUGCUACCAUUCUGCACCUCAGUUGCCGUACUUUGGAGCGACGAGUCUGAGAUCUGCCCCGCGAUGGGCUCCUCUUGCACUUCCUCUUUCAAAAGAGACUUUCUCUCCGAACGAAGUCUAUGACGCAGCGACGAACCGCACAUCAUUUUCGACGAUUCGGUUCGAGAUAUAGUUUUAUUAGGCACUGGAGCAUGAGACCUGUAAAAAGAAAACAAAAUUUAAGUUCAUUAUUUGUACUCCAUUUACGAACUCUCCGCAAGACUUAAGUGCUGGGGCUAAUUUCGAUUCGAGAAGUGAUUCAGACCUACACUACAUCCAUAAUUUCCAGAACAAAUUUCGCAAAUCCGUGAGUAGAAAUCAUCAACAACGUUGUUCUACAUGACACUAAAUUGAAUCGGAACAAAUAAGUCGGCCUUGUAUAAUGGUAACAGUCUCAAUAAAUUAUGAUCCGUAACAUAAUGAACUACGCAUGUUUCAGCUUAUGAUUAUCCUUGGCGAGGUUCACAAUCAGGUUCAAAACUGAUGUCGAGAGAGAAGAUUAGUUCGAUAAACUACUAUUAUAAAUAAUAAAAAUUGUGCGUCGGUAUGACGAUGUAGUCACUCCAAUACAACCAUUUUAACUGAAUUUUAAUAGCCGAUGUGGUACUCCACUACUUGCUACGGGAUGUGUGAGUGCAAGGCUCUUACUGGCGCAAGCUCUCCACAAUGUACGAGGCAUACAAAUCCCUGCACGCAACAACCAUGAUAAUAAGUACCACACCAAAUCAAGAGAUAGCCUAAGCUACUCAACGAUAAACAGAUUAAGAUAUCCCUCAGCUUGGAUGAGACACUCCACUUCGUAAGUGAUUUGGACAAGAAGCGUAAAUUAGAAUAAUUCCAAGUAAAAAAGGGAACGGCAAAGUUGAGUUGAUUACAUCGAGUGGCCGAUAGCGGCAAUAGCAGCCUCAUGACCCAGGAAUUCGUCAACAGCAACUGACUUGUUCUCAUUUUUCUUGUCUGUCGAAAAACGAAGUGCCAGUGAAAAAGAUAUCGUACCCGCUUUAGCAAGAACUAAAUCAGACGCACAGCAGGGAAUAUCAAAGCAUAUCAAUAUAUAAAAAACAGAAUGCUUCACAUAUCUCGGUCCAAAGUUAGGACAUGAAAGACUUACAGUCCUCAAAAAACCGACGAAUUUCUGCAAGACGGUGAGGUGGAAGCUCCUUGAUGUCCUUAAAGUCUCUGUACUCGGGAUCAUCAGCACAGACAGCGAUGAUCUUAUCAUCUUUCUCACCUUGGUCAAUCAUGGGCAUAAGGCCGAUAGCGCGAGCGCGAAGGAAGCAUCCAGGGAGAACAGGUUCCUGCAUGAUGACAAGGACAUCGAUGGGAUCCUCAUCUUCACAGAGCGUGCGGGGGAUGAAACCAUAGUUGUGGGGAUACACAACCGAUGAGUACAGGAUACGGUCAACCUUGAUCAGACCACUCUUCUUGUCAAGCUCGUACUUGACUUUGCUCCCCUUUCCGAUUUCAAUAACCUGUAAAUGCAUGCAAACCGCGCUCAGAAAUUCAUCACAAAAAGAAUCUGGACUUUGAAAUGUAUUCUAAAACUUACAUGAACCAAAUCUCAGUCUAAGUGCAUGAUGAAGUUUUGAAACUUCCUUUUGGUACGCAUUUACUCAGUGCGAUCUGCAGAAUCAAGGGAGUACUUACACAGACACACACAUACAUGUAAAUCGUUCUUUCAGGGAGAACACUGCUUCGGAUAGUUUAACGUCACUUACACAGUUGAAAAUGGCAGGUGCCUGAGGACCUGAACCGAAAAAAACCAAAAAAAAAAAAUUAAUAAAUAUGAACGAUAGGCACUGUUGGAGAUUGAUAAAAAUCUUCAGAAGGGAAAAAUAAUAAUAAUAAAUAAAUAAAAAUAAAAAAUUUAACUGAAUGAAGAUCGUCUACAGUGGAUAGGCCAACAAAAGGUAACCUUACCGAUUUCCAGAUCGUGCCACGGGUGGGCAGCCACAGUGCGACGUUCCAUACCGGAAAGAAUGCGGGAGUUAAGCGGUAAGACUUUGUGAGCCGGCUCCUUAGCUGGAGCACCCGCAUAAGACGUCAUACUUCUUAAUGAUGAAAUGAGAAAUAUGAACGUCUUUACGCAAGGAAUAACAAUAAGCCUUCAAAUUUGAAGAAAACAAGCGAUAGCAAGACGUCACAAAAAGUCUAGUAUUUAAAACCAACAAAAUGACACACUCAACGCAAGGAGAUGUCCUCGAAAUUGAAGUUUCAGACUAAACAAAUUUACGCCAUGCAUCACAUCUGAGUGCUAUUCAAACAACUGCUAAGAGAACUGUGACUAAGCGCUGAGAAUGCGUGGGAAUGCUCCAACGAAGCAAAAUCUUGGUAAUGCAACAGGAGAAGCGCAUGCUAGUCGUGAUGCGCUAAAACUAAGAGUGCUAAGAACGCACGAGAAUGGCUAAUAAGCGUGCCGAUCCAACACGCUCACAUCGUUCACGUAUCGGAUGAGUGGUUAACCACUCAAUAAACCCUCAAGAUGCCCGAAAUUCCAACAUGGCUUGAAACAAAGUAAGAACGCAGCAUCCAAUGAUAAAGCGGAGGAAUUAAUAUCAGCUCUGAAAGCUCUGUAAGGCCUAACUACAAAACUCGCAUGGUCCAUUGGGAGGAAACUUAGUAGUACCUACAUCUCAGAAUAAAAUAUGACUUAGACGACCAACAAGUCUCGCCCUGGGAAGGGCUUGAUUAACAAUGAGAAUAAUCUCAGACCUGCAAGGUGCUUCAGAUUUCAAUACGAGGCUUAAUGUAGCCCAACUUCAAAAUUGCUACGAACACAUCGGCAUUCACAAAAACCUUGACUAGUAUUCAAUUUCCAAGACUAUGGAAUGAUCAGCUUUCUGUCUUAGAGUAAUAAAUGUGGAGGAAUCUCCCCACCUAAAACACGUCGAGAAACGAUCAAGGACACAAAUACUCCAAUCAGAGAUAAUUUCCGUGAUUUCACAACCUCUGAAAAACACAAUCGAACGAAAAAAUAAAACCAAAAGAGGGGGAAACACAAAACGAUCUUAAGCUAGCUUACUACAGACACUCAACAGUCAAUUCUUCGAAACAGAAAGCUAAAUGCACUCGAAGACUCACGUCGUCAGAUGCAAAAAACCCUUCCGCUCAGAAAUUAUGCUCAAGAACCAACAAACGCUCAUCAUCAAGCGCCACCCAACUCCACACGCACACCCACACAACACCUAGAUCUCAACAUAGCUCACAUUCCAUUCCCAGAUCCAUCCACUCACCUGGCCAAGAGUUGCCCCGUCGUGGGCACCCUCCCAAUCAAAUGCAAAAAGACCCAACAAAAGAAAAUAAACGACCGCUCACACGCCGGCAGUUACUCCAGAAAUCUUGUGCUCAACAGACCCACGAAGAAGGGAAAAAGCUUGUAGUGAGCCACAGAGGAACACAAGAAGACACAAGCCUGCAACUGAAGGAUGGCAGCGGCGAGGCUUAUAGUGCUUCCCUUUCCGCGCAAAAUCAGCGUGUGUCCGCCGAGAAAACGAGUCCCCUCGCGUCGCAGCAGCACGAGCCAGCAGCAGCAGCCAGCCGCUGCUGCUGCUGCAACCGCGUCGCGCCAUCACGCUUCCGCUAGCACGAGGCACAUCAUGUGGCCGACAGGAUUCGAACCCAAAAUCGAUUAACUUCGGUCCCCUCUCUGAUCGGGAUUGGGGAACGUGCAUGAAGUGUUCCAUCCCCACCGCGUUCCAUUCCCACCGUCGAUCUGGCGGCGCGCAGAUCGACCGCGCUCUCGUCAUGUGCACAUCUCGAACCUCGAUUGUCCUCGGAAUAUCCUUCGUAUAAUAGUGUAUACAUAUUACACCCAUUUGGGAUUCGUAUGAUAAGUCUUGUAUUAUACUUAUAUCCCAUAAGCAUGUUUCUGCAGCGCAAAAAUUGAUGGUUGUCAGUUAUUCUACGGUAUGUGCAAAUUUCGUUUAUGUUCUUUUUUUUGUUUCCUUUCUGUUUUUUUUCCAACUCCAAUCCGCUACAAGUGUCUGUUUGUGAAGAUUGAACAACUGAAUAGUUUUUUUACACGUAUUUUGCGUGUAGGAUUUAGAAUACGUAGGAUGUAUGCGAUGAGUGUGAGAGUGUGACUGGGUUGCUGAAUAUGGCAAAUAGUUUCGUUACUGAAAAGUCAAACAAGUGGGAUGUUGCUAUUUCCAGACAAAAAGUGUGGGAGUGUUUCUGAAUUUAUUAUCAUACAAUUCUUUUAACUUUCUAAUUCUAUUGCGGGUAAAGUAUUUUUCAUAUCAUUUUGGUGCUUUGAGAUUUGGGUGCAUCGUAGCUUGUGAUUUUUUCAUAAUGAACUCAUAAAGCACUUCGGUGAGCUACAUUAGUACUUUGCACGCUUCCCAUUUAUUGAUGCAAAUGAAAUCUCCACGUGUGAAAGAAUGGUUUCAAUCUCAAAGCAAUCUCAUUGUUCCCAUCCAUAUGAUGCAGACUUUUGAAAGACUUAUCUUCAAAAGACCAAUGCAUAAGUUUCUGCAAGAUACUUGAAAGUGGGAUGAGAGAAAGAGAAAAUUUAUUCAAGUAAAUUGAAGACAAGAAAGGUGGGAUUAAUAGUUGUAUCUAAACUCUCAACGCUUGUGUGCUUUGAUGUGGGUUUUGUCUUUUGGAUUGGAGGAGUACAGGUUAACAGAGUAUUUACCUGCUCUAACAAUAAAUAAAUAAAUAAAAAGCAUGCUUCAAAUAAUAUGGAGUUUAUGCUAUAAAUAAUUGAAAGAGAGAUUCAAUGACUUAAUUCUACAAUUAUUCUUAACUUUAAGUUCUAACAGAUUAGUCCCUUGCCUUUUUUAUUAAAUACUUAUUUGGGUGCUCAUAGUUUCAAACGUUUUGGGAGAACUUUAAGAAAUGCAUGGAUGCUGCUAUCAAUGUCAGAAAGGUCAAAAUGGUUUUAAUUUGGACCUUACUAAUUGAAAUGCUCAAUUUGAAGUUUAGACCUUGAAAACAACACACACAAAUAUAUAUAUAUAUAUAUAUAUAUAUAUUCAAUAUUCUUUUUAGAACAUAGUUUUACCAAUUUGUGAAUUAAAGCCUUUAAAUACUUUUGGCACAACCAAUAGCUGAAGCAACAUAAACUAUGAACAUUUUUAUUUUUAUUUAUUUAUAGAUCCAGUUUUCAAAUAAUAGAUGUAAAAAUAUCACAAAAAUCAAAUAUUUUUUGAAGCAAAAAGGAGGUUCAAUCGUUACUCUAAGGUGUUUUCCAUUAAAACUAUGAUGAUUGUAAAGAAUUUAAAAGAUGCUGAAAAGAACAAAGAAUUUUUUAUUCAUUUUUUCUUCAAUUUUUCAGAAUAUAUUGAUGUCAUUCAAAUGCUUGAUAUUUUCUAAAACAAAUACUUAUAAACCUAUAAUUCAUGAAAUAAAAAAAUUUUUAUAUGUGUGAUUUUGGUUCUAUUUUGAUUGACAUCUAAAAAUGCAAUGCAUAAAUCUUUCAAAUAAAUGCUAUACAUAUAUAUAGGGGAAUGAUAAAGCAACUUAAUUUUUUACUUAAGCAACCUACUCCAUCUUAAGCAUCAUUGCACCCUUGGAGCCUCCAUCCUUACUCCCCACCAUUCCUUGUUUCCAACCAUUGCUAGAGAUAAGGGAGGGGAGUUAGGAAUGGUGAGAAUAGAGGUGACGGUUGGGAACAAGAGAAUGGCUGGGAAUGGGGCAUGUGGGUUGAUUUAGUACAACUUUGGGUCACAUUAUCAUUUCAAUAUAUAUAUAUAUAUAUAUAUAUAUAUACUUUAAAUUUUUUAAUAAUGAUAUGUAUCAAUUAGAUUUUGCAUCAAUAUUUCAAACCAAGAUUUAAUCUAAAAAAACACACUGCUAAAUCAAAAAUAUUGAAGUGGUUGGAAAAUACUCAAAGCUCAAUACCAAAGUUGAUAUUUUAAUUUUCAUAAUAUCUAAUGUGUAUUCAAACAUAUAUAUAUAUAUAUAUAUAGAGUUAUCCAUAAAAAACUAUGGUACAUUUUUAAAAUAAAUUUUAAAAUAAUUCAUAACAUAACCUUUGUCAUAAUUUGUAUAUUAUAUUUUUUUGAACACACAAUUUUAAAACAUUGAUAUAUAUAUAUAUAUAUAUAUAUAUAUAUAAACUAGUAUUCAUCUAUGUUUUUAACACAAAUUAGAAUGUUAUAUUCAGUUGGUACAUCACUUGAUCCUAAAUAUGAAUAUCCUUACUAAUGUCAUUACCCUAUUACUUACAAAUCUUCACAAUCCCAUGGCUGAUUAAUAUAUACUUCAAUUAAUACACAUCUUAUUUAAAAUAUCCUAUGAACUCCAACUAGGUUGGAAUACUCUUCCUUCUUUUAAUUGACUUUGCCUCGAGGUGUCCAUGCUUUUCACAAGGCACACUAUUUUGGAGAUUUUUUAAGCAUUAUAAUGGUGAUCUAUGUAAGUAAAGAGACAAAUUAAUAAUUAUUACAAUACUAUAUGAAAAAUUUAGAAUCAUUUCAUCCUUAUCAUAGUACAUUAAAACAAUGUUUGAGGUAGCAUUUUUCUUUUUGUCUCUUAAAGUAUUAUCCAUGUUGUCUUAUGACCUUCUCAAAGUUUUAAUCCCUUAUUUCUUAGUCUUAUCAUAAUUUAUAAAAGUAAAGGUUUAAUCUUCAUGUAUUUUAUUUUAAUAAUUAUCAUUAUUUAGUUAUUUAUCUAUGUUAGUUUGGAAGUUUUACAGUUACGCACUUGAAAAUAAAUAAUACAUAUAGUUGUUUUGCUAAAGCUUUUCAAAUCUUAAAUAACUUUAUGAGAUUUAUUUUCCCUCAUUAUUGUAGUGACUUUUCUUUUGAAGAAGAUCAUUAAUAUUCUAAUGUUGAAUAAAUAAUCUUUUAUUUAUCUAAAUUAUUAAUUAGAAACCAUUUUAAAAAGCUAAAAUUGUACUUAAAUAAACAAGUACAUAUAAUUAUAUAUGUAAUAUUUAAAAAUUUUAACUACAUAAAUUACAAAAAAUGGUUAUAUAUAUAUAUAUAUAUAAGGUAUUGCCAAGGCCACUAUAAUUUUUGCUACAAUCUACCAUCUACCGCAUGUGACCAUAAUGUUUGCUAUUGCUACUACAAUCCACUACUCAUUCAAUUUAUUCCUUUAUUUUUUAAAAUUUUAAUAAAAAAUAUUUUUAACAUUUUUAAUAUAUUUAUUUUUAUAAAAAUUUAUAGAAUAUACAUUGGAUUUCAAUAAAAAUAAAAAUAAAUAAAAUAAUGACAUGUGGUGGAUGGCAAAUUGUGGUGGAUUGUAUCUUAUAUAUAUAUAUAUAUAUAUAUACAUCUAUAUAUAUAUACAUACAUAUAUAUAUACAUACAUAUAUAUACAUACAUAUAUAUAUACAUAUAUAUAUAUAUAUAUAUAUAUAUCUUUUUUAUUUUUAUUUUUGUCCAAGAUAUUUAAACAUUACUGCUAGGGAGAUUCUUCAUAAUGUAAUACAAAACUAUUGUAUAAUUUUUUAUUAAUACUUUAUUUAAAAAAACAAGAAUAUUAUUUACAUUGAGACUAGUUUUUUUAUUUUGUAUUAAAUUUAGAUAUUUUUUAUUUCAAAAUAUAAUAUUAUUUUAUUUAUUUGAUUCUAUUUAAAAUGACUAACAGCAUAUAUUUAUAUAUACACAUAUACAUAUAUAACAUUUUAGAAAUGUGUUAAGGCUAGUGAUGCUUAUAUUAUUUGUAUUUGAAACUAAUCAUUGUUAGAUUUAAAAGAAGAAAAAUAAAUAAAACAGAAAAAAGAAAAUAAAAAGAGCACUACUUUUUUAUUUUUUAUUUUUUUUGUUAGUCAAAAUUAGAUCCAAGUUGCUGGAGAAUUUGUGUGGAAUGCUGGAAAUAAAUAGUUUCAAAGCCUGAUAUUAAAAUUUGAUAAAAUCCAUACUUAUUGCAAUAAUAAGUUGUUUGUGCUGCAUUUUAUUUUAUUUUUUUAUAAUAAAUUGAAAAAGUAAGAUUUAUUAUGUGUUGUCUAUAUUAAUGUAAACAUUAUAUAGAUACAACUCAGUGUUUUCAGAUUGUUUUCAAUUUCUAGUAUAAAACAGGUACAACUUCUAAUAAGCUUUUAAAAAAAAUGCCAAUCCAAAUUUAGUAUCACUUAUUUCAAAAUUUGAAAUUUAGCAUACUAUAUCUAUCUUUAGUAUUCCUGUGUCUCAUGUAUUUUUUGAGCAAUCCAUCCAUUGAAUAUCAAAAUAAAAUGAAGGUGUAAAAUCUGCAUUAGUGGUCUUUCUUGAAUAGUGGGCACAGAAAAUGCAAGGAUGCAAGUGGUUGUGUGGACUAAUUGGUGAAACUGCUCAUGAGACAUGGUCUCUCUGCUUCCUCUGAGAAAGACCUUGUCAGGAUAGGUACACACAAGUUCAACUAUUUUUUUUCAGCCUAGAUAACUUGGUUUGCACCUCCUACUGAGCUCACUCUCUUUGCCGAAAUGUACAAGAAAAAGAUUAAAAGGGUUGUGGUCAAUGGGAAUAAUCAGUGAUUCUUCAAACUGCAGCUUGUAACAUCUUUCAACAAGAACGUUGGAGCCUUGCAUAAUGGGUUACUCCAACUUAGGAUGAAAACAAGAGAAGAGUUGCAAACCAUUGAAUUUACCAUUCCAGGUCUUUCAUAUAAAGAGUUCAUGUUUUCCAGUGAAAGUAGCACACAUUUCUGUACCGUUCACAAUUUGAUACAAUUGAGAGAUCUGCCUACAAGAGAUAGCAAACUAGAGUUUCAUGGUACUGCCCAAACUCCAUUACAGUAAAUGGAGUUGUGGGCCAAAGAAGGUAAUUAUGGUAAGAAAUAAAAAGAUAGAUUGACUCAAUUUCGAAAGCAGGUAUGACUACAGUGACAAAUCAUCUCACUUGAAUAGUUUGCCUGAAUUCUCACAUACAUAUAGUGAAAGAUGGACAGAACGAGGAGAUCAAAAUAUUGUAAGUCGUACAAACUUGAGACCCUAUAACACAACUUAGCAUAGGUCACUACUUGGAGAGACUACCACGAUUGCCUCAAGAGAAGCUAGAACAAAACUAAACUGUGUCGAAAAAGCUUCGAUAAUGAGGCAAUCCUUCCCGGACGGACAACCCUGGAAAGACAUGGUUAUCACAACCACCAUGUCGUGAAGAAUAGAAUGGUUAAAGAAUAUCGAAACGCGAACACAAAAUUUGUGCAGCUUCUUCACUUAAUAGGUGAAGAUUUCGGGGUAGCGGGUGAUACCUCCCCAAUCAAACUGGUUUCUCCGCCCUCCAGGUCUACGAUCUGAGCCUCUUGGUCCAUUUUAAUAAACAGCGGCAUGGCGAGCACCAAGAGCGUUGUCCCCGCAACCCAGGCCGCCUUGCUCGUGCUCCACAGCAUGUUUUGGCUGACCUGCACCGUGUUGGUGGCGACCUUGCGUGCCUUCUCAAUGUACCCCAACCCGGAGGACAGAUUGAAGCUCACCGCUCUUCCCCACUUCUUCUCAUUCCCACUGUCGGCCGCGAUGGCCGCCAUUGCAACGUGGAGCUCUCAAAUCUCGCCCAGUUCUCAAAGACUCCAACAGACAGUGGCGAAUUGCAGCUCCUGGCGGGGUUCGUUCUCAGUGGACUUUGCACCUGUGAGAGUGCUGAAUAACUCGUUGGAAUCAGCACCAAAUGGAGAAGGAAGGGGAGACGAUGAGCCCAAUCGGUCGGAGGAGAGAAUCAUCGGCAGUAUGCUGCAGCAUCGCAAUAAGGGAGGGCCCUUGCUGGGCCCCGACGACGGCCUUGGAUCGGGCGUCGUUUCCCAUGCGCUUCCUGCCGACCUGGACAUCCACUUCACCAUUGGUGAAAUAACAUAAACUAUUCAUUGAAAAUUAUAUGACUUAUUCUUUAAACCCACACACUCACAUCAAAAAUAUCUCACGUUCUCUUCCUCGUUACAUUUUAACCUCAAUUAAACUAAUCAUAACAGAUACAAAUGGUAAAGAACCUAGAAAACUCAAGUUUUUUUUGUUAGAUCUUUCACCAUCCUUUGUGCCUAAAAGACAACAAUCAUGUUGCUUAUAUAUAUUCCUUCCAUGUGAAGGUCAGAUUUGUCCAUUCCUUGCUAUUUAAUCUGCAUCCUUUUUAAGUGCUCAGCAUGCAACUUCCACCACAAGGAUGUCCAAAACUAGAAAUUUGUGAACCUAAUUCUAGUAGUUUCGUUUGUUUGGGACCAUACGCAUCUGUGUCCAUGUAUUAAUAGUAUAUUGUGAAGUUACUACAGUGAAAGGAAACCAUUGCAGUAUUAUCUGCCAUGUUUAAUCAUUUGAUGUCUUAUUCUUCAUUUAGAGGUUGAAAUGAGCUCAUGUCCGUCCAUAUUUUAGACAUCGAUUGAACAGAUCAGACCAACAACACUAUAUAAAUAGGAAUAUGGGAAUAAACUUGCAGCCCAACUAAGCAAUUUUUUCCAAAAGCACCUUAUUAUUUGACUUGCUAGUUACAUAUGCUAUGCAACAUGCUUUCUCCAGCGUUGCUCUGUCAUGAAGGACUUGGCCCUUGCAAGUGGAUACAACUAGGUUCAACAUUUGUCCUGAGAUUUCAAAAAAAUUUAGAGCCUUCAUCCUGUGAUGUUGGCCUGUUGCCAAGCUUCAGCAGUAGUCAUCAGUUAACUUCGCGUCUCCUCUCGAGCAUGAACCAAAUUUCCAGAUGCCCGCCAAGUUCAAUAAUGGUUUCCUAUUACACCUAUUAUUGAUCAUAGCGAAAAGCAUAUUCUAGGCAGGUGUACUCUGGCAUAUUAUUUUCAGACCACGACAAAGUAAAUUGAACAAUGAACAAGAGUGAUGUAUUGUAAUAAAAAAAUUGUACAAUACUUGAACUCUACAAAAUGGGACGGAAUCAUUUCAAGCUAUAUGAUACAUUCUGAAUGACCAGUUGCUCAUAAAAAACUUGAGUGCCAACCUUACUAUAAGCUACUUAUAAAACAACUAAAACUCGUAGAAUUUCUAAGGGAUGCAGGCUACUGGCUCUUGGAACUAUACCGGUGGGUGUCAUAUCUUACGCACACAUCAGCUGCCGUUUUCAUCUGUCAUUUAGUGGAAACAUUUUAAAGUUAUAUGCGUCUUGUUAGAAACUUAAAUAUCAAUCAUAAUGUCUACGAACAUCUGCACGAACUACAAAGACUGAUUUAGAGUAUAGAGGCAUUGUCAUGUGACAAUAUUUCUCGACUAAGACCUCGUAAAUUGACUACGCACCCGCAGAAAAAUCAACAGUACUAACAUGACCACAACAAACAGCACUAAUAAUACAUUGAAUGUACCUGGACAAGAUUCACAAGUUGUUUAAUCGCACAGCCAGGGAGCGCAAUCACUAGUACAAUACCGUAGACUGUCCUCUCAGCAACAGCAUGUCUUGCAACCUGCGAGAUAAGACCGAAAUCCUAGAUGCAUUAAUAAAUCUGUUUUUCCUUUGUUGGGGACUAACGCUAUUCCAGAAGGGAUAACAUUUGCAAAGAAUCAAACGGGAGAGAACCAAGAGAGAAAAGCACCUCGUAAGGGCUUCCGAUGUUCCCGUCAGCGGCGAGCAUGUAGAGAAGUAUAUAAGCAAUCUGAUCCGCGAACACAAAACUAUGAUAAGUCUUGUUUCGUUUCAAAUUUAUUACAACACAUUGAAGUGACGAGAUGGUUUAGUUUAAUUGCCAUUCGUCAGAAUUAGAUGAUAAAAGACAUAUAAUUUCGUCCACUACAUUCGCACCUCAGCCCCAAUGGCGCAGUAUCCCAUGAAGUAGCGAUGCUGGUAGUACAGACGAAGAAGAGUGCUCUUGCUGUCACCCAUGUCCUUAUGACUUGCCUUGCUCGACAAGUGAGUGCUGCAAAAAAGACAACAAUAAUAAUACACAACUCUUAAACGUAAAUUUCUCGUGCAUGCCUAGUUUAAAAUCACGAUCUUUGUGGCGAAAUUAAAAAUAUUUAGACUCGCAUGAGAGCAGACCUAAACAUCUGUAACCAAUGGCUGGAAAUGUCCAAAGCGAGAAGUCCAAGGAACAGUCCGUAAUGGGACCUGAUCAGGCAUAAAACCAGAACAAACAAGCCUCAGCAAGUAAAGAACCACAUUGUUAUCAAUAGUAUACGUGAUACAUUUCUCAAGCAAGAGAGGUAGCAAUAGUUAACACUUAAAAUUAAAUAAAAUGAGUCUGAACGUAUUGCUUAAGGGUACAGUAACAAAGCAAACUUACUUGUAGAAGUGGGUCAGAAGUACCAAGAGUGCAGCAGUACUAACCCUAAACCAAUAUCAAAUAAGGAUCAAGAAGGUCAGCAGAUUCUUUUUUCGAAUAUCUCACCAAGAUUAUAGCAUUCUGCAGGAACCUAUCAACUGAAUAACUCGGCUGAAGAACAAACUCGUGUAUACCAAUCAGAAACAGGAAACGACCCAGACGUGAAAAUUGGAAUACAGGAAAAAAACAAAGCAAACUCCAUAAAAAGGAUAGCAAAACCACUAGGAAAGUUUAUUACCUGUCAGUCACCAUGUCUAAAACUGCUCCAAAAGUUGAUUCUGUUAAAAGGCACACAUACGAGUCUCAGAAACAUGAGCACCAAUGAAAUUACAUCCUUAGUCCCUUGCGCCUGACGGAGAUGCCCUUGAAGUAAAGAAACGGGCCAAACUAAUUUGUCUAGACGGUGCCCAAAAAGGAAAGUCAUUCAAACUAUGUAGGCAGCAAAAAAAGAUCUGCAGCAGCCAAAAGAAUUCUUGGUAGCAUUAGAAAAUAUCUGCUGUUUGAGACGUUGAGCUAGAGAGUGCAUACUCUGGUUAAACAUGCGAGCAAAGCGACCAUCAAGUUCAUCGCAUACAAAGCUGCAAAAAUAUAUCAACCAAACACGUACCAAACACUAUUAGGAAGACUACUAUAGGUGAUUCUGCAGGUCAGAAAUGUCCAGGUCUAGUAUCCGGAACACCUGCAGGGACUUUAGACCUUCGACAAGCUCCAACUACCCCCUCCCUUACUAAGAUGAAUAUUUGAAGUGUACUUGUGAUUCUUAUUUCGACAGUUCUAUUAUAUCUUUCAUAGAAGAAAAUUCGUAAGAUCGAGGUAGAGGUCUUUAAAACUAGACUCAUAAGCCAGAAACUGAAAGACACAUGUUGUCGUUUGACUAUACCUUGCAAAGUAGAGAAUAGCAAACAGUUUUUUGUUUGUAAAGGCAACUCCAAAAGCUGCGACAUUGGCGAUAAUCCUGGCAUAUCCUGUUAAAAAAUGCCAUGUCCAUUAUUGAUGGACACCAAAUAAACUCAACUAGCAAAAACAGCAGUGUUUGAAUUGAUGGAACCCAAUAAUCAAUCUUGCACCUGGAACGUUUUCACAGGAUGCAUGGAUCUGCUUACCAAUAAUGUUAGGAAUGUAAAGAUAAAUGGGCCAGUUCCUCUGUUUGGGGGAGUCCUCGAUAGUUGAGUCCUCCAUUGUUUAAUAUAAGUUUCACACAGAGAAGAACUUAUAUGCAAUGAACUCCAGUCAAUCCUCCAAAACUCCCAGACAGGAAUUGAAUAUUUAUAUUUGACGAACCUGUACCGAACACAACAACGAAAAAAUCCGUGACGAGGAAAAAAUUGUCAAUCACAUUACAAUGAUUACUGAAGCUGGAAUAAUGAUGGUGCCACUUAAAUCCUUAAGAAUCCAUAAGUCAUUGAUUCUAUUCAGGUUGUCGACCAUGCUUAGAACGCUUAAGCGUAUCAAUCAAUACAAGAAUGUGCAAGAUGGGGGUUUGAUAACCUUGAAAAUCGCACAGCGAAAUUAUAUAUUUCUAAAUGUAAGGAAGACCCACAGGCUCCAAGAAGCAAUCACAAGAUCACUGGACCUAAGGAUUUCACAAUCCCUAAUUUUCUUGAACAGAACAAUACCUUCAAUCACCCCCUGUAUAUGAACUAUCAGCUUAAGACUCAAGUGAAUGAAAAAGUACAUUCUACAUCAACAUGAAUAUCCCAAACCCUAGAUAGCUACAAAUCAUCAAUUAACAGCGCAAAAAUGCAUGAGAUCGAUAAUACCAAAUUUUCACUUGAAAAUUAACAAUAGUCAUAAACAUGGACUAUCAUUGCUAGAAAUCAACGAGUAUGAUCAAAAGGAGAAGUCCACCUGCACGUACAAAAUAGGAUACAGCAAAAAUGUUCCCUACAUAAUCCAAGUCAAAUGUGUAAUCUACAAUUCAUUUCGGUUUGACAAAACCAUAGAUCUGAGUCUCUUCCCCUGACACACAUUCAACUUUCCAGCUAAGACUCAAAAAAGCACACCACCACCACCACCAGGACCUACUCCAGCAUCGCCCGCACAGAAGCAAAAGUCAAAUCAACCACACUCACGGUGAUCGGGUACAGCACGAAGCAAAACAUCACAAUGCCAACUAGCAUAACCGAGCACUCCGCGAAACCACUCGUAAACCUCCAGAAAAAAAUAAAAAAUACAAAGAAUGCUAAAAAAAAAUGAAGACAAAUAUUAAAAUAAAAUCAUGGGCCGUUGUAUGAAAUCCAUACGUACACGAAUGAGUAGAAUUCAAACUCACCUACCACGGAGAAGUUCAUAACACCUAUCUUUCCUUGUCUCUCUCUGUUGCACGCUCACAAACCACGGUCGGGGCACAACUCAUCAAACAAACAAACAGAAGCUGACCAAGUAAAGACGAAAGGGGUCGCGCAAAUCCUCGGAGAAAGGAACCUCGUCCAAUGUCAGGGACCGAUGCGCCAGCUGAGCGUCGACCUAUCCGGUCUAUACCCGCUUCGAAAGGAUUAAUAUACCUGCCUACAUACCCGUUCAGGGUGAGCUCAGUGGUAUGACACCGGACCUCAAUAUUCGACUUCGAGAUACUCCCAGUUAUGAUCAGAUUGAAGAAUUCAUUGAUACAGUUUUUUGUGCCCUUGCGUUGAACACUCGGUCGAUGGGGUGCACAGGUCGUCUCGCAUCGGCUACGGAAAAGCUUUGAAGAAGCGGUAUCAGGAUCUGUCUGUUCUGCUUUGAUUGGUUCGGAGCCAUGAUUUCGUUUUUGUCACUGGCAGCAAGCGUGUCGCAGAGGUUCGAUGUUCACGGAAUCCCCCCGCCCCCCGCAGAUACUUCGAUCAGGAUGUGAUUAGAUAUCUGCUGAGAAUCAGAAUGCUCUUUUUCGUUCCUUCCUUGUUUGACACUUUCGUCGACGUCGUCGACGCUGUAAGUUGCAUGCAAGAGGGGCAAAUUAGGAGGGUGGAUGUGCAAAAGUGGUAAUGACUUUUUCUCCUCGAAAAUAUCUCCACGAAGGUGCAGAAACGAGCGGUUCCCUUCGGAGAUCGACAAUGGAGUUCGGGUACUGUUUAGUUUAAGCGGUGGAGAAAGAACUAGUUCAGGAUCUCCUUCAAGACCUCGAUUACCCCAAAUUUACCCUAAAUUAUGUCCAAUGCGAUGAGAAUGGAAUCCUCCAGGAUCAAUGAAGAACUUCACUGCCCGAGUUCUGUGUCUGAACUAUUUUCAACCGUCAUUUUGCAUAUGCUCAAAUCCUAUUCACUAAUCCAUCCGAUGUUCAUGUCUUACGUCGCUUGCUUUUAUCUCAAGAAGAGUGGCUAUAUCACACCAUGUCGUUUUGAUGCCGAAUGAUCGUCUCAAAAAUAAUUGCACAGGCUGUUUGAAACGCGGUUAUUUAGCUCGCAACAGAAAAAGACUUGCUCGCACUAUGCUCCAUGAGGUACCAUCCACUUCGAACAAGUUUCUAUCAAGAAAAAAACGGAACUAAGAAAAUAAGUGUGGAGUGUAAUGAUAGUAGACACGUUGCUUCACAUCAAGAAUCGGCUUCGAGUCACAGAAAAAUAUAAAUACAAAUAGAUUUCUGUUAAGUGAGUAAUUUUAAUUACAGAUACACACAUGUUUCUAAACGUAGAAGAGUAAUAUCAAGAGUAAAAUAGAAACAAAUCACUAAUCCUUAAAAUUUUUACUCCUUAAGGUGAUUUCAAAAUAAUAAUAAUAGUGCUACUACUACUAAUAAUAAUAUAUAUGUUAUUUAAUUACCACCGUCAGGGGGAUUGCGUCGCCAGGAAGAACGCAACGUCGCACGAACACGGGCCGCUGAUGUGGCACCGGCGAUCGAAGGGCCACGGGGGCAUGGGACUUGCUUUCGGAGGCCGCAAAGAGAAGCCCUAGGGGUGCCAGCCAAUGGUGUGCCCGCAGGAGGGGUCCACGUAGGAUCCGAAGGACGCCUGUGGCCCAAGGGCUUUCCCGUCUCUUAUCUUCCUCUUUAGCCUUCGUCACUCCGCUUCUUCUCCUCAUGCUUCUUCCGAUUCUGCUUCUCCUUCUAUUUCCCACCCUCUCCCCCGUGCAUGCAUGGUCUUGCACAAACUCUCCUCUCGUUUGGAAGUAUCCACCCCCGUCGCAACUGCGGGAGCUUCCGAUCGACCGGGAUUACAUGGUAUGCCUCCCAAUUGCCCCUGAAAUUCUCGCUUCUGGCAUUGUGUAGCUGCAAUUUGAUGCCCGAUUUAAUCAAUUUGCUCUGUUUCUGCUCAAUUUGUUCCGAGCCAAGGGGAGAAUGUAGAGGAAUUGAAGCAUGUCGUGGUGGUGUGUUCGAUUGGUGGUUUAGUUGAGAGCGGUCCGGUGAGUCGAUGUUCUUCUUUCUGGAAUCAGGUCUGUGAUGCGUUUGAGGUUUUUGUUUUUGUUUUUGUUUUAUUUUGUUUUGUUUUGUUUUUUUUUUUUUUUUUUGGUUUGGUUUGACUGAGGUCUUUGGAUCGUGACUUCGCCAUGAAGAUUUUGUGAAAUUGGAAACGUGAGCGCUGCAGCUUCGUCGAACUUACUCUGGCAGGAUAUUCUGCAUGAGAUCACACUAAAUCAUGACUCUCGAUUCGAUCCACAUUGCAGUUUUAUGAUAGUUCCAUUAGUUACAGUAUCUUGCAGCAUCUUGUCUUUCGGAAGUUGGAAGGGCGGACUUGGAGAAGGGGAAGGGGUGAGGGUGACCGGGUGUUUUUGGUCUGAACUGGGAGCUGAGAAGUUUCGGAUGGAGCGGUGUGUUGUAUAUCGGAUCUUGGAAGCCUUAAGGUAUCUUCCAACCGGGGAAUUGGAAGAUUCUCGUGAAGGCUUCACGAUUUUUUUAGCGACUUUGCCAGUGGUAGCAGAGCAGUCGUAAAUUGCACAUCAUUUGAUUGUUAUUUGGUUAGCAGAUACAAGACGGUCGAGUCUCUUGCAUACAAAGUCCUGCGAGUAACGACGGAUGCAAGAAAGUCGCUCAUCCUCUGUGCAAGGACCAUCAGGAACUUUUAAUCUUUUUCAAGAGGGAGAUUUCGUGGCUUUUCCUAUUCUUCUUCGGACCGCUUUUACUGAGUCUUUGCUUCUUUUUUUUUUUGUUUUUUUGAUAGCAUUGCAAAGUUCCGCCUUGCACAUCGCUCGAUCUCCAUGCCUUCGUUUGUUGGGUGUUUUGGUAUUUUCUUCCCUGGUAUGUUUGUGGGGGAGGGGAGGGAUGAAGGGAGUAAUCACUGGUAUGUACAGUUGAAUUGUGGCUACGAAUUUGAAUGACUCUGGAUGGGUGCCAGAACAAGGAUUCUGUAUCCACGAUUUCACCAUUGUGAAGCGAAUUGUGGUUUGGGCUCUUGAUUCAGAAUAUGCGACGGAUUCAUUUGAUGAAAUGUGUAGUGUAUGCGUGAACGGAUUAUUAUUUCUUUUAUUUUCCUGUUUGAUUCUUAGCAGCAAUGGCACUUUUCUGACGAGUGCCGUGGAUUUAAAAGUUGAUUUUGUUGCAGAUACCAAGAUAAAGUUGCCUUUCAAUAUUUUUCUUAUCUUCCUUUUCACAUGUAAGCCGUCUGCAUGUAUGGAUUUGCCGGAGUUGUUGGUUAGUUAGCUGGUUUAUUUGAUCUUUAUGCCGAUCCACCUGGUCGUCAGUGGAUGCGUUUUUUUGUUCCUUAUUUUAGUUGCAGUGAAGGACGUUCAAAUAAUUAACUCUUGGGAAUAUGCAGUUGUAAUUCUUUUAUACAGGUGUUGAUGAUAAUGUUAUUCGGUGGUAACUUUUCUUCGAAAAAGAGAUUCAUAAUUUUGUUUGGAUAGAGGAUUGUCAACAUUGAAAGUAUUACAGGCGGGAUGAAUAUUUUGUGUGAAAUUAAAGAUGCGACCAUCCUAUUUGAAUUUUCUGCCAUGGAUCUGUUGUUUCAGUUCUGAUUCAAGGCUACACACCAGUUCCCUUCUGAUUAAUAACAUCAUAGCUGUGCUGAGCCCUCACAAAUGUGUAUCUUAGCGUAUUAGGUUUGGGGAUGUAUGACGUUACACCUUUAUAUCCUCUUACGAAUGUUUCUUUCAUCGGAAUCGAUACGAUGUCGUGUUUUUCUACAAAUGCGAUUUUAGAAUUGCCUUGAGUAGUGUUUAAUGACAUUGUUGUCCCAACUUAUUGAACGCAGGUGUACAGGUCAGCGUAGUUUUACAGUGUAAUUGUGCUGCAAUCGAAAUUCUUUUAAUCGGAAACAGGAAAUUUUACUUAAGGGCGACGAACAUCAGAAAAUCCCUGAGAACAUCAAGAUGGCGGCUGUGACACAGUCCUUGAUGGUUCCGGCAGUGGGAGCAUCCCAUGGCCAAAUUCAUAGUAGUAACAAAUCUCAAACGCCAGCAAGGGUGGGUCCUCUAGGCAGGAAAAAAGCGCAGAUUAAGAAUUCUUCAGUGCCCAGCACAAGGAUUCAGUCGUUUUCUGGAAUGCGUAAGGCUUCAGUAAUUGAUGCUUUGACUGUGAAACAAGGACGGGAUUUCAAAUCCACUGUGGCAGCUGCGCUUGCGGUGGAUAAUCAAGAAGGGACCUCCAAGGGUGUCAUUACGGCAAUGUUCGAACGAUUUACCGAGAAGGCCAUCAAGGUUAUCAUGUUGGCUCAGGAAGAAGCCAGGCGUUUAGGGCACAACUUUGUUGGUACGGAGCAGAUUCUCCUAGGCCUUAUCGGAGAGGGGACUGGAAUUGCUGCUAAGGUGUUGAAGUCCAUGGGUGUAAACCUUAAGGAGGCUCGUGUGGAGGUAGAGAAGAUCAUUGGCCGUGGUAGUGGUUUUGUGGCUGUUGAGAUUCCGUUCACACCCAGAGCUAAGCGAGUCCUUGAGCUGUCACUUGAGGAAGCUAGGCAGCUCGGUAAGAUUCAUACUCAUUGACAGCAUUCCUUUUCCGAGCAUGUGCAUUGGAGGGUGGUAGUUUGUGGGUUGGUUGCUCAGUUCUGUUUUGAGAGUUAUUCUGUGUUGGUGGAGUUCUGAUGUAUGUUUUAUCAUAAUAUCGCAGGUCACAAUUAUAUAGGAACCGAGCAUCUCCUCCUGGGUUUGUUGCGGGAGGGUGAAGGUGUUGCCGCUCGUGUCCUUGAAAACCUCGGAGCAGACCCUAGCAAUAUACGGACUCAAGUAAUUCGGAUGGUUGGCGAGAGUACUGAGUCUGUAGGUGCUGGAGUGGGUGGUGGUAGCAGUGGCAAUAAGAUGCCUACUUUGGAGGAAUACGGUACAAAUUUAACGAAGCUUGCUGAAGAGGUUGGUUUUCUAGACAUUCUAUUUGUGUCGAUUGUCUGCAUACAUGAUGCAAAUCUUGAUUUCCGCGUUCCUCCAAAUUCCGCAUAGUAAUGAAUAAUAGGAAAAUUGGAGUCAAUUAUAAUCUUUUUGCUGUUAUAGGGGAAGUUGGACCCUGUUGUUGGAAGACAGCCGCAAAUUGAGCGUGUGACUCAAAUUUUGGGCCGAAGGACAAAGAAUAACCCUUGCCUUAUUGGAGAGCCUGGAGUUGGAAAAACUGCAAUUGCUGAAGGAUUGGCUCAACGUAUUGCAACUGGCGAUGUGCCUGAAACCAUUGAGGGCAAGAAAGUUAUCACCCUGGAUAUGGGAUUGUUGGUAGCUGGUACAAAGUACAGGGGAGAAUUUGAAGAGAGGCUUAAGAAGUUGAUGGAAGAGAUCAAACAAGCUGACGACAUUAUCCUUGUGAUUGAUGAAGUACAUACACUUAUUGGUGCUGGUGCUGCUGAGGGUGCUAUUGAUGCAGCUAACAUCUUGAAGCCUGCCCUCGCUCGUGGUGAACUCCAGGCAUGAUUCUGAAUCCUUCAGCUAAACAUUAAACCCUUUUGCUAAUGCUGGGUCGUCGUAUUGGUAUAGUUCAUGAUUAGAAAUUGAGUUGUUUGAAUAUAAUCUCAUUGAGCACUUCCACACACAAACACACUUGAAUAUAUAUAUAUAUAUAUAUAUAUAUAUACACACUCUUUCAUGUACUUGUUCAAAAUAGCGUGACUGUCAUAGUAGGGUUUGUCAAUGUGUACUUCAAAAACUCACACAAUUGUGAUUGCUACAGUGUAUCGGAGCUACCACAUUGGACGAAUAUAGGAAGCAUAUUGAGAAGGAUGCUGCAUUGGAACGUCGAUUCCAGCCUGUGUUGGUUCCAGAACCCACUGUUGAUGAGACCAUUCAAAUUCUUAAGGGAUUGAGAGAGAGAUAUGAAAUUCAUCACAAGCUGCGUUACACUGAUGAGGCUUUGGUAGCAGCAGCACAACUUUCUUAUCAAUACAUCAGGUCCGAUCCAGAAUUUGAGACUUCAAAAAUGUUUGGCUUAUGUUUUAUCAGGAGGAAGUAGGUGUUACAGAGGAAUGUAUGUUAUUCGCACUAAUACAAUUAAACUUCUAAAGAACCAGUACUUGAUCUUGGCUUUUUAGCUAAUUAUAGGUGCAGGUACCUUCAAUGGGAUCUUUCCCUGUGAUUAAGCAUCAUUUGUUUACAUGUGCAGUGAUCGGUUUUUGCCUGACAAGGCCAUCGACCUGAUUGAUGAAGCUGGAUCACGCGUACGUCUAAGGCACGCUCAGGUAAUCUCAAUGAUGUCUAACAGAGUUCAUUACUGGGGUGUUAGUGUAUUUAUUUGUAGUCUAGAGUUUUAAGGAGUGACUGGAGAGAAUGACAGAACACAAUGACAACGAUUAGGUUUUUUAGAUCACAAUGGCAUGCAAUUUAUUGAUUUCAGAAUUUUUGGAGUUUCACGUGCGUAUGUUCUUUUUCGCUUUGAACUGUCUCUUAUUUUAUCUUUGCUGUCGUAAAGAUGCUUACUAUAUGUUGUCUAUUUAUUUGCAGCUACCUGAAGAAGCUAGAGAGCUUGACAAGGAGCUGCGCGGUGUCACCAAGGAAAAGAAUGAAGCUGUUCGUGGGCAGGAUUUCGAGAAGGUACUUGUCUUGUUUACUUUUGCUUAUCAGAUAUAAGCAAGACAUACUUUAUUCACCAGACCUGUACGUUGAGAGUUUGUUAUAUAUACAACCUGCAAAAUUAUGUUGAUGUCGUUAUUCGCUUGUUUAAAAUAUAGGUAAGCCAUCCUUUGGGUCGUUUACUCAUUUUUCUCUGUAUCGUGGUUACUUAAACAUUUUUUCUUGUACAGGCUGGAGAGUUGAGGGAUCGAGAAAUGGAGCUUAAGGCUCAAAUUUCUGCUAUUACUCAGAAGGGCAAAGAGCAGAUGAAGGCAGAGAGUGAGGCUGGUGAUACCGGUCCUACUGUUGAAGAGUCAGAUAUUCAGCAUAUUGUUUCAGCCUGGACCGGUAUCCCUGUAGAGAAAGUCUCUAGUGAUGAGUCUGACCGUUUGUUGAAGAUGGAGGAUACCCUUCAUCAACGAGUCGUCGGGCAGGACGAAGCUGUAAAAGCCAUCAGCCGUGCUAUUCGCAGAGCUCGUGUUGGACUUAAGAAUCCAAACCGUCCUAUCGCAAGUUUUAUCUUCUCUGGACCCACUGGUGUUGGAAAAUCUGAGCUAGCGAAGGCUCUUGCCUCGUACUACUUUGGCUCGGAAGAAGCUAUGGUUAGACUCGAUAUGUCUGAGUUUAUGGAGAGACACACUGUAUCUAAACUUAUUGGUUCUCCACCCGGUUAUGUCGGGUACAGCGAAGGGGGUCAGUUAACAGAAGCUGUUCGCAGGAGGCCGUACACAGUUGUUCUUUUCGAUGAGAUUGAAAAGGCACAUCCUGAUGUGUUCAACAUGAUGCUUCAGAUUUUGGAAGACGGUCGUCUCACUGACAGCAAAGGAAGAACUGUAGAUUUUAAGAAUACGCUUUUGAUUAUGACCUCGAACGUUGGAAGCAGCGUCAUUGAGAAGGGUGGCGGUGGCAUUGGUUUCCAGUUGGACUACGGUGAAAAGGAUUCAAGUUACAACCGAAUCAAAAGCCUUGUUAACGAGGAAUUGAAGCAAUACUUCAGGCCAGAGUUCUUGAAUAGGUUGGAUGAGAUUAUUGUUUUCAGGCAGUUGACUAAACUUGAAGUGAAGGAAAUUGCCGACAUCAUGUUGAAGGAGGUGUUCGAGCGAUUGAAGAAGAAGGAAAUUGACCUUCAGGUAUGUUUGGCUUUGGAAAUCAUUAAUGCUUAUGGUACUUUAAUUAAAUUAAUUAUUUAAUUAUGUUUAAUUGAUAUCUUGCAUUGAGGCUUUGUUGAUUUAGAUUACACUGGCCUGUUGUGUUGUGUAUGCAGGUUACGGAGCGGUUCAGGGACCGUGUGGUCGAUGAGGGUUACAGUCCUAGCUAUGGAGCUAGACCUCUGAGACGAGCAAUCAUGAGGUUACUAGAAGAUAGUAUGGCAGAGCGUAUGCUUGCAGGAGAAAUUAAAGAAGGUGAUUCAGCCAUUAUUGAUGUGGAUAGUGAAGGAGGCGUGACUGUGUUAAAUGGUACAACAGGAUCAUCUUCAAGUACAGCUAUCGAGGCUCCUGCAGGCAUCGCCUAAUGAUCCUUGUAAAAUUGAGCCUCUAAUUAGGUGACAUUACCAUCGUCCCACCAGGCCUAGGUAUUGCAUAGACUCUUGAGUUCCUGAUGUAAACGGUACCUGAAGUGGACUUGUAUUAUUACGAUAAUGUUUGUAAAUGUAUUCCUUCAACUUUUAUAUUUCCCGUGUUUUCUUUUGCUGGUGAUGAUACACGAGACAUGUGAAUUUUACCAGGGAUUGUUCGUAAGCUAAGGCACUCUUCUUCUUUACGAGAAGAGUAGACCUGUUAAGGAUUAUCGCAUGACCAGUGCUUCAAGUGUCAUUACCUUGCUUAUGAUUGGAAAGUCUUUGUACGCUUAUCUCAGAUACGUUAUUGACACAGCUUGAAAUGUCUUGCUUCACCUACAAUUCAUCUGUGUGUUCAUAUCGUUCAUCAGGAUUUUGCAACAGAAGUAAAUCUACUAGUGCGAACUAGUCAUGGUAGUGUCUCACUUCCCCAAAUGCAAUUAAAUAAUACAAAGUAGAUGUUUCUUGAUAAGAAAUUUGAAAGUACAAUGAAAGGUAUUAGUGAUAUAAACCUUAUUAAUUUCUUUAGCAAAUUUAUGACUUAUGUUGGGAAUGUGAUGAAUUGGUAUAGAGUUCUUGUACAAAACAAAAAGAGGCUUUGAAGGUGUCCAAUUUAUUAAAUGUUAUUUUACAACAGUGACUAUAAAUAACAAAGAUGUUCAAUAGUUAUACUUAUUGAAUAAAGAACUCUUUCAGGAAAAUUGUAAAUUUUGAUGAAUAUAUAUAUAUAUAUAUAUAUAUAUAUACAUAUGUAUUUCUAUUGUAAUUUAUCCAAUGUAAUUUAAAUAGUAAUAAAAUAUUUGCUUAAUAAUGCAAGUUUUUGUGAAACAAAUUUAUUGAAUUAAUUUGCAAAAAUAUCUUUUAGCAUCCACGAGGGAGUAGAUUAAGUCUAGAAAUAUGUUUUGCUCAUCAACCAAUAAAAUACAUGCCCAUUAUUUUGAACUUUGAAAGUGGUGGACAAAUAAUGAAUAAUAAAUAGAAUUAUUUGUUUAUAUAAGUGUUUAAAUGUUUAAAAAAUAGAACAUGUAAUAAAAAUAAUUUUCUUAAUGUCAAGGUGGUAUAUUUUGUGUAGAAAAUCCAAAUAUAAUGUUGGAUAGCAAUAAAAGUAUUAAUCCUCUCAAUACAUUAACUUAUUUAGUUAUUUUAAAUAUUUCUUCUAUCCUUUGGUUGCUUUGGCCAUCGCUACAUAUCUAUUUGUUUUUCAUGUGGAGUUUCAAUUACAAAAAUAACAAUAAAAUAAAAUUAGAUUUUUCCAUGAGCUCUAUUUAGAUUUACCUUAAUGUUAAAUAAGUAUGUUUCAUAAUUUAUAGCCUUUGGAAUUGAUUCUCAUUGAUCAAAUGCAUCGCUGAAUUUGGUAUCUCUAUGACCGCCGAAACCAUUGCACAUAGAGAUAUCACACUUAUUUAAAUAAGUCUUACAUUUGAUAUCUCUAUAUUUAAUUUUAAAAAUUGAAUAGAGAGAAAACAAUAGAGACCAUGGUUUGCAUUGAAGGAGUGAACCAUGUCUCAAAUAAGAUCACUAAUAUAAUGUCUUCAAUAACAAUAAGUUUGGUGGUGGUGGUUUUUUUCUUAACUAUACACAUGAUGGUUUUUAGAAAAAAAUAGAUAAAUAGCUAUUUUUUCUUUUUUAAACAUCUUUAAUGAAUUUCUUCAUUGAUCAUUUUUUCCAUAAAUUAAACAUAUUAGAAAAUAUUUAUUAGUUGUUGGUUCUUUCAUUUGUUUAUAAAACUAUUUCAUAAAUAGAUAUAAUAUUUUGUCAUGACUAAUAUAUUUAAGGACAACCACAAAUUAAAAAUAUAUCAAUAAAAAAAGAAAAAAGAAAUAUAUAUAUAUAAUUAAAUAAAUAUAAAAAAUAUAUAAUAAAAUAAAUAAAUUAAAUAUUAUUUAUAUUAAGAAAAUAAAGUAAAAUAUUUUUACUCAUAAAAUGUGAUUAGAUGGCAAAAUCCACAAAAUAAAUUUUAUUUGUAAUUUUUUUUUAUAUAAAUUGUUGAUAUUGUGAAGACAACUAUUAACCAACUCUUGGAUUUUAAAAAAAGAUUAAUGUUUGUAUUGUGCUUUACAAGUUUUAUAGAAUUCAUGUAAAAAAUUAUUGAACAUCUUUUUAAAAAAUAAAAAUAUGAUCUUUUAAUUUAGAUUUUAAUUUUAUUAGUAUUCAAGGUAUUUUCAUCCAAUUUAUACUUUGUCAAAUUCAAAAUUAAGUGGUUGUGUAGAUUAAUUUCUUUUACAUAUGUUAAAGAUAAAUGAACAAAGAUAAAAGAGUCUUUUGAAGAAAGAAAUGAAAAAGAUAUGAUUAGUAGUCGUUAUUACAAGUCAAAGAUUGGCCAAGGUCUAUGCAUAAAUUCUUUCGAAUAAAAUAUAAGCUCAAGCUACAUACACAUCUUAAUUUGAUAUAUACACUGACAUUUCAUAUUGCUAUAUGCACAUCCAAAAAAUAUAGAUACAUAUGUAUAUAAUAUAGAUACACAUGUAUAAAUUGAACAAUGACACAAUCCAUUUUAUGUUUAUUCUUUUUAAUAAGAUUGAGUUUUCUAUACUAGAAAAGUGUGGGCUUUUUAUCAAAGUGUCGUUGGACUCAAGCACUUAGAUUCCACCUCUAAUAUGUCAAAAGAUUAGCAACUAUUACUUAUAAGACAAUUAGCAAUGAAUGAGAAAUCACUUGUAAUUUGAAACAAAUUAUGUAUAUAGUGACAGAUGGCAUGUUUGGAUUCUAUUGAUGAACAACUUAUCCAUACUCAUUGUGGCAAAUAAAAAGAUAGAAUGAGAUUCACAAACAGACAAUGAAUAAAAAACUAGCUAGUUUCAAAGUCAUUGAUGAAAUGCUUAAUGUUUGUCAACAAUGUUUGUAGCAAUUGUUAGUUUGUAGGUAUCUAUUCACGGUUUUUAUGCCAAACCUCAGUAGCCAUGGAUAUGUGCUUGUAAUUAUUCUUUGAAACUGCUACAAGAAUUGACAAGACAUUAAAAAUUAUUGUAAGAGACAUUGGAGGUUUGCUCUGAAAGGUAUUAUGGAUGUAUUAUACAAGAGACCAAACAAAAAGUUAAAAAGAAGAGUUUUAAUAAGAAAGCUAAUAAAAACUUGAUUAAACCAAAUGUGUACAAGAUCAACACCAAGAAAAGUAAGCUAAAAUUCCAAAAGAUAGAGAUGUGUUGUUGAGACUAAGUCUCCCUUGAAUCUUGACUCCAAUAUAUACUAGGUAUUAAGAAGCUUUUUGAAAAGUUUCUAUGUUGCUUGAAGAUAAAGUAGCUCUAGAAAGCUUCUCAAAUAACUUUCUUAAUCCUACUAGAAGUUUUUAGAAUCUACUAGAAUAGUCUAAGAUUUUUUUUUAAAUCUUUUGGAACCUUAUAGAAUCUAAUAAAAUAUUCCUAAAAUAUUCUUAAAAUCUUCUUGUUGGAUAUCCAUAACACGUUGUUUACUUGAUCCUACUUAUUGACUUGUUUGUGAGAUCAUUAAAGGGAAGUUGCCACCUCUCUUAUUUCCUUCUUCCUAUCCUAUUCCUUUCCCUCUCUUUUCGCAAUUAUAUCAAGCAGAUGGAUCUACAUAAAAACACCCAGUAAAUCACAAACCUCCACAUUCUUUUGGUGUGCACAUAGUAAUAUGAAGUGUGUGUGCGUAUGAAGCAACGUAGGAUAUACUUAUGGCUUGAGCCUAAAAUAUUUUGAAAAAGUAUGUAUAAUAAUUCUAAACAUUUAGUCAAAACAAUAGAGUUGAAAAUAAUAAAAGACUAUUUCUUUAACUUUUCGAAAGUAGAAUAAAAUAAUAAAUAAUAAGUAAUAAUGAUAAUUUUAUCAAAAUACUAUUAUUUUACAAAGACCAAAUGAAUGCAAUUUUCUUUGAAGAUCUUAAUUUUAUAUAUAUAUAUAUAUAUAUAUAUAUAUAUGUAUAAUUAAAAUAUCUAAAUUACAAUGAAAGAAAAAUUCUUUACAUGUAUUAUAAUAAAAGCUAUUUCUUUCUAUAGCAAAAAUUAAGAAAAUAGAUUAAUCAUUUUUUGAUUGUACAUUAGAAGGAUAUCAAAACAAAAAUGGAACUAAAUUACACUAAAAUAGCAUUUCUAUGUUAAAAAUGAUUAAAAAAAAAUAAAACAAAAUAAAUUAUUAUUCUUUUUCUAAAAAGAAGCAAAAAUAAAAACCAAUUUGAGAAGAAAAAAUAAACAGGAAUUGGAAUUAUGUUAUUUAAGAAAUGACUUUAAUAAAAUUACAAUAAAAAAAAAUUAAUCUACUUGCUCAUUUUAAAAUAGAAAUUCAUUUUGUAAAGUUUCAGAAAAAAAAAUCAUGGAUUCUUAGAGACCAGUGCAGAACUUUAGAAUUUAUAUUAUACAACAGGAAAGAGUUAAGAUUGAAUAAAUAAACAAAUGAAUAAUUAACAACAAUCAAAGAUUAAAAAUUAAAAUAAAAUAGCCUUAUCAAAAACCCAAAACAAAAAUAUCCUAAAAAAACUCACCAAGCUUUGUCACAUUGCCUUUAACUUGAAUAACAUUAAAUAUUAGAAUGAACACAUUUAUACUACAACUUACAAAUCAGCUUCUUUAUAAUAAUUUGAAGAAAAGCAAAUUGGUUCCACAUAUUUUCAUCCCUUUCACUUCAAUUUGAGAAUCAAAGACCAUUACAGCUUUAAUAUUGUUUCCUGUGCUAGGUCAAUUUCUCAUAGCAAAACUCAUAGAUACCUCCAUUGAGAAAAUAUAUUAUAGGGAUUUGUAGAGGACUGUUCCCUACUACCUUCUUUAUACUCAUCUUUUACUUGAGAAAUUUGAGGAACAAGACAAGCCCAUUGAAACAAGUUAUCUGCCAAAUCCACCUUUAAACAUUACCCAGACACCACUUCCUAGGUACUUCCACUGCACAUUACAGUUCCACCGUGUCAAGCAAAGUCGCAAUCAGAAGGGACUCGCUCAUCCUGGAGUUAAAUGAAAUGGACCACUCUUUAAAAUUAAAGAGUGAAACCCAAAUUAUCAUAACGACAUCUUCCAACUUCACAAGAGCAAAACCAAGGACCAGCAAGUCUGAUAGAAAGUAAGCCCUACAAGAUCACACUGACCUAAAUUUCGAUUAGGUUAGACAAACAACGGCGAACAGCAACCAAUUUUAUCUGUUCAACAUCGAUAAUUUGGUCUCCAGUUUCACAAAAGUACCGUGCAGACUAAUAAUCUGUCAGACAUAUGUACGCACCCAGUAACUGUCAUUCUUGAAAUGCCCUAACUAUAAACUGCAUGCUGCACUGCAACGGCCUUCACAUCCGCAGCCCCAGUUUCAGGACUGAACCGUAGAUGUGUAGGGACAGUGCAAAAAAAACUCCCAAGGACAAAGUUGCCCACAACCAGCACGCGCAUGACUCAAGCUCCCAAAAGCUAUACGUCAAGGUGAGUGACGGAACAUCGCAAAAACAAAAUACAUGCAGUCUGAAUUCAUAAAUAUCCCACUUCCAGGACUUCCAGGACACCCACUUCCCGGUCCUUCCACCCUAUUCCCCAACCACGGACGCCCUGCUACCACAUAACUCCACUAAAUCGCCCUCCAUACUCCAUCGCCAUGUACACUUCGCACUUCCGUUCCGUCUCUUCGCAGACCGGGAAUCUCACCAACUUGUCCACCAGAGCUUCGUCCCUGUUCCUACGAACAUAAACAUCAUCGACACUUAGGGUUACCACCCCCCCCCCCCCCACCUCCCACGCCCUCCGCUGCGUACGCCCCCAACACAAACCCAGCGUCGCACCCUCCUCAAAUCUUGUCGAUGUCUUCAUCCUCGAAUUCCACGUAGUCGUCACCGCCACCGUCUUCCUCAUCGUCCAUGCCUCCGGCGAUACCCUCGUUCAGACGCACGUUCUCGGGCAGCUCGCUGUACGCCUUCAAAAGCCUGGCCUCGUCCGGCUGGUACUUCAGAAUCACGUCCGCCUUGUCGUCCUGGUAAUCUCUCAGACCCACCAAUAUGAUGUCCCCCGACGCAAUCCACACCUUUUUGUGCAUCUUCCCCCGGAUGUGGCAAAGCCGCUUAGUCCCAUCGAUGCACAGCGCCUCGCACCGCCCGUUCCCGAGCAUCCUCAACACCUGCGCGUACUCCUGCCCAUCCUCCUUGAACACCAGCUCCCGCUUCUCGUCCUCCGCCUCGUUCUUUCCUCUCUUCCGGUUCUUUCCUCCCUUUCCCUUGUUCUUCGGCAUCCUUGCGGCUUCUCCUCACGCCCAAGUGCAACACCAAUUCCUCCUCAGACCACCAAAUCCUGGGGUGCGUCCACUGGGUCGCGGUUCGCACACGGAUCCGCACUCGCAGCGGGGCUGCACCAAGCCUGAAUGAAGCUCCUGGCUGGCUAUGGAUGGUAGUAGGGCGCAGCACGCACUAAAGGCACACUCACUCACUCGCACACAGCGAAAGCGGGCCGAGAGGCGGGUGCCUGUGGCCGCGUGAGGAGGACCCGUGACCGUCUUCUCACCCACCGCUAAAAGCCCUACCGGGUGAACGUGACCGUAAAUGAUGCUAAUGUCGAAGCUUCGUAAAAGAGGAUUGGCAUGAAUCCAUAUUCCUUACUAAAAUUGAAUGAAGCAGAAACCAUGGUCUUCAAAGGAACUAUCAACUAGUCUGCAUGCACGACUUGAAACAGAUUCAGAGCUCACCACCAGUAUCCAAGGGUGUUGCAUGAGUUCCUCAAGAUUGAGACGUUGGUGCUUGCCCCAGCUCAGAUAACACUCCACAAAUGAGAUAAACAAGUUGUCUUCGCACCCGACGGCAAACCUCAUUUCUUACAGAAGCUGAGGCAGGUUCCUCGGUGUGGAUCACAUUGAGAUGUCUUAGAGUGACAAUCUCAUCCUUCCGACCAUUUCCCGGCACACUGGAUGUAGUGUACACACCUGUUGCAAGCAUGGCUUGCUUUUCCAGAUCACGCCAAACCUUCGCAACGUUGAAAACAGACAUGGACUCAGAGUAUCUGCUCGUAUAGCUACUGAAUGCCCUGACUCUAGCGCGAGAAGUUGCAGAAUCUCGGAGGGGUAAUGUCAACGAUGGUCGAUAAAUUCCCUUGGAAUUCCAAAUUUUUCUCCAGCAUUUCCCAUUCCUGAGAGGAUAAAAAUCAAGGUUCAUGGAGGUGCGCUUGAAAUCGUCACCGAUCAAGGCCUCAUCCCUGUGAGACAUGUAAAGUUUCCUGGCUGUUGGAAGUUUUACACAUGCUUCUGUGGCCGGAAAAAAGGGUAACUCAUACCUCCUGAGCACUUGAUUUCAACAGCUAUGACAAAGCAUUCAUUUCUCAAUACAACCAUCUGCGUAGAUCAGCUGAAGUACAACCUACGGAGGUUAAAGGUAGAGCACAUGAAAGUUGGCGUACUCCUAUCCACCACCAUGAGCAGCCAAAUGCAGGAUAUGGACUCCAAUGUGGCGUCCUGCACAAUUGAGUAGACGAAUAAACCUCAUACGACCAAUCCCUGCGGAAAACCCCACUAGAAGCCAAGGUUUAAUAAUUCACAUGCAAACAAAACGCAAACAGACAUACACAUGCUCAAUCACCCUGGCAAUCACAAUUCAGCAUGAGCUCAACCGUAAACGCCAAGGGCACGCUAUCACGGGGAAGUUCUCCACAUGGAAAGGUAACGGACAUGGAGGAGGAUACGAAAUGGUUGCAGAAACAAGGAGCUGGAGCUUGAUUACGGUGGGAAAGGGUAGGUAAGCAGGGUGUGAGCCUGCGAUAGAGGGUCGCAAUAGAAGGUAGGUGCACAUACCACACUGCAGGUGAGCCCUGCUGGAGAGGGGCUGACGGCCAUGUCCGGCUCUUGGUACAUUCCCCGACUUUAUUCCAACCAACACGGCUUCCUUAGCUUAUAUUAUAAUUGGAGCAUCUAAUUAUAAUCCAUCACGUUUUUUUAGAUUAAAACUAAUUUUUCAAAUUUAUGUUGCUUAAAAAAAAAUUAACAAAAAAAAUCAACUAACUUCUCAUUCCUACUUUAAGAUAAUGAAUAAUGCUAACUUUAAGGCUUUUGACUACCAUCUUCUUAGAUGUUUUAUAUUUUUUAUAAAAUAUAAAGAUGACCACAAUCUUUACAUUUUGUAUUUUAGUAUUCACAUUUAUACUAAUAUAGAAAGUGAUUCCUUCAAUAUUUUCCAAGGAAUCACUUUUUAUAUUAAAUAAAUUUCAAAUAUUAAAAAUCAUUCUUAGAGCUUUAGGUGUCAUGGAUAUAUAUAUAUAUAUAUAUAUAUAUAUAUAUUCCAAUAAUCACUUAGAUAAUAUGAAUAGAUAGAAGUUAGUAAAAGUAAGUAAAUUUAAUAAUAUUUUAUGAACAAAUUUUUUUGAAGCUUUAUAAACAUAGAUUUGUAUUUAUACAUGUUUAUAAAUGAUUGGUAGGUUAAAAAUUUGGCCAAUAAGUUAGCCAUGUGUUGCACAUGUUGGCCUCUUAUAAUAAAAAUUGGACAUGUGGCACAUAUAUAAGAAACUUGUAUUAUAAAUUAGAUAUAUGUCUUACAAGUUGGAUACAUAUUAGAAGUUUUAUAAAAUAAUGCUAUAUAACUUCUAAUUAGAUAGUAUAUAUGGAAGAAAGAGUGAUGCCUUUCUCACUUUUAUCAGUUCAUUUAUUGCUUCUAAUCUAAUUUUAAGAAUCUCUAAUUAUUCUAUUCUUUGGCAAUAACCAUUUCAAUUUCUUUUUAAAUCUAUAUACUUAUGUUUUUAUUUUUAUUUUUAUUUUUAUUAUUUUUUGUCAUCUCUCUUUGAUACAUAUUUUGUUUGUUUAUAUACAAUCUUAAAGUUCUUGUCCUUGACAAAUUAAAAAGACAACACUUACAAUAUUAUUUUUUUAUUUUUUUAUUUUUUUUGUCUUGAUUAAAAGUAAAUUAUUCCUUCUUUUUUUUGAUUAGAUAUAAGCAUAUUAGAAGUUAUAAAUUAUCCACUUCUAAAUUGAUAUUAAUUUCAAAAAAUAUUUGUUCAAUUUUCUACUUACUUCAAGCAAUAUUAAACAUAUUCUUUUUUAUUGUACUAUUAUAACAAAACUUGUUGAAAUGAAGAGUAUAAUUGGAACAAGACUAAACUAUCUCAAAAACCCAAGAUCUUUCCAAUCCAUAACAAUAUAAGGCCUCUUCACAAAAUAGGACAAAACAAGCCAUAAAAAAAUUGAACCAAAGUAAACAAUAUAAGACAUGAAUGACAAAAUUGAGCAAACAAAAACAAAACAGAACAAAUCUAAACAAAAAGAUGCAAAACCAAAUUUUAUUAAGAGAAAGGGUCUAAAGCCAUACCUGACCUGAUAUCCCAAAAGGCCUUAGCUUGUCCUAUUUAUACCUUGUCCCACCACCCAAGUCUUUCUAGUAUAUUCCUAGGUAGUGACUUCCACCUAGAUAACCGCCUUAAACUCUUUUUCUAAAAGGUUCCAUGAUAGGCUCCAUCUAAAUAACUGCCUUAAAUUCUUUCAGAAAUGUUCUAUGAUAGGUCCUACUUAGUCCACUAACCUAACUUCAAUUCUAGAAACUUCUAUGGUUCUAAUUAUCUAUAUAAUUAUUUUAUCUAUACCCUAUUACAACAAUAGCUUAAAUUUAAAAAAUAAAUAAAUAAAAUUAAUGCUUGGAAUGCAUCAAAUCAAUUUACUACCACAAGAAGCAACAAGAUUAGUUAGAAGUAAAAAUAUAGAAAUAAUUAAAUGUGCUUCAACAUCUAUACCAAAUUAUGUUAGUUCUUCUAUAAUAGAACAUUGUUCAAGUGUCAAAAAACUAAGAAUUGUAUUGCUAAAGAAGUUUGAUGGCAUAAAUUCAAAGUUUUAAGGAUUCAUUAAUCAAGUAUAUUUGAUAAUUGAAUUUCAAUUUUAAGAUAUCUAAUAUUAAUAUUAUAAGUCAAAUUUAUUAGAAAAUUACUUUUAAAUUUUAUUUUAUUAUAAAUUUUAUCUUUUUUAAUAAUAUAAUCUAAUAUUAAAUAAUUUAUACACUAUUUUGGUAAAAUUUCUAGCUAUAUAAAGAAAAUAUGAUGCAAUUUGUAUUACAACUAAUAAGAUUUGCAUUAUGUAUCAAGAUAAUUAAUAAAAAAUAUUACAUGCUUUAUAAUUUCAUCAAAUUAUAAAUAAUAUCAAGUAAAAUGAUAUUAUAUUCAUAAGCCAAUUUUUCUACAAAUUAUAAUAUAAGGUAAAGAAUUAAUGCUAAACUUACUUGAUGUUCAAACAUUGAUUUUGUUGUGAAGUGUAACAAUUGGUAUUUUGAAUUUUAAUUUAAAAAUCCCAUAAGAAGGCUGUCAAGGACAUGAAUCUCAAAGAAAGAAAAUCCUCAAUACACUCUUAUGUCAUUGAACUAGAAAGGAACUAGAAAGGAACUAGAAAGUCAUUUAAAGAUAAUAUAAUAAUGAAGUAGGAUGGCUAUUGCCAAAAACAAGAAGACUAGAAAGUCUGAAAACAAGACUAACAAUUAAAAAGGCAAUGAUAAGGGUGAAGAAGUGAAACAUGACCAAACUACCUCAAAAAUCCAAGAUCCUUCUAAUCUACAGUAACAUAAAGCUUCAUCACAAAAUAGGACAAAACAGACUAGAACAGAUUUGAAUGGAACUAAACAAAAUAGAACAUGAAAGAAAAAAAUUGAGUAAACAAAAAUAAAAUAGAAUAGAUCUAAACAAAAUGAUAAAAAACCAAACUUUACUAAGAGAAAUGGUCCAAAGGUAUACUUGACUAGAUGCUCCAAAAGGUCCUAGCCAGUCCUAUUUAUACCAUGUCUCACCACCCUGGACUUUCCAAAAUAUUCUUAGAUAGUGGAUUCCACCUAAAUAAUCACCUUAAGCUUUUUUUAGAAGAUUCUAUAAUAGAUUCUAUGUAAAUAACCACCUUAAACUCUUUUUAAAAUAUUCCACGAUGGAUUCUAUCUGAUCUACUAAUCUAACCUUAAUUUUAGAAACUUCCAUGAUUCUAACUAUCUAUACAAUUAACUUAUCUAUAUCAUGUUACAAUUAACUCCCAUCCACUAAUGCAAAACAUCCUCGUUUUGCUCCCGAUAGUAUCUUUAAAUUGUCUCUUGGCAAUGGGUGAGAUUUUGUACAAGUUUUCAUGUUGCAUCGUAAAUAGGAUAACUUUUCCAAAGAACUUUGCAUUGAAGUUGUGGAUGUCCACUACUACAACAAAGAUAGCAAUGCUUCAAAAUAUUGUCCACUUCAUAUUCUUAUUGGUCAUUAACUACAAUUGGUGGUGGUUGUGGUAGUUGGUAUCAAUCUAAAAAGUGCUUUGGUUGAGUAUGAAAUUCUUCAAAUUACAAAACAUGGAAGCCUAGAUGGAUCCAAAUAUGUGGCGGAAGCUUGAGGCUCUAUGCAACAUCAAAAAUCACUGCAAAAAUGUGAAAAGAUCCAAGACACUGAAGUGCUAGUUUAUGGAUUUGGGUUAAUGUAGCAAGUGGCAAGUUGGUGUUGGAGAAUAAUACCUGAUCACCUUCUCAGAAGAUCUUGUAUUGUUGAUAGUUAUUAGCAUACUACUUUUGUUGAUUUUGUGCAGUAAGAAGGCGGUGUCAUAUUAUGUGAAGUUUGGUUUGAAAAUGCAUCAAGUACUUGGCUGCGGAAGAUAUAAGGAAAAUUAUAACAAUAAGUCCUAACAACUCUAAUAGAUUUUUAAAUAAAUUAUAAUUAAAGAUUAAAAAAUAUUAUCAAACAUCAAUCAAAUUCAAUUAAAAUUUCAAAAGAAUUAUACAAGAAAAACAAAGAAUUUCCACAAACCUUUAAAAGAAAUCAUAAAAAAAUAAUAUAGAAAUUCAAAAAAAUAUAUUAAAAUAGAAAUAUUGAUAAAAUAUUAAAAUAAAAAUCUUAAUUAUACCUUAGUCAAACCUUAGUCAAAUCUUAGUCAAACCUUGAUCAAAUCCUAGUCAACCUCUAAAUAAGCCCUAAUCAAAUCCUAAAUCAAAUCCUAAAUAAGCCCUAGUCAAAUCUUAAUCAAAUCUUAAAUAAACACUAAUCAAAUUUAAAUCAAAUCUUAAAUAUAUCUUAAAUAAAUCUAACCAAAUCCUAACCAAAAUCAAAUCCUAAUCCUAACCAAACCUUAAAUCGAAUCCAAAAUCCUAACCUUAAUUCUAAACCUUAAAUCAAAUUUAAAAUCCUAAUUCUAAUUCUAAACCAAAUCUUAAUCCCAACCAAAUCUUAAUCAUAAUCAAAUUUAAAAUCCUAAUCCUAAUUCUAAACCAAAUCUUAAUCCCAACCAAAUCUUAAUCAUAAUCAAACCUUAAAUCAAAUCUAAAAUCCUAAUCUUAAUCCUAAACCUUAAAUCAAAUAUAAAAUCCUAAUCCUAAUCUUAAACCAAAUCUUAAUCAAUCUCAAGUAAUUCCUAAUAACUAAUAAAUGAAUCAUUGAUUUUAAUUAAAAAAUUAUAUACUUCUUAAUAAUUAAAUUGACAACAAGUACAAAUUUUUUGAAGAAGAUUGAAUCACCAAAACAAAGAUCAAUUCUAAAAUCUGCUCAAGUAUCGGCCAUCCUCCUACUCAAAUCUGAAUGAUAAAAUUUCAAUGCCAAAAUCUCCCUUUCAAACUAUUUGAUUGUUAUCAAAUUUCAUAUAUAUAUAGUAAAUCAAGUCUACUAUUCUUAUAAAUAAAUUUUAUUCUAAUCCAACUAGAAUUUUGCUAAAGAUAUUAGAAAUUCUAUCUACCUCUCAAAGUUCAAUAUUUGAGUCCUCAACCUACUUGAAAUUCAAUAAUUUUCAAUUCAAUUGUUCGAUUAUGCUCAAAAUUAUAGUAUAUAUUGAACACAUAUUUAUCUAUAGAGCCUUAAAACUUCAUCCAUAGAUCUAUUGCCAAACUUACGAAAUUCUCCAAAAAAUAUCAUCCAUUUUAUUUCACAAAUCUAGAGUCACUCCAAACAAAUUCCAACUUUGCAAAGCUCAUACAAAGUCAAUAUACACUCAAAUCACUCAAAAUCAAUGCUAAAAGAAACUCUAUUAAGUUUGUUCUUAGAUCCUACCCUUUAGUCUCCAAAAGAUCCCUUGAACUGCCAUAGGAGCUCGGUUCUAAACCAUGAGGUCUGAUUUCGAUCUAGGUUCAUAAUUGAUCCUUUUUGGGUAUCAAUUCUUAGGUUUCUAAGGUAAUUUUUGCUACAAUUUACUCUUGACUUAUUUUCAAAGGUACAUUUAUGGUUUAUUUUUCUAAUCUAUCUUAUUUUUCUCUAUUUGUGGUCCUAUAAAGCGAGAAGAAGCUUAAUUUGUAGAAAAGGCAGUGGUAGCAACUUUAAUUUUUCUACCCCUUGACUCUUAUCUAUUUUUCUAAGAUAAUUUGUUACAAUAUAUUUGAAAUAAGAUCUUUAAAAAUAUAGUAUUUUGUUCACCUUUUCAUCUACUAGCCAUUUUACAUGAUGACAGUGGUGUCGUGCUUCUUGUAAGGCCAUUGUAAGCUGUUGUAUAAAUUCUUUCGAUGUCAAAUUGUUGGUAUCAAUGGGACAAUGGUGAGUUGCUAGUGUAAUCAAAUGAUAAUCAAUAUUAAGAAAAAAUGGUAAAUGAUUAAUACUUGCUUGAAUACUAUCAUUACUUGCAAACUCUAAGGGUGUCAAGUAUUCAUCCCAAUCAUUAUAAUGGACUGCCGCAAAUGUUUGCACCAUAUCUUUCAAUGUCCAAUUUGCAUGCUCUGUUUGCCCAUCUUUUUGGAGAUGGAAGGCUAUAGAUAUAGCAAGUCAUGUGCUUAACAGCUUAAAUAAGGUUUAUUAAAAACUUUCCUUGAAACAUGGAUCCUAAUCCAAAAUGAUGAUACGAGGUAAUCUAUAGUGACGAAAGAUGAUAUCAAAGAAGACUAGUGCAAGCAUUAGGACAUCAAUAUUCAAAUGUACCAUAGCCAAGUGAAGUUGCUUCAAGAAUCAAUCCACAAAGAUGACAACCGAGGUAUGAUUAUGAGGCAUCUGUAGCAAAUACGUAAUGACAUCCAUAGUCUUUUGCUCCCAACAUGCCGUAUGUGGCAAAAUUGGCUGCAAUAGUCCAAGAGACAUUGCAUUGCGUACUUUGUUAUGUUGACAUGAUUCACAAGAGCAUACAAAAGUUCAAACAUUACAAUCAAAUCCUAUCCAAAAUCAUGUCCUUGAAAUUUGUUCUAGAGUCUUUUUUCAUCUCAAAUGUCCAGAUAUUGGGAUAUCAUGUCCCUCUUGAAGUAUGCGUGUUUGGAAUUUAGGAUUGUCAGGUAUAUAAAUUUGUUUCUUGUAAUAGAAUAAGCCAUUACUGAAAGUAUAAUCAUGAUAUUGUAUAUUGUCCACCUUCAGUCGAUAUCUAACCAUCUUGAAAUAAGCAUCCUGAUGCAUAGCUUCUUUCCAUUCUACCUCUUUGGUUACAUCUAAAAUGAUACCACUAAUCAUAGCGACUUCUAUUUUAUCUCUCGAUUAGUCCUUUAGAUUUGGUCUUUGCGAUAAGCUAUCUAGCAUAAUAUAUUAUCUUUCUUGCUUGUAAUUAAGCUUGAUAUCAAAAAGCUACAAUUGUUCUUCUUAAUGAUGAUGUAGUAAUUUUAUAUUUUUUAAAUGCAAAUCUAGUAGCAAUGAUUGAUGGUCAAUCCAAACAAUCACUCGCUUUCCCAAUAGAUAGUAUCGCCACAUCUUUGUGGCAUGUACAAUUGCUAAUUGCUCUUGAUCACGUGCAUAGUAAUUGUGCUUUGUCUCUUUGAGCUAGCGUGAUUCAUAUGCCACAGAUUGAAGGCUUCUCUCAAAGUUUUGUUGAAAGACCGCUCCAAUAGGAAAGUCAAAAACAUCAAUGUUAAGCGUACAAAGAAGAUUAUGAUCAUAUGACUACAAUAUUGAAGUAGUAAUGAGUGUUUCUUUCAACUUAUUAAAGGUAUUUUAUUGCUCCAAUUUCUAUUGAAAUCGAGCACCUUUUUCUAAUAGGUUUGUCAAUGAGUCAGUAAUGUGAGUAAAUUUCCAAACAAAAUGGUGAUAGUAUCUAGCAAGACCUAAAAAUGAGCAAACAUCAGAAGCAUCUUUGAAGGUUGGCCAAUCCUUCACUGCUUUUAUCUCAUCUUACUCCAUACACAUGCAUUCGGAAGACACCACAUGUCCUAAAAAGAUGACUUCUGACUUCCAAAGUACACAUUUUGAUUGCUUGCAACAAAAGCAAAUAUCUUGUAAUUACCACAAUACUUCUCAUAGGUGUUAUUCAUGCUCUUUAGGGAUUUUAUUGUAUAUAAGGAUAUUAAUAAAGAUGACCACAUACUUGUCUAAAAUAUCUCAAAACAAUCUAUUUAUUUGAUCCAUGAAAGAGGCUAAAACAUUAGUGAGAUCAAAGGAUAAAAUCAACCAUUCAAAAUGUCCAUAGCACGUACAAAAUGUCAUCUUUUCUACAUCUUUUCUUGCAAUUGGCAUUUGCUAAUAGUUGCUUCAAAGAUCCAAUUUACUAAAGAUAGUUACACCUCAAAAUUAGUCAAGAAGAUCAUCCACUUAUGAACGUAGAUAUGCAUUUUUAAUAGUCUGCUUAUUGAAGCCUCAAUAGUUGAUGUAAAGGCAAAGUCCACCAUCUUUCUUAAGUACAAAGAGUACAAGUGCUCUCGAUGGUGAUGUGCUUUCUCAAGUGAGGCCUUUCUCCAAGAGUUCAUGUAAUCUCUUUCGCGGCUCUUUAAGUUCUUUUGGUGUUAGGCAAUAAAUUGGUCAACUAGUUGGUUUGGCUCUAGGCAAUAGUUCUAUUUUAAAAGAGGCACCUCAAUCAGGAGGUAUACUAUUAGGUAGGUUGGUUUGAAAGAUAUCCUCAUAUUUCCAUAUGAGUUGUUGUGGUUGUUCUAUUCCUUUGGCUAUCUUUUCCACUACUAAGAUAAAAUUUGGAACCAGCAUAUAUAUAUAUAUAUAUAUAUAUAUAUAUGAGUUACUCAUGCUAUAUUUAUUUUUUUUAUAAAGGUUGUUCCUACGAAUAAGUCUUUGGUUGCAGAUUGUCUUUCCUCUUCACUUGAUGCAAAAGUGCAAAGAGUCACCUUGUAUCUUCUAUCUUUAAAAGAGAUUGUCUUUGUUAUCCAAUAAACUUGCUUAUUUUCCAUCUCUAGCCAUGGCAUACCAAAGAUAACAUCAUACUUUAGCUUUGUCACUUUAAAUCUCUCUCUUAAGACGUAGGCAUUUGUCAAUUUCAAGGUUUUUUCUUUAUACCUCUCACUCAAUAUGUUUUCUCAGUCAUCUGCAAGGUAUAUACUUUCAUCUUUGAUUACUUUAGUUUCAAUUCUAAGCUAAUUGAGAAUUUCAAUAAAAAUGUAAUUUUUUGUAGAGCUACAAUCUACAAGCACUCGACAUGGUUGUCGUCGUAGUAGUUCCAUUAGAUGCAUCAAUUGACUCUUUUUAUAGUUGUGUAAGGCUAUGCCAUUUUUCUUUGAAAGACAGUAGCUAUCUCUAGUAUUGACCCUCGGCGCCUUUAUUGAGGAACCUUAUUUUAUUGCUCUAACUCAUUAUCGACUUGGUGAAUUUCAAGAAUACAAACUUGCCUUGUCUUGUUGGUACUUGAAUUAUAAUGUUUUGGAUAACCUCCGAUCUGAUGGCCUAGCUCCCAAUAAUAGAAAUACAAUCCUUUUUGUACCAAUAUUUUUUUAUCUUUGUAGUGUUAAUGAUCCUUGUAAGGCAUCAAUCUCUAUUGGUUUUGAUUGUCGUGUCAUAAUAUUAGAUAGCGCCAUAGGACUUCAUGCUAUAGGUCGUGCUCCAUGAUUUCUAAAAUCUAUAGCAUUGUCCCUCCCUACAAUCCAAAUUUCUUUUUUAAAUUUUUGUGGAUCAUUUAGCUCCACUCUUUGCUAGACUCCAAAUUUCAAACCUUGUAGAAAUUGAUUGAUCAUCUCCACCUCUGAAAUAUUGCCAAUUUAGAGACAUAGGAACUUGAAUUGGAAGACAUAAUCUUAUAUCGACUUAGCUUGUAUAAGAUCUGCCAACUGAUCACAUACUAUCUUCUCCACAUUGAUGGAUCAAAAUUGAUUCCUAAAUUAGAUUUCAAACUCCUCUCAGUCACAAAAUCUACCUUAAGCUCCCUAACUUUGAAUUCAAUGUCGCCACCAAAUGGUUGCCGCAUCUUUCAAAUAGUUAGGUGCAUAUAUGAUUCCUUCAGUGGUAUUUGCUUCAGAUAAUUGGAGGUAUUGUUGCAUGUUGAAGAACCAUUGACAUACAUCUUCUUGUCUUGAAGUUUUAGAAUAUUUACUAGGCUUAUACAAUUUCAAGAUAGCAGAUAUCAACUCCUUUGUCCUCAAGGCUUCUAUUUGCCUUUGCAAAGUAGCUAUCUAGCCAAAGAGGUGUUAUAUUUGAGCUUCCAUCUGGGAUUGUUCUACCAUAUCUCUCAUGCUCUAAUUCCUCCGCUAGACUCAAUUACUCUAAUGUCUUCUCAUUUCUUGAUUGAUUGAUUGAUUUUUUUUUUUUUUUCAAAGAAGCUUAUGGUAGCCUCAACAUAAUACCCAUUGUGACCACAACGAAUUGACUUUGGACUAGAUGAUGACUAUUGACAUACUACAAAGACUAAUCUAACACUCGCUCUGAUAUCAAUGAAAUAAGUUCAAAUUAUCUAAAAAAUCCAAGAUCCUUCUUAUCCACAACAAUAUACAGCCUCAUCAUAAAAUAGGUCAAAAUAGACUAGAAUAGAUAUGAACGGAAUUAAACAAAAUAGGACAUGAAAGAAAAAAAUUAAAUAAACAGAAAUAGAAUAGAACAGAUUUACAUAGAAAGGUGCAGAACAAAUUUUUUUUAAGAGAAAGGAUCCAAAGCCAUAUCUGACCAGAUGUCCUAGAAGGCCUUAGCCAAUCCUAGUUAUACCUUGUCCUAUUACUUUGGACUUUCGAGAAUAUUCUUAAGUAAUGGAUUCCAUUUAGAUAACUACCUUGAACCUUUUUUAGAAGGUUCUAUGGUAGGCCCCAUCUAAAUAACCAUCCUAAACUCUUUCUAAAAUGUUCUACGAUGGAUCCUAUUUGAUCCACUAAUCUAAUUCCAAUUCUAGAAAGUUCGAUGAUUCUAACUAUCUAUACAAUUAUCUUAUCUAUACCCUAUUAUAAGAAAGCUUGACUCUUAUCUCUAUAUAUACUCUUAACUAGGUGCUAUAUGACAAUGUCUUAUGGGACUUCUAAAACGUGUUGACUUUGCAAGAUACAUAUUUUAAUUUGCAAGGUAAGUUUUUUAUAUGUGUGCCACAUUGUUAGCUUCUUCCAUAAGCUAGCAACAUGUGGUUAACUUGUUGAUCAAGUUUCUAACCUACCAAUCAACUACAAACAUUUGUAAAGUCAAAGCAAUAUCUAUAAAGCUUCUAAGAAGCUUCUUAAGAAGGUAUUAUGAAAUUUAUCUACUUCUACCUACUCCUACCUAAUUAUAUAGGUAUUUACUAGAGUACUUAUGUAUAUCCAUGACAAAAGUUGUAACAUUUUUACAAUUCAAUGACAAUAUCAAUGCUACAUGUAUAUUUAAAAGUGAAGGAUAUGCAAAUUGAUGCAAUUAUAAAUUCCUCACUAAACAAGGAAGGAAUUGAUGUUGUCAAGAAGGAUUGUACUUAUAUUGUAGAAAACUUAAGUACACUAUUUAAUAUUAUUCAAAAAAAUAAUGUAGUCACAAAAUGACAAAGAUGGUUAUUAAAAAAUAAUAUAUUAAUUUUUUUGAUUAAAAUAGAAUUUUUCUUAAAUAUACUAUAUGAGAAAUCAAAUAAAAAGUUAAACAAAAGAGUUUCAACAAGAAAACUAACAAGAACUUGAUUAAAUCAAAUGAGUAUAAGAUCAUUACUAAAAGAGGUGAAAUAAAGCUCUAAAAGUUGUGUUAUUAAGAUUGAAGAUCUCUUUAGCCUCGAUUCUAAAAUAUACUAAGUAUUAAGAAAAUUUUCAAGAAGUUUUGAUAUUGCUUGAAGACUUAGCAAUUUUAAGAAGCUUUUUGGAAAACUUCCUUGAUCUUACUAAAAAUUUUAAGAAUCUACUAGAAUAUUUUAUGAAUUUUUUAAAAUCUUCUAUUAAAAUAUUUUUAAAAUCAUUAAAAAUCUUUUAAAACUUAAUAGAAUAUUCUAAGAAUAUUUAUAAAAUUUUCUUGUUGGAUGUUUGUAAUAUCAUCUCUGAGUUCGAAAAUAAGAAUUGGUUUUAUAUUUGCAAUAUAAUAAUCAAAGCUUGAGCAUCAUCUUGAAGGUUUUUUUGUUUGAGUUGACCAUAGCAUAGGCGUUUCUUCCUUUAAGAAGGUCCAACUUCAUCUUGAAGAUGAUCUUGCAAAGGUUGCUAAAGUUAAAAUAGUUGAUCUGACUCUACUUUGAGAUUCAUGAUCUAAAAACUCUCUAAAUACUUUCCGACUCAAUAUAUUAGAUCAUAAAUUGGAUAUACUAAACUCUAAUGUUGUUGUGAGAAAUACUUGCAAAAGUCUACUAUUUAUGUAUAGCAUUGGCUAGAGAGCAUUAACAUAGAGAGCAUUAAUUGUAUCUAACACAAUACAAAGUAGAUACAAAAGAUAAUAUUUGAACAUUGAGCAUUGUUGGCAAUAUCCAUUAGCAUAAACAUUGAUGAUACUUGAAAUUUUUCUAUUUUCAAAAAGAUGAUAAGACAUAAAUAACAAAUAAAUACAAUCAAUGCAAGAACCAAUUAUAUCAUUACAUGGAACCAAAGAAUACCAUUAUAAGGAUUAAUAAUUAACAAUAAUAUACAAACAUAGUAUUAAUUACGUCCAUACUUUAAUACAGCCACUUUUACAUCCAUGUAAAUAGUUGUUGGAUGUAGGUUGAUCCUUCUUCUUUAAUUGUUUUCUACUUAUUCAAAGCAUCAAGUAUACACUGUUAUGUGUCUUUAUGUAAAGCAAAAUAUGUAAAAAAAUAAACUGGAGAACUUCCCAUGCCUAACCUAUUGCAUUCUCUUUCAACGGUGUGAGAAACAUCAACUUCUCACUUCCACACGAGGCUGUAGGAGCAAAGCGACCACGUAGCCAUGACGACUCCCCUGUGGCAGCCGUAGGUAUGGUCCAGUGCUUAACGCUGGUUCGCACACUCACAAGCCAAGAUGAGGCAGUGAGGCUCAAGCAACCAUCCCAUCGCCCCGUCUGAGCCCAAGCACCGAGGCACCCGGAAUGUUCGACGCGAGAGCACUUGCAGCACCGCAUCUCACUUCCAAAACUGGGAUCACACCAUGAAGAUCAAUCGACUGGACAAUCACACUGUGGAACCAUCCCCAAAACUACUCUCCCCGGGUCGGAACGAACCAACGAACAAAGGAAGGAACGAACGCGGGUGGGGAGGGAGGGGACGGUCACGUUCACCCGGUAGGGCUUUUAGCGGUGGGUGAGAAGACGGUCACGGGUCCUCCUCACGCGGCCACAGGCACCCGCCUCUCGGCCCGCUUUCGCUGUGUGCGAGUGAGUGAGUGUGCCUUUAGUGCGUGCUGCGCCCUACUACCAUCCAUAGCCAGCCAGGAGCUUCAUUCAGGCUUGGUGCAGCCCCGCUGCGAGUGCGGAUCCGUGUGCGAACCGCGACCCAGUGGACGCACCCCAGGAUUUGGUGGUCUGAGGAGGAAUUGGUGUUGCACUUGGGCGUGAGGAGAAGCCGCAAGGAUGCCGAAGAACAAGGGAAAGGGAGGAAAGAACCGGAAGAGAGGAAAGAACGAGGCGGAGGACGAGAAGCGGGAGCUGGUGUUCAAGGAGGAUGGGCAGGAGUACGCGCAGGUGUUGAGGAUGCUCGGGAACGGGCGGUGCGAGGCGCUGUGCAUCGAUGGGACUAAGCGGCUUUGCCACAUCCGGGGGAAGAUGCACAAAAAGGUGUGGAUUGCGUCGGGGGACAUCAUAUUGGUGGGUCUGAGAGAUUACCAGGACGACAAGGCGGACGUGAUUCUGAAGUACCAGCCGGACGAGGCCAGGCUUUUGAAGGCGUACAGCGAGCUGCCCGAGAACGUGCGUCUGAACGAGGGUAUCGCCGGAGGCAUGGACGAUGAGGAAGACGGUGGCGGUGACGACUACGUGGAAUUCGAGGAUGAAGACAUCGACAAGAUUUGAGGAGGGUGCGACGCUGGGUUUGUGUUGGGGGCGUACGCAGCGGAGGGCGUGGGAGGUGGGGGGGGGGGGGGGGGGGUGGUAACCCUAAGUGUCGAUGAUGUUUAUGUUCGUAGGAACAGGGACGAAGCUCUGGUGGACAAGUUGGUGAGAUUCCCGGUCUGCGAAGAGACGGAACGGAAGUGCGAAGUGUACAUGGCGAUGGAGUAUGGAGGGCGAUUUAGUGGAGUUAUGUGGUAGCAGGGCGUCCGUGGUUGGGGAAUAGGGUGGAAGGACCGGGAAGUGGGUGUCCUGGAAGUCCUGGAAGUGGGAUAUUUAUGAAUUCAGACUGCAUGUGUUUUGUUUUUGCGAUGUUCCGUCACUCACGUUGCUGGUGCUUGGAAGGAGGACCCGGAGAGGUCACAUCAAUAUUGUGCAAUCAAGUGGCUGAAUGCGUAUCAAGUGCAGGCAUAAAGUCUGUCCCUUUUGGUUGCGCAACAGUGUUUACCAACAGCCACUGAGAUGUAGUACCUUGUAAAGAGACUUCUAGAUCAUUGCGUUCAGUGCUAUUACAAUGGAAAGGUGAAAGAGAAUCAUGUAAAAACUAUUGAUUUUUAUGUAUUGUUGAGGGCAUUAUUCUAAACAAUUCAAGACUGUUUUUUCUGAGCUAUGAAAUUAAGACGGUCAUCCUAAUAACCUUGUACUAUUGUAUAUUUUACAAUCACUUAAGUUGCCAUCAUCUUCUUAGAUCUAGUUUUGGCUUUAUUUCUAUUUUUACACAGAUGUUGGAUGGCACAUUGUUUUGUUUUGUUGUUUUUUGUGUUUUUGACACAAAGAUGGGGUAUAUUCAGUGCAUGGAUACAGUGGAUCAUGGUUAAUGAAUUGACUUCUUAGCUCCUAAUUCCAAAGAGAUGGAAUGAGCAUGCUGAGUGAAGUAACUAUCAACUAAGACUUCUACUUUUAGGUAUAAUUAAUCCGUUCAUGAUUUUCUAAAAUUCCAUUUUAUUGUUUGGUUUGAUCUUGUGCCAAGAAGGUGUUUUAUCAUUCAUGAUUUGCCCCAUUUCUCAAGGAGUGUAGUCUCAUGUUUAAUAUGUACUGCCAAUUUCUUCCUAAUUGUUAAUUAAGGAUUUUUUUUGUAUUUUACUAAUUAAUUUCAAAACAUGCUUUUAUAUAGUCCACAAACAUAGAUCUCUAAGUAGCAACUAUAUUUUGUAAAAGUAUGUAAUUUGUGGAAGAGGCUUUCUUUCAAAGAUAGCUUAUUUCUAUAAGAAUGUUUUCUAAGAUCUUCAUUCCUACAAGUUUUAGGCGAGUUUGUAAUAGGAUGUGGUUCAAUUCUAAAUUUUGCAACUAACUAAUACUUCCAUAACCUAUGUAGAAUAGUUUCACAAUCAAUAUUAAUAGUUGGAUUAUAAUGCACAAUCAAUAUUAAUAGUUGGAUUAGCCUGUCUUCUCUAAGUAUUAACUAUCACACUUUUGUAUUAUAUAAGUCAAAUAUUUUUUUUUCUUUUUGGAAUUAGAAUUUAGAUCAAAUGUCAUUCUAGUUGAAAGAGAAGUCUUCUUCAAAAAGGAAAUUCUAUUUGUUGACAAGGUUUCUUUGAAGAAUUAUUUGGCCAAGUUUUGUUAUGUAAGAUACAAGAAAGAUGGAAAUUUAAGCCUAAGAUUGAAACUCAUUUGUCAUUAGAUUUUGCCAAUCUUAUUCUAAAAUUUUGAUCCACAUACCAUUUGUAAAUUGGAGUAAAGGUCCAUAAACAAUCAAAGUGCUAUUUUCAUAGAACUUUUAAAAUGGCGUUUAUUAUUCCAAAUCUAUUUAAUUGGUUGAUAUUAACAAUUUUAAGUUGAAGAGCACCUAUUGUCAAGGACAUGAAUCUCAAAGAAAGAAAACUCAAUACACUCUUAUAUCACUUGAAAAGAUUCAAAAGUCACUUAAAGAUGAUAAUAUAUUGAAUUAGAAUAGCUAUUGCCACAGACAAAAAGAUUGAAAAGUUUUGAAAUAAGAUUAAUGACUAGAAAGGCAUUGAUAAGAAUGAAGAAGGCUUUAGUCUUGCCUCUACAUAUAUAAUCUUAUUAAGAUCUAUGUAAUGAUCUUUUAUGAGACUUCCAACUCAUGUUGACUUUGCAAGACACGUAUCAUGUUUUCUAUAUGUGUGCCACAUAAUAAACUUGUUCCACAAGCUACCAAUACAUAUGACAAAUGGUCAUCUUAUUGACCAAAUUUUUAACCUAUUAAUCAAAUUUUAAACCUAUCAAUCAUAUGUAAAGUCAAAAUCAUUUCUACAAAGCUUCUAUGAAACUUCUUUAAAAAAUAUUAUAAAAAUGAUAUACUUUUACCUACUUCUACCUAAUUACAUACAUAAUUAUCAAAAUAAAUAUGUAUAUCUGUGAUAUCUAUCAUAUAUUUUGUAACAACAUUUAGUCACCUUUUUAAAGUCAAUUUGAUCAAAUCCUCCAAUCUCUCAACACUUAUAAUUAGACCAUGUUAUAUUUAUUCUUCUUAGAGAGAUAUCAUGCAAAUACAAUGUAAGAGAUCAAAUAAGAAGUUGAACAUAAGUAUUACAAACAUUUAACUGGAAAAUUUUAGAAAUAUUUUAGUAUUAUUCUAUUAGAUUUUAAAAGGUUCUAUAAGAUUUUAGAGAGAUUCUUAAAAUACUUUAGAUGGUUCUAAAUGGUUCUUAAAAUAUUCCAACAGAUUUUAGAAAAUUCUAAGAAAAUUAAGGAAAUUAUCUAAGAAGCUUUUUAGAAUUGCUUCAUCUUCAAGCAACAUGAAAACUUCUUAAGAAGCUUCUUAAAUUUGCUUCUUUUUCAAGCAACAUGAAAACUUCUUAAAAAGCUUCUUAAGGUUGCUUUAUCUUUAUACAACAUGAGAACUUCUCAAGAAGCUUCUUAAUACCUAAUAUAUAUUAAAGUUAAGAUUGAAGAGAUCUUCAAUCUUAAUAAUAGAUCUCUUAUAAUUUUAACUCACAUUUGUUGGUACUGAUCUUAUAUUCAUUUCAUUUAAUCAAGUUCUUAGUAGCUUUCUUGUUGAAACUAUUUUGUUCAACUUCUUGUUUUGUUUCUUUCAUUUUAUAUUCAUGACAAUUUGUCGAGAUUGCCUUCUUAUUAAUAUUAGAAAUUAAUCCUUCUUGAUAGAGAGUAGAUUAUCCUUCUUCUUGAAGGCAUCUAAGUACUUUAGAGAUUGUAGAGUAUAUUCCUCUAAAUUGGUAUUAUUUAAAAACUCCCCUUUUUUCUUUUAAGAUGAAUGGAGGUGAAGAUGUUAGUAUAGUUGAGUCUCUUGAGUCUAAAGAUAGAAGUUAUUAUGAACACAUUGAAUGCUUUAUCUUAUAGAAUUGCUGAAAUUGAAGAUUUUUGCAAGAUUUCAUGGUGAUGCAAGACCAAGAGAAAUUUAGCAUAUGAUGCAACUACUUUCUCAAACUUCUACAUCCAAGGAGGUGGUGGUACAUGUACCUCAACAAGAAAAUUUAUCUAUUCAAUAGUAUAAAGAGCCUUAGAUUAGUCUUUUAAAAAAGUUAAAUGACAUAUAUUCCAAGUUUCAAAGGAUUAUUUAUUAAAUUUGAUUAGUAACUUUUUUAUAACUUAAGCACUAUCUAAUAGAAGAAUCAUGAGUUAGUUUAGUUGGAACCUUAUUCACAAUUCAAGUCUUAUCUUGGUUUGUUCUUUUAUUUGAAAAAAGAUCUCUAAUCUUGAACAACUUUGAAGCUUUUUUAGAAGCAUUUGUAGAAGCAUUUUGAGAACAUGACAAGGCCCAAUGGAUGAUAAUAAAGAUUCACUUAUUAUUUUAGGAGUCAUAUUUUGUAUCAAUUUAUACAUUUGAUUUUAAGAAAUUGGCUUGUGACAUCAAUUAGGAUGAAGAAGUUCUUAUAAAUCAAUUUUAUUGGAGACUAGAGAAUGAUGUGAUAAAUCUAUUAUAAUUUUUUUUUUAAUCCUCAAGCAUUCAAUGAAGCUUUCAACCAAGAUUUGAUGUGCAAUUCUUAAUUAUUACAAUGUUGUCAAGAUCAAAAUUCAUGGAUUUUGGCAAAACAAUGCAUUAGAAAUUUGUACUUUCUUGCUUCAGUAAAUAUAUUACAUCCACACGUUGAAGCUAAAAAUAUUUAAAUUGAUGCAAUAUGGUUUAAAUCUCUUACAAUAGAAGAAAAGAAGCAUCAAUUUUAAUAAGGCCUAUUCUUAUAAUAAAAUAAAAUAGGUCAAUAAUCUUAGAAUUGUCCAAAGAAACAACUUAAAACUAAGACUAGGAGUUUAAUUGUUUAGAAAAGAAAGAAAUUCAGCCACAAUAGAAAGCAUAUAAUUGAACAUUUCAACACCUCAAAUUUAUCAAGGUCCUUCUUUCUCUGCCCAGUCUACAUGUUGUUCUAUUAUAUCUUUUUUUCUUAGUUCAAAAAAACUUCAAACAAAUGCCUUAUUAGAUUCAAGAACAUUUCCUUACUUUUUAGAUGAAGAAUUUUCUAAACUUCAUAAAAUCCCUUCAGUAUAAAAGCCAAAACUUAUAUACAUAGAAAUAAUAAAUGGUCAAUCUUUAUCUUCAAGUAAUAUUAUUCAUGAGACUAUAUUAUUAAAUAUAUCAUUUGAAGGCCAUAAUAGCAAAAUAAUAUUUAAUAUUAUUAAAAAUCCAUCUAAUCAUAUCAUUUUAGGACUUUUAUGGUUAAAAAGAUUGGAGAAUUUAUAAGGUUAAAUUUUAUACAUGUAUAUAAUCCAUCUAUAGAUUGAAGGCUUUAUAAGGUUAAAUUUUCCAUAGAAUUCUUUUGAAAAAAAUUUAUCAAAAAGUCAUCAAUAACAAAGUCAAAUUCCUUAUUUCUUGCAGCAAAAGCUUUUAUGAAAUCGACUAAGAAAGAGAUGCCAUUUUUCAUUUAUGCAAAUUUAGUUCAUAAAGAAGUAAGCUUGCCAAUAGCUAUUCCAAAAUAAUAUAAGAGAUUUUAAGAUAUCUUCAAAAAAAAAAUGUUGACAUAUUUUUGAGACAUCAUUUGUAUGAUUGUACCAUUGAGCUUUAAGAAAGAACUCAACCACUAUUUGGUCCAAUCUACAACUUAUCAAAAAACAAGCUUAUGAUAUUAAAAGAUUAUAUUGAUAAAAAUCUUGCAAAAAACUUUAUUUGACAUUCCAAAUCUCUAAUAGAUGUACUAAUAUUUUUCAUAAAGAAAAAAAAAAAUAGAUCUUUAUAAAUGUAUAUUUUUUAUCUUAGCUUCAACAAAAUAAUGGUGAAGGAUUAUUACUCGUUAUUUUUAAUAUCAAGGUUUUUGGAGCAACUUGGUCAAGCUAAGAUGUACAUUAGAAUAGAUUUCUAUAGAACGUACAAUUUGAUACAAAUUAAAGAAGGAGAUGAAUAGAAGAGAAUAUUUUUAAUAGAGUAUGGAUAUUUUGAAUAUAAUCUCAGGCCUUUUUUAUUGAUACAUGCUCUAAUUAUAUUAUAGCAUUUGAUAAAUGAUAUUUUUCUAGAAUUUUCAAACAAGUUUGUUGUUUGCUAUCUUAGUAAUAUCUUAAUUUUUUCUAAGAGUAUAAAAGAAUAUAAAAAAUAUAUGAGAUUAAUCUUACAAAAGUUAUAGAAUAUAAGAUUAUAUGCCAAAUAGAAGAAAUGUAUAUUCUAUUAGCCAAAAGUAAUAUUACUUGGAUAUGUUAUAUCUAAUGAAGGCUUAUUGAUGGAUCUUAAGAAAAUUUGAGCUGUAAUGAAGUGAAAAAUUCCAAAGACAAUAUGAGAUGUACAAUAUUUUCCUAGGUUUGCUAAUUUCUAUAAAAUAUUUAUAAAGAAUUACUUUCAAAUUACUGAUCUUCUUACUCAAUUGACAUCCAAAGAUAAAUUCAAAUAGAGACUUCAAGCACAAAAGGAUUUUCAAGAUUUGAAGGUAGCUUUUAAUACAACCCCAAUUUUAAUGCAUCCAAAUUUUAUAAAGGCCUUUUAUUUUAAGAUUGAUACUUUUGACUUUUUAUUAGGAGCUAUACUAUCAUAUAUAAAAAAAGAUGGGAAGCUUGACUCAAUUUUAUUUUAUUCUAAAAAAUUUGUAGCUAUGAAGAUCAAUUAAAAAAAUUUCCAAUAAAGAGAUUCUUGUGAUUAUAGAUUCUUUCUUAAAAUGGUAUUACUUAUUAGAAGGCAUUAAAUAUCUUAUGAUUAUAUAUACAGAUCACAAAAAAUUAGAAUAUUUUAUGUCAAAUUAGGUUUUGAAUUGCAAUCAAACAAGUUGGAAUAUGUCAUUAUCUCAUUUUGAUUUUGUGAUUACAUAUCAAUUAAAAAAGCAGCAAGAAUUAUUAAACGCUUUAUCAAAGAGAUCAUAUCUUAUUCCAAAGAUCAAAGAAAUAAUAUUUCAUUGAUAAUAUACAAUACUUUAAAUCAUAAAAAAAUUUAUCUUUGUGCUAAUUUUAUAGUUAUGUAUGUGUCACGGACAUUCACAUGUAAGCCAAUAAUUACUUGUAUAAAUAAAUAGAAAUAGAAGUAGAUAAAAGUAAGUUAAUUCUAUAAUAUCUUCUAUGAAAGCUUCCUAGAAGCUUUAUAGAUAUUUUUUUGACUUUAUAAAUGACUUUAAUUGACUUUUUGGAUUAAAAAUAUAGGCAUCAAGUUGGCCAUGUGCCACACAUGUUAUUAGCUUAAGGACCAAGCUAACUAUAUAGUGGAUAUAUAGAAAAACUUGCCUUAUAAUUUAAGGCAUGUGUCUUACAAAGUCAACACAUAUUGGAGGUCCUAUAGAACAUUGCCACAUAGCCCCUAGUUAGAUAGUAUAUAUAGAGACAAGAAUAAAGCCUUCUUCACUCUUGUCAAGUCCUUUCUUGCUUUUAGUCUAGUUUUAAGAGUCUUAAGUUUUUUUGUCUUUUAGCAAUAAGCCAUUCCAAUUUCUUUUUAAUAUAUGUACUUCUUUAUUUCUAUUUUUUUACUUUUUUUUGACACAGAUUUCAUUGGUUUAUGCAUCAUCUUAUAGUUCAUGUUCUUAACAAAUUAACAAGAGUACACUUAUAAUAUCAAAGCUUUGUCUUAUCUUGAUUAAGAAUAGGUUAUUUUUUUCUCAUGAUAACACAUAAGAAUAUUAGAAGUUAUAAAUUAUCUUCUUCUAAACUAAUAUUGUUCUUACUACUUUCUUUGUCCUCAAGUCCUUUCUUCUACUUGACUUGAGUGGUACUAGAUAUUUUUUCUGAGUGUUAUUAUAGCAGAGCUUGUUGAAAUGGAGAGUGCAAUGGCACAAAUGUAAGAGCAAUUGAGGAAAUUUAUGCUUCCGAUGCAUCAACUUAGCUUACUAUCACAAGGAUCAACAAGAAUGGUAGGAAGUGAAGAUAUAGAGAUGAUUAGAGCCGCCUUAAUAUAUGCACCAAAUCAUGUCCUUCUAUCCAUAGUAGACCAUCCUUUAAGUAUUAGAGAAGCAAGAGUUGCAAUGCUCGAGAAGUUUGAUGGUACAAGAUCCAAAUUUCAAGGAUUUGUCAAUCAAGUACAACUUGUGAUUGAACUUCAACCUUAAAGCUAUCUAAUUCUAGGAUUACAAGCUAGAUUUAUUAGUACACUUCUUUUAGGUUCAGCACUUUUAUGGUUUUCAUGUUUUUUUGAACGAUGAGAUCUAAUAUUAGAUGAUUUGAAGGCAUUUUUGGCCAAAUUUUGGUCUAUGUAUGAAGACCAUGAUGCAAAUCAUGUUGCAACCAACAAAAUCUAUAUUAUGCAAUAAAGCAAUCAAUUUGUAACAUUAUAUACUUCCUAGUUUUGACAACUUACAACUAAUAUCAAGUGCGAUGAUAUUGUACUUAUUAGCCAAUUUUUCUAUAGAUUACAAUAUGAAGUAAAAAAAUUGAUGUUCAACUUACGUGAUCCUCAAACAUUCAAUCAAGUAAUUAACUUUGCUGUAAAAUGUGUUAAUUGGUUUUUUGAAUUUCUAAUGAAGGUCCUAUCGUCUCCUCAGAACCCUCUCUUUGUUUUAUAAUAGAUGUAUAUUUAGGACCUAACAAUUAUAAAGCCUUCAUCUUAAUAGAUUCAAGAACCUCAGCUUGUUUUUUAGACGUAGAAUUCGUUAAAAAUCAUAAAAUAUUAUUAGUACAAAAAACUAAACCUAUUCAUAUAGAAAUCAUAGAUGGUCGUCCGUUAUCUUCUAGAGAUGUUACUCAUAAAAUACUUCCUAUAGAUGUAGCAAUAAAUGAUCAUAGUAAUUGUAAAUCUUUAAUAUAAUUAGAUCUCCCUAUAAUCCAAUCAUUUUAGGUUUAUUGUGGUUAGAAAACUAUAAUCUUUACAUAGAUUGGAUUUUUCAUACUCUUGACUUUUUUAAAAGUAUAAUUAAGAGUGAAAUUAAUCCAAUAAAAGUCAUAAGUUUAGUACAAUAAAACUUGUGUUUGUACGUGUGAGAGCUUUCUUGUAUGUUACCAAAGAAGAAUCACCUUAUAUUAUUUACGCUACACAUAUUUCUAAUGAUACAAAGACUUGAAGUGGCAUUCUAAGCCAAUAUCAAGAGUUUCAAGAUGUAUUCAAGAAGAAGAAUGUAGAUACUCUUCCAAAAUGUUGUCCCUGUGAGUGCUCAAUUGACUUUCAAGAAGAAGUACAAUCGCCAUUUGGACCAAUCUAUAGUUUAUCACAAAAUGAACUAGCUGAAUUCAAGAAAUAUAUUGAAGAGAAUCUGGCUAAGAACUUCAUACACUAUUCUAAAUUACUAAUAGAAGCUCCAAUCUUUUUUGUAAAGAAGAAAGAUGGAUCAUUGCAAAUGUAUAUCAACUAUCGAGGAUUCAAGAAGAUCACCAUCAAGAAUAGAUAUCAUCUAUUUUUGAUAUCUAAACUUUUUGAUCAAUUAAAUCAAGUUGAGAUCUAUACAAAAAUAGAUCUAUAGAGAGCUUACAAUUUAGUAAGUAUUAAAGAAAGAGAUGAAUGAAAGACUACUUUUUGAAGUAAUUAUGGAUAUUUUGAAUACAACUUCAUGCCUUUCCGACUUACAAAUCCAUCAGCAACUUUUCAACAUCUAAUAAAUGAUGUUUUUUGAGAAUUUUUAGAUGAUUUUAUUGUCUGAUAUCUGGACAACAUCUUGAUCUAUUCUACAAAUAGAGAUAAAUAUAAACUUUAUAUUUGUUGCGUGUUACAAAAAUUAAGAGAUGCGUGAUUCUAUGCCAAGAUAAAAAAGUAUGUACUCCACACUACUGAAGUCGACUUCUUAGGAUACAUCAUUUCAAAUGUUGGACUUGUGAUGGAUCUUAAGAAAGUUCAAACUAUUAUGGAUUAGAAGAUUUCAAAUAUGAUAAGAGAUGUCUAAUGCUUUUUGAGCUUUGCCAUCUAUUAUCAAAUCUUUAUUAAAGACUUCUUUUGAGUUGUAAUUCCACUUAUACGUUUGACUUGCAAAGACAAAUUUGAGUGGAGCAAAGAAGCUGAAGCAUCUUUUGAAGCUUUGAAGUCAACUUUUAUUUUUGCACCAAUUUUGUAUUGUGUUGACUUUUUUAAGGUAUUUUUUAUACAAGUAGAUGCAUGAGACUUUGCUUUGGGUGCUGUAUUAUUAUAAAUGGAAAUAAAUAAUAGACUUCACUCAAUAGAAUUUUAUUUUAGAAAAUUUUUAAUAGUCGAGAUUAAAUAUGAAAUCCACAAUAAAGAACUUCUUGCAAUCAUGGAUUUAUUUCAAGAAUGGCAUCAUCAUCUAGAAGGCGCUUCCAAUCCAGUCAUCAUAUAUAUGGACCAUAAGAAUCUCAAGUACUUUAUAUCAGCACGUAUUUUAAAUCGUCACCAAGUCCAUUGGAGCAUGUCUUUAUCAAGAUUUGAUUUCAAGAUCACAUAUCAACUUAUAAAACAACAAGGUUUAAUAGACGCCAUUUCUAGAUAUUCUUAUCUUACACCAAAAGAAAGAAAUGUAUAUUUUGAUCAACAAAAAAUGAUUCUCUUGAAGCUAGAGCAUUCUCAUCUUCGAGUAAUGAAAUCAACAUUGACUGUUAAUUCAAUCCUUGUGAAACAAAUCCAAUCAAGUAUGUCUUUUGAUCCUCUUGUUCACAAUAUUAAGAAUCCUUCUUCUAAGUUCCAAGAUACUUCUAAGUUUGAGUUCAAUAAUAACCUACUCUAUUUUGAAGGUCGAUUAUAUUUUUCAAAAAAAAAACAUGAUUACAUGUUGUUCAAGGACAUCACGACUUUUUAGUAGUAGGACAUUUUGGAUACAACAAGAUUUUAGAGCUUAUAUUUAGAGAUUUUUAGUGGGCACAAAUGUGGAAGGGUGUAAAAGACUUUGUUCAUUCAUGCGACGUUUGCUCAAGUUCAAAAACUCCUCGUCAUCAAUCUUAUGGAUUUUUUCAACCAUUAUCCAUUCUAAAACAACCAUGGUCUUCUAUUUCUAUAGAUUUUAUCAUAGAUCUUCUAAUCUCAAGUUCUUAUGACUCUAUAUUUGUAAUAAUAGAUCAUUUUACUAAGAUGGCACAUUUUAUACCAUGUAUAAAAUCUAUCAUAGGUGAAGAAACAACUAAAUUUUUUCUUGACAACAUCUAUUGUUAUCAUAGAUUAUCCAAGGAUAUUAUUUUCGAUAGGAGAACAGAGUUUGUAUCAAGAUUUUGGCGGAUUCUUUUCAAGAUUUUUAAUAUAGAUAUUAAACUAUCUUCGACAUUCUAUCUUCAAAUUAAUAGACAAAAGGAGCUUGUUAAUCAAGUUUUAGAGCAGUAUUUAAGAUGUACCAUCAAUUGUCAAUACAAUGAUUACACAACUCUUUUGCCAUUGGCAAAGUUUGCUUAUAAUAAUGUGGUACAUUUUUUGUAAAACAAACACCUUUCUUUGCCAAUUAUGGUUAUCAUCCACAACUUGAUACUUUUGACUUUUCAAAAGUUAAUAAUCCUGCAACAAAAGAUUUGGCAAAUUAUUUAUCAAAGCUAUAGCAACAACAAAGAUAUAGUUAAAAGAAGCUUAAGAACAUUAAAAGAUCAAUGCAAAUGUCUAUUGAAAGAAACAACCACCAUUCCACAUGGAUGACAAAGGAUGAUUACUUUAUUGUAAUAUCAAGACUACUCGUCUUUGUGACAAGUUGGACUAUUGUAAGCUUUGACCAUUUUCUAUUUUUGUACAAAUCAAUCUAGUUGCAUAUUGUUUAUACGUACUAAAGUCAAUGAAAAUCCAUCUAAUAUUCUAUGUAUCUCUUCUUUAACCAUAUAAGAAAGUAGACAUACCAAGAAGAAGACAAGUGCCACUUCUUGCUAUAAAAGUGGAUAAUAAUGAAGAAUUUGAAGUGGAAGAAGUCUUAGACUUAAGGCGGUGCCAAAAUAAGUUGAAAUAUCUUGUUCAUUGAAAUGGAUACAAUAUUAGUAAACACACAUAGAAGCCAAAAAAGAAUCUUGCAAAUGCAACAAAAAAGGUAGAGACUUUUCAUUGACAACAUCCAUCAAAAUCAAGAUGAAAAUCUUUUCUAUAAAAGAAACAAGAUUUAGGCAAGAUAACAUUUUACUUUCAAUCCUUAUUUGUAGCUUCUUUGUAUUUAUUAUGCUAUAGAAAUAGAAAAUCAACAACUAGCAAAUUCGAUUGAAAAGCCUUUGUUUGUUGAGCUGCCGGAUAAAAUAUUGCAAUUGUCACAACCUUCAAGAUGAAGCAAUUGAAAUGAAGAUCUUCAAGAAUGACAUAUUUUUUCUUGAAUAGAUGACAAGAUAUAACGCUUUUGGUAUCACGACCUUAGUAGAAACUCUCAAUGUGUGAUAAUUUUAUUAGAGGUAAAAAUAACUCUUCAUGGUGUUUCAAAUAUUUUAUUUGAAGGAAGUUAUGAAGGCCUCAAUAAUGACCAAAUAACAAGGUGGUCUUUCCACCUUGGUAUGAGAUAUUAUCAAUGGUUGAGAGGCCCUAUCAACCAUCUUCAAAGAGAACAAAGAUUUGAGUAUGUGGCAAAUACAAUUUUUUACAUUAUAGAUUUUUUCAACAUAUGAUGACCGCUUCUCAUAGAAAUCGUCUCUAGAAGGGAGGAUAAUAUCAUAGAUAUAUACAUGUAAGCCAAUAAUUACUUGUAUAAAUAGGUAGAAGUAAAUAGAAGUAAGUUAAUUCUACAAUAACUUAUAAAAAAGCUUCUUAGAAGCUUUAUAGAUGCUACAUUGACUUUAUAGAUAUCCAUUGUUGAUUUUUAGGUUAAAAACUUAGUCAAAAAAAUAAUCAUGUACCAUAUAUGUUGAUAGCUUGAAGAACAAGCUAAUUAUGUGGCACACAUGUAAAAAAACUUGCCUUGUAAGUCAAGGCAUGUGUCCUAGAAAGUCAACACAUAUUAGAGGACCUAUAGAACAUCGCCAUAUAGCCUCUAAUUAGAUAGUAUAUAUAGAGACAAGAGUGAAGCCCUCUUCACUCUUAUCAACUCCUUUCUUGCUUCUACUGUAGUUUCAAGAGUUACAAGUUUUCUGGUCUUUUGGCAAUAAGCUAUUUCAAUUUCAUUUUAAUAUAUGUACUUCUUUAUUUUUAAUUUUUUAAUUUUUCUUUCACACAUAUUUCAUUAGUUUAUGCAUCAUCUUAUAGUUCAUAUCUCUAACAUGACGAUUCAUUUUUUUUAAAUAAAUUUGUACAAUAUUAGCUAAAGAUUGAUUAGUAUGUAAUAUCAAGCAGUACCUUGACAACAACAAGUUCAAAUUUAAAGAAGAUCUUUUAUAUUUUAAAGAUUAUUUAUAUAUUCCAAAAAGAACAACAUAACUUUGUAUUCUUCAAUCUUAUCAUGAUUUUUUAGCUUUAGGACAUUUUAUAUUUAAUAAAACAUUAGAUCUUAUGUCUUGAGAUUUUUAGUAGCUUGAAAUGUGAAAAACCAUGAUGGACUUUGUCUUCUUAUAUGACAUUUGUUCAAAAUCUAAGAAUUCUCGACAUUGUCUUUAAGGACUUCUACAACCAUUAUCAAUCUUCAAGUGACCAUGGUGCUUAGUAUCAAUAGAUUUUAUCACUAAUCUAUUGCUAUCAUUUAUAUUUGAUUCUAUCUACGUUGUUGUAGAUUAACUUAUAAAUAUGGUAUAUUUUGUCUCUUAUAAAAAGGUAAUUUUUGAAGAAGAAAAAACAAGAUUCUUUUUUAGUAUUAUAUAUUGAUAUUAUGGCCUAUCUAAAGAUAUCAUUUUUAUUUGAAGACCUCAUUUUAUAUCAAAAUUUUUAAAAUCUUUUUUUGAAAUAUUAAAGAUGGAUAUCAAAUGUUUAUUUGCCUUCUAUCUUCAAACCAAUGGUCAAAUAAAAUAUAUCAAUCAAGUUUUGUAGCAGUAUUUAUAAUGUACCAUCAACUAUCAACAAGAUGAUUGGAUCUUAUAUUUAUCUUUAAUAAAGUUUGCUUAUAAUAAUAUUUUUAUACUUCAAUUUAAUAAGCACUAUUUUACUUUAAUUAUGGUUAUAAUCUAAAGUUUGAUUUUUUUAAGUACAUCAAAGGAUAGAAAUCCAAUACUUAAAGAACUUGCAAAAUAAUUGUCAAUGCUCUACCUAACUUUGAAGCUCCAUUUGUAAGCAACUGAAGAUUCUUACAAAAAAUCUUUAAAAGAAUCUAAAUAAGAACUCUUUACUUUUCAAGUUGGAAAUAAAGUAUGGCUUCUUUGACAAAAUAUUAAGAUCAAUGGACUUUGCAAUAAGUUCGAUUAUUAAAUUUUAGACUAUUUUAUAUUCAAAAGCAAAUCAAUCUAGUGGCUUAUUAAUUGGAACUACUCACAUCUAUAAAGAUGCAUCUAGUCUUUUAUGUAUCUCAUUUUUAGGCUUAUUUAGAAUCAAUUAUUUCAAGAAUAUUAAUACCAUCAUUACCUUGCAUUGAAAUAGAUAAUCUUAUAGAAAUUGAAAUUGAAAAGAUCUUUGAUUCUUGGCAAAAAAGAGGCAAGUUUGAAUAUUUUAUUCAUUGGAAUGGUGUUAUAUUAUGUGUUUUUUUGCUUGAAAAUAUAUUGAGCACACAACAAUAGAAGAUAAGUAGAAAUGCAAGAACAAUUCUAUCAAGUCUAAUAGAAUCUUUAAUAACCUUUUGUAGACCUUAAUAAUCUUGAUCAAAUUUUAACCAAUCAAAAAUAAAUUUAAAAGAAUUUAUUAAAGGAAUAUGACACCUAAGUCCUAAAUUAAUCUUUAAAAAAAAUUAAAAAACUUAAAAAAAUAUGAAAAUAAAAUUUUAAAUAUAUGACAAUAAUCUUAUAGAAAUAUUAGAAAAAAAAAUCUUUAAAGAAAAAAAAAAGAAUUCUAAAGAAAUAUUAAAAAUUCAUUUUUAAUAUUAGAAACCAAUCCUAAUACAAACCCUAGAUUUUAAACAAACUCUAUAGCAAAUAGAACCUCAAUAAUUAAUAAUUAAAUUAUUGAUGUGAAUUCAAAUUUUUUACACUUUUCAAUAUCUUAAUUAGAAAAAAGCAUAAGAAAGAUGAAAUCAAUUGUACUUAUCAAUUGAGAAAAAAAAAAAAAAAAAAAAAAAAAAAAAAACAAGAUAAUUUAAUUAAGUGUUAAAUGGCUUCUUACUCCAAUUUGAAUGUUGAAAUUCUAAUGCCAAUAUCUCCUAUUUGAAUCAUUGAAUUUCUCCUAAAUUUUAUCUAAAAUACUAGAAAUCAAGUCUAAUAUCCACACAAAAAAAAUUCACUUCAAUCUAAUUGAUAGAUUGCUAGAAAUCUUAGAAAUACUCACUAAUCUUCAAACUCCAAUUUUUGAGACCUCAACCCACAAAAAACUUUACACACUUCGAUCUAACUAUUUGAUUGAUCUUAAAAUUUACAAAUACAUUAACAACUAAAACACUAAUACUUUAUCCAUAAUUUAUGCAUAAAUAUACCACAAAACUCAAGAAACCUUUAAGUUUAUAAACAUAUUUUUAUUUCUCAAAAUCUAAACCAACCAAGAAUAUCACUAAUUUUGAAAAUCCCUCAAAAAUUCAAUAUUGACUCAAUUGACAUAAAAUCAAUUCUUAAAAAUCUUUCUUCAAGUCUUAUUUCAAAUCAUGCUCUUUAAUCUAUCAAAGAACUUAAGAUUCAUUGUAGGUGCACAAUUUUGUGACUUAUAGUUUGAUUUCAAUCCAAGUUGACAACUGGUCCUCUCUAGGUAUCAAUUUUUGGCUUUCUUGAGGUAUAUUUUGCCAAAAUCUACUCUUAGCUCUAUCUUAUACGUGCUUAUGUUAUUUCUUAUCUCAUUUACUUUGAUUUGGCUCAUUUAUGCCUCUACAAAACAAAUAGAAGUUCCUUCUAAAAAAAAUAAUAUUAAAACUAAAUCUUUUAUUACCUUUUUAUAAUUUAUCUUUAUUUUAUUUACUACAUCUUUCUACUAGACUCUUCUACAAAAAUAUCUAUAUUUUUGUUUUUCACUAUAUAAUUGUGUUAUCACACAAUAACAACUAUGAUAUCAAUGAGCAUAUGUGGGAAUCAAUAAAAAAAAUCUAAUAAAUAUCAUGCAAAAGGUUAAGUAUUUAAUCGAUGCUAUCUUCAAAAAUCUAAAAUAAUUUAUCACAUCAUUCUUUAGUCUCCAAUAAAAUUGAUUUAUAAGAACUUCUUCAUCCUAAUUGAUGUCACAAGCCAAUUUCUUAAAAUCAAAUGUAUAAAUUGAUACAAAAUAUGACUCCUAAAAUAAUAAGUGAAUCUUUGUUAUCAUCCAUUGGGCCUUGUCAUGUUCUCAAAAUGCUUCUACAAAUGCUUCUAAAAAAGCUUCAAAGUUGUUCAAGAUUAGAGAUCUUUUUUCAAAUAAAAGAACAAACCAAGAUAAGACUUGAAUUGUGAAUAAGGUUCCAACUAAACUAACUCAUGAUUCUUCUAUUAGAUAGUGCUUAAGUUAUAAAAAAGUUACUAAUCAAAUUUAAUAAAUAAUCCUUUGAAACUUGGAAUAUAUGUCAUUUAACUUUUUUAAAAGACUAAUCUAAGGCUCUUUAUACUAUUGAAUAGAUAAAUUUUCUUGUUGAGGUACAUGUACCACCACCUCCUUGGAUGUAGAAGUUUGAGAAAGUAGUUGCAUCAUAUGCUAAAUUUCUCUUGGUCUUGCAUCACCAUGAAAUCUUGCAAAAAUCUUCAAUUUCAGCAAUUCUAUAAGAUAAAGCAUUCAAUGUGUUCAUAAUAACUUCUAUCUUUAGACUCAAGAGACUCAACUAUACUAACAUCUUCACCUCCAUUCAUCUUAAAAGAAAAAAGGGGAGUUUUUAAAUAAUACCAAUUUAGAGGAAUAUACUCUACAAUCUCUAAAGUACUUAGAUGCCUUCAAGAAGAAGGAUAAUCUACUCUCUAUCAAGAAGGAUUAAUUUCUAAUAUUAAUAAGAAGGCAAUCUCGACAAAUUGUCAUGAAUAUAAAAUGAAAGAAACAAAACAAGAAGUUGAACAAAAUAGUUUCAACAAGAAAGCUACUAAGAACUUGAUUAAAUGAAAUGAAUAUAAGAUCAGUACCAACAAAUGUGAGUUAAAAUUAUAAGAGAUCUAUUAUUAAGAUUGAAGAUCUCUUCAAUCUUAACUUUAAUAUAUAUUAGGUAUUAAGAAGCUUCUUGAGAAGUUCUCAUGUUGUAUAAAGAUAAAGCAACCUUAAGAAGCUUUUUAAGAAGUUUUCAUGUUGCUUGAAAAAGAAGCAAAUUUAAGAAGCUUCUUAAGAAGUUUUCAUGUUGCUUGAAGAUGAAGCAAUUCUAAAAAGCUUCUUAGAUAAUUUCCUUAAUUUUCUUAGAAUUUUCUAAAAUCUGUUGGAAUAUUUUAAGAACCAUUUAGAACCAUCUAAAGUAUUUUAAGAAUCUCUCUGAACUCUUUUAUUAAAAUAUUUUUAGAAACUUUUGGAACCACUAAAAUCUAGUAGAAUAUUCUAAAUAUAUUUCAAAAAUAUUUCUUAUUAAAUAUUUUUAAUAAGAAGAGAUAAUUUUUUUAACAAAAUAAUUUCUUUAUUAAUAAUCUUAAUUUUUGUAUGGCCUAUAAGGAACCUACUCACAUUACAAGAAAGAGUUGUACGAAUGAUUAUAUGAUAUUCUUGGCAAUAAUAACUCUAUCUACUACAUUCUAUUUGGUAGAAUAUUAAUAUGUUAAUUUCUUAUUUAUUUGAUUUAUCAAAUAUUCAUCAUUCUCUUCUUUUAAAAAAGAGUGAAAAAGGCAUAUUUAGAAGUUUGCUUAUGGUUUAGGAGGCAAUUCAUGUCCAUCUAAAGUUCUUAGUCAAAGAAGUCUAGAGAUGUUUUUAUAUUGCUAGUAGAUUGCAAACUUAGACUAAUUAGUUUCAAGAUAUGAAUCUAAACUAAAUUAUUGUAUAAUUUUUAUUAUACUUUGAAUAUUUUUUCUUCACAUCUAGUUCUGAUUAUUAUGUUAUUAGUAUAUUGUCUAAUAGCAUGUUGGUUUUUAUUUCAAAGGAUAUUAAUGCCUUGUAAUUUUUAGUCUAUAGUGACAUCUUAAAUAAAAACCUUUAAUAUUUUUGUAAUAAUGAUAAAUAGAUAUGGUGCAAGAAAAUACUCUUAUUUUAUUCUUUUUUUUAAAAAAAGAAAAACAUUUUGUGAGAGAUCUAUUGGUUUUUAUUGACGUUCUUAUUCCUUGCAAUAGGAUUUUAAUCAUAUAUAAAAUUUUUCAUUAAAUCUAUGUUUCUCCAUUGAUUGAAACAAAAAGAUCUACUAUACUUUAUUGUAAGUUGUGGAGAAAAUAUUUAAUAAAAGAAGAGUUUAAUUGGAAGUUUUGGCACAAUUCAUGUUUUCUUAAGUUACUAAUUUAUUUUCAAAAAUAUAUCUAAGAGGUAGGAAUUCCAUUUGAUUUAGGUGGAUAAGUUUUAUUAGCAUAGAUUGUAAAUUUUUUUGAUACUACUUAUAUUGUUGAUGAAUAAUUAAUUAUAUUAAAAAAAAGAAUAUAAUUACACUUUCCAUUUGUUAUACAAGAUCAAAAAAUAAACUUAAUAGUUUUUGAUAAAAUAAAUAUAUAUAAAUGCUAAUUUGAAAUUACAAUAUAAAAUUUAUGAAAGGAUAAUAUUAUACUAUUGAUAUUUGGCCAAUGAGCAAAUAAGAUCAUGAACAUUGUGUAUUAUGUUAUGCACCAAUUGCUAACCAUAGAUAAAUUUAUCAUUAUUUAUUACUAUUUUUUAUUAAAAUGAUAAUUAAAUUUAUCACAAAUUACAAGUCAUCAAAGAAAAACAUUCUUUUAGAAAGUUAUCCUUAUAGAGCUCAUAAUUAAGUUUUUGAUGGUAAAAUUGUAUCUUUUCAACAAAUAUUAUUAGCCUUCACCUAUCACAGGCCAUUUUGCAAUUGCAUCAGCUUGUGUAAUUUUUAAUUUCUUAUUUUAAAAUAUAAUUAAUUUUAUAAUAUAUAUAUAUAUAUAUAUAUAUAUAUAUAUGAGAUUUUUUUAAAUAUUAGAAUAGAAAUUAAUGUAGUAAAAAUACAAUACAUACUUAUGGUUUCAUAAAUUAUUAUUUGAGAUUAUUAAUAUGAUUUCAUAUAUUGAAUCAACCAACAUUGAGUAGUAGAAUGUUUUAAUAUGAUAUUUUUUAUAAUUUUUAUAAUAAUUAGUUGCACUUAGUUAGAUUUAUGUGCAACACUCUAUUGACAUAAUAUGUCAUUAUUAUUGCUUAUUGUUAUUGAGCAUUUUUUUAUUACUAUAGCGUCUAAAAAAUCAACAUUCAAACUAGAAACUACAAGGAUUUUUCUACCUAGAAGUCCACUUUAAAAGGUCAUGGUUCAAAAGCCUUACUAAGGUCCCUUGCUUAGUAAAGAAAAGCCCUCUUUUGAAAACCUUGUCUUUUGGACAUAGUGUAAAGUGAGAAGAAUCCAUGAAAUGAACCAAAUCUUUUUUUAUUAUAAGUCUACAAAUAUCAAUCUAAGUUUAUUUUUUUAAACCACUUCUUUAAACUAGAUCCAAUAAAAAUUCUAAAAUAUAAUACUAUUUAUGCAAUGUUAGAAAAAAAAUGCAUUCCAUCUCAUUUUUAUUUUUUGUUUUCUCUUAUGGCCUUUGACUUAUUUCUCUAAAUAAAAUGCCACUUUAAAUUUUCUUCUGAAUCUCAAUUAAUUAAAAAAAAUUAAAGUUGAGGCCUCUCACCUUGUCUCUUAAUUUUAAAAUGAAUACUGAAGGAGAUAUAUUUUGAAAACAAUAUUCAUCCAAAUAAACAAUUUAAUAAGACUAAAAAUUUCAAAUGUGGUUGCAUAAGUUGAUAGACUAAGUAUAAUAACUACAGCACAAGGAGAGGUAGAGCAGCUUAAGUAAAGUAAAGAGAAAAAAAAUUGAAAAAACGAAAAAAAUGAAAAUUAAAACUUCUUUAAAUAAUGUGGUGGUGUUAAGAAAGUUUGCAUGCAAAGUAGAUUGUAAACAGCAGAUGCCACAGGAUUUAGUUUAUUUAGCCAGCAAAUUUUUUUAAUCUAAACUUGAGCCUUGCAGAUAAUAAUUUUUCAAUGAGAUUAUAUCUUUAGGGCUUAGUUUGGAGAUUGUUCUAUAGAACCCCAUUGCUCUUAAAUUACCAAAAUAAAAAAUAAUAUAAAAAAGCACACCAAAAUAAUUUGGACCUACCGAAAUUCAUGGUUUGCAUCAAUAUCUACUACAAACACUCACCCUCCUUUGCUCUCAACUUGAGAAUAAUUUGUGUUUGAUCCAAAUACAUGCCAAGUUUUAGAGUAUCACUCCCAGUCCUAUUUUAUCUCACCCACUAUUUUAUCUGUAUGCUAAAUUUGUAGUAAAGACACACUGGUUGCUAUGGCAAUGGCCACCAAACUUCCAACAACAAAACCUGUGACCUGCAAGUGUGAAAAGCAAGUGGGCCCUUUCCUCAAUGGAGCUCUCCCACAAUCUAUUUAGGUUCAGAAAAGAACUGUAUACAGCCACCAAAUUCAUAUGAUUCAUUCAAUUCAAUAUUCAGGACUCAUUGAAUCCUCACAACAGUAUCUGUGCAGAUGGGUGUGUCAGAGACUCAAAGGUCACCAGGUGGCUGCUACUCCGGGGGAUGACCUUAACUAUGUAAAAUGCUCUUGCAUGAUCCUCCGCUCUUGCAGUCCAAGUCUGUAAAGUCGACCACCCAAUCCCAACCACUAAAGCAAUUUAUCAUACCUGCAAAUAUGGGUAUGACAAAAUAAAUAAAUAAAUAAUAAAAGUAAAAAUCCCCAUGUAGAGAAAUAGAUUUUAGAAGGAUUUCAUAUUUUUAUACAUUUUUUUUUUCUAAAAAAAAAUACUACAAAUUUUCCAACUGAAGAUUUGGUUGUCAUAAACUCAUCAUGUAGGUUACCCUAAUUCCCACCAAUGAUUGGUUACAAAAUUGAGAAUGCUUGAUUCCAACUGAGCACUUUGAGUUGGCAUGAAAUGACCCAAUGGUGCCAUGGAGUUGAGGUGAAAUGUGCACUAAGUAAUAUGCAACCGUAAGGUGUUAGAACUGAUCGGGUGGUUCAUGUCAAGUUGGUUGGAAAUAGACCACCCUGAGCAGUGAAAAUGGGGGGCUGGUCGAGAAUGGGUCGUCUACCUUGGAGUGUAUUGCAAAUGCCAAAAGACUGUUUGAAAGCACUCUUGUCUAGAAGACAAUUGUCCACAACCAGCAUGUACAAAACUGCAGCAUCCAAAAUCAUGACACAACAGUCCUUGUUGUAUUUACUUGCGAGGGUGCAAGGAUAACAUUUUCAUGAAAUUUCAAACACACAUGAAUGGUUUGUUGUACAGUAACUUUCCAAAUAGAACAAAAACUACAUUGAAAUGUUCAAAUGACAAGAUGAAAGAUUGUUACAGACUUGUUGAAUCAGAUUUCUUUUAUUUUCAUUUCUUUUUUAAAACUUUUUUUGACUUGAUUUCUUCAUUGUUUGCUUGUCAAAUUGGCUGUCAAAUAAAAUUCUGAGUCACUGUUUGUACUCUUGUGAUCUCACACCAUAUUUUGUGACAAGAAUUGUAAUCAAACCAUUACAAAAAGAAAUAACCACUGGCCUACAUCCCACAUGUGUAUGUUAUGAUUCAUACUAUCAGCUCAAAAACAUAAAUAGAUAUUAUGAAAAAAAAAACAUAAUGGGCUUCUAAUGUGAGAAAAUAAAUGGAAGUGGAGUUUUUGUGAAUGGAAUGUUGAUAAGUAGUGUAUGUCCCUGCACAAUAAACAUGGUUUGUGCACACAAGUAAUUUCACAAUCUCUCAUUCAAUGAAGAAUAUUAUAGGGAUCUAUUCUAUUCCUUUUGCUUUUUUCUUUUAACGUUGGAAUGGUCAUCAUCAUUAUAAAUGUUGCAGACCACUGCAUGACAUGCCACAUCUGCACAGAGUAUGAUUGUCCAUCACCACACACACAAAAUAAAUGGAAAUAUGAAAAGAAAAAAACAAACAAGCAGUUCAUUAAUCACACAUACUCAUAAAUGCAUUGAGUAUUCAAUGGUUUUAUUUAUUUAUUUUUAUGUUCAUAUGGCCACAAUUCCAACAACACUGCAUAGGAGUAGAUGAUAAUGCAAGUUAAUGUGAAUGCAAAGUGGUUUCUAUCAAAGAUGGAACGUUUUUACAAAUCAGAGGCUAUUGAAUGAAUUAAACACCAUUCUUACAGCUAUACACCUUGCACUUUAAGAAUCUACUAUGGAAAACCUAAUCAUAUUCAAACAUACAUAGAAUAGUUAUGGCCAAGAGAUGAAAUUGUCCUCUAAGGCUGCAUUCUGUGGCAAACAAUCAGCUAAACAAAAAAUCGAAGAAGGAUGAACAAGCAGACCAAUCAGAAUACAUAUUUUCCUUUCCUAUUCAUUGAAACAAGCAUCUAUAUGAACUUUUGCUUCUGUUUUUUUUUCCUGAAAAGCUGCGAUCUUUUCACUCUCUUUACUGUGAGGAUUGCUUUUGAAACAAAACCCAGAAGUCAACCAACAUUAGUUCAUUACAGUGAGUGGAUAUGCGCAAGAUUUCAUGUCAUCAAGACAAUGUAAGACAAGCUGAUAAAGAGACGAGAGAUCUUUUUUCCUAUAGUAAUCUGCUUUCUUGUGAAGAGAUAGUAGUUAUGACUGGGUCACCCACCCACUGGCACCAUAAAUGUAUGCCCUCUCCCUCAGUCACGCUGAUCUGCUGUGCUACGUUAUAUCCCUCCAUGAGAAAUUUUCACUCUUAAGAUUGCUCACCAUUGCUCUAGGUUCACAGUGUCGGAGGCAAGUGAACCCAGAGGAUUAUUUCUUCUUUUGUGUUUGUUGUCGCAGGAAGUGUUACAGGGUCUAUCUACAUCGGUCCGCUGAAUGAAGUACUGGAUUUGAAGUGACUGUGCUCUCGACUAACAGUUGGGUUAUACCCAAACUUGGCUUUUCUGUUUAUUCUGGGCGAUGCUUUUGAAGUGAGAGAGAUUGUCAGUGGGACAUUCGCUCUAUCUGGUGAGAAGCUCCCAUUCGACUAUCAGUUCGUUACAGCGUCGCAGGACUAUGAGUUGAUAAUUCAGGCAUAGGUUUGGUUUUUUUUUCUGGGGGAGUUGCAGCUCGUUGUUUUGACGUGAGAGGUGUUUACGAUUGUUUGUAGGAUCGUGGCAUGCUGAAUUGUAGAAAGCUGGAAAGUGGAGGAUGGUUUUGCUACGUGCUCGUCUCUCCUGAUUUUCUUGUGUAGGGAGCUCAUACGGGGUAUGUCUCCAUGCUCUGUACUUCUUAGUACGUGUAUUAGAUUUCACAUGUUUUGGUGUAAUACUUAGCUCUUGAAGGUAACUUAUUAUAUCAUUCUGUUCUCCUCGUGGAAAUUCCGCACGUAGAAUGGGUGUGAUAACGGAGCUUACACAGUGUUAGAUGGUUGUGUAUCCCAUUGAGCGGUAAGGAGUAGGAACAGCCGUUCUGGAUGACUAAAUUACACGGUUGAUGGCGAACAGUUGGACCUCCUCAAACGACCGAGGCCUAGCGCUGCAAACUGACAGUUUCUCAAUAGUGCUAAAACUGUAUGAAUAGCUUUAAAACUUGUGGGCAAUUUUAUAAUUAAACCAGGAUUAGGUACCGAGAUUGGACUAAAAACUCUAGUUCUUUCACAAUAGCUGACAUCUGCCAACACAACGAAAACUGUUACUCAAACGUACCCAGUCGAGUCAGAAAUUAUACUGGCUGUAAGAGAAUAGGUCGAGUGAUUUACUCAAAUUUCCUUCAGUGUGUGGUUUGAUAUUACAAUAGACCCUCCGAGUCUACCACAUGUGGAGUGACUACAAAAGAUUAUUGCAGAUUUCACAUUUUUUUUGCCAGCGGUUCCAAUUGGAAUAAUUUGCUACGACUAUACAUCCGAAGACUCGGUUGGAGAGUGAUAGGAUAAUUCAUGAAAGCGACAAGGCUUAUCCUAAGUGAAUCAGUCAAGGUCCCGUGUAGAAUGUUUCGGAAGCUAAUCUUGCGUGGUCAGCAAUUGAUGUAGACGAUGGCAGCAACAGCUACUGUGCUGCUUAUUGGGCAAAUACGCACUUUCAGGUCUCUAGUACAUAUUGAUGAAGUACUGGAACACUCCUGAAGUGCUUCAAACAUAUGAGGAAGCAUACUUGGAUUCCAGGACUUAGAUGAAUUUUUUGAAUCAUCCUUUUUCCAGGAAUCACCGCAAGAUUUUUCUAUUGUUGGGGUGACAUGGGGAAGCGAUCAAUCAUCUUGACUGUAUUGCUGCUGUUCUUGGCAUCUGCUGUAGUGUCAGCUCAGAGGCUAGAAGCCAAUGAAGAAAUAAGCUUCUUAGGUUUGACAACAUCUUUCGCUCUUUUUUAAAACCUUUGAGAUCGUGGAAGUUUGUGUUGGUAUGGAGACGUUUGUGUGUUGUGUAAGAGUAUCCCAAGGGUUCUGUGACAAAUUCUCUUUCCUAAACUUGAAAAUCUUAAUUCAAUUGUUACUACAGUUGAGUUGAGCAUUCGUUCUUUGGUGCUGUUUAGAAGUCUCUUAAGCGUUGUAUUCUGGUUCGCGGAAGAUAUAGAAUUUGACUUUUCAAUUUCGUCACAGGAAAAUUAUUUUCAAAUGAUUCAGCGUGCAAGGAUGUGGAUUGUCAGCAAGGGAUCUGUUAUCCAAACGACAAUGCAUUACUUAGUAUCUUGUUUCCUUACAAGUGUCAGUGCUAUCAAGGCUGGGCUACUUAUGGACAGCUUGUCGGCUUCUCAGAUAUCCCAUCACUUCCCUGCAGCGUUCCAAACUGUAAGUGAAUUUGCACUCUUUGCAUGAGACAUGUGUAUGGACCAUCCGUCUCUUCAAGGUUGCUCACGAAUUUAACCUUCAAAAAAUUUGAGGAUGUGCAUCUACACUUGCAGGCUCUAGUGUGGUGUAGAGAUUUCAUAUUGCAGAUUUCUUUGAAAUUUGUUGUUCACAAUGCAAUAUGUGACUUGUAACAGGUUCCUUGAAUCUCGACUGCGCUGCAAAAUCUCCUGCUCCAGCUCCAAGUACUAUUACACCUGUGACCUCUGCUAAUACGUCUGGUGAGCUACCAUUCAAUCUUCUGUUCAUGUUCGAACUUGCAGUGGACUGAAUAAGCUGGUGAUGUACAACCUGCACCUAUUUAAGCUCGAGUAUUUUCUGAUUUCCCAUGACAUUGCUUGUUACAGCAUGCUUGGUGCCUGGCAUUUGUGGACACGGAAAGUGUGAAGUCAUCAACACUAAGGACAGACUCUUUCCUACAUUUAAGUGUGUGUGUGACCUUGGUUACGCAAAUGUGCUCAACAUGACUGCUGGAUUUUGCGUCUCUGAUUGUAAGAUAACAUUACCUUCUGGGUUCUCGUAUUUUCAAUUUGAUUUUUCCAUCUUUCUCUGUGUAAUGAGGUUUGUCAUUGCUCAACUGAUUUUACCUUGUGAUCAUACAGAUAGUGUGCAAUACUCGUACAUUUCUCUGCAUUCCUCUUGCAAAUAUUCCAAUGAGGCCUACGGAGUGGUCUGUAUGUUCGCUUUUUCAGUAAGCUUCAGUCCGCAGGUUCAUAGUGCAAGGUUUCUGUUGGCAGUCUUAAGAAGUGUUGAAAUUAAUUGCAGGUGAGAUUAACGGAGAUUGUAAGAACUUGAAUAUUACGCUACCUGGGUUAAAUCCACCUCCACCCCCAAACACACCUAUGACACCAGCGGACCAAACAGGAAACGCAGGUACACGUCCAGAAUCUUCUCCUCCUAGGGCGUCGGAGUCUGUACAAGGGGGCUCCAGUCCGUCUUCUAGUUCAGGUCACUCUCUUUCCGAUGUCUGAUUACAGUACUAAUCGGAACUGCUACCAUGUAUUUUGAUUGCUCAAGUACGCAGUGAUGUACAUCACAUGGGUCGGUUUGUUUAAUGUUGGCAGGUCGCAGCGUCAAGGUGAAUACUAUUGGUUUCCAUAUCGCAGCAGCUUUACUUGUGGAGCGAGCUUUACUGAGUAAACUCUUCUGAUCUGCGACAUACACACUCUUGUGGUACGCCACAUUUUUGUCACUUUUCACAAUCCAAAAUGGCGGAUACACUAAUGCAUCAGUCUGUAUUGGUUGAAAUUAAUAGCUACUGAGUUGAAAUAAAGCUCAAUUCCAGGUUGAAGUUUGAUCGGACUUUCUAAACACUGAAAAGUUGGCGCAAUUUUAAAUAUGUCCUUAUGACACGUUCUGUCUGUCACAAGAAGCAAUGACACGUUUUUUUUGCACAACUUCUUUCAUGUAUGGAGUAUUACGAUAAUAACACAAUACGUCUGAAACACACCACUAAGCCUGAUGGAGUAGACGCCAUAAUUUAUGUUGCAUUCUGCUGUACGCAAUCUAACCUCUGAACAGAAUGUUCUGGCCAAGCAACACAUCGGAAUACUAUUUGUAGCCUUGAAAUUGCAUCAGGUCAUAUCCAAAAAAAAAAAUCAGUAUGACUACAAUCAGAAACAUCUAUCAAUCAACUCCAAAGUGGCCGAAUCUGACGUGCAGCGACCAUCAUCACAUUGUAGAGUACAAUCAGGAAGCUCGACUGCCUUCUCAGAAAGUAGCCAGCGUAAUUGACUAUAAUAUAUCUUCAGUCUCCAUUGUGAUGAAGACAGGUGUAUACCACAGCGAACAGACCCUGCUUACUGCAGUAAAGCGAAAAUAGUUCCAAACCGCUGUUCAGGCUCAACAACAUGGCAUGUAGACAACCAAGCAAAUACAAGAAAACUUCUGCCACAUAUAACAUGCAUCUAUAGCCCGGAUGGUUGGACAGAGAAUGUGACUCCAUUUGAAUGUAAGCUGACAAACAGUUGCUGCUACAGAGUUUGCUGACAGCUUUUCGAAACAUCCUCCAUGCAAUUCACCGUGGAUAACUUUUACGUCAGUGCUCGUAUUUGGUAUAGCCGAUUCUUACAGUUUUGCCUCUGAUUUACGAGGAUCAAAAGCUUAACACCAGUCCAGUGUGAACCCCAACGGCUUCUCCUCUUCCCAAAAGGCACCCCCUGCCGCCGCUACCUACUCCUCCCCACAGAGGAUCUGCCAAACUGCUGAGCGAGCUAAGCAGGGCCAUCAGUUUCCUCUAGGGAAUGCGGUUCCUAAACGACUGUACUGCACAGUCUGAUUCUCAUAUUCGAUACUUCCUUCCAACCCCCGAAACCCCUUAGUCUGCAAUUAACUGAACCAUUUCCUCGAGAUUGAUAAAAUUUUAAUGCUAAUUCCUUCAACGACAAUGACAAUCGGAGUUUGUGCAUCUCGGGGAGAACAACAAAGGACGCAACCGCACUCUAUCUUCAGGUAGAAAGGCAAAUUCUUCCUCCACCUCGUUAAGACGUAGGCCAAUGCACAAAUGCAAACACCAUCCUCACCUUUAUCACCUCCCAAAACUACGAAACCUCUGUGGAUAAAAACUUCAUCAAGGUAAGGUCUGAUUUUCAGAGCGCAAAUUUAGCAAACAGCGCCUCCAGCUCGGCAGCCUCCGCAUCUGAUCGUGCCUAAUCAGGGAAAGUUGUAGUUCAGUUAAUUGAAUGAUUUCGGUCUUGUUUCGUCUACCUCUCCGUGUAACAAACAUCUCAAAUGAGAAAAGUAUAAAAAAAUAAAAUAAGGUUUCUCUAAAACUGUGGGAGAACAAGGAGACGAUCACCUUGGAUAAGAGCUCAAGCAUUUUAUUGAGGACUUUUAGCCUGUGUAUAGCAUACGCACUCGAGGCCGGCAGGCGUUGCACGCGCUCCACUUCCAAUUUAACCAGCGCAAUCUUCUGUGCGUCAUCCAUCAAGCCAGUUGGGGCUGCACCAGACCCAGCACACCGCAACAAGAACUUGAGUUGCACCACCUCAAUUUCUGCGCACGAGCUCACCUAAGCUCCUACAAAAAACCAAGACCGCUACUUAUAAACCCAAUACACAAUUCUUCGUUGAUUAUCUAAAUUCGAGCCGUGAGAAACCAAACCCUACAUCAUGGAUUCCACAAUCACAUCCACCGAAUACCGAUCAAUUUGAAAAUUCCCUAAAAACCUAAACCUCUUACUACCAAACAACUUAUCAUAUAAGCAAAUCCCAGAAGAAAUCGGCGGCAACCCAGAACCCAACACAUCAGUGCAGACGUCAACUCCCUGCGGAAAAUUUCCCGGGAUCUAUGGAAGGAGGCAUUUUUCGGAACGAACAAUUUGUCCGGCAGACUAGUUGUAAGAGCCACAACGUUGGCCAUCUCAUACUCAUGCAAUGUGGAUGUAAAAUAUGAUGUUCAGCAGCCACAUUUAUUAAUUUAGAUUUCUUGGAACAGUAAACACAAUCACUUCCCACAAAGGUUAUUAGUACAAGUUUGUCAAAAUAUUAACAUUGCUUCCAUUUUUAAGUUGAUUCUUUCAGUCUGUUAAAAAAUGAACACCAGUACCACACAAACUAAGUAAAAGUGAUAUAAAAUAGAUUUCAGAAUCAGGGUCAAAAAACAAGUAGUUUAGUUUUGAUAGUAUUUCAAUCUGUAUGUGUUUUUUCUUCUUCUUGCAAUUCUGAAUGUAUAUAAUAUGAAACAUGAGUUUAGUGUCACAUACGAGUGGCAAGUAACGAGUUUAUGCAAAUGAAUAAUAUGAUACAAGCUUUAGGACGACUUGACCGUGAUGUCGUAUUUAUAUGUAUAUUUACAUAUGAAAAUAUUCAUAUGUAUAUUUUCAUAUGUAUCCUUGGUUUAGAAUUUGUGUAUUGAUUGGAGUUUACAUUCUAAAUAUCACUUGAUGCAUCACUUUCUCAAAGAGGGGUACAAGCUGCAUUGCGUUAACUAAGCUUCAUUUCUAGCAAGUCCUAUCCACUUGGCUCAAAAUUUUGAUGGUAGGGCUUGUCGGCUCCAGGUUUGAUCGUUCGCCUCCAAUUCUGUGGAACUUUUAGGUCGAAACUGCUCAAAUCACAUUGUCGACUGUAAUCGUCAAAUGCUGUACAGGGUUCAAGCAUAACUUGAAAUAUUUUGCAGCCAUUCAUGGACGGAUUAAAACGCCUUGGCGGGGUUCUUCCGCCCCUUCACCUUGAUUUUGCAUUAAGAUUCCGUAAAAGACCGGAUCACAGCACUCGGUGAAGAGGCAGUGAGAAACUCCUCACUCCAAAAUGACCACAAAUUUGUCUAGUUUAAAACUAAGUCAUCCGUCUUAACUUAGUGAUGUAUACUCGUGUCGGUUCCAUCUUCCGUUGCUUGCUUGAAGUUGCUGCAGUCUUCGAUAUCCGGGGUGCAGAAGUUACUAGAGCCGGACAUUGAGGUAUAGUAGAGAUAUUUUUUCUCUUCCAUCCCCUCAUCGAUUAGAGCUCUAUCAAUGGCACUGACAACAGUUGGCCCAGUCGACUCGUUCUGGACUACUUGAUGAGAAUCUGCACCAUCCUCGCACAUCUCAUUUCUUGAACUUUCAUGACCGUUUCCAGGAGCAGCAGGGUUUGCAGUCUUUUUAGUCGAGGGGCUCCUCUCCAAAGAGACGCUGGCGAGUUGCUGAUCAAGUCCACCGGUAUCUGACAGAUCUGUGAAGGGCGGCAGGGCUUCGGGAGCACGAAGCACCUUGAGGGCUUUCCGGCUUCGAAUCUUCUUGUGGGAACGAACUUUAGGUGUCUGAAAAGACUCCUCUCCCCUCUUCGUCCACAGCUCUUGAUAAUUUAUGUCUUUGGGUUUUCGGGUAGCAGUUGGCUCCAUGGGUAGCGCUCUUACGUUAUCAUCAUCGUGCUUUGUUGUUGUUGCAGGGAUGUCACCACGCUUUGGAUGCGUCAUUAACUCUGAAAAAUGUCCCUCACCUAAAGGACCAUCGUGUUGAGUGAGACUAGAUUCGUUCGGUCGAACUGGAGAAUCUGCAGCGACAGCUUGAGAAAUAUCUUCAGAGUGGAUCACAAUGGUGCAUUCAGAAUUACAACGAUCCUCACAUUGAGGCAACAUCCCCAGGUUCCAUGACUUGCCAGCUCUGGUACCACUGGAAUCCUGCAUUGUCCUUGGCAAAUCCUUGAUGCUUGAAACUUGAAGCUCUUUACGCAACGCAAGCGUAUUUGAGGCGAUGGUGGUGCCCGUUCCGGUUGCAACAGCUUGCGCUAAGGCCACUUUCUCGUUUGCAACCUGCCCAACGGUCCGGUUGCUUCGCCUGCGCCUACGCUGGAAUAAUGCUGUUGCGAACGCCCUUCGAAUCACUGUCACCUGCCAACGCAGUACUUGUCUCUUGAGAACUGCUCCCUAUACGAUCAGUUUAGAGAUAUGAAACGCAUGAAAAAUUCGUGGUAAACCUACUCCUCAAAUCUAGACCUUUCACUAGCUUUAGAAGAUCAAGGCAAUUGGUCUGACCUGCGUGGCUGACUCGUCACGCUCAACUUGCAAAGCGGCAAGUGAUCUCCGCAAGUCCUGGCAUUGCUGUUGAAAUCUGCACACCACACACUUACGUAUAGUUAGGAUGAUGCACGAUCCAACUGAAUUUUUAAAAAAUCUCAGCACAACUCAGAGAGAACCGAGAUUUGAGAACUUGUUUCAGUAAUAAAGAUAGUGGUGCGUGAAAGUGGAGUAGGUGCACACGUGAGAGGGCGCACGUAGAAGCGCAAAGUGAUGGUAUCCUCAUCUGGUUGGAGGUAGCCUUCCUUCUCCAGAAGAUCGAUCCUGAAGAACUGGUAGUAACCCCAACACGCACCCACCUGAUCACAAAACAGGUCACUAAAAAAUGAGUUUCGACCUUAAUCUUAUUAUCUUGUGUGUUCGAUGUGCUUCAAGAUCAUUUAUAAAGGAUCAUACAUGAUGAUUCAGAAUACAAAGCCAUGCACUAAGACUUGCCUCAUAGUCGGAAGAGAACUUGCGAACGAUGCGCUGGUUUGGACGAGUCUGGUGAAGGAGCUCUAUACCAUACUCGUAAGUUACCGCUUCAUUUCCGCCAUCUACCAUCUGAUGCACAAGUGAUCCAAGCCAAGAUUGCCAGACGAUUACACACCCCUCAUUGUUUGCACAAUGUUGUAAAGUCAGUGGAGUACUUUGUUAAGCUCUAUUUGAAUUCUCGUGAAAGGAUUGAAUUGUCAAGGAAAACUACAAUACCCUAGUAGUAUCCGUGUGACUUAUGAUUAGAGACUGACCUCCAGAAAGACAGAGAGAUGAGUACCCAAAGAAGCGCCGCUGCCAUUUGGGUACACCUGCAACAGGAGCACAUUAUAGCCACGUGAGUUCAACCAAGACAUGUUUGAUGAAAUUCUCCAGUUUCGUGGACAAUUAAACAGUUGGUGAACAAAUUUCAACUGAAAAUAAAAUGAAAAUCACCUUCAGUCUCCACGUAAUACCUGAACCACGGAUGGGCUGCACAUACACAAAUACUGAACACCUUAGCAAGGACAAGAUAUAUCUUGGCAAUGACAGAGCUUUUCAGACGACAGAGUCUUCUAAUCCAUUUACAAAGUUUAGAUAGCCUGUCCUGGCAUCGAAGAUAUUUUGCAUAUUGCAAGCAACACGAAUUAACGAGCAUAAACCCACAAGAUCAUCAACAAUCUUGGCAGGAGAAAUGCAGGGGAAUACACAUACCUCACUGUACACAACAUCUUUGCUCGACAAGGCUUCACUGGAACUCGGAGUGCCACCAGGAGAGAAAACAGAAGAUCUGGGUAGGGUGAUAGUUUCCUUGUAUUUCUUCAAAAUGAGUUCUCCAUGCUCGUACGAGGGAACAACCUGCAAUACCGAAAUAUCUGAUGCUCUCGCAUUACAGUACAUCAAAGACUCCUGGAAUACUCUACAAACGCCAUGAUUUUUUGCAAACGAGAUAUAAAAAGACAAUGAAGAUCAUGGAUGAAUUAAAUAAGGAUACCUCUGACGUAAAUUCAGGAGGAAUAGGUGUGCACGAUAUAUGCGACAAAGUGCGCGUUCGGAUGUCCUGAAGAUCCAAAGCGCCACAAAAGUUGAUUCUAGGAAAUCUUAUCUACAAUAAAAUAUCAUCUUACUUGAACCCAUUUAAUAACUUGACACUCAACGAUGUUUUUUGCUGAAAGCCAUCAGUAACAAUCAACGGAACAAAAGCGACAGAGCAUGAUAAAGACCAACCUGCAGCAUGCGGCUCAUGUUAGGUUCUUGCGCUAUGAGGUCACUCUUUGGAAUACUGUUCAGCUGUUGAUCUAACUCGUGCAAUAUUGUGUCCAGAAGCUCCAUCUGUAUCCCAAUGAAUAGGUGAAUUCCACUAUUGUUCCAAACACGUGAAAAAGAGUCUAGAUAUUCCGCAUCAUACCAAUUGACGACUCUUGAUGUUCAAGACAGCUAAAAGGCAAUGGCGACACAAAAUCAUAAGACUAUGACGAACAAAGACUUACGGGAGCAAUUGCCUGAAAAGAAAGCAUUCAAUGAAAAUAAAUAUUUGGGUCCACCAAAACGAUUGCUUACUUCUUGAGUCAUAGAACCCUUUUGUGCGAGUAAUGCCAGUAGUUUACAUUUGAGCUGCUCUUCAAGUCGAGACUGCAUUGCACCAACCAUCAGUUUCUUCUGCAACAUCUCCCAAAGCGUGUGGAGAAAAAAUCAUCUACAAAUAAAAAGCUAACAAUACUAAAUCCGUAGCUCGAGUUAUAGGAAAUCCAACAAUUCACCUGCAUCCUUUUAAAAGCCAUUUGAAGCUCUGCAGCAGAUUCGUCCUUUGCCUGCCAGUAAAUGGAAAAGAACAUCCACGAUUCAGGGGUCACUGAUCUCCAAUGUUUAAUAAGAUUAUAUGAUACUAUAUGUAUAAAUUUUCAUUGCAAUCUAUGAAUGGUUCACCUUAAGCACAGUGUCGAUGUUUUUUUCAACUGAAACCACGAGAGCGGAGAGUUCCUUCUGGCGCUUGCGUAGCCCGGCAGCUUCCAUGCGAAUUUUCUUCUUGUGACGCCCAUAGGCAACACUCAGCUUCUCAAACGUGUGAUUUCGAUGAUCCUAUGAAGCACAUUGAAUGGGUUCUCCAGAUUUUUACUUGCAAUUCGGCGAAAAAUAAGUUGAACACCAAGUGCUGGUUGCUACUUAAAACAGAGAAUAUUAAUCCCAAAAUUUAAGACAAGGAAAGUACCUCAAUCAGGACCGCACAGUCUGGGCAUACGGGGACUGAGCAUGUCGUGCAGAAGUAGAGAAAGGGGCUGUCAUGGGCCGGACAGUACUGCUAUUUUCCCACCAAUCCAACCACACCAAAGUACGCCAAAUCAGAUAACAUCAACGCUACUACGACUAGAUACAGAAAUCAAUUAUGCAUGAAUGUACUUGUGAAAUGAACGGUUAUGAAGUUAAAUAUGUUACAGAGUCGACAAAAAGGGAAGCUUUAAUACAAGGUUUACUCCCAAGUCCAUAGGAUCAGAAUAAUGUGUAAUCAUCCAGGAGAGAUUGAACAAAAAGUUAGAGGAAAAGCUGGGCCAACCUUUUCUAUUGAACUGUCACCUAAAUUCCCUUGAAUCUUCUCAACUUCCUACAGUACAACAUAAAAAUAAUGCUAUCAGGUCUUCACAAAAGUGCAAAGAUAGGACAAACAUUUGAAAGACAUUGGUUGACUAUUUUCCACAUGCAAAAUACGAUUUGCUGCAUGAUCAACUGUAGCCUUUACGUGAACUAGAGUAUAUUUACCGAGGAAAUCUCAGAGAUAAAUCGACAGCUCACGAGUUGCGAUAGAAGGAGGGGCGCACGGCAGUGUGGGCACUCUGACUUUUGAUCUGUGAGCCAUCUCUGCGAAUAGAAAGAAACAAAUUAACAUCUAGAAAUUUGGUAGUGGUAAAGUUGUUCCACAAUACGAUGAUAUUAAGUUCCAUUCUGGAGGCUCUGCAGACACCUCUGGAUCAUGACGGCACUGACCUUGAUACACGACUGGCACACCAGCUUGGAACAACAUGGACACAGCUGGGCAUCCACAACCUGAAGAAAACAGAAAAUUGUGAGACUAUGUAGAAUAAGAAGUUUCUUUUUUUCUUUUUUUCUUUUCAAAACUCAUUACACUUGACUUGGGUGCUGGCUAUUCAUUUUCAAAGAACUUGUCUUGAGAAUCUUGCUCUGAGUUCAUCUUUUUAUUAUUUGAAUCACAACAGAAUCAUAAGACGCAACGAUGAUACUCUAAUGCACUUCAAGAAAAAAUCAUAGCCCGAACCUAAACAACAAGACAGACGAGAGAUGGAUCUGCUCACCUUUCCAAGACAGAUGAAGCACCGAAAAAUUUCUGCCAAUGUCGACGAUGAGUCAUUGACGUUGCCAGCAAAUGUGGAUGUGGCACCAUGACAAGAUACAAAAUCUACCGCUCUUUGGUUUCCCACUUUCUCAUUGUCGGAGGCCUCUAAAGAAACCGGUUCCCUGACAUCAACCGAUGGACCUGUUGCGUUUGUAAGGUCGACAAUGUCCUGAAGCUCUGUCGCCUGGGAAAUUUCAUGUAGCUGCUCGUUUUGGGGCAGAAACACUUGCUGUGAUACCGCAGAAGUGGCGGGGUGAUGCACGGGCGUGGAUCCAACCAAGAAGAGCCUCUGCAAAUGCGCUUGAAACUCAACAUGAGAUUUCAAGUUGCACGAAGCAAUCCGAACAAGAGAAAAUAAUAGCGGCCAGGCUACCCAGUCAGUCCCUAAUCAGGAGUUGGGAAAGUUCUCAAUCAAGUAGAGGUCGAAUCCAUUAUGACCACAAUCGAAAUUACCCGUUCGCCUUAAGUCAGGACGAGCACACUAUAAAGGCGCCGUGAUCUAAGCUCUCCUUAAAAUACAGCUCUCUCUCUCUCUUUCUCAUUCUCUCGCGCCAUCGCCACGUUUAGAGCGGGCGGAAAAAUCAGAUCAAGACGGCGGGAUUUUUAAGGUAGAAAAAAGUAGUGAGCGGUCUGCAACGGAAAACUAAUUCCACAAUUGCCAUUGUACGCUGUAAUUCUAGUUAGCAUCCAUUCCGAUCUUUGGUACCAAAAGCGCCCAUUGCCAGAGCCAUAAACCCUGGUCAGCCAACUUGGGUUUCUGUAACGUUCGCUUGCGCACCAAACAGUUUCGGUUACUCAGUCCCUCGAACUAUGAACAUUGAAUUGCUAAACAAAAAAGAUAUUGGAGAAAUGUUCCAGAGUAACAAAGGUGUCCUCCGAAAUCGAAGCACCCCAAGAAAAGAUAUGGCGACGGAGGUAUACCUGGACGGGUUCACUGAUGAUGUUUCCUCGCGAGUGGUGAUGGCUGCUGCUGCUCCAGGCGCCAUGGGAUCGAGGCCGGUGCCUCCCCCGGCUGCCAAAAAAAAAAGAACCGCAAUCUGUGCAAUCGUAGUCCGGAGCGCGGGUUGGUGACACUGUGAUGAUAGGGCCAGGGACCAGGGGAUUGCAAGUACUGCUGUGGCUGGAGCUGGAGCUUCUGCUUCCACCGCUUCCUCGUCGAAUGGUAGCCGCAUCCAUUGCGACAAACACAAUCUAACUUGACGAGGCGAGUGUGACACAGACGGACGCUCUUAAACGGAUAUGGACAUCCCCAUUCCCAAGAGUUCUACUAAAAGAUUAAUGCACAUCCAUGGCUGUGCAAAGGAUCGUUUAACCCCUUCUUCUCUAUUCAAGGGAAUUAGAAAAUGAAUACAGCAAUAAAGAUUUUCUGACUAAAUCGGCUGUGGUGGUGAAUCGGCGCUGAUUCAAACAAGAGUUGCAGCUAAGACGACAACGUAAAUGGUAAUGCAACCAACAAAGAGAACCUUCUGUGGUCUAUGCCUAUUCUCUCAGAGUGCCACUCUUGAUCAUGUAGCUCCUCUCCAUGCUGCGACAACUUGGGUUUUAUGAAUGCGAGCCUCAUGGAGGACAAGAGCUCUGACAUGAUAGCAUUGCAACAGAUUAUCUUAAUAGUCUCACUCUGUCUCUCUUGCUCCGAAAAACCUUUAAAAACCUCAAACUGUAAUCCUCGACUACAGAUCCACGAUCAACACCAUAGGUUCACUCCGCCAACCUCAUACGCACUACAUAAUCUGUAAGGACCCCACUAAGCGGAUACGCCCGAAGGUGAACAGGAUGCGACUUGGGUUAUUUGGACAAUAGAAGUGGCUCACGCUGGAGGAAUCGAGACCGAAAUGUGGCAUGUAGCUGUGGAAAGCUAUGAUACUAUUGUGACCAGCGGAUCGCAUAGCUUGCUUGCUUUUCAACAAAAUAGAAAAAGCAGACGCUGACUCCACCACAGUAGCAUCAAUCAAACUCAACUGCCUCAUGGCUUAAUCUUCCUUUCAGGGUCCGAAAUCAGUUGUCGUCAAAGACAACUAGCACUAACAGUGAAUAGCCAUGUCGCCUUGUGGGCCGCAGCCACCCAAAGACUGCACGGCGCUCUGGUCGCAGAAGUACAGCACAUGGACAGCCUGCCUGAUUUAGAAAACAGUAAUCACCCUAUCCGGGAAAUCCAGCAGUCUCCUUUGUCGCUGUAACUGCAUCAAAGCAUACUCUGAGGGACCCAAUCUCUGCAGAUUCUCCUCUCCGAUUCCACAUUGUUGAUUCUACCACCACCAGUGGGAAAGCACCCGAAGACUAAUACUCCUAAUCACCCCCAAAAUCAGCAACUCACAAACCAGAUGAGGACGAUGACUUCAUCAAAGUCAAAUCGAACCCUCGAGCCCGGUCCAAACUAAUAACAAGUAAGAGCAAGCAUUUACAAGGAUUCUGCUAGAAUCUAAACUUUCUAAUCUGGUAGUUAAACUCCUGAUGGGUUAUAAUAUUCAUAUAUUUUAUAAGUCGAAGUGCAUCCCAAGAGGCUCAAUUUGGAACGCUCUAGUUGUCGUUGACGGCACCCGGUCAUAAGUGAUUCUCUCACUCUCUAUAGCCUGACUCCCGGACCUAGAAAAGUGUAAAGUUUUUGGGGUUAAUCAAAUUCUCUCUCCAUAAUUUGGCGCUUGCAGCAAUUCUCGCUUUGUUUCUUUUUUUUCUUUUCUUUUUUUUCCUUAUCAAUCUCCUGCUCAUGUGGCCUUUUGAUUUACUUAGCAAUGGCCAUGAAUCUUUUCAUGAAAGUAUCAUGAAAUUUGUCAACUUGCCAGAGAGUCUGAUGACAACGACACAACAGCCUACACGCAAUGUAUACAUAUGUUUGAGACUUAGAAAGUUGCCCAGAAAGGAAGGGAUCUGACGCAACCUUCUCAACUCCUGGGAACUUUUUAUUAAAAACGCACAGCCCAAUCUUUCAAGAACCAAGUUUGAGCCCCAAAAAACCAAAAUAAAACAAAAUAAAUACAUAAAAUCAUAACAUUCCAAGGGGCGCAUGCGUGGAUUGCAAAGGAAAGAUGCUUCUCAUCAAGAUGAAAGCUGUGAAGUGAAGCGGAAUUCAAUUGCGAUUGAGAGUCAAAGAGGUACUGGAAGAAAAAAACACACACACACACACACACACACACGUGCGAGGGGGUGCAGAGGUGAUGAAUGUGUGGAGGUGAGUACGUUGUGGCGAUGGUGCGGAGGUGUGAAGCGAAAGCUAUGACGUCGUCCUUGGAGCGUUGUCAGUCAGGUCGCAAGGGCGGACGCAUCACAGUUAUAUCAUGGCAAACUCCACACCGCCAUCGCCGCUGGCUCUCUCGUCUUGCAAUUCCUGCAACGAGCUCUGCUCACAAAACCUGCAUCAGCUCUGCAAUUCAGGCAACUCUGACUGCUAUUUCUUUUACAAAACCUUCGUAAAUUUCAGGUCAGAAUCACGCUGACUUGAAAUGCUCGCUUCAUUUGUGUGUGUUUAUAUAUAUAUAUAUAUAUAUAUAGAUACACAUACACACACAAAUGAUUCGAUUCACCAUGUCUACUGUGAAUGAGAAAUAGCCAAUCCAUUUCGAAACGGUACUUUGUAAGAUUGAGCAAUACAAAAUAUAUAUAUAUAUAUAUAUAUAUAUAUAUUUUUUCUUUUCUUUUCAUACUUUUCGUAUUGUUACAGUGAAACCAUGUUUUCACAGUACUUUGGUCCUGUGACGACUUUUCUUUGACCGUCGGCAGGAUGAUUUGGGUGAUUAAAAUGGAAUGAUAUGCUCUGGAUUGAAGAUGGAGCACAAUUAAUAAACAAAUUAAAACGAUUUUAUAUCUGUCCUUUGGAUUAUAUUUUGGAAUUCAUGACCUUUCAUUGAUUUAUUACAAUUUUCGUUAUGAAUUUGACUACUUCAUAUUUCUGCACAUGACAUAAUUGUAACCAAAUCUGAUAAAACAAUGACAUGUAGGACAUGUAGGGAAAUAUGUGCAUGGGAUAGGUAACUAAAUUGUACCAGAUAGACACAAUAAUCAAAUGGGAAAAGCUAUCAUGGAUAACUAUUUAAAUACAUAAAACCAACAAAUAUAUAUAUAUAUAUAUAUAUCUCUUUUUACAUAUAUAUAUAUAUAUAUAUAUAUAUCUUUUUACAUAUAUAUAUAUAUAUAUAUAUAACAAUUACUUUAAACCUUAAAAUUAUAAAAAAUUUACAUCAAUCUCUAUAAUUAUUAAUAUUUUAACUGUCUUUACGUUUAACAUUGGAUUUAUUCAUUUAUUUAUUUAUUUUGCAACCACAUAUCAUUGUGUAUAUAUAUAUAUAUAUAUAUAUAUAAUAAAUUAAUUGAUAGGGAAGUUUAGGUGUAAGACAAAGACAUAGAGAAGUUUUCUCAUUGACCAAAAUCAAAGCAAUUGUUAACCAAUAGAAAGCAUUGCACAACCUACAAAAAGACCUCCAAUUUAUAGCUUUUCUACGCCCAACAACACGAGUUUCCGCUAUGAAGGUGUGUGCACACAUGCACACAUGUACCUUUGUACACAUAAAUUCAUCCAUUUUGGAAUCAUCUUUUGCCUUCAUUUUGGUGUGAUUUUAUGAUUUUCAUUAUGGCGAGAGGGAAAUAGAGGGAGCAAGCAAGCAUAUUCCAAAUGAGGGAGUGAAAUAUGGCAUAUCCUGCAUGAAAGCAAGAGCAAAGUGUAGAGAGCCCAUGUUCCUUCCUUCUCUCAGGGCAUGCAAAAUUUGUGAGGGAGAUGGGCAAACAAAGCCAAGCCAAGCCAAGCCAAUCUGAGGGGUCCUGUAAGAGGACAACAUCCCUGGCAGCGCCUACGUCCACAUCAGCCAUACAACAAACAGAACAGUUAAAAAAGCCAACACCUGCAUGGCACCCGAGGGUCAAGUUCACGUGGCAUUGCUGCUAAUACCACAGCUUGGGAUUAGCAACAUGGAUACAGCCCAUUUGGUGCCUGUGUUAGCACUUGGGGCCAUUUUCAACAUGCUGGGCAGGGUUGGUGGGAAUUGCUUUCUAAAUGGGGAAAUGGCAUUCGUCAAGCAAGAUGUGCAUUAAUGACACUUUGAAAAACAAGCCCACUCUGUGAUCCAAUUGUGUGAAUGGGAAGAAGGGGGGGGGGAGUACCUUUUGCAGCUAUUGCAUGGGAUUGUGGGUUUGUGGGUGCACAUGUUAGUUGUUGAAGACUAUUGUUAAUUAAAAAAACAACAACAUUAACUGCAACAAUUGUGACUGAGUUGCAUGACCUGCCUAUUAGCCUUAAUGAAGUUGUUGAACUGAGGAAAUUGAUGAUGAAAUCCUGGAAUCACAUCAAAUUUUUAUCUUUGCUGCACUGAAGUCGAAGUUUAGGAAAUUGGGAACAAUUCUUAGUGCAAUGGACUAGGAAAUGAUACUAUCAUUAAAAUUGCUGAUGAGAAGGGCAUUUAUAAAUAUUUAGCUCUUCACCAGUGUCAAAUUAGUCUCAACUUCACACAGAAUCAAUCUUUUUUUUUGGGGGGGGGGGUUUCUUCACAACAAGAUUAGUCUGUGCAAACAUGGAAUCAACAAGAGCAGAUUCUAUUCUCAAGGUCAAGAGGGGUCAAGUCUCAUUAAGAUGGUGCAGCUAUCAGAUACAUUAAAUAAGAGAAGAAAAAAUUAAAAAAAGAAAUAUAAAUAAAUCAUUAAUCCUCGAUUGUGAAUAUUAGUGCAACCAAAGACAAUAGUUGGAGAGACUUGAUAGAAUGGGACCCUCCACUGAUGAAGGGUGCCAGUGGACCCACAAACUCUACUGUGCUCAUCUCAGUAGACAAGCCACUCUAUUCAACAAUAAAAUAAAAUAAAAUAGAAGGCACUCAUAACCAAACAAAUGUAAAUGAUUGGAUGAAUUUAUACACUUAUUUGAUUUGCGUUCAUUAUUCAAUGAUUUCCUUGGUUCCACGAUGCCUGCAGUUCCCUUUUCAUUCAUUGUGCGAUUCAUUCCAUUAACUUUUAUUUAUUUAUUUGCAAUUCAGAAUUCACUCAAGUACGUGUUUCCUCAAAAUCAAGCAAUUUUUUACAUGAACUUAAAUAUUAAAAAACAAACAAACAAACAAAAACGACAACAACAACAACAACAACGACAGUGACAAAGUGCAACUAGAAGUAGAAGAAGAAGAGUUUAUCAGAAGGAGAAACAUAAAAUGGUGGUCUCUUGGGAUGUGCAUGUUGUUUGUUCAAUUAUUCUCCAUUGUUCAUGUUUUAUCUCUUUCUCUAAUCUUUAUGUAAUCAUAAGUUUAGUUUAUGUAUGAUUUCUAAUUCAAAUUUGACUAUAUGCGAGAGAAAUAUAUUUUUUUCAAAUCCAUUCUAGUUAUAGCUUGAUUCUAAGAUUUGUAAACUUUUCAGUUACAUUUUUCAAAAACUUAUUUCAAUGGCUUCACAAACGUCAUCCUGUAAUGCUUGAAAAUUUAUUUGACAAGUGGUCUUGAGAUUUUAGAGGUAAAUUCUGAUGUUAGUGAGGAGUCCUUUAACAAGAUUCAACAUUCAAGAAAACAAUUCUACAAAUUGUGAUGAAUACAUUUUGAGAUUGUUACUGUUGUUAUUAUAUUUUAUAAUAAUUAUUAUUUGAUUCUCAAAUGUUUGCCAUUCCUGUUAUAUUUUAUUUUGUGUCAUAGUUUAUAAAUCUUCAUUAUCUUAUUUUGUUUUUAAAAACGUGUCACUAGUAAUUUUAAUUUACAUGCAAAAAACGUAUCAUUGUGAAUUAUAUGAGUACUGAAAAACCUCAAGCACUCCAAUUGCCAAGUGUUUUUCUAAUUCUUUUCCUACAUUUCUGAUAUCAAAACCUCUCAAAAGAUAUAAUGUACUAUUUCUUAGGAUAUUUUUUAAAAAUAAAAAAUAAACCAAUAAUGUUGUAUCCAAACUUAUAACAUAAAGUGUAUAUGUAUGUAUAUGUAUAUUUUUCUUUUAACCAACAUACCAAUAUUUUUGAAUCUCUCUCACCAUGAAAACUUCAAAUCUACCCACUACGCUUAGAAGCAAGUGUUUGUUUGUUUUUGUUUUGUUUUGUUUUGUUUUGUUUUUUUUUUUUUUGUGUGUUUUUGUGUGUUUUUUUUGUGUUUUUUUGUGUUUUUUUUUUAAUCUUUUUAAACCUACGUUUAUACACCUUUGUUAUUGAAUUUGCCAAAAAGAUUCAUGAAUACAGAAAUUCCAAUUUGUUCUGGCAGCUGAUUUAACAAAUUAAAAGGUGGUUGUAAGUGUGUAUAUAUAUAUAUAUAUAUAUAUUUCAAACAAAAAUAACUAAUUAUAUGCAUCAACAUGAUUUCUAAAACCCUCAAAUACUACUCGCUUUUUGCCUUUGUUUAAUUAUGUUUAUACUUAAUGACAGUUUAUACAUACUACAUUACCAAACUAAAACAUUUGUCUGAUUUUCUAAAAAUAUAUUUACUAAUCAAAUUUUACUUUUAAAAAAGUGCACUUGAAAAUCGUGGUUGAAGCUAGAGCAUAUAUAUAUAUAUAUACACACACACACACACAGAUUUAAAUUUCAAGUAGUUAUUACUGUACUUGAAUUGUAAUUGCCAAAAUAAAUUCCUUUUUAAUGGAAAAGAAUUUAUUAUAACCUUAAUGAAUGCGAAAAAAUAAUAAAACAAUUAAAGAAUAAAACAUACCCCUAAACUAGAAUUGAAUCAUUUUCCUUUUAUCUCAUAAACAAUCUCAAUAAUAAGAUAAAUAAUGCUAAAGACUGAAAUGAUUUACAACAUGCUUGGUGUGCUCAUGUGAACACAAGCCUUGACCGUAUGCCAUGCCCAUGAUCUCCCUCAACAAUUACAUAAGUGGGCUUAGUCAAUUGCAAGUACAACUUUGAAUGCUGGACAAUCAGUAUCUUAAAACGCACUUAUGGUCACAAAUCUGUCAGUCUUGCAAUUCAUACAGUUCUUCAAUUAAUAAAUGAUAUUAACAGAGCGUGCUUUAGUAAACCUUCACUCCAAAAUGAAUCCUUCAUGCACAGUUUCAAAUAUGUGUGUAACUUAAGUUGGGUACAGUCUGGCAAGCUACAGAAAGCCAAAGUUGCAACAAUCGAAGCAGAAAACUUUCUUCCUGCGACACCAACUCUUUGUCAUGUUCUAGUCUGGAACCUUGAGAGCUGUCCUCUCAAAUCCAUUGAUAUGUUUGCUUCAAACCCAGUUGGUAGAAAAUCGUGACUCAGUGAAAGAAAAAAACCAGCAGCACAAUCUCUUACAUCCAAAGCAUUUGAUCAAAUACUGCGCUUGAUUGAGUGAGAGACACGCAGAGAGAGAGAGAGAGAGAGAGAGAGAGAGAGCAUUUACUCCAGUUUUUCACAGUAUCUCAUGAGGUGGUGGAAUUGUUCCAGCCGGACAAUCCAGUAUUUAUCCAUUAUUUUAUCUGUUUGUAUCUGUCGAAAACAUACGCAUUUCUUCCAAUUUUCGGCACUCUCCGGAACACAACGCGAAGACUAGAGUUCAUAUACGGUUAUUGAGAUUACUACAGGUUUUUAAGCACAGUUAAUGACCAGCUCCAGAGGGAAGGCACGACCCAGGUAUGAAAAGCAGUGCCUGGGACGGGUGAUGGUAGAAAACAUCACCUGCAAACCAUGCCAACAGUGCCGCUAAGUUUUAAUUUCGUUUCGACAAAUCAAAAAAAAGAGAAAGAAAGAAAGCUUUACGUGCAGGAACUCUGCUCGAAAGCCAAGACAGCCAGCCCCCCUUUUCCCGAGAAAGGUCGCGGAUUGCACAUCUGUUGGGAUUCAGAAAUCAUGGAACUAGAGCCGAAGGUGUGUGUGUGUGUGUGCCCACCUUGUUGAAGGGGUCCACGGAGAGUAAGACGAAAAAACUGUGAAGAUAGGCCGGUGAUCAUGGUGUACCAGCGCCCUCGUCAGUCACAGCUUCAACAGGCCAUCAAUGAUAUGUGCUGCGUGUAUGUAUACCCUGAGCAUGGGACCGCGCACAGCUAUCGACCUUAGGGAUCAAAUGUCCCGGAAACAACACCAUCCUCUAUGAGCUUGCUUCGCACCCACUUGGAGUCCAUCUCGUGCACAAGUGUGGUGCUGUUCUCGUGGUCCAGCAUCAUGCCCUGUGUGACUCAGCACCUGGCAACACAGCAAUCUUGCUUCGCUGCUAUGUUGGCGAUGGUAUUGUGGGCUUGUCCAUAAGUGUCCGCUGCAAUGGUGGCAAUUACAGGAAGAUGUCCGUUGUUCGCUUCCCUCGAACAAGCAUUGUGUCAACAGAAGUGUUUUCUCCAACAAAGCCAAGGUCGCUGCGAACGGCCAUCGCUGUGAUCAACUUGCCAGCUUUGCCAGACAUUCUCUCAACGCAAACCACCGACUGGAUUGAUAAGUGAGAUGAGAGACUUGUGUUCCUGGAAUUAAAAACAAUGCAAACACGUAAUGUAGGGGACGAACUUAAUUAUAAAAGGUCGUCACGGAGCAUCUACAUGGAGGAUUCGAAGGGCUAGGUUCUAACGUUACGCAGGGACUACUUUACUACAUGAUCCUCCCUCAUUAGCUCAUCAUCGUUUAUGCAGAACUAUAUGCUGGCUUGUUAUCUAAUUUAUGUCAUCUAGAAGAAGAUUUAGAUGAUAAUUGAAAAACAAUCAAACGGAAGCACAAAGGACCCGGAAAAUAAAAGAAAAGUGAUAAUGUACUAAGACGAGGUGUUGACGACUCCUCACAAAAUGAUCCCAAAUCACAAGCCAGACUAGUUUCUAACCUACGUUAGGCUGCUCUCCCACGUGCACAAAUUCAUUGAUCUCCUCUGAUAAGUUGAGCCAAUUCCACUCCACCUUGCGUACGUAGGCUCCUGUGCAGCCCGUCAGAGAAUUGAAAUCAUAAAUCCUCACAGAACCGUGAGAAACUUAGUGUGGGGUUGAAUUCGUCAGAGGAUGUACACUUUGCUGGAAAAUGCCACCUCAACGACUUCCGUGGUUGCUUCAUCGGUGACAUGCAAAUCGUUCAGGAAGUGGGGUUUGAUGCCAAGCUUGUCAAGCUAUGGUUUCGAUGCCAAGGCCUCCGCCAUGGACUAGAACACAUUGAAUCCCGACACAGGUCUUUUGUUAUCACAACACCACAAGCUUACAAGGAAACCAUGGCCUGAAGCCAAAAACCUCGCCUCCAGAGAUGAGGAUUCCCAUUAGUGCGGCCCACAAAAUGCAAACCCUGCAAUGAAUACUCUGAAUCCCACGCACGUCCACAAAGCUGAUUUUGACAUAGAAGAUCAUUUUGAUAAUAUAAAAAUAUAUGAUAGUUGAAUUGAGAUUAGUCAAAUAUCUUCCUUAAAUCUUCACUAAAUAUAAUUAAAUGAAUUACUUAAAAUAAACAACUUUGUUUAUAUGUACAUAUAUUUUUUCAUCUUUUAUGAAAAUAAAAACUUUAAAAAAUAUGAGAAUCUUUUAAAAAUAUACUCAAUAUCUAUAGUUUCAGAUUUUUUAUGUUUGUAAAUAUGAGCAUUAUUAUUAAAAAAAAAUACAUAGUCAAUGUUAAAAAAAGAAAAAAUAGUAAUUCUUGGUCUAAAUAAUUAUGAGUAAUAUAUAUAUAUAUAUAUAUAUAUAUAUAUAAGGAAAUUUAAAAUUUCAUAGUUACAUCUUUGGAUUAUGUUUAUAUAUUGAGAUUAUUUAAUCUUAGAUUAUAUUGUCUUUAGUAUAAUAUAUAAAAAUAUCAUUCAGUUGAUUUUCCAAUUUUUCUAUCAUAUUUCAUUCACAUUCCAUUGAAUGAGAAUGUAAGCAAGUGGAUACAUUCCUCCAAUUACAUAGUAGUAGUAGAGCUUGAAUUUGGUUGUCUCUACAUGUUUAUCACUAUGUUAUCUUUUGGCAAAUAAUGUUGGGAUGUGUAUCACUUGUCGUCGAAAUAAGGGCUUAAUGUUGAUGAUGCUAGGAAUGGUCUACUUGCGCAUUAAAGCAUGGAUGGGAUUGGAUUUCAUUGACAUCAAGCAUGUUUUACUUUGAGAUUUUUCCUCAUGAUCCAAGCAAGAGGAUUUAAGAGGAGUUUAAAGGACUGCUAGAGGUGCGGAAGGCACAUGACAGGUUUAUGUAUUUUGCCAUAGAUAGAAAGGCACCAAAGCUGAACAAUAAUUUUAAUUUAUUUCUUAUAUUUUUAUCUUAUCACAAUUUAUUUUAUUAAAAGAUUGUAGGAUUAGAAUUUUGUAUAUCUAUACAAUAAUAUUAAUUGUGAACACCUAUUUGCUUAAGUAAGAAUCAUAAAUUUAUAACCUUUUCGGUUUGAUCUAAUGGCCAUUUAAACUUUAGUAAAAUUUAUAAUAAGUGACUAAAUCCAUAUUUUUAUUAUUUUUUGCAUUAAUAGAAUAAAUUGAAUUUUUAAAUUUAAUUUAAUAAAUAAUAUUAAUGGUAAUUUAAUUUUCUACAAAAAUAUUCAUUUGCAUUUGUAUUUGGACAUUGUAACCUCAAAAGAAAAGAAAAGAAAAGAAAAGAAAAAAGAAAAAAAAACAUAUUCCUUAGCAAUUAAGAAUGGCCUAAAUAUAAUUCAAAAAAUCAAUUAUCUAUGCAAUAUACAUUAAUUGAAUAUAUGAUAAGGCAUGCUAGCACAAAACACAAAAAAUAAAUAAAUUAGCAAAUUAAACGGCUGCAAAAAGAACAAACACAAAUCAGUAAGUAAGAUAUGAGAAAGUAAGACAAGAGAUGAUAAAAUAGGGACUUUAUAUGAGGGCACAUUUAUAAAAUGAAAUCACAUUCCUCCUCCUAAGGUUCAUACCUCUUAUAAAACCAAACAUUGAACAAGAACAAUCAAUCCUAUGCAAAGACCAUUAAAAUCCAAUAUCAUUCACAUUUUAUCAUAUAUUUUAAAGAAUAAUAGAAAUAACAAUAAUAGAAGAAUGUUAAAUAGACCCAUGCUGAAUAUAGUAAUCAUGAUGAAGAAUAUAGUAAUCAUGAUGAAUGUGGUUGGUUUUUAUUGAUUGCAGAUCCAAUAGUGGACAAAUGAAUUUAGAAAUGAAUCUAGAAAUCAUUAUUUUUUUCAUGUUGGUUUUCAUCCUGGGUCGAUUUAACAUACCCAAUGAUAAUAACAACUACAACUAUUUCUUCUUCUUUCUUUCUUUCUUUCUUUUUUCCUAUGUGCAAAGAUCUUUUUGAAUGGUAAAACCAUUAUUUUUAUGUAACCAUUCUUCCGGCAACUGGAACAGAAAUGAUGCCUGGGAUUGGCAGACUUUGAUUGAGGUCCUAUGAAAGUUGUGGGGAAUCGCAGGGCUAAGAAUCACGACCUUUGAAUGACAAGCAUUCAUUCAUAUUCGCAGCCAAUCUUGCUCACCAGAUGUGAUGCAUAUUACCAAAGCAAUAUUUUUGUGGAUGCAGUUUUGGAGAAGUAAGGAACUAAGUUCAUUGGAUAGAAGUUUCGAUGGAUCGGUGGAAAGGGAGCUGUAUGAGAUCAUGACGGAGGCCUUUGGAUGGAUUUAAUCACUUGUAGUAGUGCUUGUCCAAAUUUAUCGCGUGAAACAGCCUGCGUCGGUUAGUCUGGCUGUUUUUCAGGGGGUGGAGCGUUGUUUUUUUCUUUUUUUUUUUUUUUUUUUUUUUUUGCAUUUUUGCAUUUCAGGUGUUUUUUUAGGUGUUUUUUUUGAGGUUGUUUGUGUGAGAUUGCUGAUAUUGUAGUGGGUUCGAGGUGGGUUGAUUGCUUCUGUGUCGAUAUUCCGAAGUGGGUUUUUAUGGACAAGGUUAUGCUCGGUGCAUAGGUCGCUGAAUUCAAAGUUGUGGAAAAGGACGGAGACUGAGAUGCUUUGAGAUGGGUGAUUUUUUAAAAGUGCGUUGAGAAGGGUUUUUCCAGAAAUCGGGAUUUAGGGUUUAGCGGUGGCUUCAUGUUGUGGAUAUCUGGCACAUGUUGUAGCGUGCCGCGUGGGUAGCGCGGCAGAUUGUUGAGACGAUGGCUGCUCAAGGUUCGCAGAGCUUGGUUGGGAUGGCGGAAGCGGAUGUGGGUGGUGGUGGCGGAGUUGGAGCCCCCCCUGCUGAUGCUUGGCUACAAGCGUGGCGUGCAAUUGCGCCGCAGUGGGAGCAGAUACGCGCCAAGGUUAAGGUGAGUGGCUUUGCAGAGUGGCAAUGUAUCCGCAUUUUGUCACACGAAGUGCCAAAGUUUACUCAGCGAUGGUACUACAUGUGUGGAAAUUAUUCCAUCCAGCAACAAUCGGAAUUUGACAUAAUUUGGGCAUCUACUCGUUUAAUUCCAAUUCUCUGAAGCGGCUUACAAUUCAAGAGCAAUCUUGUUCUAAAGAUUAAGUUCGGAGCUUGAUUUUCUACUUUUAUCGUGGUUUUCAUCUUGCAGAGGCCAGAUGACAUUCCUUGUGGUUGACGACUGUUUUCACGUCAAUUAAAAAUGGAUUUUCAAUUAUGGUUUAGCAUCGCAGGGUUUAGGUUUUAGGUAUAAUCAAAGUGGGAAUGCCGCUGGUUGAAAGGCAGUAGGUCAGAUUUUUAAUAUUUUCGCCCUUUGUUGGGCGGUUUGGAUGUUAGAUGUCGUGAAUCGGAGUUAACUUGUACUUUGUGUGGAUGGCUGUGGUUUUACAACAGACAGUCCCAGACGUUCCAAUAUUGAGAGUCAACCAGAUUGAUGCUGCAAGACUUGAUGUGGAGAUGACGGGUAUGCUCAAGGAGCAACUCAGUAGAGUUUUUUCUCUGUCACAGGUAUGCUCGUUUCUCGGUAUGCUCAAUUAUGCUUUCCCCUACUGCUGGUUACCUUACUCAGCAAGUGAUUAGGGGACGAAGACCAUCUCGGGAUGAAAGUCCUAAUUGACUUCCUGCUAUAUGCUCUGCCAUACGCUCUAUAUGACAUUGUCGUGAAAUGAGGGUGUACUAUAUUCUGCAGGAGGUUAACGUAUUUUCUUUUUUGCAGCCAGGUCUUCUGUUACGUUAUGAACCCGAGCUAAAUGCUUUCUUGGAAUUUCUAGUUUGGCGUUUUUCCAUUUGGGUGGAUAAGCCAACUCCUGGAAAUGCCCUGAUGAACUUGCGGUAUCGAAAUGAGCGCUCUUUCAACACAUACCUCAAAUUUGGCAAAGGUCAGUCUACAGUGUCUUAACUUAGCAUCAAUGGUCUAUGUGAUUUGUGACCUCCGCUUCUUCAUUUGUUACUGCUUCGCACCUUUACUGCCCCAUUGACACACCUAACGAGCCGAUCUUAAAGGUAGUUUAGUGCCAGGAGUCCUGCGAUCGUGGGCAAUUGUGAUGCUGAUGUCUUGAUGUUAUGCUUCUCUUUUUUGAGCAGUGAGAACAGGUUUGGAGGGUGCCGGGUUGACAAAAACACAGAAGAUUCUUUAUUGUUUACUCGUUGUGGGAGGUCGCUAUGCAUGGGCCCGCCUCCAACUCAUAUCUGCUUUCCAGCGUUGGGGAGACCGGCAAAGGGUAAUAUAUCCGAACAGAAAGGCCCAACUCUCGAAUAGCUGGAAUACUUAUAUUGAUAAUUACAUCAUUUCUAGUUGCAGGAAAUGAGUUGUAGCCAGCUAGCUUGUUUUUCGCAGCAGAGGCAAUUCCAGUUGUAGAAACAGUUAUUGACUCGGUUACCAACUUGCCAUGGCAGACAUCGUGGGCUCGUCGUGCAUGGUUGCUGUUGCAAAAAGCAGAGAGUUUGUAUAAAAUUGCGGGAUUUGCCAACCUUGUUCUGUUUCUUCACUCUGGAAGGUGGGUCCCUGUUUCUCAUACCUAAGUCAUCUUGAAAAAUGUCUUUUUCCGGUUUAGCUGACUUCGGUGUGAGCAUUAUUGCAUUGGCAGCAUCUGGAGUCUAACAAGUGUUUCUGUUGCAGAUAUCCAAGUACAGUGGAGAGGCUUUUGGGAGCCCGUUUGGUUUAUGAAAAACCUGAUAUGAAUCGGGCUGUUAGCUUCGAGUACAUGAAUCGACAACUUGUUUGGCAUGAAUUCUCUGUAAGUUUUUUUUUUUUUUUUUUUUUUUUUUUUUUUUUCUUCUUCUUCUUCUUCGAUCUACAUUAGGGCUUUAUAAUCAGGGAUAGUGAAUGAUACUAAGAAUUUUAGAUUGUAUAGUUUGCUUGAUAUGUGUUAUGUUGGCAAUCUUGGACCUGCGUUGUGCCUAACAACUAUUUCCCAUGUUCUGCUCCUCACCAAUCAUCAUUCUGUGUAUGCAGGAAUUGCUCUUGUUGAUCCUCCCUCUUCUCAACAUGAUGUCUAUUCGGAAAGUUCUCAUGUUCCCCUUCUCUACUCAAGCCCCUGCAUCUAGUCUACCUGAGGAUGCGUGUCCAAUAUGUGAGGCGUGCCCCAUCGUGACCCCCUACAUGGCUCUUCCUUGUUGCCAUUUAUACUGCUAUUACUGCCUUAGAACUCGAAGUCUUUCCGACAGGAAUUUGAAGUGCUCACGUUGCAGUGUCAGUGUAGUGGCCUUGAAGCGAUACCAAGUUGAGGCUGGUUUAGAUGGCUCUGGUAGCACUGAUGCAGCGUCUCAAUGAAGCUUUAUUUUUAGAUCGUUUGCUCCUUUACCCUGUUAUUUCUCCACUUGUACACAACCCACUUUGCAAUAUUCUUAUUUAAAUGUGUUUUAUGAGCACAAAUUUAUGGUUCGUUGCCUCUUGUUUAGACGUUCUCUCUUCCUCCUUUGGAUGUGUUGAAAUCAUUACUGCAGAAUAUAUAUCAUAGUUACAGUAUUUAGAGUCUAGAGUCUAGUGGAGAAGUAUUGUUUAUCCUCUUUUUUUUUUCUCUUCUUGUAUACGAGUCACAACCAAAUCAAUAGAUUUUUGUGUGUGAAGCUCUCUCUCCUUAGAAACCCUCUCUUCUUGUAUACGAGUCACAACCAAAUCAAUAGAUUUUUGCGUGUGAAGCUCUCUCUCCUUAGAAACCCUCUUGUGUGUAUGACUUAUUACUACUCUUGUGUGUAUAUGACUUAUUAUUACUCUUGUGUCUUUUUAAACAUUCUCAACACGUUAUCAGCACAAUUCUCUUCUACACAUUAUCACAAUUUUUUUGCUCUAGUCUUUGACUCUUCAAACUUGUUACUACCUUUGCUCAAUGUCUGUCUCAUGGUUUUGUUCUUCUUAUUGGCCCCUCACACCUUAGCUGCUUGCUUAGAGCACUUGUUCCACUCUCUGCCUUGCUUGCUUAGAAUACUUGAUCCAGCCCAAUUCCACCCCAGCUUGCUCCCUACUCCCUACGCCCCUGUCAUCGAACUGCCGUUGUCAUGUUGUAACACGAGUAUACAGUGAAAAUAAAAAGAAAGGGGAAUUUUAUUAAUAUUCAGUUACCUCGAAUAUUGGGAGCAUCGACCAACUCCAGUACAAAUACUGAGUGGUCAGGUUCAGUGACUCCGUUACAGUUAGCCGGGGCAUACUGGAAUGCCCCGUUCGAUUCCAAUAACGGGAGUCAGCAGGAAGAGAAGGACCAAUUCACACGACGGGUUCGAGGAGCCAAUUGGAUCCAAUUUCGAUAAUCCAAUCUGGGUCCUCUUACCCAAUAUGAGACCUGUAUUGGUGGGGCAACCCAAUGCAGUCUAGUUACGGGAAAUCCAGGUCUUACUACGGGUCUUAGCCAAUCUGACGCGAGGACCAAUUGGAUCCAAUUACGGGAACAUCCAGGUUACUACGGGCAUCCUUCCCAAUAUAGGACCUGAAUUGGUCGGGCGACUCAAUGUGGUCCCGAUUACGGGGUUCGAUUCUGUUUCAGGCUGUCCUGUUCUCUGUGCCGUCUCAGGGAACGUUGUUUUCGGUAAAUGGAUUUCUUAAAGGUAAAAACGGAGGAGAAAGCUUGGCGGCGAGAGCCAAUUUCGAAUCCAAGUUGAGGUGAGAGCCAAUUUCGGAUCCAAGCUUGAGGUGGGAGCCAAUUCCGGAUCUAAGACGGAAGAUUGAAGAAAUUCAGAGGAUAAGGUUAGGGGGGAUAUAGUUUUGGAGUGGUGGGGGGUUUUUUUUUUUUUCAAGGGGAAAUCGGGGGGGGAAGCGAGUUUUUUUUUUCAAGCUUCUGCAAGGUUACCAGUUCGGGUUUCAUUGGGGGUUUUUUUGGGAAGAUCAAGGGAAUUAGAGAGAGGAGCUUCAUGCUUCGGGUCGGGGAAGGAAAGACAUAGAAUUUGGAUUUUUCUUCUUCAUAGAGUUUUGGGAAGACUGAGGCAAUCGCGGCUGAAGUCAGUGUUGUAAUGGUGAAUCGGGAUUUUUAAAUAAAGUGGGUUUGAAUACUCUUGACUGUUUUGUAAAAUCGAGUUACGUCUGUGAUUGAAGGAUUAAAGGGGUGUCUAUAGGAUUGAGUAUGCGGAGUGAAUGAAAUUUAUUGGGUUAAUCUAACAGGACAGUCAGUGGAUACAAGAUCGUAAGUACAAAGGGGUAUUGAAGAUUAACAGUUUGGGUUGUUCGGAGUUCUCUGUAACGUCUAGAGACCUAUCGGUUGGGAAAAAAAAAAAAAAAAAAAAAGACUUCGACAAGCAGUCGAAGAGCAUCCGUAUAGAUUUACGGUACAUUGUUGUAGUCAUUUAUAUUCCAGCAGUCAAAAACUGAUAGACUGCUUGACUAUUGGCGAAUCUCCAUACUACCUUCUACAGCCAGACGCCCGGCGCGUUCUCGAGCAGGAAAGCACGUAAUACGACAAAAGUGGUGAACCCGACAUGAAAGCUUGAGGUAGAAGGUAUUGGAUUUCGGUUGAUUUUAUCUUUAUUUUUUAUGGAAAACGAAAAUAAAAAUUUUGAAGGAUUUUUGGGAGAAAUUUCUGGUGGGGAGUCUUCUAAAGGACAAGGUAUGCACAUGGAUCCGUCUAUUGCUAGUUUGUUUCAAGCCUUCUCAUUGUCAAUGCAGCAACAGCAAAGCAAUGAUCGAAAGGAAGCUUUGGCAACUAAAGCAUUGCAAGCAGUGGUCAAUAAAAUUGAUCAAUUUGAUGGGAGGAAUAUUUCAAGGUAUUUAAGAUAUUAUGUUUGUGAAAUGGAAUUAAAUCGGGUUUCUGAGAAGAAAAUGGUUGCACUAUUUGGACUUGCCACGAUACCGGAGAUAAGGGACCACAUUACAUCGAUUACGGAUCGUUGUGGGAAUUCUUGGGAGGAUUUUUCACAUGCAUUGAAAGACGAAUAUUUCUUGGAAGAUGCUGAUCGCGUUACUAAGAAGCUGUUUCUGGGAUGGAUUGAACGGCCCAAUAAGAAUUUGCAAGCAACAGAGCUACUAAGGGAAUUUGAGAGGCAGUACUCUCAAUUAUCGAAGGUAGAAAAAUUGACAUUGGAGCCGAACAAAGUUGAUCUAUUUCUUCAAGCUGCUGAUGGAGAAUUGCAAGAGAAAUUAGAACCCCUUCUUGAAGACAAAGAAGAAGAUGAAGGAUUGACAACGAAGUGGAAGAACGUUGAAGAUGCGGUGGGGUUGCUUACAAAAAAAGAAAGGAGGAAGGAUAGGAGUAAUAUUCCGAAAACAGUACAAGCACCCAAAGCUCCAGUACGUACUACACCACCGACAAUGCCUACAGUUCAACCUUCGACAUCCUUGUGAAAGAAAACAGAUAUGGGUAUGGAAGAAAUUAUACGAGGAAUGCGAGAUCUUCAAAUCAAAUUGGCAAGACUUGAAGAGAAUACUUCUAUAAACAAUUCGAAGAAUGUUUCAAAACAAGGAUAUGUACAAAGAUGCAUUUGGUGUGAUGAUGCUUCACACACUAGAAAAGAUUGCAAUGAAUUUAAUAAUAUGAUACGGCAGGGAAUUAUUUGCUGGAAAGAUGGGAAGAUAGCAUUGAAAGAUAGGGAGGAUCUUCUUCAAACCAAUUUUGGCAAGGGAGGAAUGAGAGCAUUGGUUCAAGAUUACUUAAAAGGGCAUGAAACAGUAGCACGAGAAAGUGCAAGUUAUGGUGCUAGAGUAGAUGAUGAAAUUGGUGGAAGUACGGAAACUAGUGAGUUUUGGGCUUCUGCCGUUUCUACAAUGCAAGAAGGGAAAUUACCUCGAGAAGCGUUAUUGAGAACUGCAGCUACAAUACGAGGAAGAACAGGUUGGGAGGAUCCUGUUGAGUCUCUUUCAGUUCAUGCAUAUAUUUCUAAGAGCCAACAUGAAGCUUUGAUGGAAGAAAAAAGACGAGGAAAUUUUGAUGAUACUAGAGAAGGAAAUUUUUCUAAGAGGCAAACUCGAGGAGACAAGGCUCGAGAGGCAGCUUCACAAGAAUUGCCUGUAAAGGAUACCUCAGCAUCAUUGGGAGAAAAAACAACGGAGACAAAAGAUAAGGGCAAAUCAAUUGCUUAUAAGCUACUUUCUGACAUUGAAGCGGCAACAAAUUUGAAAGGGGUGUUGGAAGAACGUAUAUUAAACGCUAAGGUGGAAUUCACAUUGAAAGAAGUCUUGGAAAUUGCAAAGAAGGAGUUUCAUGAUGUUAUCAUUGACAGCAUUAAGCGAAAGAGGCAAUUAAUGAGCGAAAUUGGAAUGAGUCAUGCUAUUGACGCAAGAAUAUGUAGAGAUGAAGAAGAGGUUGAUAUUGGUUACAAGCAACCAACAAAUGAAAAGAAUGGGUAUAAUCAGCGAGUACGUUUCGAAGAUUCUAGUGACAAGGAAAUGGAAACUUUGAGUCAUUAUACUCGAAAGCAUUGGGCAAGGGCAACUACUGAGGUAUUGGUGAAGGUAGGAGAUAUAGAAGAACCAAUAGUUGCUUUGGUGGACCAUGGUUCUGAAAUAAAUCUCAUGUCUAAAGAUCUUUAUAAGAAGCAAAAAUGGCCAAUUGAUAUGGAACAUGGAUGGGCAAUACGAGCAGCUAAUAACACACGAGGCGAAUUAUAUGGAGCUUGUCCAGAUGUCAAAAUUCGGAUUGGGGAUGUUGCGACGGAGCAACAUUUCUUCGUUUAAGAUACAACGUCUUAUCCGUUGAUUUUAGGACAACCUUAUAUCACGGCAACACGGAUGGAAACAAAGGUACUUGACGAUGGUUCUGCUUAUGCAAGGGUACGGAGCGAAGAUGGGAGGAAAGCUGUACAAUUUCUAACAGUACCUCCUAACCAUGAACGGAAUCGAGAUAGGUUGAGGGAAAAACCAUUGCCAAAGAUUGUUGAAGGAUUUAAGGAUUUUGGGGAGGUACCACUGUAAAGCGAGAUUAUGGAGGUACAAAAGAGGAGGUACUCUCGCGAGAUGAAGGUGCCUUUGAUGCGAGUUUUAUUGGUAUAUUGGAGAAUGGAAAUAUUAUGUAUAAGAAAGUUGAAGAUUUUAAAAGAAAAGAAAGAAAAAGAUUAUAUGAUAUUGAAGGACAGUUACGCAAGAUAGGUACAUAGCAAGAUGAUGAGAGGAUUUUGGGUGUUUAUGAAGAAAAUGGGUUGGAAGAUUCAUUGGAAUUGAUUACAUCUAUUGGGUUAGGGAAUAAUGAUAAGAUUGUUGAGAUUCAUUCGAGAGAGGUUUAUACCAUGCUUGAAUCUUUUCAAGCACCAGAAGUCACAAUAGAGACGAGAUAUAAAACGGCAGAUAAGAAGGUAAAGCCUGUUGCCGGACCAUUACCAGAGGAUUCUAAAGAACAAAUGGGAGAAGCAUCAAAAGAAGCAAGUUUAAGAGAUCCAAUGAGUAUUGGACAUUAGUUUACUGAAGAGACUUUUGAAGAAUUGAAGAUUGGUUCUGAUGGUUCUUUAUUGCCGGAGGAAAUUACUUGCUUCAAAAAGAUGUUGGCUAAACAAGGUAGAUCGUUUGCCUUCGAAUCUCAUGAAAUUGGGUGUGUGGAUCCAAAUAUUAUAACACCUAUGGUUAUCUUCACUGUACCGCAUGUACCUUGGAAUCUAAGGUCGAUUCCAGUACCGAGGGCACAUUUACCUAAAUUGGUCGAACUAUUGAAAGAAAAGAUAAAGAUGAAAAUAUUAGAACCUUCAUUUGCGCCGUAUUCUAGUCGAUGGUUUACGGUACCUAAGAAGAAUGGGUCACUGCGGUUUAUUCAAGAUAUGCAGCCGGUGAAUGCUGUAACUGUCAGGAAUGCAGGAAUUGGACCUAUUGUGGAUGAAUUUGCUGAGGCGUUUGCUGGAAGCGCGAUCUAUUCAAUGGGUGAUUUGUAUUCAGGUUAUGAUUAAUUUCAACUUGCCGAAGGAAGUAGAGAUAUGACAACGAUGAGGACACCGCUUGGAUUGGUUAGAAUGUGCACUCUUCCUCAUGGCACGACCAACUCAGUUGCGCAUAUGAUGAAUGGGAUGAAUAAGGUAUUGAGAGAUUUUAUCCCGGAAAAGACUAUGCCUUUUCUGGAUGAUGUUCCUAUAAAAGGGUGCAAAGAAGGAGACAAGGAUGAAACUUUAGAUACGAGGGGGUGUCGCAGAUAUGUUGUUGAUCAUAUACAAGAUUGUGAAAAGAUUUUAACUCGGCUUGGAGAAGUUCAUCUUACAUUAUCGGAUAUGAAGUGCGUAUUUGGAGUGCGAGAGGUUGUAAUUAUUGGACAUUUAUGCGGAUCUUACGGAAGAAAACCAGAUCCGACUAAAGUUGAUGCAAUUGGAAGGAUGAAAGAGGAUUGUGGUUCUUUAACAGAGGUUCGCAGGUUUUUGGGUGCAUGUGUAUUUUAUCGAAUCUGGAUCCCUCAUUUUGCUCACAUAGCGGAUCCAUUAUAUGAACUGUUACGCAAGGGUUACCGAUUUGAAUGGGAAGAAAGGCAUAUUCAGGCAAUGCAAAGAUUGAAGAAAUUAUUGAUGUCACCUCCAAUAUUGAGGAAGGUUGAUUAUAAGUGCAAUAGACCAGUGAUUCUUACUGUAGACGCUAGUCCAAUUGCCGUUGGAUGGGCUGUGGGUUAAGAUGAUUCGAAUGGGAGUAGAUUUGCAGUUCGAUUUGAGGCUAAAGUUUUAAGUAUUCGUCAGCGUGCAUAUUCGCAAGUCAAAAGAGAACUUUGGGGAGUCGUUUCGGCUAUGAAAGCUGAAAAGGACUAUUUGAUUGGGGCAGUAGUAGUAAUUGAAACAAAUUGCUUGCCAUUGCUUGGAAUGAUUAUUAACUGUUCAACGCCAGAUAUUGCAAUGUUGAGAUGGAUUGCUUAUAUUAAGUCACUAAAUCCAGAAUUUAAGUAUAUCACUGGAAAAGACAAUUUAGUAGCAGACAUGCUAUCUCGAGCAAGAUACGAGAGGGAGGACGAAAUGGUUGAAGACAUUGAUGAUGUCGGAUUGAAAUUCUAUUCAAUAUCAAAUCUCAAUAGAGAAGACAAGCUAUUUCUUGAAGAAUCUUAUGAAGGAGAAUUAUUGGAUAUUGGUCAUUAUUUGAAUACCUUGUCUAAGCAGGGGAAUUGGUCUACAGAAAAAUUCAAACAAAUAAGAAAAAAAGCAUAUGGAUUUUUACUUCAAGAUGGAUUCUUAUGGAAGAGACCGAAGAAAGGAAUUGGGAUGCCACAACGAGUGAUAGGCAAAAGGGAAGAAAAACUAAAAUUAUUAAAGGAGUUUCAUGAUAGUUUAUGGGCAGGCCAUAGAGGAAUCUGGGCUACUUUUGCUAAACUCAAGGAACGAUAUUGGUGGAAAAAUAUGUAUCGAGAUGUGCUCUCAUUUGUAGAGUCAUGUGAAAUCUGUCAAUCGUAUUCUAAUAUCCGACAUCGAGAUGGUCUUCAUCCUACGUAUCCUCUGGCUAUUCAUUUUAAAUGGGUUGUUGAUUUGGUUAUUAUGCCGGUUGGGUUAUGGCAGAUGAGAUAUUUGGUUUUAGCUCGUGAAGAUUUAUCAAAUCAAGUAGAAGGAAGAGCAUUGAGGACAAAAUCUACAGAGGGGAUUUGUAGGUUUUUGCUUGAAGAUGUCAUUUGCCGUUACGGGUGCGUAGGAAAAAUCACUACAGAUCGUGGAGAAUUAAAUGCACAAGAAGCUCGUAAGUUCUUUGAAAAAUGUGGAGUUAAACUAUCACUUACUACUGCUUAUAAUCCGGAAGGGAAUGCGAAAAGCGAACGCGGUCACCCGCCGAUUGUGAAAGCAUUGGUUAAAGCUUGUAAUGGGAAGGUUAAAGAGUGGCCACGGCUUUUGUCAUUUGCAUUAUGGGCUGAUCGAACAACACAUAGUUCGGUGACAGGAUAUAUGCCAGUAGAACUUAUGACAGGUCAAAAACCAAUUAUGCCGAUUGAAGAAAAGGUACUUACUUGGAGUAUGCUACCAUGGGAAGAUGGAUUGACAAGAGAAGAACUUCUGGCUAUUAGGAUUCGACAAUUGGAGCAAAGAACGGAAGAUGUCCAGAUAGCAUUGGAAAGGUUAAAAAGAGCAAGGUUACAAAACAAGGCGCGAUUCGAUAAGCAACAUCGAUUGAGACCAAAAGCAAUCGAGGAAGGUGACUGGGUACUUGUUUAUGACAAUAGUCUGGAUAAUCAACAUAGUACUUUGCGGAAAUUUUCAAAACGUUGGUUUGGACCAUAUGUUGUAACAACUGUUCAUGAUAAUGCGACUUACUCAUUACGGGAGUUAGAUGGUACAAAAUUGAAAAUACCAAUUGCAGGGAAGAGAGUAAAAAUAUUUAAACGAAGACACGCAGAGAUGGAUAUGGAAGACCUUAAUGAAGAUACAGAGAUUCUGCAGCAAGAAGAUGAAAGUGAUAUGGAUAAUGAAGGUGACAAAGACGAACUGGACAAAGACGUAGGGGAUAUAUUCUGAAUCAAACAGCAAUUGGGUAAAUUGGUGCAUACCGGAGGAUGCACAGGUUCAGAGGGGGUGGAUGUCGUGUUGUAACACGAGUAUACAGUGAAAAUAAAAAGAAAGGGGAAUUUUAUUAAUAUUCAGUUACCUCGAAUAUUGGGAGCAUCGACCAACUCCAGUACAAAUACUGAGUGGUCAGGUUCAGUGACUCCGUUACAGUCAGCCGGGGCAUACUGGAAUGCCCCGUUCGAUUCCAAUAACGGGAGUCAGCAGGAAGAGAAGGACCAAUUCACACGACGGGUUCGAGGAGCCAAUUGGAUCCAAUUUCGAUAAUCCAAUCCGGGUCCUCUUACCCAAUAUGAGACCUGUAUUGGUGGGGCAACCCAAUGCAGUCUAGUUACGGGAAAUCCAGGUCUUACUACGGGUCUUAGCCAAUCUGACGCGAGGACCAAUUGGACCCAAUUACGGGAACAUCCAGGUUACUACGGGCAUCCUUCCCAAUAUAGGACCUGAAUUGGUCGGGCGACUCAAUGUGGUCCCGAUUACGGGGUUCGAUUCUGUUUCAGGCUGUCCUGUUCUCUGUGCCGUCUCAGGGAACGUUGUUUUCGGUAAAUGGAUUUCUUAAAGGUAAAAACGGAGGAGAAAGCUUGGCGGCGAGAGCCAAUUUCGAAUCCAAGUUGAGGUGAGAGCCAAUUUCGGAUCCAAGCUUGAGGUGGGAGCCAAUUCCGGAUCUAAGACGGAAGAUUGAAGAAAUUCAGAGGAUAAGGUUAGGGGGGAUAUAGUUUUGGAGUGGUGGGGGUUUUUUUUUUUUUUUCAAGGGGAAAUCGGGGGGGGGAAGCGAGUUUUUUUUUUCAAGCUUCUGCAAGGUUACCAGUUCGGGUUUCAUUGGGGGUUUUUUUGGGAAGAUCAAGGGAAUUAGAGAGAGGAGCUUCAUGCUUCGGGUCGGGGAAGGAAAGACAUAGAAUUUGGAUUUUUCUUCUUCAUAGAGUUUUGGGAAGACUGAGACAAUCGCGGCUGAAGUCAGUGUUGUAAUGGUGAAUCGGGAUUUUUAAAUAAAGUGGGUUUGAAUACUCUUGACUGUUUUGUAAAAUCGAGUUACGUCUGUGAUUGAAGGAUUAAAGGGGUGUCUAUAGGAUUGAGUAUGCGGAGUGAAUGAAAUUUAUUGGGUUAAUCUAACAGGACAGUCAGUGGAUACAAGAUCGUAAGUACAAAGGGGUAUUGAAGAUUAACAGUUUGGGUUGUUCGGAGUUCUCUGUAACGUCUAGAGACCUAUCGGUUGGGAAAAAAAAAAAAAAAAAAGACUUCGACAAGCAGUCGAAGAGCAUCCGUAUAGAUUUACGGUACAUUGUUGUAGUCGUUUAUAUUCCAGCAGUCAAAAACUGAUAGACUGCUUGACUAUCGGCGAAUCUCCAUACUACCUUCUACAGCCAGACGCCCGGCGCGUUCUCGAGCAGGAAAGCACGUAAUACGACACCGUCGAACAGCAGUUGAGCUGCCGCCGCCUUAACGCCGUUGUCACCCGUCGCUGCCAUUGUCCGCUGCCACCCUGCCGCCCUACUACUACCGCCCUACCAUUGCUUGCUGCCACCAUCUUAUUGCUGUUCUACUACCUUAAUCUACAACCUCUUUAUAUAUAUAUAUAUAUAUAUAUAUAUAUUUGUUGUUUCAAGUUCAAGUUUAUGAUUUUAUUUGACUUUAUAUUUUAAUGUACGUUUUACUCAACUUUUCUACUUGAUCUUGUAUUUUCUUUACAGAUUUAUUUAUAAUGAGUGCUUUAACAUCUUCAAUUGCUUCUACUAUGGUUCCAACUAUUACCAGUGCAUCCCAACAUUUUCAAGCUCUUUUAUUUCCACCAUAGAUUGUAGAUUGAAACAAUUAUCUAUUAUGGGCAAAAGUGGCAAAAGCAAAUUUAUUUGCAGAACAACUCUUGCAUGCUAUUAUGUUUGAAGAAUCUCCUACAAUAAGUAUUUCUAUACCUCCUGCUAUUUGUUGGAAAGCACUUCUUCUCUUUCGUCGUCAUCUUGUAGUUGUAUUACAAUAUCAAUAUUUAGAAAUGGAAGAUCCUGCAGAACUUUGGAAGAAUCUUAAAUCUAGGUUUGAUCAUCAAAAGACCAUUUUUCUUUCAUGUGCACGUCAUAAUUGGACACAUUUACGUGUCUUGGAUUUUCCAAAUUUAAAUACUUUCAAUAGUGAAAUGUAUAGUAUUGUCUCACAAUUACGAUUAUGUGGACAAAGCAUUUCUGAAGAAGAAAUGAUUGAGAAAACUCUCUCUAUAUUUCCUCUUUUAUCUAUUGUGCUUGCACAAAAAUACAGGAACAUGAAAUUUCAGAGUCAUUCUGAUCUCAUGUCCUAUCUACUUCUUGCGGAGAAGCAAAAUGAGCUACUCUUGCGCAAUGCAGAAGCUCGUCCUAUUGGAACUAUAGUUCCAGAAUCUCAUGCAUUUAAUAUUUCAAAGUCUAAGAAGAAAUUAUAUAAACAUGGGAAACGUGCUUAUAAGUAUCAAGGUAGUCAUAGUCAAGACCAUUUCUACCUAUAUGGAAAGAAUAAAUGUUCUACUAUUAAUUAUAGUAGAAAACAAAAAUCAAAGAUGCGUUCUUGCCAUAAGUGUGGAAUGAUUGGACAUUUAGCACAUGCGUGCCGUACUUCAGAAUAUUUUAUUAAAAUAUUCUAAGAAAAUAAGAAAUUGCGAGUUGAGGCUCAUGAAGUUCAUACCAUAGAUGCGUCCAUGGAUUCAAUUGGUGUUGAUGACUUAGAGGCUUAUAUGAAUGAUAGAACCUCUAAUGAUGAAUCAAAUGAUGUGCUCAUUGAUUCUGCAACAACACAUACUAUCUUGCGAGAUAGACAAUUUUUUAUUGAAAAAUCUUCAACUUGGCAAACUAAAAAUAUGAUGAUCAUGUUUGGAGCAAAUGGGUUUUGUUUCCAAGAGGGCACGUCGAUGGUAAAAUUACGUGCAGGUUCCAUCAUAAAAUGUAAACAUGCGAUGUUUGCACCCUCAGCACCUCGGAGUUUGAUCAGCUAUCAAAAUGUGCAUAUUAAUGGUUAUCACCUCUCGACUGUCACUUUAAAUAGAAAAGAGGUUUUGGUUCUUAUGAAGAACCAUAAAGUUGUUGAAAAAGCUUUUGCUAUAGAAAAUGGUUUAUACCAAAUUGUGAUUCGGCCUCCUAUUAUAUUUAAUUUUGCAUCAUCUAUCUCAGAGAGUUGUGUUUCUCUCUGGCAUGGACGAUUGAGACAUCGAGGAUCCACAUUAUUUAGAAAGAUCAUUCCAUGUAUAACUGGGCACAAUUUAAAGCCUAUAGAUGUAGACUCUAUGGAAUUAUGUCGUGCAUGUGUGCAAGGUAAAAUAAUUACUCGGCCUUCAAUUUGGAAACUUCCACGAGAAUUACCACCAAUGCUUGAAAGAUUGCAUGGUGAUAUUUGUGGUCCUAUUAAUCCAAUAUCAGGACCAUUUCAUUAUUUUUUGGUCCUUAUUGAUGCAUCAGGUAAACAAUCACAUGUUUCAUUAUUAUCAACUCGAAACAUGGUGUUUGCCAAUCUUAUAUCUAUGCUUAUUCGCUUUUGGGCACAUUUUCUUGAUUAUCCUAUAAAAACAUUGCGUAUGGAUAAUGCAAAAGAAUUCGCAUCAAAGUCUUUUGAAGACUAUUGUACUGCAACAGGAAUCGAGUUGACAUAUUUUGUUCCAUAUGAACAUGCUCAAAAUGGACUUGCAGAGUCAUUUAUAAAGCGUAUACAACUCAUUACCUAGCCACUCCUCUUUCAUACAAAUCUACUUGCAUCUAUGUGGGAUCAUACUGUUUUACAUGCUGCAUCAUUAAUAUGCCUUUGCCCUUCUUCUCUUAAAAUUGUUUCACCACAUGAGCUCAUUUUGGAUCGUGUUCCAAAUGUAUCUUACUUACGAGUAUUUGGUUGCCGUGCUUGGAUUCCAGUACCAAAACCUCAAUGGUGUACCAUUGGAGCUCAUCGACAAGAAGACAUAUAUGUUGGUUUUGAUUCACCAAGCAUUAUUUGUAUUGUUGAUCCAUCAACUGGCACAUUAUUACGUGCACGUUUACAAAAUUACCAUUUUGAAGAAACUGUAUUCCCAUCUCUUCAAGGAGAAGUAUCCAAUCAAUAAAGAAAUAAAGUACUCAUAUUUGAAGUACCAGAAACGUUUAUAAUGAAUCCCGACCUUAGGACAUCUUUGGCAGAAACUAAAGUUGCUAAGAUUUUGCAUCUAAAAUGGAUCGCAGAUGAAACACCUGAUGGCUUCAAUGAUUUACCUAGAAUUACAAGAGUUCCUAUUAAUGAGGCUCAAAAUGCACCUGCUCAGAUUAUAGUGCCAUUGAUUACAAUACCUCAAGUUAUAACAAGAACAACUAAAAGAAUUCGUGGACCAAAUAAGCAACCAUGUAAGAAGAAAGCUAUAAAAUUGACUAAUCUUGGUAUUAUUUCUCAAGAAAUUGCCACAUCUUGUAGGACUACCAAUUCAUGAUGAUAUAUCCAUGCAUAAUGUAUCUUCAAUUCCUAUGAAAAACAAUCUUGGAAUUGGAAGGAAUAAGAACAAGUUGAGUAAAGAAUUAUCUAUUCUGUAUUGUACUACAGAUGAUAUUUGGGAUAGACCAUCUAUUAUGGUAGAUGAAUCAUUUGCAUAUAUGAUUAUAGAAGCCCUUUCUUGCGAAGAAGACGAUCUUAAACCUCAAACCAUCGAAGAGGCGAUGCAUCAGUCAGAUUGGUCAAAAUAGAAAACUGCUAUUGAGGAGGAGUAUGCUUCUUUGCGUAAGAGGAAAGUCUUUGAUCCAAUUGUAGACACUCUUACAUCUCACCCUAUGGGAUAUAAAAUGGUAUUAAUAUGCAAGCAAGAUGCUCAAGGCCAAAUAACCCGCUAUAAAGCAUGUCUUGUUGCUCAAGGAUUUACUCAACGAUUUGGCAUUGAUUAUGAAUCCACAUAUUCUCCAAUCAUGGAUUCAAUUACAUUUCGAUAUAUUAUUGGAAUGACAAUUCAUGCCACCCUUGAUAUGAAUCUAAUGGAUGUAGUAACUGCAUAUCUAUAUGGUUCUCUUUAUGCAAAUAUUUAUAUGAAAGUUCCAUGUGGCUUAGAAAUAGUAACUCCAAAUCAACCCACUCCAGGAAAAUAUCAUGGUAUUAAAUUAUGUAAGGCCUUGUAUGGUUUAAAACAAUCCGGACGCAUGUGGUAUCAACAUCUUUGAGAUUAUUUAAUUACAAAUAAUUUUAUAAGUGAUCUAUUAAUCCCUUGUUUAUUUAUCAAAUGAGAUAAAACUGGUUUUGUGAUCAUCACUGUAUAUGUUGAUGAUCUUAAUCUAGUGGGUACUACAUCUACAUAUGUUACAGCUACAAACCUAUUUAUACAUGAAUUUGAGAUGAAAAUACUAGGAAAAAUAACUUUCUGCAUUGGUCUUCAAAUUAUGCAUCUAACAGAUGAUAGCAUUUUUCUCUACCAACUAACAUAUAUUAGACGAAUCUUGCGAAGAUUUAAUAUGAUUGAUGUUUAUCCAUUGUCCACACCAAUGGUUGGAUGUGGUCGUGAUGGUCAUGAUCCAUACCAUCCAUGCUAGAAGGAAGAAGAAAUAUUGGGAGACCAAUAUCCAUACCUCACAGCGGUUGGAGUACUUUUGUAUUUAGCUACAUCUAUAAGACCAGAUAUUGCAUUUGCAAUUAGUGUUCUUGCAAGACAUAGUACACGUUCAACACUACGACAUUGGAAUGGCAUCAAAUAUUUAUUACUUUAUUUAAAAGGUACUGAAGACUUGGGAUUAUACUACACACAAUCCGUAGAUCCAAAAUUGAUUGGAUAUUGUGAUGCAGGAUAUAAAUCUGAUAUUGCAACAACUAAAUCUCAAACAGGAUAUGUAUUCUUAAGACAUAGAGUUGCAAUAUCAUGGAAAUUAGUAAAACAAACAAUAACUUCAACUUCAUCCAACUAUGUAGAAAGUAUUGCCUUACAUGAAGCAUCUUGAGAAUGUAUUUGGUUGUGAUCAAUUGAUAAAUUCAUUCAAACAACCUGUGGAUUUUCAUAUGAUGAUUCUCUAACUAUCUUGCAUGAAGAUAAUAGUACUUGUAUUGCACAGAUGCAAGUUGGUUUCAUUAAAGGUGACAAGACAAAGCAUAUUGAUCCAAAAUAUUUUAGUUAUACCCAUGACUUGAUUACUUAUCAAGCACUUAUAAUUAAGAAAUUUGGAUAUACAAAUAACCUUGCUGAUCUCUUCACCAAAGCUCUCCCAUUAAGCAACCAUCGUUGACUUACUUAUGGCAUUGGUAUGCAGUGACUUGCUCUUCUUGAAUAAAAAAAUUAAUGAGCUCUUUUUAUAUAAUUAAAAAAAUGAUUUUAUACUCUUUUUCUUUCAUCUAUGGUUUUGUUCUUAAAUAAAAUAAGGUUUUCCUAGAUAAGGUUUUAAUGAGGCAAUAAUUAUUGAUCUUGCAAGAUCACAGAAAAGUAUAGAUCAUAAUUCUAUACAAAUUUUAUAUUAUGUAAAUAUUAUGAUGAACGAAAAGGAGUGUUGAGAUCAUUAAAUAUAGCUAGUGCUUUCGACAAUAUUUACUAUAGAAUACAGUAAAUACUAUAGCUACAGUAUUUAGAGUCUAGUUGAGAAGUAUUGUUUAUCCUCUCUCCUUUUUCUCUUCUUGUAUACAAGACACAACUAGAUCAAUAGAUUUUUGUGUGUGAAGCUCUCUCUCCUUACAAACCCUCUUGUGUGUAUGACUUAUUAUUACUCUUGUGUCUUUCUAAACAUUCUCAACAAGAUGCAUACUUUGCUCCCUCACAUUUCCUUCAUAGAUUGUGUGACUUCAUUUUUUACAUAGUAGUAAUGUAGUUGGAACAGUUAGCCUUGGAUUAGUUACAUCAUUCACUAUUGGUCCUAUUUUUAUCAUGUCCUCAGCAUCAUUAUUGUGUUGAUGGAGCCUCUCCAACCUCCUCUUUGAAAGAAGGGAGCUAAACUACACAUGCAUCUAUUUUGUUUGGAAUGUCACUAUACUGGAAUUUGCAAACUUCAAUGAGUCACUAUUGGUCUUAUAUGUUGGAAUUUUUUUUAAUAUCCUUUAUUUUUGGUAAUAUAGAUUUUUUUUUUUUUUUUUUUUUUUUUUCUGCUUUUAAAUCAUAGAUAUUGCUUGUAUUUUCAUUUAUUAAAUUAUAUUUCUUGUAACUCACUAUUCUCUAGUAUAAUUAGGUGAAUCUCCUUCAUAACACUUUAUUAUAUGUCCAACGAAUUUGAGAAUAGGAAUCAAGAAAAGAAAAAUUGUACCACAGUACAUAUAAUUUAUUACAAGCCAUUAACUUUGAUUCAAUAUCUCAAAAUUUAAAAUCCUUGAUACCUUUUUAUAAUGUAGAUAUACAAUUUAUUUCUUUUGUUUCUUUUCAAACCUUAUGUUAUUAAGAAUAUUGCUUCUAAAUGUUAACAAAACUUUCUUUGCUUCUUUAUUGCCUUACAAAAUACUACAAAGAUUUUGUUCAAAACUUCUUCAAAAAAAUUCAUCAAGUGCAUAAAAGAGACUUGUACGUAGAAUUUGCUUUAAAAGUUUGCACAGAACCACAUUGUUGUGACCUUUGUUACAUCUUAUUGUUGUAAUUGUAAUAAUAAAAUAUUUUAUGUAAAUGCAAUUAAUUUUCACAUCUUCUUAACUUUGUUUGCAUUAAAUUAUUGAUUUGUAUCUUAAAAUAGAAAGUUUUUAUUUUGGGCACAUCUUCCAAAUUUGACAAAAAUAAUUUGGUUAAUGAAUCUAUGCACACAUAUUGAUGUAUAGAAUAUUAAUUUCUAAUACCUUUAGUUUGAAAUCAAUAUAAUAAUUGUAUCCAAAAACUAGAAAAAACCAAUUUAGCAAGCUAAAUGUUUGUAUAAUUGUUACAGUAAACUUAAAACACUGAUAUUUGUAUAUAAUAGAGAUGUUUUUGUGAUGAAAAUGUAUCAUGAAAAACUUACCAAAAAGUAUUAUAAUCUUUGAAAGCUAUGAAAUCUUUUUUUGGUUGAGAAUGAAGUUUUUGUAAUAAUUUAAACAUUCUCAACAAUUUAAAUUGAUGAAUAAAAUCACAUAAUUUACUGUUAUUUUCACAUGAAUUUAUUUUUCAGAGAAUGUUGUUUGAAAUAUCCAAAUCCAUACACAAUAUACACAGAAGUUGUAUUAAAUAAAAAGACGGGGGUCGGGACGGGUACUAGGGGAACGGGGAUGGGGGGAUAGGAGCUGGGGGACGAGGGUUUAUUCUAUUAAACUUAUUGUUUUUACUUUGUACUAUUAAGACUGAUUUUUUAACUAUAAAAACCAAGGAAAUUUCUUACAUAUUGCUUUAUACAUAGAAGAUUUAAUUAUAAAAACGCUUUAAAGAUAUAAUUUUGUGGAAGGUUUCUUGGAAAAAUAUUUUAUUUUAUUGAGAGUUUGACAAAAAAUAAAAUAAAAUAAAACAAACAAACAAACAAACAAACAGUGCAACUUUUUUAAUAUUGGAUAUAGGUACUAUAAAUAGUGAUAUAGCAACAACAUAUUUAUACUCAAUAAUAUAAAUUGUAUUGUUGUUCAGAUAUAUUAAAAUAAAUAAUGUAUUUUAUAAAUUUAGAAUGAAUUUAUGGUCAUUCUUUAUUUAAAAUAAAAUAUUUCUUUUAUAAUGUCACAGCUUAAAUUUAUUUGAAGAAAAAAAAUUGUGAAUUAUUGUGCACUAAAUUGAGUUACUGGACUAAAUCGAACUAGAAAGAAAAUAAACUAAUCUUGAACCACGUGUAUAAAAUGCGUGAAAUGGGCCUUUAAUUAGUCUCACAUCAACGGAUUAAACAAUAGUCACAGGAAUAAACUGGCCCCCCACCCCCACCGAGCCAUCCAUCGCAGUUAGUUAACUAGUUGUCACCGAAAUCUCGUUUCAGUAAAUCGUAAACAAUGGGGUUCAUGGAUCCAUUUGCUAAUCCAGGCCCCGUCCUCUCCACACGACCGUUGCCCUUCAACAAAUUCCCCAGUCCCUCCCUUAAUCUACCGUUACCCCUUUGCAGUGAAGCUCCAUUGCUUACUUACUUCCAAGCUGCUUUAGGCUUCUAGUUGUCUCAGUUUUGGUUUUUAUUCUAAUCCUCCCCUCGCCCUACUGCUUGUCCAGACUGGGUUGUAUUUGAGUCCUCCUAGAUCGCGCCUGCUCUGCGUGUUUGUGGUCCGGGAGUUCUGCUUCCAGUUUCGUUUCUGGGAAGGAUGUUCUCGUUUGUGCUUUUGGGGUCCUGUCGGUGAUGUUGCCGUGGCUUUACUAUACGUGGGUUCCUGCGUUCGGGGUCGAAAGAGAGUGCGGACAGGUGCCCGAGUUUGAGAUGCAUGAGUUUAGCCAAGGAUAGGUAAGUCCUGACGUUUUCCUUGCUCAGGUGGUUGUCUUCUGUAAUUUGGGUUGGUCCCCAUCUGCGUUUCUUUGGAUACGGUCGAUUCUUGUUGAUAGAGUGCUGCCAGUUAGCUUACCUUUGAGAGGGCUGUCUUGGUUUCUUUUGAAAUCUGCGGUGAUGACGAUAGUCAUAGUCCAGCACGUGACUCAGGCGGCUUCCGAAGGAUUGAAUGCCAAGUUCUCCGAUCUGUGCGAUCCUCACGAUCUCUUUAAUGUCCGCACUUCGAAGAGAGGUAUCUUGAAACUCUCAGCCAAGUCCAGAGGUUCAAGUACGGCAAUGCGACAUCUGCGCAAACAAGAGAGAAGGUUGUCUGCGUCCUCCUCUGCUGAUGGUGACGCUUUGCUGAUGGAGUUUGUGCCGCUCUCGAAAACGCCUGAUCUGUCCAAUGGCCGCCAUAGUCUCAGUAUCUUCAGGAUGGGGAGUCCAUCUCCGGCCUUACAUUCCCCUUGCAGUACUCCACGGAAGAAGAGCCGUGGUGUCACGAAGAAGCUUCUUAGAUUAUGCAAUAUGAGCUCCAGUGGUAACAAGUAUUUACAACUACCAGUCUACUAAGUUGAAUCAAACUCAAUUGGAAUUUACCGUUGUAAUUUCUACGGAUCGUGACUGACCUUGGCUUUGGGUAGAACUUGGUAGCAAGAAGCCGCGGGUUAGCUCCCUUCAUUCUGAGAGCAGAAUGCGGAUGGACCAUAUCCUAGCAGCACACCUGAAGAGUUUGGAAGAGCCCGGGGUAGCCAUGCCCAGAAAUUUUGUCUGUUCAGACAUUUCAGCAAUAUCUGGAAGCAUUUAGUCUUCACGCGCCAUGAAGCAUGUACAGUCGUACUAUACACAGUUUGCAGAUGCCUGUUUUUCGUUAAGUUUUGAGCGCCGUCACAGAAAUGUAGCUCUUCGAAGGAUACAGUGCGGUUAGGCUGCACCGACGUAGAUCAAGUACAAGAUCAACGUUUAUCGGCUUCAGGCUGGCUCAGUAGGAGUCCGACUCUAUGAACUUACUUUGUUUGACAGAGGCAAGAACUCUUCAGACAUUUGUACAAAUCUAAUAUUUUAAAUAGUGGUGAUUUAUGCAUUUGUGUGAUAAUCUUCGUUGGACUUGUUUGAAUCUCCGUGCAAUACAUCCUGCCUUCGCCUGUCCUGUCCCUAGCUAUCCCUACACCCAAUAAUGAACAGCAAUUCUUUGUAGCAUACAUCGGUACGUAUGUAGAACAGGAGACUAUUGAAAUUGGAAACAAUAAUGAAGUUAUGUAAUCUUCACAUUUCGGUAAAACAGCAUGUAAUCAGGUCUGAAUCACCAAUAACAUGACGAGGUUCGAUAUACGCUGGGAGAAAUUUUGUCACUUCUGCAUGGAAUCCACACUCCAAUCGAGGACAGAGAUUACCCACACUCACUUCUCAGUCUCGGAACAGUCUUCCAAGCCCAAGCUGCAUGCGUGUGUGCAAUCCCGUACCCAAGGUUGGGAUUUGUCCCUGACUGCAUCCAAUACAAACAGAAAACUUUCUGUUCUCACGGAAACUGCUGCUUGAGUGAGAACCUUCCCUCCACGUAACUGAGUACCGUCGCACACAGAGACCAACAUUGUGUGCCAUCAAAGAACAUUUGUUAUGGAGAUUUACUCCAGAUGCUAGCUGAAUGAAUCAUUCGCAAGACCAUGAACGAGGUAAAUUUCCUCAGCCAGGACCUAAAAAAACCUCCGACUGUUCGGUGCGAUGAAGAGGACAGACGCUGAGCAGGAAGGUGAAUCAACGUGUGCGAAACCAAUCCUUGCUUUGAGUUUCUGUGGAGUCCAUCGUUCCACAACUACAAAUACAUACCCAAGGAAAGAGCCGGAUUCAGUUGAACAAAAUCCUUGAUAAGCUGCAAGAAUAUUCCUCAAGAUUGGACGUGCAUGGCUCACUGAGAGGGUCACCAACUCAGAUGGCGACACAAAAGCAUUUGCCUCUGAAUUUGGUCAUAAAGAAGAAACAUCAAUGUAUGAUCAAUGUAUGAACAUGGCUUCACGCCACAAAGCUAAGGAAUUGAACUGUAUGAUUCUCUGAGAGAGAAAGAGGGCCCAAAAUGCAAAGCCGGUCAUUCUUCAGAAGCGAGCACCUCUAGUGUUGUUCUCAUUAGCUUUGUUGGUGAGGUGCAGAUUCAACAAAACGCGAAGUAAGCAGUUGUGGACAUCCACAACGGAAAACAGAAACUUAUUUGAGGGAAUAAAAAUUGGUAAAAACAUGCACACUUAUGGCUGAGAAAUGACAAACUCUCAACCCAAUUGGUUCAGCUCAUGACUUUGGCUUAAAUGAAUUCAAGAAAAUUAUGAAUUGGAAUUCGUAUGCAGUUUCAAAUUUUCAAAACACUUUCACGUUUUUGCUAUGACAUUUGGAAUUUCAGGAAAAUAAUAAGUUCAAAAAGAAGUGAGUAGAUUUCAAACAGACUUGGUGUAAUAAUCAAUCUGUUUUGGAAAAUUAUGUUAAUGUUUAAUUUCUCUGCAAUCGUUUCUAGUGUUCAAGUAGUUUCUUUUGAUUUUAGAAAUGAAAUCACUUUUGCAGCAAACCAGUAUGGUGGCCUUGUCAUUCUUAUUUCGGAAUAACAUGAAAAAUGGUUAGUUGUUACUUGAAUCAAUUGAAAGCUCUACAGAAUAUUUUGAAAUUUGUGUCUGCAUUUCAUGAUCAGUCUCUUGAUAAAUGUACAUGUAUCGUAUUUUCAACAUGAACAUCUUAUUGUCAAUUUUGAAUGGCCUUACUUUUAGACAUAGAAAUAAAUCAGUACACUAAUAUGAUACACGUAUUUGAAGAGUUAUUAUUUUGAAGUAUAAAAUAAUAUGUUUAACACACCUUGGUAAAAAUUUGCUAGUAUUAUUCAAUUUUAAAAAAUGAGUGAGCAUAUCAAAAAAAAUUGUUAAGAAAUAUUUAUUCCCAAAAGAUGUCAUUUAAAAAAAUUAAUUUACAUAAUUUAUGUAAUUUACAAAAAAUCUCUCACAAAGUCAAAAUUUGACUUAUCCAUCAAAUGUCCAGAUUUUGUUUUUUUUAAUAUUUGACUUUAAUUCGGAAACACUAUAACUUUAUUCGUUUCAACACAAGUUACAAAUUUUAAUUGUAAAUCAGUAUUUAACACUACAUUCACAACAUGCACAAACACAUUUGAAACGAAGAAAUGUGUUAUCAAUGUAUUAAACUCAUUUACAUGUGCACAUGUUGCAGUCUAUCUACAUACUUAACAGCACUUGUCAUUGACUAAUUUCUCUUAGUUUAACAUCAACCCCACAAUUCAAUACUCGAAUUCACAGUGGCGCAACCAAAAACAUUCUUCUCACAAUUUCCAAAGACAAAUCACACCGAAAUCCACAAUUAUUGUUUACUCAAUCUUAGCUGGGAUACUCAUGGACCACAAUACUCUUUUUUUUCGUUUUCUUACUAGAUUAUUAUUGCUUGAGACGGUGGGAUACUAUUUGGGACAUGCAACAACAAUCCAACAGCAUGUUCCCUUGUACACACAACGCCGAAGGUGGGUUUCAUUAUCAGAAAAGAUUCGCCGGGCAAUCUUCCUCUUCUUCUACUUUUUCUUCAUAUUAUUAUUGUUAUUCUGAUAAGUGUCCUUGCAGGGGCGGAGCUUUCGUUGCGGUGUUGGUUUGUCAUGGUGGAUCUCGACACGAGGUCAGGAUUUCGAUUGCAUGGAUAUCUGUUGGUGGAUGCCGAACCAGCCACAAGCCAAGCAUCGCGGGGAUUUGGCCGCGGAUGAGAAAGACGGGGCUUGGAAUGGACUGAAAAGGACACAAUUAUCUCAGAGCAGGGGCGCAGGGGGGGAGGGCAAACUUGUCUGUAAAAUUCUGGUGCCGGAGGAGAAUGCAAGACCACCCAACAAUCGGUCGAGCGCCAUCCUGGUGAGACGUCUUCGUCGUCCUCAACUCAAUGAGUCGCUGAAAGCGGUGCGUUUGUUGCAUGGAUCUCAAGUUAUGGGAGGGCCCAGAGCUUGUCAGCUUCAAUCUAAAGAUGCCACUAGCGUCAUCGCAGUGACGGCGACAUGGCCAGCGUUGGGUUCCUCGAGAUAGGGGCGGAUCUCCCUCGUCGCAGGGAGAUCCACGUACAAGGGAUAAUAGAAUCGAAUCGUCGAUCCUGGAAUACCCCCCCUCCCCACUAUCGACGGAAUUGCUUGGCACUGAUAUAUCGUCAGGGUGGUGAGCCAGAAAAUGAUCACGUACUAGGCGAUCGACGCAAAUUAUUGCGAUUCACGACAUGCCUCAGAUUGCGUAAUGGAGCAGCAGCUAUAUCGAGGCUUGCGCUUGCCAUGGCUUUCAGGAUGCCCAAUGAGGCAUGCGACGCGUUUGCGGCAUGCGAAGAUACCAGAACCUAGCUAUGUGUUGUAAAUGUUCAGGGAGAGAAUGUGUUGACACUGCAGUAGUUGGCCUUGCAGUGGAGAAAUGUGUUGACACUGCAGUAGUUGCAAUGGCAGCGGCUCCGAUUUCUUGUGAUGGUAUGACGUAGCCGCUGGCGCAUGUUAUAUACGAUGUCAACAUCCUCAUGCAUCGGCGACGGUUUGCUAGCAAAUCGGUCCAGCCCCCGAUACCAUCAUGAAGUUUGGAGUAGAACUGCCUCGGAAGCAGGGGGAGCGUGAUGAACUUCCACAUGUGCUGUUUCUCACUAUAAAGAAACAAGAGACGACGAUUGGAAGAACAAGCAAAAGCCGAUUGUUUUUCGUGUCACAUAUUUGCUCUACAGCUGGAAGUCAUCAAAUUCUCGUCACGUCCUGAGUUCUCUCAUUGUACUUCCAGGCUUGUAGGUGCACAAUUGACCAUGUACCCCAGAAAGGAUUCUUGGAAGUCUGGGGAUCUGCCAGUUUGUCCUUCUGUGCAGCUGGGAAGCAUCGCUGGAGAGAGCCUUCGGAACAGGAGCAUUUCUAGCAAAGUCAAUUCUAAGGAGGCUCCUCAGACGGUGUUGAUUAUCGGCGCUGGUCCCGCUGGCCUUGCCACGGCUGCCUGCUUACGGUCCAAGUACUGGAUCCCCUCUAUCAUUCUGGAGCGGGCGAAUUGCAGCGCGCCGCUUUGGAGAUACAUGACAUACGACAGGCUGAGAAUGCAUCUUCCGAAACAGUUCUGCCAGCUUCCGCUACGCCCAUUCCCAGCAGUAUAUCCGAAAUACCCGACGAAGAACCAGUUCAUCGCUUAUCUCGAGGACUAUCAGCGGCACUUUGGAAUCAGUCCAGUGUACAAUGCAACGGUGACAUCCGCGGAAUUCUCUACAGCUUUGGGAUUAUGGGUGGUCAUAGCGGAGCAGAAGUUGGAAGACAACUGCGAAACUGUGACGUAUACGACUCGAUCGCUGGUUGUGGCGACUGGCGAAAACGCGGAACCUUACAUGCCUGAUCUGUUCGGAUCGCACAAGUUCCAUGGCGUAAUCAGCCAUGGAUCGACCUAUCGCAAUGGUGUUAAGUACAAAGACAUGAAGGUCCUGGUAGUUGGAGCAGGAAAUACAGGGAUGGAGAUUUCGCUCGAUUUGGCGAAGUUCGGAGCCAAGCCGACUCUCGUAGCUCGCAGUAAGGUAUGUUACAAGUUUUGAAUGAAUUUUCUUUUAAUCAUAAAAUUAGUCAUUGACUUUGUAUCUUAUUGUCUCAUUGUCCUAGUACUUCAUGAUUUGCGUUCCAUAGUCUUGGCGAGUGGUUGAGUUAGUUUAAUUGAGCAGAUUUAGUAGCAACAAUUCCAAAUGAUAAUUUAAGGAAAACCUGUAUUGCAGUUUCAUGUGAUGCCUCGAGACCUGUUUGGGCUUAACAUUUCGGCCUUUCAAGUAAUGUUGAUGCUUUUGAAAGUGUUGCCGGUCUCGUUUGUGGACAAACUCCUCGUCAUCUUCUCCAGGCUUACGCUUGGUGACACCGACCAUUUGAACCUUGUUAGGCCCAAAGAAGGCCCACUGAAAAUGAAGGCCAGAACAGGACACACACCGGUCCUGGACGUGGGCACAGUGGCCGAAGUAAGGAACGGCUUCAUCAAGGUAAUGUUGGAAUCCUGUCAUGUUCUAAUUGAUGGUUUCAACAAAACUUUACAGUCAUGACCUCCUGAAGUAGUGACCGGUGACGUUGCAUUUUGACCAGACAUCUUAUUCGGUUGAAUACUCCAGGUUGCUCCAGCAAUUGAUCAGCUGACGAAAAGUGGAGCUAGGUUCGUCAAUGGCGUCGAAGAGGAGUUCGACGCCGUGAUCAUGGCUACGGGCUACACAAGUAACGUCUACGAGUGGCUCAAGGUGCGAACCAACGGAGAUCUUCUUCUAUCCUGUGCCAACCUAUUUCGAUUCAUUUCGCGUCGUUUGGAUCAACUGUAGGACAAAAUGUAUGCAGUUACAAGUCACAGUGGUAAUCGGCACCCACAGACCGAUUCUGAGUGUUGUAGACGAUAUUGCUAGUAUUUGAUGGAUUUCAGGAUGUGGAACUAAUGAGAACUAUUUUUUAUUGUCAGAUUGACGGCAUGUCUGGAAUAAACGGGUUUCCAAAGAGACCAUUUCGCAACGGAUGGAAGGGCGGGCGAGGCUUGUAUGCGGUCGGUUUCGGUAGGAAAGGUCUGAUGGGAUGCGCUCAUGACGCAGAACUCGUAGCGGACGACAUUGGGGCUCACCACAGAGAUAAUGAAAAGACCUAUUGAAAGAUUUUUACGAGUCUUUUUUGUUGGAAAAAAAAAAGAAAAAAAAGAAAAAAAGAAAAACUGUGAAAAAGGAGUGACUCGUAGAAAGCAAAUGAGUGUUAGCAAAGAUAUAAGAAAAUUGACUGUUUCCGCUUGCAAAGUUUAAUAAAGUUUGUGUAUGUUUGCUUAUUGGGGCGAAGACGACCAAUCAGUAACCACAUUGCAUUUCUCGCCCUUGACAGCAAUAACACGAACUAAUGAAAACUGAAUGAAGUAAGUGGAAAUGUACUCUUCCAAAGCAGUUUACAAAAUUUGGAAAUUUGUCAUUACAAGCAACGAAGUGUAUAUGCUAGUUAAGGAUAAUCUCUCAUACCAUGUGUUUCAAGGUACCACUGGUAUAGUGAGACAUGUUGAGACUUAUUCUUGUCUGUACACCUCACUUUGCCACUAGACUAGUGGAAGCAAUAUUUGAUUUACCAAAUUCGGCCAUGAUCAGCUACCGAAUGGAUGUAUUCUCUUCUAUUACCUAAUUUAAUGAAGUGGACUUGGCAAAAGUUUAUAAUCAUGCGUUUUCCUGGACAUUCUGACCAUGGUGUUUGAUCAGGGCCGAAUUUUUCGAAGCAUAGAAAUGAUUGUUUACUAGUACAGUGCAAUGAUUUCUCAAAUGUUUCAACAGCGCCUUCUGUUCAACGAUUGUUACUUGAUGAGACAAACUGUACAGCCAUUGAAGGUGUUGAAAUAGACUCUUAAUUUAAUCACUGCUCUAUCCAAAAACGCCAACUCAUGUAAUUGUCACAAAACAAAGCAUUGCUUAAACGAGGUUUAAAUAGCUUCAGCACUGCAGUGAAUGUUUGACACAAGCUAUUACAUUAUUUGAAUCCAUUUCAAGAUCCCCAAGCAUAGUUAAUCUCGAGCAACGAUAUGCACUUCCGCAACUGCCCUCGUCGAAGUUAAGACAUCUCUUUUGACGAUACUGGUGAUCUCACCAUCAAAAAUUGAAAUUACCGCAUACCAAACUGAGUUUAAUCAGUUCCAUGUACAGUUUUGGUGACCAACAAGUCCUGGAAACUACAAUUUUGCAACGAUCAAUAAUUGAAUGCUUGGCACAAGGUUUACUCCACAGCCAACGCUUCUCAAGUUCCACCUCAAGCAUUUCGUUAAUCGUUAGCUUGACUUCAAAUCGUCACCCUCGACGACAGACGAUAGGGAGAAAGAGAGCUUAUGGUCCUUCCAGAUACCAUCCUCUAGAUAUUUCUCAUAAAAAGUUGUCUGGCCAGUUUUGUGGACUGCUAUGACUGUCAUGCUUCGGGUUCCGUAAGGUGGAUUAUCCCAGUAUACAAAAAUCGGGCUAAAUGCAUGCUCAUGCGCUUCUGACAAGCCUGUCUUUGGUAGACGUGAAAUCUCAGCUCGUGUACUGUCCGUAAGUAAUUCAUCUAUUAAACAAUUUUCUGGAAUCACUUGGUCAGGAUAUUGAGAUAACAGAACCUCAAUCUUUUCCUUUCCACGAAGAACUUUUGGCCACGGAGUGUCCAGGUUAGCAUUCGACAGGCUAUGCAGACCCGGGGAAACCUGAUCACACAUUAAAAUCCAUCAGCAAGGCUAGUCUUAUAAUAUGUACAGGUUCAGAGGACUAUUCAUAGAAAUACCAUCUCGAUUCAUUAAAUCAGCAUUUACACUAAUUUUUCAACCUUGUUACUAUGCCGACUUAUAACAUUCAGGUUCGGAAACAAAAAUUGUAUCCUGGCAGCACUCAAAAGGAUAACAACUACUUGUAUGUGGUCAAAUUUCCGAGUCCCGCAUGCUAAGCUUUGGACUCCUAAACCCCAAACAAAUGCGUCACUGUCAUUAUGUGGGAGGCAAGAUUAUGCAUAAUUCGGCGAGAGAAAUUUCAAUUCCAUAGAACAAAAAAACAUAACUGGAAAAUGUUAUACUGCAUGUAUGACAAGGUAUGAUCAUUUCAAGAUUCAGACCUGCUUUACUUCAACGGGCUCCCCGCGGGGCCGAUUGGACAGAUACGCCAUCUCUUUGGUGUUCAUAUCUGCAACGAUUAGGUUGAAUCCAUUGUACUUAUCGGCUCGAGCAGCGACCUCCUCCAGGUACGCAGUGGGAGAUUUUGAGCUUUUCAAAAACAGGGUUGGAAGCUCUCCUCUGCUCACUGCCCCCGGUGUGUCCUUACCAGGCUCACGAAAAUUGGUCACAAACGCGAGACGCCCAGACUCAGAGAUCGCCAACCAUGUGCCACCUGCCUCUCCAUCCCGACCACCAAUAAUCUGCGGCUGCAAUCGAAUUCAAAACAAAAAUUGUCGUCUCUCCACGGACAUCUUCCCAAGGCAGAGCAAGGCUAAGCGAAUCGCACCAAGUACGAAGGAAAGAAAUGAAAAGAAAAGUCAAAAUACAACCAAGAUGGUUUCCUCGCUUGUUACAUUGACUACGCAGUACAAGGUGGAGUAAGUAACAAAUAAACGAAUGAAUUGCGACUUAUUUUUACACGAAAUCGACAUACGUGAUCACUCCAACGAUGGGCAGGGAGCGUGGGGCGGGAGUGAUACUCGUCCCGGUUGAGCGCCAACAGGAGCCUGUACUCUGCAUGAGCUUCCAGCAGCCAGAACGCUAUACACAUCUUCGAAUUACCCGAGAAACAAGAGUGAGUAGAACAACGAGAGCAGACGCGUGCGAAUCGAAGCAAAGUGGAAAUAAGAAUGUGGAAACAGGAAGAAGCAAGCCAGAGGCCCUGCACGGUCUCCGCUGAGACACAGCCCCCAAGGCGAAUUUGGAUAUGGCGCGUCUUUCAACACGAUGUAGCUCGCACUCCUAGAGAAAAUUCCUGCGAUACUCUUGCCACUCCGACACAAGUCUGUGAUAUGCUUGACAAAGCUUUGCUUUGCAAGGGUAAGCUGUGCGCAGCCCCUCGAUGACCCACCGGCGGACUUGCCGAGAGAGGUAAAACCUUGGUUCCAAAGGUCUCACAACACAGACAGACUCACCGCAAAACACCACCACUGCUACGACAACAACAACCGUGCAAACAAUCACCACCAAAAAUAUAACCUUUAUCCAAUUCCAACUUUGAUUUGAUGAACCCUAUUUAUUACUAGUGGAAACGUGUGCCGUUUGCCAAUAAAAAAAACAUUGUAAACUACUUGUUGUAAAUUAAUCUUUUGUUUGAAGUUUAAUAUGGAGUUUCUGUUACGUUCCAUGUCGUCCAGCGUUGUGGUACUUCCAAGCUCCAUGCUUAGUGACCUUUCAAUGCUACCCUUGGCAAUUAAGAGUUGAAUUAUUGCUUCACUUUUGAUGAAAAAAAUGAGAUAUGCAGCAAAUCAAAGAUAGUUUUUAUCUUUUGUUGGUUUAUCCCAAGUUGUUUUAUAUAAGAGAUUGGAAAAAAAAUCCAUUUUGAACUUGUAAGCCAAAAUUAAAGCAAAUUUUAAAAUAAAAUAAAAUUGGGUGGCCUUGUUAGUUACUUUGUAAUUACAUGUGGCUAAUGUAGUGUAUCAUAUUCAAAUUAUAUUAUUUAUUGAUGUAGUUUGGUAGAAACGUUUUUAAAUAAAAUAAUUUCAAUUAUGGUAAAAUAAUUCAUGUUAUUGCAUUUUAUUGAUUUGAGAUUAAUUUAAAUUUAAGGUAUUAAAUAUUUGUACAUUUGUCAUGGUACUAAUGAGAAUAUAUCAAGUAAUUUUAUUAAUGAAAUAUAAGAAUUAAAAUAGAUGUCUAUUUUUACAAAAUUUGAAUGAAAAAAUUACUCAAACAACUCAAUUGCCACAUUAGAAUUCAACAUAAAAAAAUCAAAUGUUUUACAUUCAAAUCUAUAUGAAUAUAUUUUCCUUUUAUUUCAAAAAUUAUCUCCACAAAAUAUAUUAAAAUAUCUAUAGUAUGUAAUAUGUUAAAAUAUUUUGAAAUGCUUUUAAAUACCAUGUCCUAUCCACAUCAUUGACUAUCUUGUCCACUUUCUUAUCCAUGUCACAUAUUCAUGAUGUGAGAUUUUACUUGUAAGUAUUAUGAUAUCCAUUUAUUAGAAGAGAAAAAUAAAUAAAGUAAUGUAAAUUGAUUGAACUAAUCUGAUUGAGUAAUCAUAUACCAACAAGUAAAAAAUAAGUUAUAAAAUUCUUCCAUAAAUAAUACUAUGUACAAAAAAAGAAGAUAAAAAUUAAUGUCUUUUGGUAUUGCUUAGUGGAAGAUCAUAGAAGGCUCAGGCUGCAAGCACACCUCAAGUUGUUAUAUGCACAUUCAUUAUGUUUAUAUACAUCCAAGACUUUUGAUUGGCUCAUCUAGAUGCCUUUUCCUUUGCGUUGGUGCAUGUCCCAAUCUUCCUCUUCUUCUUCCUUGCUCCAGUGCAAGUCCCAAUUUGCUCCUCCCUCUCUUCCUAUGCUAAGGCAAAAAAUCUCUAUCUAAUCAAUCACAAUGAAGAUCAUUACUUAAGAGGUAAGUAAGUGUCAAGGACAAGAACAUGAUAAAAACAAAUAAACAAGUGAAACUUCUCUCAAAGAAAGAUGACAAAAUAGAAAUAAUUUAAUAUGUAUAUUAAGAAAGAAACUGGAAUGGCUAUUGCCAAAAGCCAAGAAAACUAGAGACUCUUGAAACUAGAUUGGAAGCAAGAAAAGAAUUGACAAGAGUGAAGAAAGUUUCUUUCUUGUCUCUAUAUAUACUAUCUAACUAGGGACUAUGUGGCAAUGUUCUACAGGACCUCCAAUAUUAAUUGACUUUGUAGGACACAUUUCUUGACUUACAAGGCAAGUUUUUCUAUGUGUGGGCCACAUAAUUAGCUUAGUCUUCAAGCUAACAACAUGUGUGGCACAUGGCCAACUUCUCGACCACGUUUCUAAUCCAAAAAGUCAAUUAAAGACACCUAUAAAGUCAUAGAAGCAUCUAUGAAGCUUUUAGGAAUUUUUCAUAAUAAAUAUUAUAGAAUUAACUUACUUUUACAUACUUUUACUUACUUCUAGCUAUUUAUACUUGUAAUUUUUGGCUUACAUGCAUAUAUUCAUGACAUUACCCCCCCUUCUAGGGACGAGUUCUAUGAGGAGCAGUCAUCAUAUGUUGAGGAAAUUUAUGAUGUGGCAAAUUGUAUUCGCCACAUACUUUGUUCUUUGUUCUCUUUGAAGAUGAUUGAUAGGGCCUCUCAACCAUCGAUAGUAUCCCAUACCAGGGUGGGAAGACCAUCCAAUUAUUUAAUCGUGGAUAAGGCCUUCAUAACUUCCUUUAAAUAAAAUAUUUAGAACACCGUCAGGAAUUGUUCCUACCUCUAGUAAAAUCACCAAACAUCGGGAGUCCCUUCCAAGGUCGUGAUACCAAAUGUGUUGUAUCUUGUCAUCUAUUUGAAGAAGAAUAUGUCAUUCUUGAAGAUCUUCAUCUCAAUUGCGUUGUCUUGAAGGUUGUGACAAUCGUAAUGUCUUGUCCGGCAUGUCAACAAAUAAAGGCUCUUGAGUCGAAUUUGUUGGUUAUUGAUUCUCCAUCUCCUCAACGUCACAACUACAAAGAAGCUAUAAACAAGGAUUGAAAGUAGAAUGUUAUCUUCUUUAGAUCUUGUUCUUUUUACAAAAAAGGUUUUCAUCUAGAUUUUCAUAGGUGUCGUCAAUGAAAAGCCUCCACCGCCUUUGCUGCAUUUGCAAGAUUCUUUACUAGCUCCCGUGUGCAUUCAUUAAUAUCAUAUCCGCACCAAUCGACAAGAUAUUCCAAUUUGUUUCAAUGUCGCCUUGAAUCUAAAACUUCUUCCACUUCAAACUCUUUAUUAUUGUCCACUUCUAUAGGAAGAGGUGGAACUUGUCUUCUUCUUGGUAUGUCCACUAUCUUGUAUGGUUCAAGAAGAGACAUGUGGAAUACUAGAUGGAUUUUCAUUGACUCCAAUAGAUUUAAACGAUAUGCAAUUGGAUUGAUUUGUGCAAAAAUAGAAAAUGGUUCAAGCCUUUGAUAAUCCAACUUAUCACAAGGACAAGUGGUCUUGAUAUUACAACAAAGUAACCAUAUCUUAUUAUCCAUGUGGAAUGGCGGUUGUUCCUUUCGAUAGACAUCCGCAUUGAUCUUUUGUUGUUAUUGAGCUUCUUUUAACUACGCGUUCAUUGUUGCAUGUGGCUCGGACAAAUGAAUUGCCAAAUCUUUCACAAUAAGAUUAUCAACAUUUGAAAAGUCAAAAGUAUCAAGUUGUGGAUGAUAACCAUAAUUGCCAAAGAAAAGUAUUUGUUUUGUAAAAGAAUGUAAUGUGUUAUUGUAAGCAAAAUCUGCCAAUGGCAAAAGAGUUGUCCAAUCAUCUUGUUGGUAGUUGAUGGUACAUCUUAAAUACUGCACCAAAACUUGAUUAACACGCUCCGUUUGUCCAUCAAUUUGAAGAUGGAAUGCCAAAGAUAGUUUUAUAUCCACUUUUAGAAUCUUAAAAAGAGUUUGCCAAAAUCUUGAUACAAAUUAAGUUCCUCUAUCUGAUAUAAUAUCUUUAGGUAAUCCAUGAUAGCGAUAGAUAUUAUGAAGAAAGACGUUAGUUGAUUCUUUACCUAUGAUGGAUUUUGUACAUGGGACAAAAUGUGCCAUCUAAGUAAAAUGAUCUACUAUCACAAAUAUAGAGUCAUAAGAACUUGAGAUUGGAAGAUCCAUGAUGAAAUCCAUAGAAACAAAAGACCAUGGUUGUUUUGGAAUGGAUAAUGGCUGAAGAAGUCUAUAAGGUCGAUAACAAGGAGUUCUUGAUCUUGAGCAAACAUCAUAAGAUUGUACAAAAUCUUUUACUGCUUUCUACAUUUAAGGCCACCAAAAGUCCUUGGAUAUUAGUUCCAAAGUUUUAUUGUACCCAAAAUGUCCUGCUACUGAAAAAUCAUGAUGAACUUGAAGAACAUAUAAUCAAGCUUCACCUUUUGGAACAUAUAGGCAUCCCUCAAAAUAUAGUAGAUUGUUCUUGAAUUCAAACUUGGAAGUAUCAUGAGACUUUGAAAGAUUUUCCUUAAUAUCACGAAUAAGUGGAUCAGGAGACAUACUUGAUUGAACUUGCUUAAUAAAAGUUGAAUCAAUAGUUGUGUUGAUUUCAUUGCUCGAAGAUGAAGAUACUCUAGCUUCAAGAGAAUUGUCUAUUGUUGAUCAAAAGCAACAUCUCCUUCUUUUGGUACAAGAUAAGAUCGUUUAGAGAGUACAUCUGAUAAACAUUAUUAUUUUCUUAGUCGAUAAGUGAUCUUAAAUUCGAAUCUUGACAAAGACAUACUCCAACGGGCUUGGCAACAAUUCAAAAUAUGUGUUGACAUAAAAUAUUUAAGGUUCUUGUAAUCCAUAUGCAUUAAGACUACGCUAGAAGCACCUUCUAGAUAAUGACGCCAUUCUUGAAACAAAUCCACGAUUGCAAGGAGUUUUUUGUUGUGGAUCUCGUAGUUGAUCUAGGAUACUGAAAUGUUUUUGGAAUGAAAAGAUAUUGGAUGAAGUUUAUCAUCUAUUCCCAUUUCUGAUAAUAUAGCACCCAAAGCAAAGUUUGAUGCAUGUGUUUCCAUAAAAAAUGGCUUAAAAAAAUCGAUGCAAAAUAUGAUUCAUGCAAAAACAAAGGCUGUGUUCAAAGCUUCAAAUGCUACUUCUACUUCUUGAUUCCAUUGAAGUUUGUCUUUACAAGUCAAACGUGUAGGUGGAGCUGCAACUUGAGAGAAGUCUUUGAUGAAGAUCUAAUAGUAGUUGAUAAAUUCCAAAAAAAAUUUGACAUCUCUUACCGUUUUUGAGAUCUUCCAAUCCAUAAUAGUUUGAACUUUCUUAGGAUCCAUCAUAAGUCCAUCAUUUGAAAUGAUGUAUCUUAAGAAUUUGACUUGAGUAGUAUGAAAUACACACUUUUCUAUCUUGGCAUAGAGUCUUGCAUCUGUUAGUUUUUGUAACUUACGACAAACAUGAAGUUCAUGUUCUUCUGUAUUCUUAGGAUAGAUUAAGAUGUCGUAUAGGUAACACACAACAAAAUCAUUUAAAAACUCUCGAAAGACAUCAUUCAUUAGGUGUUGGAAUGUUAUUGGUGCAUUUGUAAGUCUAAAAGUCAUGACGUUGUAUUCAAAAUAUCCAUACCUUGUUCAAAAUGCAAUCUUUCAUUCAUCUCCUUUUUUAUUGGGUACCAGAUUGUAUGCUCCUCGUAGAUCUAUUUUUGUAUAGAUCUUAGCUUGAUUCAACUAAUCAAGGAGUUCAGAUAUCAAAGGUAGCGAGUACCUAUUUUUUAUGGUGAUUUUGUUGAAUCCUCAAUAAUCGAUAUACAUCCACAAUGAUCCAUCUUUUUUCUUCACAAAUAAAAUUGGAGCUCUUGCUGGAGAUUUGGAAUGGCGUAUGAAGUUCUUAGACAAAUUCUCUUUAAUAUACUCCUUGAGUUGAUCGAACUCAUUUUGUGAUAAAUUGUAGAUUGAUUCAAAUGGUGAUUGUGCUCCUUCUUGAAGGUCAAUUGAGCAGUCAUAAGAACGAUGUUCUCGAAGAGUAUCCGCAUUCUUUUUCUCAAAUACAUCUUGAAAAUCUUGAUAUUGGCUUGGAAUGCCACUUGAAGUCUUUCCACCAAUAGAAAUAGGUGUGGCAUAAGUGACACAAGGUGAUCCUUCUUUUGCAACAUACAAUCACUCUUGUACCUAUAAAUACAGAUUUAAUUGUAUUAGACUUAUGACUUUCCACUUGAUUAAUUAUGCUCUUAAUUAUACUUUAAAAAAAGUUAAGACUACGAGAAGUCUAAUCUAUUUUAGGAUUAUAUUUUUUUAGCCAUAAUAAAUCUAAAAUGAUUGGAUUAGAGAGAGAUCUAAUAAUAUUAAAUAUUGUAAAGCUACUAUGACCAUUAGUUGCUACUUCUAUAAGAAGUGUUUUAUAAGUAAUAUUUCCUAAAGACAACGGAUGACUAUCUAUGACUUCUACAUGAAUAGGUUUAGUCUUAUUCACUAAAAGUAUACAAUGUCUUUUAGCAAAUUUUUUGUGUAAGAAACAUGUUGAGGCUCUUGAAUCUAGUAAGGCAGAGGUUUUGUGAUGUUUAGGUCUUAGAAUAAUAUUUAUUGUAAAACAUGGAGAGGGUUCUAAAGAGAGAAUAUGACCUUCACUAGAUGUUCUACAAGGUUCCAACUGCACGGUCCCUAUUGUAGCUAGAUAAAUUUAUUUUUCAACAUAUUAUCUUCUUUGAUUAUUGUACUCCUCAUUAUAUAGUUGCGUCACUUCUUUGGACAAUGUUGAACAGUGUGCUUAGCUUCUCCACAAUAUAAGCACAAUCCUUCCUGACGACGACGAGUCUUUUUUUGCUGAGUAAGAGGUUUGAAGCGUACUGCAUAAAUUUGCAUAUCCUCUACUUCCAAAUAUAUGUAUUGAAGAGAUGUUGGUGUUGCCAUUGAAUUAUAGUAACGUUGAGAUCCACUUAUAUGGUUCUCAGAUCAAAAUUCAAAAAGACAUUUGUCAUACUUCAUAGCAAAGUCAAUUGCUUGACUCAAUGUUUGAAGAUCAGGUAAGUUGAGCAUUAAUUUUUUUACCUCAUAUUGUAAUCCAUAGAGAAAUUGGCUAAUGAGUGCAGCAUUAUUCUACUUGAUAUCAGUUGCAAGUUAUCAAAAUUGUGAAGCAUACAAUGUUACUGAUCGAUUACCUUGUCACAAAAUACGGAUCUUGUUGGUUGCAAUAUGAAUUGCAUCAUAUUCUCCAUAGGUGGAUGGAAACUCUACCAAAAAAGUCUCUAGAUUAUCAAAUAUUGGAUCUCAUCAUUCAAGAAAAGAUAAAAACCAUGAUAAUACUGAAUUUGAAAGAAGUGUAUCAAUGAAUCUAACUUGCGACCUUGGAGUUGGAUAGCUUUGAGAUUGAAGUUCAAUGACAAGUUGUACUUGAUUGAUAAAUCCUCUAAACUUUGAUUUGGUACCAUCAAACUUCUCGGGUAUGGCAAUUCUAGGUUCUCUAAUACUAAAAAGGCAUUCUACCAUAGGAAAAGGGACAUGAUUUGGUACAUAUGUUGAAGCAGCUCCAAUCAUUUCUAUGUCUUCACUUCCUGCCAAUCUUGUUGCUCCUUGUGGUGGUAAAUUGAGUUGAUGCAUUGUAAGCAUUAACUCCCUCAAUUGCUCUUGCAUUUGUGCCAUUACAUUCUUCAUUUCAGUAAGUUCUGCCAUGAUAAUACUUAAAAAAGAAAAGAUGUUGAAUAUCGCUCAAGACGAAUAGAAGAAAAGGCUUGAGAACAAAGAAAAUACUAAGGACAAUAACAAUUUAGAAGAGGGUAAUUUACAACUUCUAAUAUGCUUAUGUCUUAUCAAGAGAAAGGGAUAAUCCAUUCUUAAUCAAGAUUAGACAAAACUCUGAUAUUGUAAGUAUAUUCUUGUCAAUUCGUCAAGGACUAGAACGUAAUAAAAAUAAAUAAACAAGUGAGACUUCUCUCAAAGAAAGAUGAAAAAAUAGAAAUAACCUGAUUUAUAUAUUAAGAAAGAAACUGGAAUGGCUAUUGCCAAAACCCAAGAAAAUUAGAGACUCUUGAAACUAGACUGGAAUCAAGAAAGGAGUUGAGAAGAGUGAAGAAAGUUUCUUUCUUAUCUCUAUAUAUACUAUCUAACUAGGAAUUACGUGGCGAUGUUCUAUAGGACCUCUAAUAUGUAUUGACUUUAUAGGACACAUUUCUUGACUUACAAGGCAAGUUUUUUUAUGUGUGGGCCACAUAAUUAACUUGAUCUUCAAGCUAAUAAUAUGUGUGGCACAUGGCCAACUUGUUGAUCAUGUUUCUAAUCGAAAAAAUCAAUUAAAGACACCUAUAAAGUCAUAGUAGCAUCUAUGAAGCUUUUAGGAGUUUUUUAUAGUAAAUAUUAUAGAAUUAACUUACUAUUAUAUACUUUUACUCACUUCUACCUAUUUAUACAUGUAAUUACUGGCUUAUAUGUGUAUGUCCGUAAUAGUAAGUCUUUGACACAUCUUGCAUGAAAGAGCUUUAUUAAUUCUUCUACAAUAAAAACUUAUUUGUAUAUUUGUAUUAUGGUAGAGGUUUCUUGUAAAAGAAAUUGAUACAUUGAUAUUUAUUCUUGUUAUACUCUACUUCUAUCUAAAGUUCAAAAAUACUAUAUAUAGUUAUUUUAUAAUAUGACAUCAACAAAUAUAAAAAGCUUAAGGAGUGAAAAUGUUUGAUUUGCUUUAGAAAUAGGAUUGAUAAAGAAGAUGUUGCAAGCAAUCAAGAAAUAGAAUAUAGAAGUAAAGUUGGUGCAACAAAAAAUUGAAGCAACUGAGGCUGUACUUAUGAUUGUGUCUAAUGGAAGUGUAGAUGGAACUAUCUUCGAUUUUGGCAAUGAAAGUACAUCUCUUGAAGUUUCCAAAAAAGAUACUAAAGAUAGAAAUGAUGUUGAUGUAAAAAUCUUAGGUAAAGGGAUUUAUUUAAAGGAGAGUAAAACUCUUGCUUUAGAAGCUUGUCGAAGUACUAAAGAGAAGGAAAAUUUCAAAGUGGAAUUCAAAGAAUUGAAGUUACAUUUGGAUCAAAUUAUAGAGCACUUGAUAGAAAGGAACAAAUCACUUGAGUCUCAAUUGGAGGAAAUCUUGCAUAUUAAAGUUGAGCAGGUUCGAUCUUCAAAUGUUUCUCCAAGCCAUUACAAGGAUGUAGGUAAAAGCGGCAUAUCUAAUUCCAAAGAAUCAAGGACAUUUGAAAAUGUAAAUUUUGUAUUUUGUAUUUUGUAUUUUUUUUUUUCUUCUCUAGAAGCAACUCAUAGAAGCAAAUGAUAAAGUAGAGAUGCUAAAAGGCGAGUUGAAGAAGCAAGUGCAAAGUUUGUAUGCUUUAGAAGGUGCUGAUCUUGAUGUCAAAAAUAUUCACCCAACUAUAAGACCUUUCUACAUUCAAUGAAAAUUAGAAACAAGUGAAUAAGAAGUUAAAGGAUGAGGUUACUAAAUACAACAAAUUCAAUGCCAAAUUUGGUCACUUACUAAGUAGUAAAUUUUACAAGUUCAAAAAAAAAAAGAACAAUGUUGAAGUACAGUUCAAAGCAUUAAAAGGAGAAGGACCAAAAUCCAUGUAGAGAUAAGAAAAAAGAAAUUUGGAUGAACCAAUCAAAAGCUUUGGGUGUGUGUAUAGACAGAAUGGAUGUGCAUACAAUAACUUGGAGUGUGUGUGUAGCCUGAAUCAUCAUAGAAGGAUUAAUAUCUUAGAAUGGAUAUUUUAUUAUUAUUAUUUUUAAUAAGAUAUUUAUUUUUAACAAUUAAAAGAUGGUGUUGUACCAAAAAAAAAAAAAAAAAAAAAAACCACAUUAACUACUAAACUCAGAUUAAAUCAUUUUGUUUUUUGUUAAUUUUUUGUUUGUUUUCUUCUUCCUCUCUACAAGUGUGUUUUGUGAUCUUUAUUUUUAGUGUGUGUAUACACAUACACAAACAUAUCAUCAUCAUUAUCAUAAAGAAAGAUUAAAGUCCUUUGUAAUAUUAAUCCUAAUAUAUUUUUUAAAUUAAAAAUUUGUACCCAAAUAACUCCAAAGUUAAUCAUUUCUUAAAAUAAAAAACGUGCAGCAUUACUGUUGUAUCACAGUUAACAGUAUCAUGAAUAAAAUUUAGUUCCUGGUUAUUAAUUUUAAGUAAUUUAUUUAUUUAUUAAUAUUUUGGUUAGCACUAAAUAAAUAUAUAAAUGAAUACAUAGAAAAUGUAAGUUUCAUAACAUCUCCUUUUUUUUGUUACAAUGCAAAGAAUAUAAGUUAAAUAUAUGAAAAUAAAGAAUAAUCAAAAUUGUGCAAUUACUGUGAUUCAAUGUCUAUGUAGAAUUAAUUAUUUUGAGUUUUUCCAACAUAAACAUAAAGCUAAGAGUUGAAGCUAUAUCGAAGAGGAUUCAAACAUCUAAAAUACUUUGGGAACUCAAGGAAGUUCAGCAUCAUCACUCUUGUUUGUUUGGUUUUAAUAAUAAAAAAAAGGAGAAUUUGAAAUAAAACUAAGUUUUUAUUGAUUGACCCACUCAUUCUAUUCAUGAUGAUGAAAAAGAAAAAAAAAAAAAGAAGAAAAACCUCUAAAUUCAUUUCUCAACUAUUGGAUUUGCAAUCAAUAAAAACCAACCAUAUUCAUCAUGAUUACCAUAUUUUUCAUCAAAAGUCUAUUUAAUUAAAGCAUGGGUCAAUUUAACAAUCCCCUAAAUUAAAUACUAUAUAUAUAUAUAUUAUUUUAAAAUAAUAAAAUGAAUCUGCAAACGAACGGUUAAAGGUGUCCGGAAUGAAGGUGAAGAGGUAUUGUCUCAUUUAGUUAUAACCGAAGCUGGGAGCCGAAGCUAAGGCUCGUGUCCGAGCCGAAAUUAGGGUAGAAAGGGUUUUGCAGCCGCUCGCGAGAGCGGGGGGUUUAUGUCGAAUGAUGUUUUGGAGAUGGAGUCCACGGAAGUGUUUUGUGAUGAAGUGAUUCGCUUAGAACCGUGCUUCAAUACGCUCACGUAAUUCGUUUGCUAUACUAUCGACUCGUCAUAGAUUUGUAGAGGCGAAGCGCGUCUUGCCGUAAUGGCGAGAAAGAAGAAAGAGAAGCAGUUGUCCCAGAAGGUGAGUUGAAUUUAGCUCUCACGUCGGGGUUUUCGAGGUGAUAGGUUUUGUAGGUUCAGAUGUGCCGAGGUUGACAUUGUAAUUGUUGUGGUUUUUUAUUCUCUAGAGGAAGAAGCAGCACUUAGGGCUUCAUGUCUCCUCAGAGCUUAGCUUCGGUGAUCGCGACGAGAAUUUGGGCAACGCGGACGGAAUUAUUCCUCGAUGCAAGGAUAGUAUGGGCGUUGAUUGCUCGAAUAUGGAGAUGAUAUCAGGGCCGAAGAAGAAAAAGGAGAAACAGCUCUCUCAGUUGGUGAGAUAGAUGGACGCGGCUAUCACGUAUUCAUUAUGUUUUCGACUCGAGAAUGGUGUGUCGCGAGAUUCUGCGUCCCGUCUUUCUAUGUGUUUUUAUUGAUUCAAUUAAAUUACCGUCUUACGCUUUGCAGGAGCAAGAUAAGCAGGUGAAAUUGAGCAAGAACAUGCAGCGGAAGCUCCGCAGACUGCAGGUUGGAAUCUGAGUCGUCUUUUUCUCGUCUUUAAUGCUGCUGAGGAUUCCUUGAGCAUGCCAAAUGUUGCAAAGUGGUUAAUUCCGUAAUGUUACAGAGCUGAGGAUUAUUAUUUCUUGCAUCCGGAAGAUGAAAUUGGGUUAAUUGGACUGUGCAGGAAGAGGAGGAGAAGAAGAAACUUCGGGUCCAAGUCAUGGAGACUUUACAGUAUCCUUUUUCGUAGUUACGCUUGGGGAAGAUUCUGUGCAUUCCGCUCAGACCUUUGACAUUGGAUCGUCAGGGCACCAUCGCACUUAGUGAAUCACUCUUAUGUGGUGAAACUUGUUGUUUCCUGUUCGGACAUGGAGUACUUCAAUUUUACUACGCAAUAAUCACUGUCCGGGAAUGUGAAAUGUGCAACUGCAGUUGUCCUUGAUUCAUCGUUCUUAGGAAACAUAAACUGGCGGAUGAUAAAUUUGGUCUGCUUCAUUCCUCUGGAACGCUUGGGCAGGUCGGAACACUCGAUCUCUGUUUACUACCCGUUAUAAAGAUGUUUUAUGCUAGGUUUUAUUACAGGCUUUGUUGACAUCAGCAGAAAAUUUGAUCUUGAUUAAGGUCCUCUCUUAGUUUGGAUGGUGUAUUUUUAAAGUUCUGCGUAUUUGGGCCCCUUUUGCUCCAGCUGUUUGUAUUAAAGAGUUCACCAAUAAAUUUAGAUUGUGACUUCGUGUCAUUGCGAGGAGCUGUUGAGCAUUUCUCAAUUUCCUAAUUUUUGUUACCUUUUAUUGUAUGCGAAAGGUGUUUGAGAUACGAUUGUUAUGAACUUUGUUUCUGCCAAUGUCCUUGAGAUGUAAGGUAGCGUAAUGUAGUAAAUAUUUCUUGUUAACAGGAGGAAACAAUGAAAGAGAAGCUUCAGCGAGCAAUGAAUUACAAGCGAGCGGGGCUUCCGGUACCUUCGGGUAUCCCAUUGUUUCGAGAAAGACCUGGUGAUCAGCAUAUUGACCAGGUCCUUAUGGAGGAAGAAAAGUCUGAGCUAUUGAAAGGAGUAGCUUCAAAAAUUAGCAACAAAACUUCCCUAGCUAAUGCGCAAGCCAAUGAGGGAGUGUUCAAUUUAAGCAGCACUGUAGCAUCUAAGGGUUUGAAGAGGAAAAAAGAUGAUAGUUGUAUCGGAACAGUUAUGGUAGGAGACCAUAAUCAAAGUUUAGAUGUUAGUAUACCAUCUCGGAGGACUGAAACACACUGUGGUGGAGCCUCUAAUUCUAAGUGUCAGGACGAUCACGGCGAAGAGAUUCACAAGGGAAAUCUCGAAUUGACCCUGUCAGAAAUGCCUGGGAACGAGAUGGCCGCGUCUUUUCCAGAACUCGAGAGUGCAGAACGUGGAAACCCUGGAAAGAAGUGUAGGAAGAACCUUUCAUCAGAGAACGCUGCUCCAAUGCUCGAUGUUUCGAUGAGUACCUCCGUAGAGCCAAGUAUCUCAGCUUCUUGUGUAAAUAAUUCUGAUUCCUAUGAAAACCCCAAGAAGAAAAAGAAGAAAAAGCAGAAGAAGAAAAAGGAAGAGAAGCUUGUUGAAGCUUCCGGUUCAGUCGAUGAUGUAGAUAGAAUGGUAGAACUUGAAGAUUUUGAUAAAGCAGCAGUUUCUGGUGCGGAGUCUGAGGGUAUACUACCGAGUUUAAGACCUCAUGAUGUGUAUCUUAAAGAAUCUCUUAAUACUCAAGCCGAGAAAGCAGAUCUAAAGCUUCGAAAAGUAGCAGUCCCAAUAAGUCGACCAGAAGAUGUUGAGAGGGGGCGGGAAAAUUUGCCGAUAGUCAUGAUGGAGCAGGAAAUUGUAGAAGCCAUCAGUGAGAACGAUGUAGUAAUAGUAUGCGGUGAAACAGGUUGUGGUAAAACGACUCAGGUCCCCCAGGUUAGUCACGCCGUAUUGAUACAACUCCACUGUUGGAAUGUAAAGAUUGUUGGUGCUUGUCUUGCUUUGGAGAAACUGUUUUUGAAAGGAAUGGUUUAUCACCCCAUUCGUUCCGAUGGUGGACGGAAAUAGUCAAGUAAAAGUGUAUGCUGGUAAUGAUAGCUUUCGAGUCCCUCAACGCUGAGAUGCUUUUAGUCAGGAGACAAUGUCAUGUUUACAGUGUUGUGUUUAUCUUCUGUUCAGUUUUUGUUUGAGGCUGGUUUUGGUUCAAGCCUAUGCCCGGAGAAGUCUGGGGUUAUAGGAGUCACUCAGCCCCGCCGGGUUGCUGUGCUCGCAACAGCCAGGCGUGUAGCAUACGAGAUGAAUGUUACAUUGGGACAAGAAGUUGGGUUUCAAGUACGCCACGACCGAAAGAUUGGAAUCAACAGCUGUAUCAAGUUUAUGACUGACGGAAUUCUUCUUCGAGAAAUCCAGGUAUACGGGAGGAAGUUGCUGAAGAAUUUUCAAGGCAGGGUUAAGUACUUAUAGUUGUAAGUUUCUGUAGGUGUGUGUUCUAAGAUUCAAAUUAGCUCCUCGUUAUAACUUAAUUUCUGCACUGCAUAUUUUAUGAUUUUAAAAUUUAUUUUGGCUUGAUUGGAACAGGCUGAUUUUCUUCUCAAGAAGUAUUCUGUUGUAAUCCUGGAUGAGGCCCACGAAAGGAGUUUAAACACAGACAUUCUUAUCGGCAUGCUUUCACGCAUUUUGCCCCUCCGAAAGGUUUGAUUCAUGUGCUACAUUUGGUUUGUUGCAUAGAGUUUUCACGAUUGAGCGUGUUCUCAUGGUUUUCCGCAGUUGUUUUGAUGUCAUGUUAACCAUGCCCGUUCUAUUCAGUCGCUUUGUUCAUGUGUCUCCUUUAUGAAGUUAAACCUUGAUAUUUCUUUCAAUUACUUUUCUCAUUAGGCCGCUGUAGAGUCAGGGUUCAGGACUUGAAUUUGUCCCGCUUCAUGAGCACUGAAAAUGUUAUUUUUGCUGAAUUGUUCGACGAAGAUGGUCGGAAUUUGAGUGCACAUUUGACCACAUAGAGGCAUGGACGAUUUGAUGCAUUUGUAUCACAGAUCACGACCAUGUCCUUGGUACUUGAUCGUGCACAUAACAAUUUAAAUGGCAUUUCUCUACCAACUCCAACAAAGUUAUGCUGGAGGUUGGUCGUUCUUGUCUUGACAUUAUACUGCUCAAAGAACCUACCCGAAAGCUAUUUUAAGACAUGAUUGUGAAAACUCAUCCUCUCUGGAGACAUUUCAGGAUCAUAUAUUUCCACCGAUUCCUGCAAAUGUUCUCUGAACACUUUUCAGAGAGUCCUAAAGUUCUUCAGAUGUUCGGAGUUGAAGUUAAAUCUAUUGUUCUCUGAAAUUCCUCAUAUUUUUCUCCUUCGAAUUCUACGAAUGCUUGUCCUCAUGGUAAUCGCACAGAUUAUUCUUAUCGUUUGAUUUUGGACUGUUGCAGAAAAUGUACGAAGAGUACUGCCAAAAGAUGGAACAACUUGGAUCUAUUGGCAGCAUAACUACUUCAGAGGCUCCUGUAAUGCCACUGAAACUAGUGAUAAUGAGUGCAACUCUUCGAGUUGAAGAUUUCACAUCUAAUCGCAGAAUGUAUCCAAUUUCCCCUCCCGUUAUCCAGGUCCCAGCUCGACAAUUUCCAGUUACUGUGCAUUUUAGUGCGAAAACAGAGAUGAUUGAUUAUGUUGGCCGGGCACAGAAAAAAGUAUGUGCGAUACAUCGGAAGCUACCUCCGGGUGGCAUUCUUGUGUUCCUGACAGGACAGAGGGAGGUGGAAUAUCUGUGUCGUAAACUGCGCAGAGUAUUCAAACCAAAAAGCAACAAUGGACAGUCUAAGGUAGACAGUUACAUAUAUGCAUUUUUUUUUUUUUUUUUUUUUUUUUUUUCUUCUUCUUCCUUAUCAUGCUUCGCUCCCUUGAUGAAAUUGCUCACACGAGGCUUGUUUUGUUGAUAGUUUGGAUGUAAAACCUUUCUUUCAAGUAAUCGGAAUUAUUUAUUUCUCAAAGUGCUGAUGUUAAGAACUCUGCCAUCAUUGGUCAAAAUAAAAAACUUUUAUCGCAGUCAGACAUUGGAUUAUGAAUUUUCUGUAUGGAUUGAAGUUGACAGCUUUCACUUUUUCCCACAAAAGAACACUUUCCUUCCUCAGCUCCUUUGAGUACUGUGAUGCUGCUCCUUGUUGGAAUUCGGUCGAAUAAGAGUUUGUUUUCACCAUAUGCAGCGUUUUAUUUUACAGGGUGAACCAGAAGACUCUUCUCAGAGAACAGAUGUUCAAGGGCUGAACUUAGAGUCUAUUAGUAAGGCAAUGGAUGGUCAUCUAGACAGUUUCGAAGGUUAGUUCUUCACUGGCAGAUUUGCUCAGAAUUCUGUCUACUCGUAGGUUCGUUUAAUACCUUAUGCUUAAGUGAAUGCUGAGAUUAUUAUUUAAUGCUAGUCAUACUUGCUGUUGUUAGUUGUAAUAAUUGAGUUCAUAAUGUUUUGGUUCUGCAGUUAGCCGAUUCUUGGUUUAAGCUUGAUAUGACAUGAUUUGACAGUCUGACCACAUCUUGCUACCUGUAUUGAUUCAGGGAACGAUGGCGGUGGCCUUGGUGGUAUUGCUGAAGUUAAUGAAGACGAUGAGGAAAAGGGUGAGAAUGGAAAUUUCUCGGAAAGCGACGAUAAAGAUUUCUCGGAUGAUCAUGAUGAAGACAGUAUAAGUGAUAGCGAUGAAGAAGAUGUUGUGAAUCUUCAGUCGUCACUAGACGCUGUGGAAGAUACCAGCAAAAAAGAUGCAGAUGUAGAUCAAACCAGAAUAAACUCAACAGAAAUUGGGAAUGAUAAUAUUCUGACAGCUAAGCUAGCUCAGAGUACUGACCCUGGACCUCUGUACGUGCUGCCUCUGUAUGCCAUGCUCCCAGCAGCCGCACAAUUGCGUGUAUUUGCACAAGUUCCUGAAGGAGCGCGACUUGUUGUUGUCGCAACCAAUGUAGCAGAGACGUCCAUUACUAUACCUGGAAUAAGGUGAGCCACGUACAACAGUGAAUGUUACGCGAAUCAAUAUUUUGACGAUUUUCUUCCAGACGUCUAAAUCGCUAAUGAGCACAUAACGUAGGAUCUUAGUACCAGUUGCGUUGCUUCUGGUUGCAGUUGGUUAAUUUCAAAAAUAUCAUCAUUCAAUGGUUCCGUUUAGUUAAUUUGGCUGCAUCUCUAUUUCAUGGAUUUUGCUGCAUCCCAAGUCGUAUUAAAUGUUACUGGAAUAUUAUGUUCUAGGUAUGUGGUAGACACCGGCCGGUCCAAGGAAAGAGACUUUGAUCGAGCCAAUGGAAUGUCGAAGUAUGAGGUGCGGUGGAUUAGCAAAGCCUCAGCAAACCAACGUGCUGGUAGAGCUGGCCGUACUGGUCCAGGACAUUGCUAUCGGCUGUAUUCAUCUGCAGUAUUCAAUAACAUUUUCCCAAAAUUUUCACCGCCUGAGAUUAGCUCGGCACCUAUUGAAGGAGUAGUUCUUGUGAUGAAGCGCAUGGGGAUCUCUAAGGUUAAUUCUUUUCACUAUCAAUGCUUAUGUCAUACAUUUCAUAGAACGUGAAUUGAACAGAGGUCAUCUCUGACAGUUUUUAACAUGUUUUACUGUUUCUGUCCAGGUUAUUAAUUUCCCAUUUCCUACUCCUCCAGAUAGGCAAGCCCUCUUGGAGGCCGACAGGUGCUUGCGAGCCCUCUCUGCUCUUGGUCCUGAUGGCAAUUUAACUCCGAUCGGUAAAGCUAUGGCGGUUUAUCCAAUUAGCCCUCGACAUGCAAGAAUGAUAUUAGCAGCUCUGCAUGCAUCUCAGGGUAUGGAUGGAAGAGGACAUAUUGUGGUCGCAUUUGCGGUUGCAGCAGCGGCUGCUUUGAGCCUAGAGAACCCAUUUCUUCGAGAAUCAGGUAUUUAUUUAAUUAACCAGCUAAUCCUUCUUACCCUCAAGUCGUAAGACGGUUGUGAGGGCUCUAAAGCAGGAUCGCGCAAAAGCAGAUAUGGUUCAACAUUCCCUAGUUUCUUGUAUUUAUUAUGUUCUCUAUUUCUUAUUUAUCAGAAACUAAUCGAGCUCCUUUUGUUUUACCAGAAGCAGAAGCUGAAUUAGUCGCAGGCUAUAAUGUAGAAUAUUCUUCGAUGGGUUUUGCACUUUUAUUUUAGGGGAAUAUGCUAAUAUGAUCUUAAUGAGAUGUGGAGCUUUGCAUCUUACAUUCGUUGAGCUGCUGCCCUCUGCAUAAACCAGAAGAAGAAUGGGGUGUUUGAUUCUGGUGGUUUAUGUAAAAACAAUGUAUAAUAAUCGAAAUUGUUGGUUUCUUUCUGAAGCUCAAGUACGGAUGGUAGAAAAUGUUCCAGUUAUUUGUGUGAAAAUAGAACCAAAUUAUAUAUAUAUAUUUCAUUAUAGUUGAACACUAUUAUUCGCUUUUCUUAGGAUUAUGUUGGAAUCCUACACCAUACUAGCAACAUCGCGUGCUUUUUCAUGAUCUCGUGGGCACAGUUUGAUUACCCUUCUCUUAUGUAAUUCUUUCUUUCAGGCAUCGAAGUAGAGGACUUGGCGAUUGUCGGAGCUGAAAAGAACGGUAAUAAUCCAGCUGCGACGAAGGCCUCGGAAAAACAAAUAAAAUCUCAAGUUAAGGACGGUGAUUCUGAGCUCACAGAAGAGGAGAAGAAGAAAAGGAAGCAACGGCGAGCAGAAGCUGGAAGGGCUCAUGGAAAAUAUCGAAACACUAACAGUGAUGCGCUCAGUGUUGUCAAUGCACUUUGGGCCUAUGAAAAGGCUGAGAACAGGGAGCAAUUUUGUGAAAUCAACUAUCUCCAUGGGAAGACUAUGCAAGAGAUGUCAAAGUUACGUCAGCAAUUGUCUCAGCUAGUGUUGCAAUACAGUCUUGAUGCUGGUGCACAUGUGAAAGAACAGCAUGGCCUGAAAGACGAACCUGGGCUGACAAAGGAUUACCUCCUGGAAUGUGAAAAAGCUUGGCACUUGAAAGAUCAGCUAAAGUUGAAUGUUAAUCAAGAAAUGGUGAUUCAACAGGCGAUUUGUGCAGGUAAAGAUCUUGGUUGUUCUCCUUACACAAAAAUUGACCUUUUCAGUGUAAUUAGUUCGACUAGGCAUGAUUCUAUGUUUGCGUCUUUCCUUAUUUGUGUUCGGCUGGGACAACAGCCCACAGCGAUAUCAUCUGAUUCAUGGGCUUGGGCAGGUUGGUCUGAUAGGGUUGCCCACCGACUAAGUGCACGAGAACUUGCUUUGAUACCAGAAGAAGACGGAAAACGGAAAGCUGUCAGGUGUGAUUUAUUGAUUUUUUUUCCUUGGAUAAUUUGAUGUGUUUCAAUUUCUACUGGUUAGAUUCAGAUGGUAAAUUUAUUCACAUCCUUAGUUCGGAGAUCUGGAAUCAUACGUUUCGAAGGUCUGGUAGGUAGAAAAUUCUGUCAAUUUUUUUAAUUUUUAUUUUGUUUAUAUAUAGUGCUGUUUAUGCCUAGUGGUGUUGCUAAUAGCUUCCUAAGGUCUAACUCGAGAUAAGUUAACGUGUCUUAAAGCGCUAUCAUUCAUAGACGUAUGGGUGCUAGUUGAAUGCGCUACAUACUAAUUAUCCUUGCUUUUAACUGUCUAGGUAUCAAGCAUGUGCAGUCGAAGAAACUGUAUUCCUCCACCCAGCAUCAGCGCUGGCCAAGGAGGCUCCUGAGUUCGUCGUGUACAACGAGAUCAUCUCAACAGGCCGACCUUACAUGUGGGGUGUGACAGCUGUCAAAGCGAAUUGGUUAGUGUCACACGCUACUCCACUUUGUACGUUUUCGAAACCAGUUGCCGAUCCACCUCCUUGGUACGACCCUUCAUUAGACACAGUAAUGUGUUGGGUAUUACCUACCUUUGGGCCGCAUCGUUGGGAGCUACCUCCCCAUCCUAUACCACUAAAUAAUAGCAAAGCAAGAGCUUCUGUGUUUGCAGCUGCUUUACUGGAAGGUAAAGUAAUUCCUUCCUUUCGUUCCUUGCUGCCCCAUUUAGCAGCGGAUCCAGCAAUAAUCAUAAAGCCAGAGUCACAUGGCCAAGUUAGAGUGGGAGAACUAUUGCACAAGCUUGGGACAGGGUUGGAGACAGUUGACUCACGAAAGAAGCUAGCUAAGGCAUGGCAAAGGGACCCAAUGUAUUUGUAUUCAGAGGUCCUUGCCUGGGUGCAAAAUAAGGCACAUGCUGAAUUUAAGCAGAUAUGGGAUCAAUGUCUAAAAGACGCUACGAUGGAUGGGACUACGUUUCAAAGUAAGAAAUCCAAGAAGCGAAAGACGUAAGCAUCGCGGUUAUACCUAUGGGUUGGACAUUGAGGUGUUGGUGGAGUACCUGGUGAGCUAGUUCUGCGUGGACUUCCAGAUCCUCGAUGGUAAAAGCUAGCGUGCUCAAGUCACAUUGCUGGCUCAAUGACGUUCGCUUCAAUUUGUCUUUCAGACAGUAUGCUGACAAUGAUAUGAAGUAACACUGGCUGCUAAUCGCUCAGUGCAUCUCACUCUGCAGCAAGGAACACCUUUGGCUUCGGAGAAACGGGGAAAAUAGGGCCAAGGUUGGCUAAGAUACGUACUGCAAUAAAGCUGAGGCUUAGCAACACUCACUAGGAAUUUAAGCGCAGUCGCAAUGCAAGUGAAUGUAUAUUAGUACUCUAUUCGUAUGUAUUCGAAGCAAUUGAACAGCUAUUAGAAUAAGUCCUCCAAUCUGCAUCUUAAUCUCUGCAGGAUUGAACUCAAAACAAGCAUUUAAGUUCUACGAAAAAUAUGCACAUCACAAGAAAGCAGUAUUUCAAAACUAAACGGGUUAGACGGCGAAAUCUCAAGCACUCGGUACCAUCUUCGUUCGAAUGGUCCCAAUUUCAUCAGGUAAGUCCUCAUGGAGACCACUUGUUUUGUUCAAUCCUUUGACGGUGUUCUACAUGUACCUACAAAAGAACCCAGACCUUCCAAAAUGCAAACAUAGCCAACAAAAAUUGCAAGUCGGGAGUCAAGUAUUUCCCAUGGUAUUCCAUGCCAUGAAAAGCACAUGACAAAUUCCUAUAAAUCGGCCAUCGGGAUAACAGGAGGAGAAAACAUAAUAAUAAACUUAAAUCAAAAUACAAUCCUCACUUCCUUUUCAACUUUCAAAAUCUAUUUGAGUAAAAAAAGGCUUAUAACGGCGAAAAUAUUUGGACAGUACACAGGCAAACAUCAAAUAAGAAGCUUUGCAAACUUGUCAACUUCAAUGUAGGUUUCAUGGCGUAUUACAUCCGAACAACACGUGCAUCCACCAUACAACCUUCAACCAAUGUAUACAUUCUCAUUAAAAUUAUGAUAAUUGUUUUUCAUUCAUAGAUUCUAUCAGGCACGGGGUGUGUCUCCUUUCCGGAAGAUGCCCUUUAUUACAUGUUGGUGUGGCAAUCGGAGAGGUCGUGAACAAGCGCCCACCCUGAAGCUUGGCAAGGGGUGUCGGCCGCGUUCAGGGAUGCGUUCGCGUGCUGUACCACAAGCGGCUGUUGAAUGUAGCUGACGACGGGGAAUGGGAAUGGGAAUGCAGCGAGAGAGGGGGAUGCUGCGGAACGUGCAUGUGAGCAAGCGGUGGCACGUGAGAUCGAGGGUAUGAAACCUGUAGCGUCAUGCGGAGCUUUCUGCCCAUCUGGUGCCGACCAUUUCACCUCAACCUCCACGCAGGCUGCAGGUCAAAACAUCAUGGGUUGACAAGGCGCAGUGAGGCAUUCAUCCAGGUAAGAAGGCGGAGAGCGGCCUUGAUUGGUCGUCAUGCUGCCGCGUCGGAGCACCGUAGAAUGUGGAUGUGCACAUGUGCUUGCGAAAUUGUCAUUGACGGUUGUAUGGGUUGAACAGGGUUGGUUUGGAUGAAGAUAAAUCCCAGGGGGUGCCGACAUUUUCAUCUGGUGAGAUGCCGGAGGAGCUUAUUUUGGGCCACGGCAGCAAAUCGGGGCGCCUUUCCGAGGCGUAGCGACAGAACUAGUGAUUGGCAAUUGUGUGCCACGUCGGGGUGUGGGUCUACCACCGGGCUGGAAAGGCAAAAACUCAGCAGCUUCCGUAUCCACUUCUCAAUCACUGUCCACUCUGGCAAUAAUAUUAACGGGUGAUAUUACAAUGCUACAAUAUUUUCUAAAACUACAAUGAUUAUAUUGAAAGCAACGGUUACAUUAAAUGCUAUCAACACUCUUUUUUGCUCAUCAUAAUAUUUACAUAAUAUGAAAUUUGCAUAGAAUUAUGAUCUAUACUUUUUUAUAAUCUUGCAAGAUCAAUAAUUGCUACCUUAUUAAAAUCUUAUCUAAGAAAGCCUUAUUAUAUUCAAAUACAAAACCAUAGAUGAAGGAAAAAGAGUACUACAUCAUUUUAAGAGUUUAUUAACUUUUGCUCAAGAAAAGUAAAUUGAUGCAUGCCAAUACCAUAAGUAAGUUGGCGAUGGUUGUUCAAAAAGAAAUCUUUGGUGAAGAGAUCAACAAGAUUAUUUGGAGGUUCAAUUUUUUUGAUCAAGUGUUUAAUUAGUAACCAAGUGUCAUGGACAUAUACGUUUACCUCAAUAGUUAUUUAUAUGAUUAAAUAGAAGUAGGUAAAUAUAGAGUAAUUUCAUACAGUCUUCUAGAAAAGCUUCCUAAAAGCUUCAUAGAUGUAGUUUUGACUUUAGAUCUGUUUGUAGAUUAGAAACUUGGCCAAAAAGCUAACCAUGUAUUAGUAGUUUGUGGAACAAGUUAUCUCGAUGUAGUAGCUUGUGGAACAAGCCAACUACGUGGCACAUAUAUAGAUAACUUGCCUUGCAAGAUAAGACAUAUGGCUAGCAAAGUCAACACAUGUUGGAGGUCCUAUAUGACAUCGCCACAUAGCUCUUAAUUAGAUAGUAUAUAUGGAAGCAAGAGUGAAGCCUUCUUCACUCUUGUAAAUGCCUCUCUAGUCUUAGUCUUGUUUGAAGACUUUCUAGUUUUCUUGUUUUUGGCAAUAGCCAUUGUAGUUAAUAUUACAACACUUUUUGUGUGACUUUCUAGUUCUCUUCAGUGAUAGAAGAGUGUAUUGAGGAUUCUCUUUCUUUGAGACUCAUGCCUUAAUAGUUUGACAAAAGUGCUAACAUAUUGUUUCUGUCUUGUUUUAGAAAUAAGUGGAUUACUUCACUUCUAUUAUUGUAUUUUGAAGGUUGCGGACUACCCACCUUUAAACAAAAAAUCUUAUUUUUUGAUAGUGAUCCUUUCCUUAAAGAGAGUGGAUUAUCCCUCUUUGUGGGAUUUGUUUUUAGACUUUAUAGAUUAUCCUCAUCUAAUUUAACUUUUGAAUUCGUUUGAGUUGUCUAUGGAAGGAAAGUUUAUAGAUGCUACUCUCAACGGAAAUGAGAAUAGAUUUGUAACUAUCGUAGAUCUUCAUGAGCUUAUCAAUACUCUAAGAGUGAAAAUCUCACAUAUUUCUAAUGUGAAUCAUGGAAGUACUACAUCUACGCCUAUAGAAGAAGUUCAAAGUCUGUGGCAAGAAUUUGUGCAGUUGAAAGAAGCUAGUAGAUUAACGUCACAACUAGAUUUAGGGAAUUUUGCUUCUACAAGUAUGUCAAGGACAAGGAUUAGUAUGCCUGAAAAGUUUGAUGGAACAAGAUCAAAAUUUCGAGGAUUUUUGCAAUAAGUCAAGCUCUAUUUAAGAUUGCAUCCUUUUCAAUAUUUUGAUGGAUUUAUCCAAGUCGGAUUCAUAGGCAUACUACUAUCAGGAAGUGUUCUCUCUUGGUUUACACCUUUAAUAGAAAAAGAUUCACGAGUCUUUUUGCCUUGAUAUAGGAUAUUAUUUAUAAUUGAAAAUAUGUAUCAACCAUCUCCAAAUAAAACAAAGAUUAUAAUAUAUAGCAAAUACAAAUCAUUGCAUCUUAAGUUUUUUCAAUAUAUGAUUAUCGCUCCUCAUGGAAUUCAUUCUUAGAAGAGAAGGUAAUAUCAUGGAUAUAUAUAUUUAUUCUAAUAAUUACCUAUAUAAUUAAAUAAUAAUAAAUAAAAUUAUAUUAAUUUCAUAAUAUCUUUUAAAAAAGCUUUCUAAAAGCCUUAUAGAUAUUACUUUGACUUUAUACGUGUUUGUAAUUAAUUGAUAGGUUAGAAACUUAGUCAACAAGUUAGCCAUGUAUCACAUGUAUUGAUAGCUUGUAGAACAAGUUAACUAUGUGGCACACAUAUAGAUAACUUGCCUUACAAAAUAAGACAUGUAUCUAGCAAAGUCAACAUGUAUUGGAGAUCUUAUAGAACAUCACUACAUAGCUCUUAGUUAAAGAGUAUAUAUAAAAGUAAGAAUAAAGCUUUCUUUACUCUAAUCAAUAUUUUUCUAGUCUUUAGUCUUAUUUCAAGACUUUCUAGUCUUCUUCAUUUUAAGCUAUUCUAGUUCAAUAUAUUACCAUCUUUGAAUGUCUUUCUUAUCUUUUUGAGUGACAUAAGAAUGUAUCUAAUUUUCUUUCUUUGAAAUUCAUAUCUUUGAUAUACUUAAAUACUUCAUCUACUAAUUGUUGGAUUGGAUAAUAAAAAAGAAUGUGGAAUCUUGGAGGUAGAAGGACUAUUAUAUGGUGACAUAACUACUUGGUUUCUCUCUCAAAAACUGAAUAAAUUCCUAACUAUGAUCAUCGGCCAUGCACAUGUUGCAAACGUGGUAGAUGUCUCCUAAAUCUCCAAAUGUGAAUGGAGACAUUGAGCAAUGCAACGGAGCAUUGUUAGCACCUUUUACCAUUUGGUGGACUCUUCCCUUGCUUUAGAAAUACUAAAUGCUUGCACGAGUGGAAUCAAGCCCAGAACUUCUACACUACAAACUUCAAGGAGACGAUUCAACAAAGCAACCAGCAGGAAAGUCUAGAAAGAUCCGAGUUCCUUUCAGCUGCAUAGUGAAACUGGAUUGGCGAGAGAUUAGUUUGUACCAUUCUCUCGUGCUCCGAUGAAGCCAAACAAGUACAUGCCAUCAGCGUCAAAUGUGUAUCCUGCAUUGUAUCUGCAGCGCUCAAAAUUCAGGAUGGGCGGUGAAGCGGAGGUGAAAAACUUCUUCACUCUGAGGUAGUGAGCUUUUGUGUUGCUGUCCAUGCCCCCCGUCUCGUGGUCGCUGCCUUCAUUCUCCAUAUUUAUAGUAACGUUCAUCUUUGAAGACAUUUUGGAUGUAUGCUUUUUGCAACCCCGAUUCCACCCUAGCCUGCUUCUGGGCAGAUCACGUCGGAGCUGUGCUCUCUAUAACCUCCCCAAAACCUGUCACGACACAAUACCACUCGGUUCAGGAAUCCUUACACCUCGAGAGCCAGCAUCACUGAGACGCUAUUGCUGCAGGUCGAAGUGUAAGAUGUCAGACACACGUAACUAGACAGUCUUAGAUAACUAGAAGUCCAGUCUAACAUAGUACCCCUCUUCAUCAUAUUGAUAUCGGAAGUACGCUUUCACAACGCUGGAAUGCACUUGUUGAUACUUGAAAGUACUCUCCUACAAAGAACUGACUACUAGUCUGUAGUGUACCCGCACAAUUAUGGUUUCAUUCCACGCACCCUUUGCGAGUACGAGGAUCCCAUGAACGUUCUGGUCAUCAUGCAAGUAGCGUCCUUUAAGCGUCAAUUAAGUUUGUGGCAUGACCAUGCAUAAUCCGACUAUUGGAUGAGCUGAGAGCAGAAGAGGCGUGUUUAAAUGGAGUGUGCGGGCUGAAGUGUGAGGUGUUGUGCUGAGAAGCGUGGUUGAUUAGUCGAUUGUGGAGAUACCACAUUUGUGUUCAGUGUUGGAAACAAUAACAGUGACUAAUCAAACAUAACGAACAAACUAAGUGAAACGUCGCAACUAGUCAAAUAGGCGAGACCUAAACGGUCGCACCUCCCUCAAUAGAAUAAUAACAGUGUACACUCAAUUUUUAAUAUAGGUAAUAUAUUCUUUCUAUCAAAAAUUCUCAAGUUCACUUGCUUCUAAUAUGGUAUCAGAGCUAAGCUCUGAAAAAGUUUUAUGAUAUAUAUUUAAGAAAACAUUGCAGACAGAAAAAGGAAGCUUUGUAGAAGAGGUUCUAUAUAGAAAGUUGGGGCACCAACGAAUCCUCCUCUUGUCUUUAAAUAUGACUGCAAGCAACAUUACCAUGGAUAAGUGGCCUAAGUUUGAUGGCUCAUGGUAUUCCAUCUGGAAGAAAAAGAUUCAAAUGAAGUUUGAAAUGGAGAACUUAUGGGAUGUAGUUUCAAGAAAAGAAACACAACCAACACCUGUUCAAGAAGUAAUUGCAACAUCAACUUCACCAUCAACUAAUCAAACUGAAAUCCUUACUUGGAAAAAGAAGGAUCAUAUUGCUUUAGCAGCAAUUUGAGAUUGCGUAGAAAAUCCAAUUUUCUCUUAUGUCGGAGCAUGCAAGACAGCCAAUAAGGCAUGGCUGGCCCUUGAAAAUACAUACUCCACAAGUGACAUCAUCACUCAAUCCCACCUAUACGAAAAAUUCAUCACACAAAAGAUGAAAAUUGGAGAAUCGAUAACUCAACAUAUACACAACUUCAGAAGUCUGCUUCAACAAUGCACUUCUGUUGGAGUUAUCAUUUCUCCUCAAAUAGAAAUCCUCACUCUCAUGAGGUCCAUGCCAUCCCAGCAUGGCACCGUGAUACAAAUGCUUCGCACAAUGGGAAUUGUAACACUUCCUACGCUGAUUUCAAUCCUCUUGCAGGAAGAAACAACCAUGAAAAGCUCCUCUUCUGACUCACAUGCCCUCUUUGUAGGACGCAAAGAAAAGACAAAAUGGCAACCUCACAAAUCCAAUCCAAAAGACCAUAAGCUUUCAAAACAGCGCAACAAACCUAUAACUCUUUGUCCACAUUGCAAGAAAAUGGGACAUUGGGGUUUCGAGUGUUUCAAACACAAAACACGAGUUGCUGCAAAUUUAGCAACAAUAAAUCAUGAUAACAAGAAAAAUAACCAAACAUGGAAGUAAGAACAAGUAGAGAAAUUACCUCCUGCUUUCUAUGCCCAUGUUUACAUUAGACAAGCUUUUUGCUUGGCAAAAUCACCUAAGCCUGGAACCACCAAAGAUACACAAUGGCUCAUUGAUAUGGGUGCCACCCACCACUUGGAACAUAAUAAGUGACAAUUCAUCAAUUUCAAACCAUUUCUACAUGAUGACAACAAAGUAUACCUUGGCGAUGGCACAAUAUUAUCCAUCUAUGGCCAAGGAAAAGUAGAAAUCUCAAUGGCAAAUGGCGAGACACUUAGUCUCUCCAAUACCUUAUAUGUACCAGACUUACACAAAAAUCUAUUCUCCGUAUGUCACUAUGAUCUCGAAGGUAGUGGCAUCUUAAUAAAAAAUCAAAUGUGUAAUCUAUUAGCAAGAGACAACACAAUACUCGCCUCUUGUCCUCUUCAAGAUAAUCUUUAUCUACUAGGAUCAACAAAAUUUCCAGCCCAAAAUGUGGUGGUACAUAUCAUUGCUUAGUCUAGAGAAUCACAAUCUAUUUCCAUGCCUCCAAGUAUCGAUCAUAGAGUUUUCAUCUCACAGCCUUCAUUGACGAUCCUUUCCGGUUUUGAUCACGUAUGCUGGUUACCACAACUCUCUCUAGCGCCAUCUUCUCCCACUACGAGCGACUCUACCUGGUGGACAGUCGACUUCCAUGCCUUUCAACUAUAUAAGUGUUCAUUUGAUACUUAUAAAGAAGUUCGAGCAACCAAAAUUCGAUUGAGUGAUAAUGGCAUAGUACAAGCCAUUGGAAUCAAAUCCAUUGUUGUGAAAAUCAUUGUGAAGGACCAAAUCAAGAGAACCAAUUUAAAAGAGGUCUUACAUGUACCAAAGAUUAAGAAAAUCCUUCUUUUGGUAAGAAAACUUAUAUCACAUUGUUAUAAGAUUCAAUUUCAUAAGAAUGGAUGUUUUGUAAAGACAUUAGGUAGACAAUAUGUUGCCAAAGGCCUAAGAGAUGGCAACCUCUACUUCAUCAAUUGUAAGAAGGUGAAUGAAGUAGAAGUGGCAACAUUUGCUGAUUUUUCACAAGAUUAAGAUAAAUUUAAAAUUUGGUAUUAACGACUUAGUCAUUUGAAUGCCAAAAGCAUAAAAAAGCUCUAAUUCAUGGUAAGUAGCUUAGAUCUUGGUCAAUUCAGCUAUAAUGCCUUAGUACUUCCUUAUAAAGGAUGUAUACAAGGCAAACAACAAAAGGCUUUAUUUUUUAAAAGAAUUGGAAUACAUGCAAGCAAAUUUUUAGAAAUUAAGCAUUGUGAUGUUUGAGAAUCAAUGAAGACACCAUCAAUUAGAAGAACAAGACUCAUUUUCAUAUUUAUUAAUGAUUUUUUUUUUAAAUACGAAUUUAUAUCAUUAAAGUGAAGAAUGAAUAUUUCUCAAGGUUUAAGGAAUUUAAGGUGCUUGUAAAAAAAUAAUGUGAGUGCAAGUUCAAAAUAUUGUGUACUAAUAAUCGAAGUAAAUACAUGUCAAAAUAUUUUGAUGAAUUCUUAAAGAUUCAAAGUAUUGUAAGACAAUCAUCUACUCUCUACACUCUAUAACAAAAUGGAAUUGUUGAAAGAAAAAAUUGCACCAUUGUAGAGAUAGCAAGGAGUAUGUUUUAUGCAAAAAAUCUUAGAGAAGAAUGUUAGGCAGGAGUAGUGGUAAAUGCAGUAUAUACAAGGAAUAGGUAUUCAAUAGGUAUACUCACAUCAAUGACUCUACAGGAAACUUGGAGUGGUAAGAAAUCUUGUAUUUCAUACAUGAAGAUUUUUGGAUGUAUUGCCUAUACAAAGGUAUUAAAAUGUAUGAGGUCCAAACUUGAUAAAAAAGAUAUAAAAUAUGUGUUUAUUGGAUAUUGUGAAGGUACUAAGGCAUAUAGGCUAAUGUGUUUAGAAACCAAGAAGAUCAUUAAGAGUUGUGAUAUAGAGUUUUUGGAGCAUAAGAAUACUUGUGAAUACUUGGAGAUGUAUCCAAGUAGAAAUAAUAGUGUGUUUGUGGAUACAUCUUCAAUUUCAACAAAGGAAGAAGAAGAUAAUCAUAUUGAUGAUGAUUGAAAUUCAAAUCAACAUGAAGAACCAAAGAAGAUAGACCAUAGAGUGCUUAUAAUUGCUAAAACUAGCAAUGAAAACAAUGAGGAUAUUAAAGAUGAUGAUGAUGAUGAUGAUGAAGAAUACCAACCUUUGAAUGUAAAGAAACAAGUUUUUAGAAAGAAGAAGCUUAUAAGAAACAUUAGAGUGAAAGAAGGUGAAGCUUCAUCAAGUAAAAUGAGAUAUUUUUUGAGAGAUAGAAAACAACUUGGUGUAUGGUGGAAGAAUGAUAUCUUUUUUUAAAUAAGUUAAGAACAUACCAAUGUUAUACUUCAUGCUAAUCCAUUCAGUUUAUGUGAUGCAAUGAAGUCCAAAAAUACUAUGAAGUAGAAGAAUGCCAUGAAAAAAGAAUACAAAUCAUUCAUGGAUAAUUGAAUAUAGAAAUUGAAUCAAUUUCUACCAAAUUGAUCUUCAAUUGGUUGUAAGUGGGUGUUUAGAAUUAAAAAAGAUGCAAUGGAUAAUAUUGAGAGAUACAAGUCUAGAUUGGUUUUUAAAGACUACUCACAAGUUAUUGGUGUUAAUUUCAAUGAGACAUUUUUUGUCAUGGAUAUACAUAUUUACCCUGAUAAUUAUCUAAAUAAUAAGAAUAGGUAGAAAUAAGUCAAAAUAGAUAAUUAUAAUAAUAUCUUGUAGAAAGCUUUUUAAAAGCUUCAUAGAUGCUCUUUUGUCUUAAUACAUGUCUAUAGGUGAUUUGUAGGUUGAAAACUUGGCCAACAAAGACACCACAUGUUGACAUGUUGUACACUUAUAGUAUAAGUUGGACAUAUGGCUUACACCUGAGAAACUUGCUUUGUAAAUUAGAUAUGUAACUUGCAAGUUGGAUGCAUAUUAGAGGUCUUAUAGCAUAUCACCACGUAUUCUUUAGUUAAGUAGUAUAUAUAGAGGCAAUAGUAAGGCCUUCUUCACUCUUGUCAACUCCUUUCUUGAUUUUAGUCUACUUUUAAGAGUCUUAUGUUUUCUAGUCUUUAGCAAUAGAAAUUUCAGUUCUUCUUUGAAUAUAUAUACUUUCUUCUACUUUGUCACUUUUUUUUUGAUAUAGAUUCUAUAAGUUUAUGUAUCUUCUUUUAGUUUGUAUUUUUGAUAGAUUGACAAGAGUAUACAUAUAAUAUUAGAGCUUUUUCCUUUCUUGAUUAAGAGUGGAUUACCUCUUUUUCUUGAUAAGACAUAAGUAUAUUAGAAGUUACAAUUUAUCCUCUUCUAAAUUGAUAUUAUUUUUAGAAUUUUUUUUUCUUGAUUCUUGAGUAUUGUAUUUUGUGAAAAUAGGCACGUUAUUUUUCUUAUUAUACUAGUAUGGCAGAGCUUUCUGAAAUGAAGAGUGCAAUGGCUCAAAUGCAAGAGCAAAUGAAAGAGUUAAUACUUGCAUUGCAUCAACUCAAUCUACAUCCACAAAGAGCAACAAGAUUAUCACACAAUGAAGAUAUAGAGAUGAUUGGAUUUGCUUCAACAUCUACACCAAGCCAUACUAUUGAUCUUACAAUGGAUUAUUAUUCAAAUUUCAAAGAACCAAAAAUUGGAUUGCUUAAGAAGUUUGAUGGUACAAGAUCUAAAUUUCGAAGAUUCAUCAAUCAUGUACAAUUAGUGAUUGAACUACAACCUCAAAGUUAUCCAACUCAAGGAUCAUAAGUUAGGUUUAUUGAAACACUAUUUUUAAAUUCUGCUUUAUCAUGGUUUUUAUCAUUUCUUGAAUGAUGUGAUUGAAUAUUGGAUAAUUUGAAAGCAUUUUUAGUAGAGUUUUCAUCUAUGUAUAGAAAACCUAAUACAAUCCGUGUUGCAACCAACAAGAUUUGUGUCUUACAACAAGGCAAUCAAUCAAUGAUAUUAUAUGCUUCAUAAUUUUGAUAAUUAGUGGGAGAUAUCAAUUGGGAUGAUGUAGCAUUCAUUAGCCAAUUUUUCUACGGAUUACAAUAUGAAGUAAAGAAAUUGAUGCUCAAUUUAUUAGAUCCUUAGACAUUGAGUCAAGUAAUUGACUUUGUCGUAAAAUAAGGUAAUCGGUUUUUUGAUUUUUGAUUUGAGAAUUGUACAAGAGAAUGUCAAUAGUAUUACAAUUCAAUGAUGACACCAACGACUUUUCAAUCUAAGCAUUUGAAAGUAGAAGACAUAUAAAUUGAUGUAGUACAUUUUAAACCUCUUAUCAAAUAAGAAAAGACUCAUCGUCAUUAAGAAGGACUAUGUUUAUAUUGUAGAGAAGCUAAGAAUACUACUCAAUAUUGUCCAAAGAAAUGACGCAACUACAAAAUAAAGAGUACUAUUGUCAAAGAUGAAAACAUGUCAAAAAAAAAAUUGUCUAGCUAUAAUCUUAUACAAUUCCUAAUAAAGGUCCAAUUCUUUCCUCAAAACCUUCUUUUUGUUUUACAAUAGAUAUGCGUUUAGGAUCUAGUAAUCAUAAAGCAUUUGCUUUAAUAAAUUUAGGAGCCUUUUUUUGUUUUUUAGAUGAAGAAUUUGUUAAAAUUUAUAAUAUACAAUUAGUACAAAAAAACUAAAUCCAUAUAUGUAGAAAACAUAGAUAAUCAUCCAUUAUCUUCUAGAGAUGUUAUUCAAGAAAUACCUCCUAUAUAUAUAAUAAUAAAUGGUCAUAAUAGUAAUGUAAUUUUUAAUAUAAUUAGAUCUCCCUCUAAUCUAGUCAUUUUAGGUUUAUUGUGGCUAGAAAAAUAUAAUGCUGAUAUAAAUUAGAUUUUUCAUAAACUUGACUUUUCUUUGAACAUCAUUAAGAAUUUUUCUAAUCCAAUAGAAAGCCACGAGUUUAGUAUAGCCAAACUUGUAUUUGUAGGUACAAAAACUUUUUUGCAUGCUAAAAAGGAAAGAUCAUCUUUUGUGAUUUAUGGCACACCCAUUUUAAAUGAUGGAAAGAUUUCAAGUGAAAUUUCAAGUCAAUAUCAAGAUUUUCAAGAUGUUUUUGAGAAGUAGAAUGCAGAUAUUCUAUCGGAGCAUCAUCUAUAUGAUUGCUUAAUCAAUCUUAAAGAAGGAACUCAAUGCCAUUUGGUCCAAUCUAUAGUUUAUCACAAAAUGAGUUGGCUGAACUCAAAAAAUACAUUGAUGAGAACUUGGCCAAGAAUUUCAUACGUCAUUCAAAAUCUCCUACAAGAGCUUCUAUCUUAUUUGUGAAGAAUCAAUCAAAUUAAGCUAAGAUCUAUACAAAAAUAGAUCUACAAUGAGUGUACAAUUUGAUCUACAUUAAAGAAGGAAAUAAAUGAAAGACUCCAUUUCAAAGAAGGUAUAGACACUUUGAAUAUAACGUCAUGCCUUUUGGACUCAUGAAUGCACUAGCUACUUUUGAACAUCUUAUGAAUGAUGUUUUUUCAUGAGUUUCUAAAUGAUUUAUCUUCUAUUACUUACACGAUAUUUUAAUCUACUCUAAGAAUGCAGAAGAACAUGAAAUUCAUAUUUGUUGUGUAUUACAAAAAUUUAGAGAUAUAGGAUUGUAUGUCAAGAUAGAAAAGUGUAUAUUCCACACUAUUCAAGUUGACUUCUUAGGAUACAUCAUUUCAAACAAUGGUCUAAUGAUGGAUCCUAAAAAAAUUCAUACAAUGAUCGACUGGAAGACUCCAAAAAUACUAAGAGAUAUACAAUAUUUUUUAAGAUUUGCCAAUUACUAUCAGAUCUUCAUCAAGAACUUUUUUCAAGUUUCAGUGCCACUUACAUGUAAAGAUAAGCUUAAGUGGAGUAAAGAAACAGAAGCAUCAUUUGAAGUUUUGAAGAAAGCUUUUACUUCUGCAACAAUCAUGUAUUGCAUCGACUUCUCUAAAGCAUUUUUUAUGGAGACAAAUGCAUCUAAUUUUGCCUUGGAUGCAAUCUUAUCACAAAUAGGAGUAGUUAAAAAACUUCAUCUAGUAGCUUUUCAUUCAAUAAAAUUUUCAACAAUCAAGAUUAAUUAUAAGAUCUAAGACAAGGAACUUCUUGCAAUUGUAGAUUUUUAUAAAAAAAUGGCAUCAUUAUUUAGAAGGUGCUUCAAGUCCAAUCAUCAUAUAUAUGGAUUACAAGAACCUCAAGUAUUUUAUGUUAGCACAUAUUUUGAAUUAUCGCCAAGCUCGUUGGAACAUGUCUUUGUUAAUAUUUGAGUUCAAUAUUACUUAUCAAUAAGAAAAAAAAUAAGGUUUAUCUGAUGCCCUUUCUAAACAUUCUUAUCUUACAUCAAAAGAAAGAGAAGCAGCUUUUGACCAACAAAAGAUAAUUUUAUUAAAGCUAGAAUAAUUUCAUCUCCGAGCAAUGAAAUCAACAUUGUCUAUUGAUUUGACUUUUUUCAAGAAGAUCCAAGCAAGUAUGUCCUUAGACCUUCUUAUUUAUGAUGUUAAAAAUAAUUCCUCUAAAUCUUAAGAUACUUCCAAGUUUGACUUCAAGGAGAACCUACUCUAUUUUGAAAGAUGCUUAUAUAUUCCAGAAAGGGAAGCAUGAUUAUGUGCUCUUGAAGCUCGUUAUAAUUUCCUUGUAGUUGCAUAUUUUGGAUAUAAUAAGACUUUAGAGCUUAUAUCUAGAGAUUUUUGGUGGUCUCAAAUAUGGAAGGCUAUUAAAGAAUUUGUACAGACAUGGAAUAUUUAUUCAAGAUCAAAAAGUCCUUGUCAUCAACCUUAUGGACUCCUCCAACCACUACCUAUAUUAGAACAAGCAUGGUCUUUUGUUUCUAUGGAUUUUAUUAUAGAUCUUCCAAUUUCAAGUUCAUAUGAUUCUAUAUUUGUGAUUGCAGAUCGUUUCACUAAGAUGGUACAUUUUGUAUCAUGUACAAAAUCUAUCACAUGUGGAGGAGGAACUAAACUCUUUGUUAACAAUAUCUAUUGCUAUCAUGGAUUAGUAAGGGAUAUUAUAUGAGAUAGAGGAAUACAAUUUUUAUUGAGAUUUUAGAGAACUCUUUUCAAGAUAUUAAAGAUGGAUAUAAAACUAUCUUUGGCUUUCAACCUUCAAACUGAUAGACAAAAAAAAUAGAUAAAUCAAGUUUUAGAGUAGUAUUUGAGGUGUACCAUCAACUAUCAACAAGUUGAUUAGAUAAUUUAUUUGCCAUUUAUAAAGUUUGCUUACAAUAAUUUGGUAUAUUCUUUUAUUCAAUAAAUAUUUUUUUUUUCUAAUUACAGUUAUCAUCCAUGAUUUGACACUUUUGAUUUUUUAAAAGUUGAUAAUCCUAUAGCAAAAGAUGUAGCAAAUCGAUUGUCAAAGCUACAUACAACAAUGAAAGUAUAAGUAAAAGAAGCUCAAGAAUAACAAAAAGCCAAUACAGAUGUCUAUUGUAAGGAACAACCUCAAUUCUACAUGGAAGAUAAGAUAUUGUCACUUCAUCGUAAUAUUAAAACUAUUCAUCCAUAUGACAAGCUGGAUUAUCGUAGGCUUCAACCAUUUUCUAUUUGUGAACAGAUUAAUCGAGUUGCUUAUUAAUUAUACCUACCAGAGUCUAUGAAAAUCCAUCAUGUAUUCUAUAAGUUUUUACUUAAGCCAUACAAGACAAUGGAUAUAUAAGGAAGAAGACAAGUGCCACCACCUCCCAUAGAAAUAGACAAUAAUAAAGAAUUUGAAAUGGACGAAGUUUUAGAUACAAAGUGACAUCAAAAUAGGUUAGAAUAUCUAGUACAUUGGCAUGGAUAUGACAUUAAUAAAUACCCAUGGGAGCUAUCUAGGAAUCUAAAAAAUCUAUUAGCUAAGGUUAAAGCUUUUCAUCAAUAACAUCAAUCAAAACCAAGAUAAACAGUCAAAAAAUUCUUUGCUAUAAAGCAAAGCAAGCCCAAUGGAGAUUUCAUUCUAUCUUGCAUUAUUAUUUCUUUGAAUUUUUUAGUACUUAGGAGAUGGAGAACCAAAAACUAGCAAAUUCAAUUGAAGAGCUAUCAUUUGCUAAGCUAUCAGACAAGACAUUGUGACUAUCACAACCUUCGAGAUGGCAAAAUUGAAAUAAAGACCUUCAAGAAUGACAUAUUCUUCCUCAAAUAGACGACGAGAUACUACAUGUUUGGUACUAUGACUUUAGAAGGAACUCUCAAUGUUUAGUAAUAUUUUUGGAGAUAGGAACCACUUGUGAUAGUAUUACUAACAUUUUAUUUGAAAGAAGUUAUGAAGGCCUCAAUAAUGUUCAAGUAUUAAGGUGGUCUUCUUGCCUUGGUAUGGAACAUUAUCAAUGGUUUAAGGGACCAAUCAACUAUCUUCAAAGAGAGCAAAGAUCAGAGUAUAUAACAAAUACAAUUUCGUAUAUCUUAGACUUCAUCUGCAUGUAAUCACUGCUCCUCAUAGAACUUGUCUCUAGAAAAGGGAUUAAUGUCACAGACAUAUAUAUUUAUCGUGAUAAUUAUCUAGAUAAUAAGAAUAAAUAGGAGUAAGAAAAAAUAGAUAAAUAUGAUAUUAUCUUGUGGAAAGCUUUCUAAAAGCUUCAUAGAUGCUGCUUUGUCUUUAUAAAUGUCUAUAGGUGAUUUGUAGGUUGAAAUCUUGGCCAAUAAGGAGGCCACAUGUCAAUAUAUUGACCACUUGUAGUAUAAGUUGGACAUAUGGCACACACCUAAGAAACUUGCUUUGUAAAUUAGACAUGUGGCUUGCAAGUUAGAUGUAUAUUAGAGGUCUUAUAGCAUAUCGCUACAUAUUCUUUAAUUAAGUAGUAUAUAUAGAUGCAACAAUAAGGCCUGCUUCACUCUUGUCAACUCCUUUCUUGUUUUUAGUCUAGUUUCAAGAAUCUUAUGUUUUCUAAUCUUUGACAAUAGCCAUUCCAAUUCUUCCUUGAAUAUACAUACUUUCUUUUAUUUUGUCACUUUCUUUUUGACACAUAUUCAAUGAAUUUAUAUAUCUUCUUCCAAUUUGUAUCUUUGAUAUUUGUUCCCUUAGCCAAAUUCACGACCAUUAAAACUAUUAUUAUAAUUGGGACAACAAUAGACUUUAAGAUGCAUCAAAUGGAUGUAAAGAUGACUUUCUUGAAUGGAAAUCUAAAAAAAGGUAUCUAUAUAGAACAACCUCAAGGAUUUAUAGAAGAAUGCAAACAACAUCUUGUUUAUAAAUUGAAGAAAGCUUUAUAUGGACUCAAGCAAUCUCCAAGGGUAUGGUACCAAAGUAUUAAUAUAUUCUUUGUAAAUGAAGGAUUUGGAAGGAGUAAAUCUGAUCAUUUCUUGUAUAUAAAGCAAUCAAAUGAGUUUAUAUUGAUUGUCAUCUUCUAUGUUGAUGAUUUGAUCAUCUUAACCAAUACUGUAAAGAUGAUAGAUUUGUUGAAAGUAAAGUUAGAAAAUAAGUAUGAAAUGAGUCAUUUGGAAUAGCUUCACUAUUAUUUAGAAAUAGAGUUUAUGAAAGAUUGUGCUAAGAAGACCAUUACAAUAAGUCAAAUAAAAUACAUUAAAGAAUUGUUAAAAUUAUUCAACAUGCAAGAGUGUAAGCCUAUUAAAAUACUUUUGGAGGCCAAUUUGAAGUUGAUGAAGCUCAUAGAUGAAGAAUUUACUAAAAUUGAAGGUGAAAUUAAAGAUAUUCUAUACAACAUAAUAAUAGACUCAUUUAUGUAUAUAAUGGUUAGCUCAAGAAUAGAUCUUACAUAUGCGAUGAGUAUUGUAAAUCAAUACAUAUCAAAAGCUAGACCAAUCCAUUGGGUAACCAUCAAGAAGAUUAUGAGGUAUUUAAAAAUAAAUUUAAACUUAAAAUUGUGCCUUGGAAGAGAUAAUAUUGUAUUGCAUGGUUAUUAUAAUACGGAUUGGACUAGAGAUACAAAUAAUGGAAGGUCAACAAUAAGAUAUUUAUUCUUUGUUGAAGUGCAAGUAAUUUUGUGGAAUUCUAAGAGACAACCAAAAAUUGUAAGAUUAAUAAUAGAGGUGGAGUAUAUGACAGCAAGUCAUAGUGCAAUGGAGGCAAUAUAGCUGAGAUAACUUUUGAAAGAUAUUGGAGUAUUGCAAAUGAAAGCAACUUAUAAUAAAGUGUGAUAAUUAAGGAUGUCUUACAUUUGCAAAGAAUCCAAAGCAUCAUUUAAGGACAAAGCACAUUGAUAUUCAACAUCACUUUAUAAGAGAGAAGAUUAAAACGAGACUGAUUGAUAUAAAAUAUUGUGUAAUAGAAGACAUGCUUGCUGAUUUGUUGAUAAAGAUAUUAGUAAAGAAUAGACAUUACAUGUUGAAAAAAGCAUUAGAAUUGAAAGCCUUUUGACCAAUAACAAAGUGGAAGUCUUAAAGUAAGUAAAUAAAAAUGAAAAUAGAAUAAAUUAUCUUAUAAAAAAAUAUUAUCUUAAAUAAGUUAUUAAUGGUUAAAGGAUUGAUUUGUGAUUAUUUAAAGGAGAAUCCUAUGGAUAUAAGAUGAGGUCAAGGAUCAAGAAUCAAAGUCAAGAGGAUAAAGUAUAAACUAAAAAAUAUCCAAGGAUUAGAUAAGAAUAAUUAGUAUUUGGCAUAAGAUACCAUUGUAGUUAGUAAGAUAUCAAAGGAUCUUAGAACCAUAGGAUACUAUCAAAAGAAGUUACAUGCCAAAGGAUUCUAGGACCAUGUGUGUAAAAGUCAAAGAGUGGAAGUUUUUUUUUAGGGCAACAACCACUACCUAUAAGUAUUGGAUGUUAGAAAUGAGAGACAUCUUACUCCAUACUCUCUUUGUAUGGAAUCUUAUUGAUGUAAAGUGUUGUGACUUCAUAGUGCUUGUUCUUCAAUAAUAUCAUCCACAUAUAUAUCAUCCACAUAUAUAUCAUCCACACAUAGAGUGAGUAUGAUGAAUUGCAAGCCAUGGCUUAGAUAAUAGACAUUUCAACUUGCCAUGGAAUUUACAAAUCCAUAAUAGUUUCAUCUUGGAAGAAAAUUAAAAUUAAUGUCAAAAAUAUUGUCAUUCUCAUUGUAUAUAAUGUUUGUAUAAUAGUACCAUAUUAUAAUGGCAUAGAUUGGAUUAGAGUGAAUAUUUUCAUUUGAGAUAGAAUUAUAACUAAUUAAAUGGUAUUUUUGUAGGAGAUCUUUAAACUUAUACAAAUAUUGCAUGACUAAUUUACUAGCUCAUAUUUUUUGUGUUCUAAAAUUUUCUUUUAAAUGUGCUUGUGUAAUUAUGUCACUUGUAAAAUAUGUGUUUUUGAGAGCUAACCAUGCUUCAUUUGACAUUGUACAUACUCUAAUAUAUAAAAAGAUAGCAUUUUCUAUACAAUCCCAAAUAGCAAUGAAAGCAAUGUGAUUUUUUUUUUUUUUUUUUUUUUUUCUAAGUAUUGCAACUUGAUUUAUUGGAGGUGACUCUCUAUUGUAGCAUUUGCUUCUUGAAUGGGUAUUGGUUCUUUUUCUUUUCAACAUACAAGUUUCUACAUUUCUUCUAUUUCAAACUUCAUUUGGAUUUUUUGUAUCAUAUUGUAUACCAAGUACCAUCAAAUUUAGGCCAAUCCAUGGUUAAUAGACUAUCUAUAACCAUGUUUUUGUUGUUUUUCAGGAAGAAGGAUCUAUCUGUGCCCCAAUUUUCAGUGAAGAACGUCUUCACAACCUUUUCCUACUUUUUGAGAGACAACCUUUUCCUAUUUUUUAAGAGAGCUUGUUAACUACUUUUCUAGAAUUUUCUAAAGAUUCUUAAAAGCAAGCUUUGAUACCAUAUUAGAACUAGUGUAAUAACCUAAGAAUAGACGUGAAGUUCUGUACAUAGUAAUAAACAUAUAUAUAUAUAUAUAUAUAUAUAUUGAUUGAAUUUGUGUUACAACACAUGUGUUAUGUACUGUGAGAAGAGUUCAUCCAGGACAGUGCACUCUUCCAAGAGAGUGGGACUUACUAUCAUCGUAAUCUGGUUACGAAUCCGUUAUAGUUUCUUAUAACCGUUAUGGUUUCUAAUAAAUCAGCGGUCCAAGCAUGCGAAUUAUUUAUUUGAUGGUUUCACUACUCAAGUCGCUCACUUGUGAUGGGUCAUGUUGAGACAUGAAUCUGACGAGAAGUUGAAUGUCCAGCAUUUCGUUCAGUGAUCAGGUCUGGAGUUGCUGGUGGCACCAAUGUGAACUGUUACAGCGAUGAAUAAUCCAUCUAGAGUUUCAGGUUCUGGUUAGGUUGGUGUUACUAUGAGCAUGGCGUCUAGGACAAGGUUAUGAAUACGAGCUCAGUUUUGAGAUGGGGUAGUGUGUAAACGUUUCUAGCUUGCCUUACGAUCAUACGUUACACGGUAUAACACCGAUGUAUUGUGCAAUGGAAUUGGAUCUUUAUGAGACAACAUACUUUGGAGGGCACACUUUGAUCGGUGUAUUUUGAUUGCAUGGAGAUGAAAUUCAUCUUUUUUAAUGAGUUUUUAUGUGCAUUUUUUCUUCACACAUGUAGUUGUGAAAUUUUCAGGACGCGUACUCCGACUCCUGUUUUACUGCCUCGUUCCUCGUCGGAAGAGUUGUGCGGCUCAGAGAAUUGCCUCAUCAUUCGUCAGCUGCGUAAAGCUGGUCGUGCAUCCCCUCCUAGCGAUCGCACGUCACCAUCACCAACGAACCGCUCUGUGUCACCUCCUAAUGGCGAUGCUUGUCCGCCGAUGAGUCCCGAUCUUACAUCUAUUAGUGACCAUGCGUCGCUGGCAAAGAGUCCGGAUCUUCCACCACUUCCUGACCAUGACAGGGUGGCGUUCACUAAUCUUCCUGCACCUGUUUUCUCUCAUGCUUAAAAUCACACUGCCUUCCACUUUUUAGUGCAGUCUCAAACAUUUCAUUUUUUCGUUUUUGUAUUGAAUCGUUACGAGCAGGGUUUUCUUGUUAUGAGUAUUAUGCUCUUAGUACAUAGUUAAUACAUAUAGGAGUUUGACAAGUUUUCACGAUAUUUUUUGACUCAGUUUAGGGGUCGUGUAGUGAGCAGGCAUUCUGUUAAAUGUAGAGUUAGAAUACUUCAGUAUUUUCACGACACUUGAUUCAGAUCAUCUGUGCAUAAAUCUCUCCCUGUCCGUUUUGACUAGGCCAGUUCCAGCUCAAUUACGAGAAGCAUACUCAUUUGCUUAGAUGCCCUGUAAACGAUCACAUUAUUUUACUUGCUCCCUGCUAGUUGAGUCCUCAAACUCGGCACUGCAGUAGAAACACAUUUAUUACUUCCUUUUUCAACUAAUAAAACUUACAUAUUGAUACUACGACAAA